GUGACUCCAGACCAUCGACAUCAAUCUUAUAUUGCUUACAAUGCUCCUGUGUGGCUUCACCAUCUCCUGGUACUAGAAGCGCAAGCCAAGUAAUGCUUUUUUUGGGUGGAAUCACCUAGGACAUGCCUUAUAUCAUUUGGUGCCUACUGGUAUUUUUUUUUUUCUCCUCUCUUGUUUUUCUUGUUUCUUAAGCUUUCCGGUUUAAUGGGCUCGUUCGAACCUAUGUCUCUAUUGUAUGGAGAACAAUGAUAUUUCAGUGUUAUAAAAAAAAAAAAACUACAACCUUCUUCUUCCCUAAUUAUUAUCACCUACUCUAUUACUAUCAUUCUUCGCCAUCAUAAUCUUCAUCAUGGCAACACCACCUCCGUUAUGGAAAACCAUUUCCUCUUCUAUAUCCACGAACACCGAUUCUUUUAUAGCCAGAACAACUGUUUUCUCAUCACCGCCACGAAAUCCGUAAUACUAUUUUAUUUAGUUAUUCCACACCAUUCAGUUUGUUCCAUACCAUUCAGUUUUUCCCAUUCUAUUGAUAUUUGGGUUAGAGAUUAUAUUUUCUUUUUGGUUUAAUGAUUAGUGUUUUAGGUUUAGUUUAUAAGAGGUUUGGGUUGACGUUGGGUAAGCAUUAUAUUUUUCCAUGUACUAUGCUAUUUUGUUUGUUACUAUUCUAUUUUGAUUUUGCUUCACAUUAUGUACUAUGUGCAUAUUUUGAUUUUUAGGUUAGGGUUUAUAUUUUCUUUUUUAGGGUUUAGUGAUUAGUAUUUUGGGUUUAGUUUAUGGAAGAUUUGGGUUAACGUUGGGGUAAGCAUUACUUAUUUCCUUACAAUCAUAUACAUUUCAAAAUUUGAACAAUAUGUACUAGACUAUUUGAUAUGUUCCAUUCUAUUUAUAAUGUCUCUUUCUUCAACCACAUUAAUUAUAUCGGUGAUCACCACAAACACCACCACAACCAUUGUAAUCUCUAUCAUGAAAGAUCACCUUUUUUCAUGUAUCCAAAUCCGCUUCAUUCUCCAUAAUCACUACCACCAUAGUUUUCACACCGUCGUUGUAACCAUCACCACAUCUUCCGUCCAUUGCCGUUGCAUAACCACCGCCAUCCAUCCUCCAUUGUUGCGCACCAUUGAUUUUCUUACCAACUACAGUCUUGAUCUUUUAGGUCCACAUAUUUUUCACCAUCAACGUCAUCACUUCUUUCUUCUUUCACCCGCAACUUGUUAUGAAAAAGGAUAAAACCGAAUGAAACUUGGAAAAAAUUGUUAGUGACUUAAUAAUGUCAAAAUCAUGGCUAGAUUCUUUAUUUUGCCUCCAAAAUUGGCUAUUUGGCAAAUUAACCCUUAAAACUUAAGUAGACAUUGAGAUUAUUUGGAAACUUGAAUUAAUGAAAUUUGUUUGGAAAAAUGGAUAGCAGUUUAAAAAAAAAUUUGUUUGUAAACAUGAAUAGUAAUAUAAAAAAAUAUAAUAUUGUUUGGAAAUAUGAAUAGCAGUAUAUUAAGAAAAAAGUAAUAGAUUUAUGUUAAUAAUAAAAAUUGGAAGUCCAUUAUAUUAUGAUAAACUAUCUAUUUGAGCCAACUUUAAAAUAUACGUAAAUUGAUUAAUCUAAUUACCUAAAAGCAUUUUUUUUGUCUAAAAUAAUCAUAAAAUAAAAUUUCAACUUAUUUCAAAUCAAAAUAAUAAUUUAAAAUUGAUUUAUAUUAAAAACUGAUUUAAAAUAUACAUAUAUUCAAAAUUUUAUUUUUACUAAAAUAUUUUCCAAUAACUAUUAUUAAAAUAAUAGUUUCAAUAUAUAUAAAAAUACAAUAAAAAGCUCAAUUUCAUAUACCAACUUAAAUUAUGGUUUUUAUAUUUCACAUUAAAUUUUAAAAAUAUUAUAUAUUAUUAUUUAUAUGAUAAUACAUAUAAAAUACUAUUAAUUAUAUGAUUACUUAUAUGAUGGUACAUAUAAAAUACGAUUAAUUAUAUGAUGAUAUAUAUAUGAUAUAUAAUAGUGACUAGGGGUGGGCUUUCGGGUAUCCAUUCGGAUUUGGUUUGGAUUUGUUUCCGGGGUCAAAGAUUUCAGACACAUUCAGAUAUUUCUAAAUUUUGGUUCAAAUUCUUUUCAGAUCUUUGCGGGUUCGGAUUCAGAUAACCUAUUUAAAUUAUUUAAAAAAAUUUAAAUUCAUUAUAUACUUUAAAUUUCUCAAAAUCAAUAAACAAAAUAAAAUAUCACAUAUGAAUUUGAAUAACAUAUGUUAGAAUACCUAAAUUUAACAUAUAAAUUGGUUUGUUUUAAAUAUUUGGAUUGAGAAUAAAUAAAUUUUUUAAAUAUUUUUGGAGUUUUGAGUAUACUUUAACUAUUUUAGAUAUUUAUUUUUGACUAUUUGUAGAUAUUUUCAAGUAUUUAAACCAACUUAAAAGUAUCAUAUGUAUUCUGGAUAUUUUUAUAUACAUUAAAUCUAAAAAUAAUUUAUAUGUAUAAGUAUUUAAACCUUUUUCAGAUACAUUUGAGUAUCUGAAAUACUUCGGUUCAGAUCAGAUUCAUUUUCGAAUCUCUAAACAUCAAAAUUUUGAAUAAUUUGGAUAUUUAAGCAAUUUCUGUUCGGUUUUGGUACUACUCUUUCGGAUUGGGAUCGGUUCGGUUCUUCAGAUUUGGAUUUUUUUUAUCUAGCCUUAAUAUUGACAUGAAAAACAAAUAGCAACAUAUUUUGAAAAAUACAUCUCCGCGAGCGCGCAGAGAUCAAAAUCUAGUUUUUAUCAAACAGUUUGUCAUUUAUGUGUUGUACUUACAAGAGAAAAAAAUAUACAUUAGUAUAGAACGAAGAAACAAUAAAAAUAUAAUAUAUUAGGAUCGGUCCGCGCAACGCGCGGAAUAUGCUUUACGUGUAUGAUACGCUCUACGUGUAAUUGUGUAAUGUAUUGACGUAUAUUUUGUAAAUUAUAGUUGUAUGUGUAUUAUAUAACAAAGUGAUAUAUAAUCACAUUAGAGGGUCUGUGUUUUUUAGAUAUUUGUCUUUUCUUUGGUUAUUUAAAAUUAGAUUGUUUUGGGCAUGAUUUUAUGUUUUUUACAAGGAUGGAAUCACAAAAUUUAUUAGGUAUAAUGAUUUUAUUAUAAAGCAAUUGCUUUUAUAUAUAUAUAUAUAUAUAACGCUAAAAGUUACUAUACUAUAAAUUUUGACUAAAUAACAUUAUUCAUCAUAUUAUUUCUUUUCAAUUGAAAACAAAAAAUCUUAUAUAUUUAUAUUAGUAUAAUAAAAUUUAUUGAUUUAUAACAAAUUAUGUUAUUAUAUAUUUUAAUAGGAAACAUUAAAUGAAUUUUUGUAAUCUUUUCAAUUGAUUCAAUGUAUGUAAAUUACAAAAUAUGAUAAAUACAUUUAAGAUUCAUUUCAAGUCAAUUUAUUUACAAUUUAAUUAAAAAUAUAGCAUAUAUAACUUUAAAUUUUUAAAAAAUAAAAUAAAAUAUGUAACAUACAUGUUGAUGAUAAUACUGAUUAUCUUAUUUUUUUUUCUUUUAAAUAAAAUUCAAGUCUUAAAAAUAUUGAAAUAAAUAUAUUUAUAUAACCUAAUUAAUUAAUUUUAUUAUUUGUUAAAGACCAUGUUGAAACAAUUUUUCUACCUUUAAAAAGUAUACAAUUUAUUUAAAAAGAAAGCCUAUAAUUGUUUAUUAAAAAUAUUUAUAGACUAAAUAUGGUGUAAAUAUAUUUUUCAAAUAAUAAGAGUAUGAGAUAUGAAAAAAAAUCAUAAAAUUUAAAGGAUUGUGAUAACAUGUCGAUUUAUGUUGUUUCAAUUGAUGUUGUGGCUUUAGAAACAGAGAUAUUGUUUUUUUCCAAAAACAAUAUGUAAUUUUUUUUUGUAGACUUUAUUAUGACACUUUCAAGUUGUCUGUAAAAUAUAAAUAUCAAAUUUGGAAUUAUAAAAUAUUUUAAGAAAUUUCCAAAAUUUUUAAUGUCCAAGCAUAAUACAUUAUUUAAAACAAUCGCAAAACAACCGUCUUUCGUCGUGCACAUGGAUGUAGAAUUACAUUCUUGGUUUACAGAGUCUAUAUGAGUCUGUAAAUGUUUGUUGUCAAAAAAAAAAAGUUCCAUUGGUGACAUAAGUGGGCCAUUAGUUGAUUUGUUUAAGUUUUUAAUCAGAGCAUUUUCUAAAAUUUUAGAGAAAAUAAAAAUAAAGCUAACAUGUCAUCCACUCGAAUGCAUCUUUCGCCUCUCAAUCUUUUAUGCCAUGGCAAAUUUCUCCGACACAGAACACCAUGUAAUCACUUUCAGUCUCCGGGUCCGAGUAUAUCUACUCGGAGGGACUAACCUCAUAAUCAGAACCCUCCACAGCCGCACAUGAAAGAAUAUGCCACUCAAUAUUCUUAUUCAGUUUAUAGUUCAUAUAUGCUCUUAGUUCAGAUAUGCUCUCUUGUAAUCUAGGAAGAUAUUAGCUGAUUGUAUCUAGUCUGUGUAUAUAAACACUUGUAAUCACACGUUAAGUAAGAUAAGAAAAUAUUCAAACUUUCAUUGUAUCAGAGCAAAUCUCAAUCUGGUACUUCUCUUCUUUGUUUUAUUUUCAAAAUUUUAUGUGAUUCUUCUGCUCUUCCUCGAUAUGUUAUCCACUUCAUCUCAGACGCCGGUGUCAAACAAACCCUAAUUUCCCGUCUUCUUGUAGUGAUCCACUGGUUACCGCCUCUCUUUCCCUGCAGUUCCUAGCCGCUUACAAUCUCUGCAACCGCGGCCGUCACAUCUGCCUAUCUCCUCUCUCGUCCCUGCAUGAAGAAAACGAAGAAAUCAUCAGCGUUGUCUAAGUGACGUGGUGGUUGUUUUGCAUUUGAUAUGGUUCUUCAAAUUUGGAUAUUUUAUCAGUUCUGGUUUAAUGUCUUACUAGAUUUUGACCCGCGCUUCGAAAGCGCGGGUUUUUUUUAUUAUAAAGAAAAUUUGAUAUGAAUUAGUAUUUUGUGAUUGUGCGUUAUUAGUUUAUUUGAGAAUUGGUAUGUAUAUAUUUUUUUUGUAACUCUUUUUUAGGUCUGAAAAUUUUAUCCGGAUCCAAAAAAAUCAACUGAAACCGAGUAAAAGAUAUAGGUCUGGUUCGGUUCCAGGUACAUAGCAAAUUACCUAUUGGGUAUGUUUUUGGACAUGCGAUCUCAGUUUGGGUCUGGAUCUUACCGGAGAACUCAUCGGGUACCCAAAGUAUGCGAAAUAUUUUGUUUAGAUUCUGUAUUUUUGGGUAUUUCGGAUAUGUUGCUGGUGUUACAGAUAUUCUUUUAACCUUCAAGUUUGGGUUUUCGGUUAUAGUUUUGGAUAAAUUUUCAAAAUUUAAAAUAUAUUUCAGGUAUUUGGAAAACUUUUUGGUUCAUCAAAUCUGAUUUCAGGUAAAAUUAGUUUUUUGAAUAUUUUUGGGUAUUUGUUUGGAUUUUUGGGUGUUUGUUCUGGUUUGGAUGUUUUCGGCUUUUGGGUACUUCAGGUUUUUUCAGACCGAUCCGGACCCGAUAGAUACCUGAAAAUUAUAGGUAUUUUGGAGAUAUUUAAAUUAUGGGUCCGAACCAACCUGGACCCAAAAAAACUAACCCAAACCCAGGCCAAAAAAAAUUCAAAUAUCUAAUUGGCUCCAAAUCUUUAGGACUCAAAGGAUCCAAAAUCAAAAAGAACCGCCCGUACCUAACCCAAUGACCCAAUACUCAAGGCUACUCUCUUUUGGCAUAUUUUUAGCUAACUGAAUAGUAUAAAUUUGUAGGGUUUUAAUAUUUUUAAAAAAUUUAUCUUAAAUAAUAUUUUUUAUUAUAAAUAUUUUCAUAAAAUUAUUUUUUCGUAAUACAUAUAAUUUUUUAACCGAUGAUUUGUUUAAUUUUUUUUUUAUCAAAUUUGAUUUGUGAAUAGUUGGAUAUAUUUUUGACAACUUUGAAUUACAUUAAAAGUGUUAAUUUUUUCAGUGUUCAAAAGUUUAGAUUUUGUUGAUAAGUACUUGUCGUAUAUUAAUAGUCAGGUUAAAGGUCGUCGUGAUUAUUGAAAGAUAAGUUAUAUCAAGGAUUACAAUGUUUAUAUCGAAAUCAAUAUAUGGUUCGCAGUCUUUUAAAAAAAUGAAUUUAUCAAGGUAUUAAAUUUAGUAAGAGAUAUUAAUAUGGUUAUGUGGAGGAUAAAAAGGCUUUAAUUGCCGUUAUUGUAUCUUGUAUUAAUAUAGCUAUUAAUAAAAAUGUUAGAUGGUUAGAGAAAAUAAAGGUAGGAUCAAAAAAUAUUAAUGAGUAGGUGCAACAAACCUUUUAUAAGUAGAUUUUUAGGAUGAUUUUAUUUUAAUAGUAUAGAUUAAAAUAUAUAAGGAAAGACCAAAAAAAGGUUAGUCUAAUAAAAGGGUCCAACAACCUUGUAUAAGUAGAUUUUUUUAGAAUGUUUUCCUUUUAAUAGUAUAGAUUUUAUUGAGGUUAUUUUCCUUUUUAUUUAUUCCUUUAAUGUUUUAAAUUAUUAUUUUUAGCGUAAAACACUAUGUUCAAAAAAUAGGGCAUAAAGCUGACUAAUUGACCGAUUAAGCGUGAAAUGGUAGGUGACCAUGGCAAAUUAGAUUAAUUCUGUUGUAUUCUGUAUAAUUGAAAAAAUGGUCUGAUUAAUGACGCAUAAUGUUUCUUAUUCCUCAGUGAUAUCUAAUUUGGCUCAAAUACAAACCAAUUAUGAUAUCCAAUUUUGUUCAACCCCAAACCAGUCGUUAAUUUUAAGCCCAAACCAAACCAUUUGAUGUAUAAUCUAUAUUAUUAAAAGAGAAGUACCCUUUAAAAAAUAUCCAUAAGUUUUCUAAUUUAUUUAUAUUUUCAUGCCACUGAGAAUUAAAGUAAACUACAUAUUUUAAUGAUUGUCUUUUCCAGUUAAAUUAAUGAGUUUUCUUUAAUCAAAUUUAAACUUAAUAUCAUUAAAUAAACCUACAUAUUUUAAUGUUUGUCUUUUUUCAGUUAAAUUAAUGAGUUUUUCUUAGUCAAAUUUAAACUUAAUGUCAUUAAAUGAACCUAAACAUACAUCAUAUUUUACGUAGCUUAUUACGGACGAGUACGGCUCAAUAAUGAACUUGAAUUUUAUUUUUAUGAAAACGUGAAUCACUUGACGUAUGUAAUAUUUAAAAUAUAUUAACUACAAUAUAACAAAUGCAUAUAACCUUCCUAUACUUUGGUUUGAAAUGACCUUGCUCAAGUUUUAUAUAGUCAACAUGCAUCAAUCGAUGUACAAUAUUCAAACCACCUAUAGUUUUCGUUUUUCUUAUAGGAUGUAUCAACCAACCAAUCAUCCUAUUGAUUUUCUAAGGGUGUGACUGGUGACCAUUCGGGAAACAACAGGAACGGAUAAAAAAUGAAUGUUCGGGAAUAAAAUAUCAAGAAUGAAAAGAAAUGGUUGUUCCUUAUCAAUUUUAACAAGGAAUACUUUUGUUCUUUAAUUCUCUACAAAAACAGGAAUGAAAGGGAAUGAAAGGGAAUGAGAAGGAAUUAUUAUUCCUUGUGAAUGGUGAUUUUUUUCAGGAAUGUUAGGGAAUGCAUUAUUCUUCGUUGUUCCUUGAUCACCAUUCAUACCCUAAGCUUUAUUAAAAACAAAUCAAUAAAUAUAAACUCAAAUAUCUUCUAUUAAUCAAAACAGAAUAUCUUCAAUGUCGUAUCUUUAAUGUACCUAUUAAAUAUAGAAACUGUAACCAUACUUACACUAAUUAUAAGAAUAUAUUUGAUUACAACCAAUUGAUAUAUUACUUCGGUAAUUGAUUUUCUUGCCGAAGAGGAAACAAUAAAUUUAAAAUUUGUAAGAAUAUAAAGAUAUAGAGAUUCCAACUAAUUGCCUAUAUUUGCGUAUGGUUUUCGCAUAAUAAGCUUGAAAUUGAACAUUGAAAGAGAUAGAGAGUUUUUUUAAUCUUUUAUCGACACGGGACUUAAACAAAAUGAAGAGUUAAAUGUGAUUUUUUGUUACACUUUCCGGAAAAAAACGGUUACAAAAUGAGCUUUCAUAAUAGGGGUUUUUGCCAAAACUAACCCACAACUUGAUUUUAAUCCCAAACAUAUACCCAAACUUGAAUCAAAUGCAAAACUAACCUAAAAGCCUAGUGAAAUUACAGCUCAGCCCCUUGUGACCAAACAAAAAAAACAGAAGCCAUUUUUACGAAUAUAGCCCCAGUAAAUCGUCUGAGUCGUCUGAGAUGUUGGAAGUCGUCUGGACGACUAAAGUGUAAGUCGUCUGGACGACUGAAGUGUAAGUCGUCUGGUACCAGUUUAUUUUAAAAAUAAUUUAUAAAUCUUGUAAAAAAAUAUUUUGAUGCGUAAAAAAAUAAAAAUCAAGUAAUUAUAAACAGUUUUAACUAAUAUAAAUUAAGAUAUGAUAAAAUUGAUUUGUUUUGAAGAUAGAUGAGUGAAAGUAGUGAAUCAUGAAAUACUUUGGUUUAGGAGUUUGGCAAACAUAUGUUGUAGUAUUGUAUGUAUUGUUAGGGUUAGAUUUUGGAAAACUAAAAUAUUUUUUUCAAAAAUUAGUUUUCACCUAUAUGUGUUUAUUUUUGUGUAUAGUAAACACUUUUCAAGUUUGAUUUGGUUUUAUGAAGUGUUUAAUUAGAUAAUUAAGUUUAGGGGUUAUGUUUAGGGUGUGGACGACUUAUAUUUCAGUCGUCUGUUGAAUAAUCUACCCGGACGACGUAUAUUUCAGUCGUCCAGACGACUUACUUGUAAGUCGUCCAGACGACUUACUUGUAAGUCGUCUGGAAAGUCUUCUAUUUUAGUUUCCCGCUAAAAAUAUUUAAUUUCCCGCUAAAAAUAUUAAACUCUUCUGGACGACUUACAUGUAAGUCGUCUGUUUUAAUUUCUUCACCAGACGACUGAAAUGUAAGUCGUCCAGGAAGUCGUCUGAGUCAAAAAUAUUUAAUCUAAUUGGAUUUUUUGUCUCCCUAUAAAAAGAAAAAUUUACACAUUCUCUCUCCUCCUCUCAAAUGGCUGCAACAAAAAUGUAAUGUUCAUCAUUCUAAAACUCUCCAACCUCUCUCUAAUCUCUUUGACUUGAAAACACCAAACUUUAUAUGAAUUUUUCAGUUUUGUCUCAUGUAUUUCUUACUAAUCUAUCUCUUUUGCAGGUUUUUAAUCAAAUGGUACUCAUCUUCCACUAAUUUAGAGGUAGAUCUAUUAAUUUUAGAUAUGUAUUUUUGUGUGUUCUAUAAAUGUAGAUUUAUCUAAUCUUCCACUCAUUUUCUCUAUUUUUAAGUCAUUUGAACGUUUUUGGAUAUGCAGGUUUUUCAGAUCUGGAUUUGAUGUGCAGGUUUUUCAGAUCUGGAAGACUUCUCGGACGACUUACCUGUUAGUCGUCUGGAAGUCGUCUGGAAGUCGUCUGGACUUCUUGGAAGUCUUCUGACAAAGUCGUCUGGACUUCCAGGAAGUCGUCUGGACUUUCAGGAAGUCGUCUGGACUUCUAGGAAGUCGUCUGGACUUCUAGGAAGUCGUCUGGAUUUUUCUGAGCGUUUUGGUAAGUUCUUAUGUCUGAUUUUUCUUCAUUUGGUAACUUCUUGUUGUAUAAAGUUCUUACUUUUUUCCCAAACUAAAACUCUCCAAACCCACUCUAAUCUCUUUGACUUGAAAACACCAAACUUUAUAUGAAUUUUUCAAUUUUGUCUCAUGUCUUUGUUACUAAUCUAUUUUUUUUUUUGCAGGUUUUUAAUUAGAUGGUACUCAUCUUCCACUAAUUUAAAGGUAGAUCUUUUAUUUUUAGAUAUGUAAUUUUGUGUGUUCUGUAAAGGUAGAUUUAUCUAAUCUUCCAUUCAUUUUUUCUGUUUUUAAGCCAUUUGAACGUUUUUGAAUAUGCAGGUUUUCCAGAUCUGGAUUUUAUAUGCAGGUUUUUCAGAUCUGGAAGACUUCUGGGAUGACUUACUUGUUAGUCGUCUGGAAGUCGUCUGGAAGUCGUCUGGACUUCCUGUAAAGUCGUCUGGAAGUCGUCUGAACUUCCUAUGGCAAAGUCGUCUGAACUUCCUGGAAGUCGUCUGAACUUCCUGGAAGUCGUCUGGACUUCUUAGAAGUCGUCUGGACUUCUUAAAAGUUGUCUGGUCUUGUCUACUCAAGUGGAAUCCAAGCUUGUCUUUGUAGAUGAAUGAUCUAUAAUAGUUUUGUUUGUGGUCUGUUUUGUGAAUUGCAUGUAUACUCUUUUAGUUGUGAAUUUUUUUGUAAAAUCAGUAAUAAUGUUUUCCAAGAUGUAUUAAAUGUGCUAACAAUGUGUUUACACAUUUACAAAUCAAUGAAAUAAUAGACUUCAGUAGCCUUUUUCUUAUCUUUGGAUCUCUCAUAUGCAAUAAUAAACUCCAAUGGCCUUUUUUUCAUCUUAAUAAACAAGAAUGUUGGUAAGAGAUGGAAACAAAUAAUAGUAACUAGUCAAAACAUAUCAUAUUUUUUAUAAGUUUGCAUUGAAAAACUUAGUAAAAUUUAGUAAAACUAAGGGAGAGAACAUAUUUUGUAAAUAUGAGUUUUACAUAUCUUGAAGUUACUUAUCACUCUUAAAAAUACAAGUUAUUCAAAAACUAACGUAGAAGACUUAAAAACUAGUGGAGAAGACGCGGACGACUUCAAUCUAAGUUGUCUAGACGACUAAACUAUAUGUCGUCUGGUCAACGCAGAGGUUAUUUUUGCAAUUGACUUUGAAAUCUGUUAUUUCGGACGACUGAAAGUUAAGUCGUCUACUAUUGUUUGGUUAAAAAAAAAACUCCAAAAAAGCUAGACGACUUACAUUUCAGUCGUCAGAGGUUAGUUUUGCAUUUGACUGGAUUAUUUCAGAAGUUUGACUUUUUGGACGACUUACAUUUCAGUCGUCUAGUGAAAAUUAAAAUAAUAAUAUUUUUUUAAAAGUAGACGACUUACAGUUAAGUCGUCAUAGGUUAGUUUUGCAACUGAAAAAAAAAACUUCAAGAUUUAAUUAUAUACAGACGACUUAUAAUUCAGUCGUCCACGAGACGACUGAAAUGUAAGUCGUCCAGGAUUUACGAGGUUUGACCAGAAUCUCGGAAAAAAGUCCUAGACGACUUACAAUUAAGUCGUCUGGUGGACGACUGAAUUAUAAGUCGUCUGUGUAUAAUUAAAUCUUGAAGUUUUUUUUUUCAAUUGCAAAACUAACCUAUGACUACUUAAUUGUAAGUCGUUUACUUUAAAAAAAAUAUUAUUAUUUUAAUUUUCGCCAGACGACUGAAAUGUAAGUCGUCUGGAGAAGUCAAACUUCUGAAAUUAUCCAGUCAAAUGCAAAACUAACCUAUGACGACUGAAAUAUAAGUCGUCUAGGUUCUUUGGAAUUUAUUAUUAAUAAAAUUAUGAAAUUAUUUACAAUUUGAUGACUAAUUCAUCACCCUUUUUUAUAUGUUAAAUUUUUCGUAUAAGUUUAAAAAUCAUUGUAUUUUCUUUAAACAUGUAUAAUUAAUUUAUAAUCUUUUAUGCCAUACUAAGUCAUAAUAUAAUAUUUCUUCAUAUUUUACAUUAUAACCAUUGUUUUUUAUAUAUCAUCUACAAUUCUCUAAUUACGUCUGUUUGUUCUAUUUUUUAUAUGAUAUUAAAUAUUCGUCAUAAAUAGAUGGUUUAAGAUGCCAAAAAAUUAUUUACUUGGUGAAUAUAAUAUAUUAUAUAUUACAAAUACAUCAUUUAGUUAAAUAAAUAACCAAAAACUGGAAAUUUAUAUCCUCGCUGGCGCGCAAGUCAGGGUCUAGUUAUAUUUUUUUUUCAUAUAAACAGAUAGUAUACAUGCAAACUUUGUAUUACACAUAUAUAUUAAAUAGCAUAACAAAUUUCUUCCCGCAUACUUUUUAUUCCUUCUGUAUUUUUAAUAACUUGAUAGAUUUUGGUAUGCCGCAUCACUACUAUAUAAAAGCUACUAAUUUUGAGGCUUCUUAGGUGUGCCACAUAGGACAAAAUAUUCUCCACCAAUCAAACUGCCACAUCAUCGCGAAUGUUUAGAUGAUGGGUCUCAAACCAUCCAAACCCAUCAAAAUAGUCAGUCCAUUCUAUAACUUAUAGCUUCCUUUUCCUUAGCCUACUCGCCUCAGACGUCUCUAGUGACUCCAAAUCUGUUCGUCUACCCAACUUCACCGGUGUAACUCCUACGACUACAACAAUGGCACUUCAAUGCUCCAUUAUAACUCAUCAAGUGAAGACUCUUUGUACCUCUCCACAUCCCUCCUCUUAAUCUAACGAUGGAUGGAUUUUACGUGAUCGUCUUGACUGGGGAUCAUCUCUUUUAGAGAUGGCAUGACCGAGUUUAGAGGCAGAAGCAAUGAUACCAAACGCAUGCUUAUGAGAUCAUGGAUGUAAGCAACAAUAUCAAAUAGUUGGCCUCGAAAAAUAGUUUACAGAAUUCAUUUGUCUUGCUUUUUGUUAUCCCAAUCACAUAGGACAUGAUAGCAUAUCUACACCAUAUAAUUUUUUCAGAUUAUCAUCUAUCAUAACUCAAGUUAACAAAACAAAUUGAUGGGUCAUAUAGACCUAUUAGUUUUCAGUCGUAAUAGUAUUAUAUUUUUUUUUAUUUUUAAAUUAUGUAUUGUAAAUUAUAAGAUAGGAAAUUAAACAUGGCUGAUUUGAAUAUAAGUAUUAAAACAAAAGUUUCAUUUAAUAAUAUUAGAAAUUUAAAUUUAUAUCAUUAUUUAAGUUUUAAAGUCUAAUAUUUUUAACAUUAUUUUAAUAAUAUAUUUUUGUAAACAAUCACAAACCAUUUGACAUCUUUAAUCUUGAAUGAGACCAUCUUCUCUUUAUUUCCAUGUUUUUACGAGUUUAAUCUUGUAAAAUUCACCUAUAUCAAAUGACGUACACUUCUUCUAUGGCGAAGCUGUUACUGUUACUAUUAACUACAUGGAAUUGAUUUAGUGAAAAAAAAACUAAUGGAAUCAUUAAUUUGAUUUGUCACAAAAAGUCAGUGCAUCAGAUAGUUUUUGAAAUUCAAAUAAUAUACAAACAUAUAAAAUAAAUUAUUCCAAAUUGUUAUAAAAUAAAUAGUAAUGUGUUAACUAAAAGAUAACUUAAAUUAUAUCCCCAAACUAAAACUGAAUAUUUAAUCUCAAAAUUUUAGUGAUACAAUUAAUUAAAAAUAAAUCAAGCUAUUAAAUUAGAACAGUUUGUUUUAUGGGCUAAAGAGGAAUACCAAUUUUGGAACAAAAGAAAAAUCAAGUUAUUGUUUAUUUUAAUAUUUGAUGAUUACAAGUGUUUUGGAUCAAAAAAGGUCAAAUACUAUUACCAUAAUAUUUUUCAUAUAUUAAAAUAGUGUACAAAUUAAUAAUUAACACCACUUUAAAUAAGAACUGAUUAGAAAAAGUUACAAAAAUCUAAUAUGAGACAAAAUGAUAAAAAACAAUGUGAAGUUCUUCAAUUCAAGAAAUCGCAAUGAAAAAAAUUAAAGUAAUCAUCUGUUUUAUUAUCUUUUACAUUCUAUGAGUUAUAAGAGAAAUACUGUAAAAAUUUCAAAUAUAAAAAAAUUUUAUAAAAUCUUAUAAUACACACAAUCUGCGCGUAGCGCGGACAAAAAGAUCUAGUAUACCUUAGCGAGUUUCCGUACAAACUAAAAUGAAAUGAAUUGGUUAACAAAAUAUUUUGGUAUUAGUAUAGAUUAUAUUAUUACUUUUUAAUUAUUUGGAUGUGAUAAAAACAUAAUGAAAACAUUUAUAAAUUUAUAGAUCUUAAAUUUACUGCUAUAUAAAAACUUAUAACGGUUAGAAGAUAUAUUAUGUUGUACUACUAACUCAUUUUAAAAAUUAAUAUUAUUCUCUUAGGAAAAAAAAUAUUAUUACUAUUUGUUUGUGUUAGCUACAUACUUUUGUUUGGGUCACUGAGACGAUUUUGUUCACCAAUCCCUCGAUAAACAAAACACGAUGUGUCAUUUUCAAGGGUGAAAGACAACACGUAGUUCGUUUUCAUGGAAUACUCGAUUUAAUAUUUUCUUUUUUUUAUCAAAUAAUAUUUUCAUUUUUUUGAUCAAAUAAUAUUUUCUUAUAAAAGUUUAUUAGUUCUAUAAAAAUAAUUGUCAUAAAGUGGUUUUAUUUUAUGAGAUUUAUUCAAGUUACCAAAAAAGAAAAAGAUAGAUUUAUUCAUCAAAUCUAUAUUUUCUUAACCUCUUCAGAUCUUCUUUAUUUUUCGAUGUUUACUUAAUUUCUUUUAUACAUUUUUUUUCCUUUUCCUUCAUUGAUCAUACAUCAUAUGUCUUACUAAAGUAGAAGUACUUUGAGUUUUUGUUUGGCAAAAUCGAUAACAAUUAAAAAAAUAAUAACGUUUAGAAACAUGAAUAGCAGUAAGUUAAGAAAAAAAAAGUAAUGGGCAUAUGCUAUUAAAAAAAAUUAGAAGUCCAUUACAUUAUAUUUAAAAGUAAUGGUUUUCUGUUAAUUGAUAUACAUAUUCAAAUCAAAAUAAUAAUUUAAAAUUGAUUUAUAUCAAAAAUUCAUUCAAAAAUAUACAUAUAUUAAAAUUUUGAUUUUUACUUACAUAUUUUCCAAUAACCACUAUAAAAUGUUUUCAAUAUAUAUAAGAAAAAUACAAUACAAAGCCCAAUUUCAAACACGAACUUAAAUUAUGGUUUUUAUAUUUCACAUUGAAAUUUAAAAAUAUAAUAUAUGUGAUUAUUUAUAUGAUUGUACAUAUAAAAUAUUAUUAAUUAUAAGAAAACUUAUUUGAUGGUACGUAUAAAAUACGAUUAAUUAUAUGAUAACACAUAUUUUGUAACAUAUGGUGACACAUAUAGGAUAUAUAAUAGUGAUUAGGGGUGGGCUUUCGAGUUCGUCUUCGGGUCUGUUUGGGAUUUCGUGUUUAGUUCAGAUCUUUGAGGAUUCCGUUUAUAUUUGGUUUAAAUAUUAGGAUAGAGAAUUAAUAAUUAUUUAAAUAUUUUUAGAGUUUUGAGUAUAUUUUGAACUAUUUUAGAUAUUUAUGUUUGAUUAUUUGUAUAUAUUUUUAAGUAUUUAAACGAACUUGAAAGUACCAUAUAUAUUCUAGAUGUUUUUAUAUAUAUUAAAUCAAAAAAUAAUUAAUAUAUAUAAUUAUAUAAAUCUAUUUUGGAUAUCCAAAAUACUUCGGUUCAUAUCGAAUUAGGUUUUAGUUCUUCAAAUACCAAAAUUUUGAAUAAUUCGAAUAUUUCAUCAAUUUCUGUUAGGAUUUGGUACUACUUAUUCGGAUUGAGAUCGGUUCAAUUCUUCGAAUUUGAGUUUUUUUCAACCUUAAAUUGUGACAUAAAAAACAAAUAGCAUCGUAUUUUUUAAAAAAUACAUCCGCGUGGACCCGCGGAUCAAAAUCUAGUUUCCUUUUAAAUCCAAAAGUUAGGGAUUAGGGUUUUUGGGUUUAAUUGGAUUUGGGGAUUAGAAUCAUUUCCGUUUUAACUCAUUUCUGUUUAUAUGACUGAUUUCAUUUCACCACUCGGGAGUAUAGAUAUGAAUCUCUUCUCGGUUGCUUAGCUCUCUGUCUUUGUUGCUUCUAAGUCAAAGAUUUUGAAAUGAUGAUUUGUCUUGCAGCUCAUCAUGGAUGGAGCAGUUAUCUGAGCCAGGACAAGUACAAUAUGAUCAAGAUGGGGUUGGAUGUGAAGGGUUGGAGAGUGGUGGAUGUUCUUUCUCCACAGAGUAUGAUUCUCGGGAGCAAGACUAUAGCUUUAGCAUGGGGUAGUUAGAGGAAUCGAUUGAUAACGAUUGUAGAUCAUCAUUCUCCUCUUUCUAACCUGUGGAUAACAACAAUGUACCGCCAACUUCUGGUUUUGGUGGGUUUUAUUUUGAUGGGGAACAACCUGAAUCAACACUCCCAUCUAUGCCAAGCUUUACCUUCUUUAGUCCAAGCCCCGCGACAACACUGAACAACAACACUCAUGAAACAGAUGAGAAACUUCGAGGUACUUCCUCCUCUUCCUUUCUUCCUGGAUUGCUAUUUAUAGUUUACAUACCUUCUAUAAAUGGCAAAGCCAUGAGCUCAAACCUGGGAACUAAACUUUAGUAGAAGUUGAAAUCUGUUCUGCUGAUAUUAGUGGAUAACUUUGGUGGGAUCAUUUCUGUUUAACUUGUUUUCCGGUUGUUUCUUCACUAAAUUUUUGUUUCUAAACCGACCAGGUGCCUUGUAUGCCUUUGGUCGGAUCAUUUCUGUUGAACUCAUUUCCGUUUAUAUGACUGAUUUCAUUUCACCACUUGUGUUUAUCUCCUCAUGUUUACUGAAGAAAUGUUUUAUAUCCAUGCUAAUCAUAAGGUGUUCUCUUGAUGCCAAGGAGUAAGCAAGAGUUCAGUGAAAAUAACAGCGCGAGUUGAGGAAAUCCAGUGCUGCUCACUUACCCUGAAGUCAUUGACGCUGCAGUCAUCCCGUAUGUCUUUUGUACCAGAAACAAUCUUAAGUGAUUAGGAUUACUUGUGCAAGUUGAUUAACCAUCUAUAACCAUCUAUAGCCUACUUCUAUAUGCAAAUAUGUGUAUAGCCUAUUUAGACAAGCCAAAAACUAUUAUCAAUUUAGGUAAGCCUACAUAUAAUUGAAAUUAAUUUUCGGUUUUGACAAAAAUAGGUAGGGGGAUAAUACUUACCUUAUUAUAAAUUACUUGCACAAGAUUAUUACUUAAUUCGGGUAUUAAUAACUUUUCUUAUUAUUCAAAAAGUAAACUUGUGCAAGUUGAUAUCAUAUUUAUUACAUUGUUUAAAUGCAAUUUCUAAUUAGCUUGUUGAGGGAACCGAAAUUCGCACUGUUGAUUUCCGUUUAAAUUAGAAAACUAGGAAAACCCUAAUUUCUCAGAGGUCCCGGAGAUCUGUUAAUACCACACGCCAAGCAAUCAGAAUACGAAAUAAAGACGAGAAAAGUAAGAAAUCGAAAAGAGAGAGCAAAGUAGAUCUUAUUCCGAAUUCGCGUUUGAGCGUUACAACAAGGUAAGAGCCAGGGCUACGAGAGCUGUCAGCGAGAUUCCUAGUUCUAAAACCCUAAGACGGCAAUAACCUAAUUGAGUCGCAGCUUGAAUAACAAAAACGGAAAUAUGCCUAUAUCGCUCUAAGUGCUAAUUUUUCUCUGAAAAAGUCUCUCUCCAUGCCUCUCGCCUAGGACUCCUUAUAUACUCGCUCCUAGGUUGGUUUACGCUUUUUCUCUUCAGCCCUUAAGCCGUCAUAGCAUCAAAAUGGAGAUAUUCCAUUUUUUCCGAUCUUCGUAAUUAUCUUCAAAAUUUCAUAUUUAUCCGCGGAAACUUGACAUUUAUCUUUCCUUGUGAACCAAGCGUAAACCGUUAUGCGGCUUACGGGCCGUUGGUUAAGAAAUCGUAAGUUGGGCCUCGAGUCAUGUCUUAGGUCCCUUUGGGCCGUCUUUUGACUCGAAGCGUUUAUUACGAUUUCCGACAACUUAUGUUUGAUCCAAAAAGUUUUAUCUCGAGAACGUACGUUGUGACGCUCCCUUUGGGCCGUCUUUUGACUCGAAGCGUUUAUUACGGUUUCUUUCGAUAAAGAACGAACUUUCCGCGGUUUUUCCGCAAAGUUUGAUCGAUGACUUCGAAUGGCGGAAAACAUGAAAUGGGUUCGAUACGGUCUUCGGGAGAUAGCAUCGAAGGGUAGACGAGAAUGCAUGAACUUGUGUCGUAUGGACGUUUCGGAAGAGCUCGGUCGCUACGCAGCGACCGAAUGGAACUCGCGCUCGGUCGCUACGUAGGGACUGAGCGGGACAGAUGCUUGGUCGCUACGUAGCGACCGAGCUUUGCUUGAGAUUGGUCGCUACGUAGCGACCGGAUAGUGUGCAUGUGCGGUAGUCAUGUAGUAACUGAGCUUGGUCCAUCCGUGUUCCGAUCGUCAUACUCGAACCUAUCCGUAGCUGGUUUGGGUACGUUUCCGACAACUUAUGUUUGAUCCAAAAAGUUUUAUCUCAAGAACGUACGUUGUGACGCUCUCUUAAUCCGAGCAUGAUUUUUGGCGGAAAGACAUACUUGUAUUUUGCGGAGAUUUGGACGUUAACUUCGUCGUAACCGUUUUUUACCCCAACAGUUAGCCCCCCAGCCCGUUAGAAUCGUGGAUUUCUAGUGAGAUUCUGACGCGGUAUGGCGAGUUCGGACGAGAUUGGUGUAUUUAGGCGAAGUUUGUGUCCGAAAAUCCGAAUGUAAAUAGUAAUUUCUCAUACCUAUAAGAAGGGAGGUAACUUCUUCACAACUUUUUCACUUGCUUAUCCUUAUUGAGAAUUCUUUAAAAAAAAAUUUCCUUUUUCUCUCUAUCCUUUCCUUCUUGAUUCUCAAAAUAAAACGAAAUGUCGAGUAAGAAAAGGACUUCGAAAAAAGGAUCCUCGUCCGCAAACGUUCAUGAAGAGCUCCUUGUACUGAAGGUAGAGUUCGUGCCUCAUUCGGUAGACCCGGCUGAGAAUGAGGCAUAUUGGGUUGCGUGUUAUGGUUCGAUCACACCUUCCAAAGAGAAGUCGUUCCCGGUCAUGAACCGUCGCUUGGUCGAGGAAGAUGCGCCAAGUAGGAGCACUAGUGAAUUUCUCGAGAUCAUGCGGUCGUUCUAUAAGAUUUCGGAUGCGGUGGAAUUCCGGGUUCCUCGUCAAGGAGAGCGUGCUAGUAGUCCCCCGGAGGGUUACUUUACUUGUUAAAAAGGAUUCGUAGUGCAAUGUCACUUGUGGUUCCCGAUUCCCGAAAUUAUUGUCCGUGUGUUGUAUCGUUUCGAGGUGGCGAUAAGCCAACUGAAUCCCCUUGGCAUCCAGCACCUCAUUGGAGUCCUGAUCCUGAGCUACAAGCAUGGUCUCUCCCUUACCGUUGACCACUUUGAAGCGCUUCUCAGGUUACAUAUCGUCAAGGAUACAUACAAGUAUAGGCUGGUCCCUCGGAACUUCAUGUCAGCGGUUAAAGGGUUUACGCUGCGUCUGUCGAAGAGAAUUGUAUUCCACUGUUCCGGAGGUUGCCGACCAAUCGUCCCUUCAUCACUCCGCUUUCUCCGUUCCCCGAGGAUAUUAUUGCAGUGAGGGACCUUCUUAGGAAUGGUCCGUUUUUCUGGACUUUCUUUACGCCGAAGCGAGUUCGAAAGGCGUUGAGGUUUGUGCAUCCCGGUCCUGUUUCGGGCGUGGAAAAUGAGCGACUCCGAGCCCGAUGACCAAGGUUCCGACGCUGCUCCCACGGUUGCGACGGGGUGGAACUCUUCGAAGGGGAAAUAUAUUGACCUUGGCGACAUAGAGUUUUCGGUGGAUGAUUCUAUGCUCCCAGGAUGGGAUCCAGACCUUGCUUACGGCGACGGAAGCGGUACGAGCGAGGUCCCUAUGCCGGACUUCGACGAUAUCUUUGCUGGUCUACCCUCGGGAUUUGAUGCUCCUACGCCUACGAACGAAUCGGGGAGACCGAAAGUCGUCGCGGAAGGGUCUCGCAUCAUCAACGGGGUUAGUUUUUCAAAAAUUUUGGCGAUUACCUUAAGUAUUUCUUUUUCCGCUUACAACGUGUUAAUUGGUUUUGCAAGGCCUGAACUUGCUUGGCUCGGCCAUUGAGGCGAGCCAUAGAGAAGCCAUGGUCUACCGCUUUAAAGCGGAGAAGGCAGAAAGGGAUCUUGCUCGCAUGCAAGGCAAGAUGUUGGAGCGAGAUGCUCAACUCGCUCGUGAUCAUGCGAGGGCUGUUCGCAAGGCGGAACGGAAGGGAAAGAGGGAGAUCAUCGAGGUGAUGAAGAAUCGCGCCUCUCAAUUCCAGAUCGAGUAAGGGAACCUCAGGGAUGCCUUCACCUCGGUGGGCGAUUUCCGUGAGUGUCGCGGUUCAGUCGGGAGCCUUUGGAAGACGCAGGCGGACGACUAUGUUUUUGAGAAGGAGAUGGAGUUAAUGAAGGGCGGCAUGAAGGAUCAUGCUCACGCUGAGGCGCUCAUUCCUCCGAUCGACGGGAGGAUCCAAGGAUUCUAGGAUCCCAUCCCGGCUUCUCCCGAUACUGUAGAGACCACGACCGAGUCUCCCGGUGAUUGCGAGGAGGUGGAUCGUCCUGCAGAUGCGUUUGGAGCUUCGUUGUUCGAGAACUUUUACUUUGAACCUUGAGAGGUGUAGUGAUCAUCCAGAGGAGGUUGUUUAUUUAUCCUGCGUUUGUUUCCGAGUAUGGCUUUUAUUUGUCUUUUUUUUUUUGCCGAGUGUGGCUUUGAUUUCGAGACAUUGUAUGGGCCUGUUUUGGCCGUUUUAUCGUUUACCGGGACUGGCCGUUGGUGGCUUUAAAUCCCUACCGCUUUAUGCGGUCUUUAUACGAUGGGCGUUUUAUUUUGAAUUGUUUUGAGUAAGUUUGAAGUAAAUUUGAGUUGUCGUCUCAUAUUUAAUUCCGUUGAGACGUUCAAUCUGUCGGUUCGUUCGUGACUUUUCGUAAAAAUUAUUUAUUCUUACAACUUUCGGGAACGUUGAGAUACGAACAGAGAGACAUGGUGUAGGAUCUCGUAUCGUUUAGAUAUCAUGUCUUGAGAUGUCUGAGACCAAUGCGAUGAGUUUAGGGCAAGACCUAGGUUUAUUCUCGGUUAAAGGUUUGUGCGGUGACUAGCCGGCUAUCGAUUUUCCUGUUGUGAUUUCUACCUGAUUCGUACCGAUUUAAAGUCCGCGAUAGGUUCUCGGCUUAUAUGACUUGUAUGGUAUAAAUCGAGCAUCUUUCCAGAGAUAAUUUUUAAGCCAACUGGAAGUGCUAGACCAAAAUUUUGGAUUUUUUUUGUAGCGCGCUUUCGUCCUUGUGUUGGACGUUCGAAGAUCAAAAGAGUGAUCAAGUUGCGUUUGUUUAAGACGGCUGGCCUGUUCGUCGGGGCCAAUCAACGAACGGGGUGUAAGGUUUUUGUGGUCGCGGUCGGAUCAUCUCGAAUUUUAACUUGGCGACGUCUCGCAGUUGUUUUGAAGACUAUACGUAUAUCUUAAGUGCUGAUGAAUGAUUAUUUUGCGAUUUUGGGCCGGAUGAGGCCGCUGACAAGUCUUAACGUUUGUAGAUUUUUUAGGCGUGUCCUGAGAGUUUUGCGUUAAUUGAAGCACAAGUGUUUUUAUUAAAAAGGAGCAACGCAUAUUGUAGUAAAAAAUUUCUAAAUCUCUUAAAAACUCGAUUACAAUAAUGCUUCUUUUCCUAUGUGGGAGUAUACGAGUAUACGUACCCACUCCCCCCCCCCCUUUUUAGAGAGGGGGAUAGCUAAACUCGUCUUUCGACGAGCUGCCUACGUAUCUCUUUCAAAGAUCAAGCCAUCUCGUAGUUCUGUUUUAUGCUGCGAGCGUUUUUACUCGGCGGUUGUCGCCGUGCUGACCGCCUUGAUCCCGAUGACCGUGGCCGGGUCAGUGUUCUUUUCCAGAUGUUCCGGUUGGGUUGUAGUGUCGGCUUCAGACUCGUGUUGAGUUCCAAUGUCUGAAGCAUUUGCGUCAGCAGACGAUGUUAAAUCGUCUUUCCUUGAAGCAUUUUUGGCCGAAGAUUGAUCUAUCUUCGUGCACUUGCGAUUUGCCGUUGCAGAUGUCGCUAUUUGCCUUAACUUGUGCUCCACGAGGAAGCAUAGCCGCGACUGUUUAUGACAUCCCCAGAUAGCUGCGACUCCGUUUGGGGUUGGGAAUUUGACGCCGAGGUGGUACGUUGACAGAACGGCUUACAUGGCGUUGAGCCAUGGGGUUCCCAUGAUCACGUUGUAGAUAGCGGGAUGAUCGACUACCGCGAAGUCGACAAUUUUCGUGAUCUCCUUGGCCAUGACUGGCAAUUGGAUUGAUCCGAGAGUCAUCGACACUUCACCCGAGCGUGAGUGGUUUCGGCGUCGGAGUUACUUCUCCGAGUUUGAUGCUCAUCCGAUUGAGAGUGUUGCGGAAGAUUACAUUGAUCGUGCUUCGCGUGUCAAUGAGUAACCUUCCAACUUGUAGAUCUCGUAUGAUGAGAUCUAUGACGAGCGGAUCGCAGUGAGGUGAAGGUGAUCGAGCAAUUUUGACCGUCUCGGGGAGGAGACCAUGUAGGCCAGUUUGCACUCGACUCUGCCUUCCGCUGGUAAGCCUUGAUGGCCGAAACCGUAUCGUUGCAGUAUUGCGAUCCUCCGAUGAUCAUAUUGACUCUGCGACGAUUGUUAUCGUUUCCCUUGUCGUCCGGCCUUCUGCCGCGUUUAUCCCCGGAUUGGUUUCUUUGAGGGGAUUUCUCCGCGGGCGGAUUUAUGUCCGUCUUCGAGGGGGGGAUCUGUCUCGAGGAUGAUCUUUCACACUGGUCACUUCCGAGAGCUCGCCAGCUAGUAGCUUUGCGGCCAGCCUUGCUCCCAAGACUUUGCAGUUAGUCGUGGAGUAUCCUCGGGACUGGUGGAACUCACAAAAGGUGUUUUCGUCAUAUCAUUGAUUGUGAGUCCAUGUAUUACCCGUGGUUCGGCCUUGGUCCGAACUAAUCGCGUAAUUGUCCGCUCCUUGGAGAUCUUCCCCCUCGUGAUGGACAUACUUGUCGUUACGAGAGUUCUUCUUCUUCGUUUUCGGAUCUACGUCUUUUGAGGAUGGUCUUGCAGACUUAUGUUUUUGCGAUAAGACUUUCGUUUCUUUCUCGAUUAUGAUGUAGUCCGUUGCUUUGUGGAGGGCGUCCUGGAUCGUCCGCAGUUUGUCGAGGGUUAUCCAUUUUCUUAAUUUUGACUUGUACCAGAGCGUCUUUCUGAGCGCGUCAAUGGCCACUUUGUCGCUUAUCCCGCUGACCCUGAACAUUACCAGAUUGAAUCGGCUGAUGAACUCGCGGAGGGGUUUGUCUUCCCUCUAGGACAGACUCCAAAGAUCGACAUCAGAAGUUUCUCUAUCUAUGAACAUAGAGUAUUGUUUGAGAAAUUCCGAUGCGAGCUGUAGGAAACUCCCGAUGGAGUUUUGCUUAAGGCGUGCGAACCAUUCGAGGGGUGCUCUUUCCAGAUUCUCGACGAACAGGCGGCAGUAGCCGGUGUCUUUUUCGCCAUCCUUCAGUCUCGCUCUUCCCAUCGUAAUGUGGAAAGCCAGAAGGUGCGCCUUCGGAUCGGUCAUACCAUCAUAUUUUGGUACUUUGAUUUUUCCCAGAUCGGAAACCUUCAUAUCUGAGAUGUGAGUGGUGAAGGGGGUCUUCCGAGCCCCUUCCAGCAGCAUGUCGAUCUUGGGGGCAGUGCUAGUAGCGUGAUGUAUUUGGGAUUUCACGGCUCUUACUUCUGCCGCAGUCUUGGUGAUAUAGUCGCAAAGAUUGCGGAUAUCCAACGUCUCGUCAGCAGAUUUCUGAGCCUGUCGGCGUUUACUGCGAGUGAGCUCGGUUUGCUUUUCAGCCAGCUCUUCUUGUUCGUUCCAAUAGAGGAUUUCCUCCUCUUCUGUCAUUGGUUUGUCGAACGGAGAGCUUUCCCGAGCAGAUCGGCUUCUGGUCCUUCUUGGAUGUCUGUUGACGUCCUCAUCAGUAUCUUUGGAGACAUUGCUAGGAUCCAGGUCGACGUGCUCGACUUCGUCCGAAUCCUUCGCGGGAGGCGGAGAACUUUCAGGGUUCCCCUUUUUGGUGGGAGAUUUUUCGCUAGGGUUUUGACCCGAAGGUCGUUCCCGCGCGGCUUUAGGCCUAUCGAGUGGGGUGGCGAAGUCGAGUCUUUUCCUGCAGACUUUAGUGGUUCCACGGGGACGGAUUGCUGGAGUCCUUGCCGUUAAGGUUUCAACCUGUUUGGUCAAGGUGCUCACGAGCCUGUCCUGUUCUUCCGAUCUUUUUUCGUAGGUGGCGAACAUCUUUUUAAACUCCUCGAGCGCCGCGGCAUUGGCUGGUGCGUUGGCCGCGGAUACGUCCGCUGUUGGAGUGUGGAGAUCAGUGCCAUUGCCUCCAUUAAGAGGAGUCUGCUCGUUAUAUCGUCAGUUGACAUGUCUGGUUGAGCGUUAUGUGGUUGAGAACGUACGUUGUGACGCUCUCUUAAUCCGAGCACGAUUUGUUGCGGAAAGACAUACUUGUAUUUUGCGGAGACUUGGACGUUAACUUCGUCGUAACCGUUUUCGACCCCAACACUUGUUUGUUUUAAAAUCAUAUCGUCUGCAAAUCACUUUAUGACAAUACAAAUUUAAUAUCUUUCUUUAAACGAUUUCAUUAUUUAUAUGAAAAAUAUUUCAUUGCUCGAUUGUUAUCAAAAUUAAAUCCUUAUAUAUAUAGUCGAUCCCCAAAGUCUUAAAAUACAAACAUUCUUCUCUUUUGCUAACAACUUUUGAAAAGAAUGGCAUUGGUUCAAGCCCCAAAAAAUACUGUUUCUUAUAUUAGAGAACUAAAACCGCGUAAAGAUACGUUGUGAAUUGAAGUUAGGAUUAUUCUCUUGUGGAGAAACUAUGACAAAGAAUCAGGAAACACCAUUGAAAUGGUUUUUGUUGAUAAAGAAGUAAGUGAAGAUAUUACUGCAUUUUCUUACAUCUCAGAUUCGUCUUUUAUUUUAUUUUUACUAUACAAUAAACUCAAGUUUUUCUUGGGAAAAAUACUGUUUCAGAUCUACUUAUUCUGCUUUCACCGAACUCUUAUCAUUUAUUUUUUCUAACUCAUAACAUUUAUAUGGACAAUCAGGAGACAAGAAUUCAUGCUUCAGUUGGUGAACAGCUCAUCAAAAAGUAUGAAGAUAAGCUACAUGAGGGAGAUGCGAUUGUCGUCCAGUUGUUCAAAGUGUACGAUGCUUUUGGUGACUACCUUACAACCACACAUCCGUACAAAAUUGGCUUCUUCCCAACAACUUUGUUGGAAAACCUGAUGAGUUUCCAAGUGAAGUUCCCAAAAAGUAUUUUGCGGACUACAAUGAUCUUCUUGGUGGAAAGCUUGAUAACAACUGUUUGGUUGGUGAGUCAGUUUCUAUGCCAUUUAUCAUGUAGCUUUGAUUUGUAUUAAUACUCUAAGCAUUAAUACUCUAUUUAUAUAUUUUGUGUGGUUAAAAUGGUUUUAAGUUAAAUAUUCUUUCGGUUUUGUUUAGCAUCGUUCCUGAUUCUUAUAUUUUUUGGUUAUGCAGAUGUUAUUGGCCAAAUAGUUAACUUUGGGUCUCUUGAAAACAAAAUGAUAAAAGGAAAAGAUAACAUAAAGUUCUUGAUUGAGUUACGUGACCAGAGGUAAGCUUAAGUUCUUUAUCUUUUUCUUUUAUUUGCUAGCUAAACAUCAAUAUUCUGUUUUCUCACUUAAGUUUAUAUUUUACAGUAAUGUGAAGAUGAUGUGUACUCUGUGGGGUCGUUAUGCUAAACAAGUAUACGAUUACAGUAUGAGUAACAUGUCCACAAUGAUUAUUUGUGUUAUUAGGUUAUGUUCUGUUAAAGAGUGGAAAGGUAUAUAAAACAGACUUACUUUCUAAAAUGUUUAAUUGCACAACAUGUUAAUAAAAUCUUUAUAUUGUAGGUUCUUACUCCAUAUUCAACCCAUAUUUUGCUCAACCCAACACUGGAUUUGAUUGACCUUCAAAGCAAGGUACUCCUCCAGUUUGGCAGUUUUUGUUACCUAAUCCUAUAUUUCUUCUUUGUACACAACCUACUACAACGUUUUGAUUGGAUGUAUUACUUGAUUGUGCAAUCUCCCUAAUGAUUCCCUUGCUUUUACAAACAACGAUAGCACCCAAUAGUCUGCUGGUACUGCUACAUCUGUUCGUGCCAGGUUUUUUGUUCUUAAUGAGAGGCUAACCAUAAGAGAGAUCAUCGAUAGUACUAUGGUAUAUAAACAUGUUGUGCCGUCCAUUUUCUUUCUCUCAUGUUUUGUGAUUUAAUUCCCUUUGUUAUCAUAUUUAGGUUUAUUUAGUUUUAUUUUUCAUUUACGAAUAGGUUGGGACUUUUGUUACCAUGGGCACUAAGUUGUAAAUACUGCAACAAAAAGGUAUUUCCUACAACCAAUGUUGAUGACGAUAUGCGUCCUUUGUUCUACUGCAAUACCUGCGAUAAAGAACACAUCAACGUUCACAUGCCAAUCCUAUCUAUCUUCAAUAUUUUUCUCAUUUUUGUAUCGGUUUUUUUAUUUUGGUUAUUGUUCGAUAUAAAUAUUGAUUUUUGAGUUUAUUCUCAUUUCGUUAUUUUGUUUUGGUCUCAGAUUUAGAAAAUGUUUAAGAUUUAAAAUUAUUAAAGAGAUACAUACAUAGGUUAAGAUCCGCGCAUUCUGUAGAAUUAAUAUUUUAUAUCUAUACUUAUUUUAUGUUUUCUGCAUAUUAUGAAAUAAUAAAAUAAUAAUUAUAUAUUAAAUAACUAAGAAAUCAGUUACUAUUAUGUAAUGAAUUUGCGUACGUAUAUAAAUAAAACGACCGCUUUUGUUUAUUCACAAUCAUUUUAGGAUCAAUAAAUCAAAACAAUCAAUCUUAUCUAAAUUAUAUGACAUAUAAUUAAAUUUAAAUGAUAUUAACAUAGAUAUAUAGUAUACUUUUAAUAUGGAUAUUUAUUAAAUGAGGUUUCUACUCAUAUGAUUUUAUGAUUAGUUGUAUAUUUAUGUAACAAAUUUUUACACCAAAGAUUUUUUUUAAUGUGGAAUGUUUAGUGGUUUCAAUAAUUUAUAAUCAUUUAAAAAAAAUCAAUGAAGAUUUCAAAAUUAAAAUAUUAACUUUUCAAUAAAUGUUUUUUUUUUACAGCAAAAAGAUUACAGACUCAUAUAGACUCUGUAAACCAAAGUGGUAACUCUGAAUCCAUGUGUACGACGAAAGACGGUUGUUGCCGAGCACUACGUGCCAAACUAUCCGCCCUUGUAUUCUCCGUCCUAGGUACAUGAACAAUAUCUGAGUUGACGAAACUUCUUCUCAACAGCUUAAUAUCUUCCAGGUAGCUUUCAAAUGCUGGUCAUUCCUCUGGUUCUGAAACCAUCUUCACCAAUUGAGAACAAUCCGUUGCAAACGUAACAUGAAACUGUCUUAAGUUUCUCAUGCAUUCCAUUGCCCAAAUUAAUGCCUCCAUCUCCGAAUGAAGCGGUGAAAGACAAGCCCUUACAUUCCUUGCUCCUAGUAAACCAUCAAACCCUGAUAAUGUACUGAGCCAACCUUGUCCUGAAAAUAGGUCGUUAUCUUUCCAAGAACCAUCUGUGAAACACCAUCUUCCUGUGGUUCCUACGUUAGGCCUAACUUGUACUUCUUGUGCACACCUGUUAUUACUAACCUGUGCCUCAGCCCAAAGUGUUGAUUCUACUUCUGCUAAUCGAAGUGUUUCCCUGGGAUCAAUAUCAAGAUUACUGAAUACUUUAUUGUUUCGACCCUUCCAAAUGUACCAUAGUAUCCAUGCAAACUGAUGAUCCUCAAUCUUUGGAUUAACUCUCCAAAAUAGAUGGUCCAUAUUAGCAAAAAAGAGAGCCAAUAGGAAAAAAAUUCGGAUUUGAUGGAAUUUUAGAUAGUGCCCAGACUUGACGAGCUGGGGGACAUUCAAAAAACACAUGGUUUAUUGAUUCUUCAGGAUCACCACACCGUGCACAGCACGUAUCUCCUGGUAUUCCUCUUGCCCUUAGAUUUUUCGUUACCGCCAUACACCCUGAUAUCAACUGCCAUAAAAAAUGCCUUAACUUUGGAGGACACCUCACUGUCCAGCAGAAAGCUUUAAGUAUAUCAACAUUGGGCCCAUAAAAUUCUGGUGGCUUUUCCUUAUCAGGAUAAAUCCUUUCCACCUGGUACCCUGAUUGUACCGUAUAUUUCCCAUUCUUGGUGAAAUGCCAUCCAUUCCUAUCUUCCAUCCGAUUUCUACACAAUGGUAUACUUUCGAUUAUUUUUGCAUCGUGUGGAUCCACCAAAUCCCUAAUUGCCUGUAAAUUCCAUGUGCGGGAUUCUGAAUUAAUGAGAGAAUCCACUGUGAGCUCCGGGUAACUAUUAUGAAGGUUUUUGUUAGCUGGUCUCGGGCGAGUGGAUGGGAGCCAUGGAUCAUUCCAUACUGAAAUAGAUGAUCCUGUUCCCACCCUUUUAAUUAGUCCUUUACAAACCAGAGAUCUAGCAGAAGUAAUACUCCUCCAGCCAUAUGACGGGGAAUAUGAGCGAAUCGGAUCCAGGGGUGAAGCAUUCCUGUAAUACCGUCCUUUAAAAACUCGAGAAAAAAGAGAAUUUGGCUUCUCGAGUAGCCGCCACAGUUGCUUUCCAAGCAUGGCCGUAUUAAAAUCAGUCAAGUCCUUAAAACCUAACCCACCAUUAUCCUUAUGGACACACAAUUUAUCCCAUGAUUUCCAAUGCAUACCUCUUGUACUACCUCCUGGACUCCACCAAAACUGCGCAACAGCACCCGUUAGCUUCUUCACAGUCGUUUUCGGUAACCGAUACACAGACAUCACAUGGUUUGGCAGAGCCGUAAUCACCGAUUUAAUAAUCACCUCCUUGCCGCCCUUAGUAAAAAAUCUUAAACUCCAUCCAUUAACCCUAUUAUUUAACCGUUCUUGUACGAAUCCAAACACUUGUACCUUAGAACCUCCUAGGCUUUCGGGCAGGCCUAAAUAAGAUCCCAUUCCACCUAAAUUCUGAAUUCCUAAGAUAUCCCUCAAUUCUUGACGACUAUCUUCAUCAAUCUUAUGUCCAAAUUGAAUUGAGGAUUUCUGGAAAUUAAUUUGUUGUCCAGAGACGGUCUCAUAUUCCUUUAGAAUCCUGAGUAUAGUUUGACACUCUUCUUUGUUUGCCUUACAAAAGAACAAACUAUCAUCUGCGAAUAACAAAUGAGAGAUUGCAGGGCAAGCUCUUGCCACUUUCAUACCGGUUAAUUGUUUCAUCCGCUCCGCCUUUUUAAUAUUUGAAAUUAACGCCUCCGUACACAUAAUAAAUAAGUAAGGGGAUAAAGGAUCGCCUUGACGUAAUCCACGCUGGGGAAUAAUUACACCUCGUGGCUGCCCAUUGAGAAGCACCCUAUAUUGAACCGAAGAGACACACUCUCGCAUUAAUUUAAUCCAAUGAGGAUCAAAACCCAUUUUUUGAAGGAGAGCCGCAAUAAAAUUCCACUCUAUCCGAUCAUAUGCCUUACUCGUAUCUGUUUUUAUUGCCAUAAACUUAUUUUGACAAGAUUUAUUGGCUCUCAAACCAUGAAACAUUUCCUGCGCGAUAAGAAUAUUAUCCGAAAUUAACCUUCCUGCCACAAAAGCCGAUUGUGUCUCUGAGAUUAGUCUGGGAAGACAACUUUUCAGCCUUUGACACAAAACCUUCGAAAUUAUUUUUAUAGCCCACAUUACAAAGACUUAUUGGUCUCAGUUCCGUCAUCCUUGUCGGUCUCUCCACUUUUGGUAUCAUACAAAUAUUAGUUAUAUUCAGCCUUGGAUCCAAAUCACCUGAUAUCAAAAAAUUAUUCACCAGCUCGACCACAUCCUUUUUAAUAACAUGCCAGGAAUGCUGAAAAAAAAAGAGCUGUCAUUCCAUCCGGACCUGGCGCUUUCUCCGGAUGCAUCAUAAAUAAAGCUUGUCUCACUUCUUCCUCUGUUGCUAACUUCAAUAGCCUUUGAUUCAUCUGAGGAGAAAUUGAUGGUCCUAUCUCCUCCAAGAAACUAUCAAACUCCGUAGGAUUAGUAGAAUUAAACAAACCAUCAAAAUAAUCUACCGCCACCUUCUCAACACCGUUCUCAUCUGUGAUCCAAUUACCCGCAUCAUCAUAGAGGCCCACUAUUUUAUUUCGGAUCCGCCGUUGUUUUGUUAAAGCAUGAUAAAACUUAGUAUUCAAAUCCCCGGAUGAGUACUACAUAUUUCGACUUUUCUGAUGCCAAUACUCCUCCUCAUCCUUAUAGGCCUCCUGUGAUUUCCUGGAAAUCUCAAUAAUAUCCUCUUGGGAUCUAUUGUUAUCUGUUUGUACAUCUUCCAAAGCUUGUUGAAGAUUCUGAAUUUUUUCCUUCCCAUAAGGUUGAUUGUCUUUCCGCCAUGAAGAUAUUUCAUGUCGACAAUUACUUAUUUUGGUAAUAAAAUCCCCUGGUUGGCCCUCCUGAUUUUCUGUCCAACCCGACACAAUUGAUUCCAUAAGCCCCUCCUGACCUAUCCACUGCUUAUCAAACCUGAACUGACCUCUUUUUUUCCUUGAUAAUUUAUCUUCCAGAAAAGCAAUCACUGGUCGAUGAUCCGAUCCCACCAUCCUCAAAUAUUCUGUGUAAGAAAAUGGAUAGAGUGUAUGCCAUUCCUCAUUAGCCAAGGCUCUAUCCAGUCGACAUCUAACCGUUACACCUCCUUUUCCUUUCCCUCUCCGUCCCUGCCAUGACAUUUUAUUACCACGAGCCGGAAAUUCUAAUAGUCCACUAUUCCUUAUCAUAUUGUUGAAAGGGAUAAAGGACGUCGCACACCUUAGAGUUCCCCCAUCUUUUUCGUGAUUCUCGGUAAUUUCGUUUAGAUCUCCUAUAAUAAACCAGGGUUCCGAUCUAGCUAGACCAUAUCGGGUUAACCUUUUCCAUACAUGAUCUCUCAAACUUUGAUCCAGCUCUCCAUAUACAAAAGUAAGGAAUACUUGUUUCCCUUUGGCCAUUGCCUCGACAUCUAUCAUUCUAUUGCUAGAAUAUAAUAUUUUAACUUGGUACUCAUUAUUAUAAAAAAGGGCUAAACCACCACUUCUCCCAAUUGGAUCCACUGUAACCAGACUAUCAUAACCAAAAUGUGAUUAAAACCUUUGUACGAAUCCAAAAUCCUGUUUCGUUUCUGAUAAAAACAAAAAAUCUGGUUUAUGUUUAUGCCAUGUUUCCCGAAGAUAACUUAUUGUCCAAUGACUUCCAAGACCUCUGCAAUUCCAACUUAAUAUUUUCAUAUAUAAACCUGCUUGUAUUGCUCUACCGAGCCGGAAGAUUGGGGUUUAAUGAUACCCAACAAUAUUAGAUUCACAAGGUUCCGAAAACCAGUAAAAUUACAAUCAAUCUUGUGAGAGAUACGAUCAAUCCCAUGAGGAACACCAUUGCACCAUUGAAACCCAUUAUUCCUUUUUUCAAUCAUCAGAAUACGGACAUACAAAAUGUCUAUCGAACCAUAGUACGUACAAUUUCUAAACCCAACUUUGUGGUUAGCUCUAAAGUACACAUAUAGCUUCUUUGCAGACCCAUUAACUUGAAAGUAUGAUUUAUGAAGCCCAUUUAAUCCUGAACAAAUAUUUUGCCUAAUGUUUCCCCAGCACCAUUUCAAGUAAUCAAAAGGAUAGAUUAAAAUUAGAAAAUACUUGUGUUCUAGAAAGAUUUGUGCCACCAAUAAAUAUAACCCACCAUUCGUAACAAAUGCUAUGUAGUGUUCUUUAUGUUGAUCUGAUAAACCAUAUGUAAUCCCCAAAGCAAAGAAACCAAAUGCAUUUACUAUAUUCCCAACUAUACCUUUCAACUCCCAUACGUCUACCAGCUUUCCACACCAAUGCAGAUUCAGUACAGUAAACAGGAGACCAGUAAUAGGCCACCACACACAUCCAUGAUGCCAAACCAAAAAAGCCAAGCCUUCUCCGUAAUAUAAAACUUUUACGUAUACACCAAGGAACCACCAUAAACUCAAGAAACCAUUAUUAUUCCAAGUCUUAUUGACUUGAUUCAUAAAACUAGGUUUUUGGUGGCCCUUGUUUGGUGUUUGAUGUACCCUUCUCCUCCAACUGGUUAGAACUAUCUCCUUGGCGAGUGCCUUGCGUUGGCUGCUCAGCACAGAUGUACCUCCUGCUCCAACCGUUGAUUUGAACUGCCUCUUGCGUGCACCCUGUUUCUUCACCAAUUCUCCAGCAACCUGAUCAUUCUCUUCUGCCUCAUCACCCUGCUUUUCCACCUCUAUGGUAUCAACCCCAUCCUCCUUGACCCUGUCGUCCUCUCCAAUCUCUUCAUCAGAGACCUUCUGGGAAUCAUUCUCAAACUCCUCAAUACCCUUACCCGUAUGAACCAUGUUAUCAGUCUCAUCCAAAUCCAUCCCAUCCUCAACUACCAAAACCUUCCUCUCUUCAACAAAUACCGUAACUAUAUUUACUACAAUACCAUUAUUACCAAAUCUCUGGAAAUUGAUUCCAAAAAUCUCUACCCAGCCAACAAUCACAUAAUCAGAAAUCUCUAAAAAUCUGAACGAAGCCCUAAAUUGAAUCCUAACUUUCCUUAUGCCAAUAGAAGAGAGAUUCCUAAAGUUCCUUUGAAGAUACUUUACAAUCCUUCGAGAUCUCGUUUUGAGGUCAACUGGAGACACACCCCUGCGGAUCUGUGAUAUUGCCUUGAUGGUGACAGAUAUCCAGAUCCAAAUCCAAUUCGAGAGUAUUGAUGAUUUCCUCCAUCUUCCAGAUCGCUUCCUUCCUUUAUCCAAACCAGAACCGUGUAAAUCCUCUGAACUCGAUCUUAUCAGAUCUCGAUCUUGUUUUCCUUUCUUCCCCACAUCAACCUUCGGAGAACAGACCACAUGUAUCGGAGAUUUUGAAUCAAUUCCCGGGUCCCAUCGACGAAGAAUCAUGGAAACCCUAAAUCGCCGUUACAAUCGCCAUUCAAUAAAUGUUCAAUGCAGAUAUCAAAAUAUAAGUAUGUAUUUUCAUAUGAUAUAAAGUUUAUUUUAAACGAUAUGAAAUAUAUGUAUAUAUAUAUAUAUAUUAACAUAAACACUUAUUAAAAAAAAUAUUUCUUCAUAUGAUUUUAUAAUCAUUGUAUCUUAUUAUAGAAAGAAAAAAAUUUAACCUUGAUCACAAAAGUUUAUGUGAGAUUUUCAACAUUGUUAGUAAUUUAUACUCAUUUUGAAAAAUUCAAAAUACAACAUUUACAAAAAAAUUUAAAAUUUUAUUAUAUGAUUAAUACAAUUGUAUAAUUUAUUUUAAUAAUAAAUAAUUAAACAAAAAUGAUAGAAAGUAUACAAAUUUUUAGCAAAUUGUUAUUAUUUAAAAUCAUUAAUUGCCAUAUAUAUCUUAAUCACAUUAGGUAAUUCCGUAUGUUUUAUUUAAGAAAAAAACAUAUAAUAAUUUCAAUUUGAUAAAUGAAUGGUCCAUAAUGGACAUACUAUAUAAUAUAACAUUUUCUAGCCAUUUAAUUUUGGACUAACAAAAUUCUCAAUUGAUUCUCAAGCUGCCACGUAAGCAAAAUUAGCAUUAUAAUUACAUGACAACUCAACAUGAUACUUUUUAAUUAAUACAAACUACAUGUUAUAACUUUUUAAUGUUUCUCUAUUAAUAUUUAGGGGAUUCUACAAAAUUAAAAAUCUCUACUAAAAACAUUAAAAACUUUAGAUGAAAUAUGUUUGAAAUAAAAGAAACAAAUAACAUAAUUAAAAACUAGUUUUUCUUCUCAUCAAUUAAAAAAAUAUUUUAACAUAACUAAUGAAUACAUUUAAUAUAAAAUAUUUUUUUUUCAGUUUAAUAUAAAAUAUUAGAUUUAGAAAUAUUUAAUGUGAUAAGAUUCUAUUAAACUAAAACAAAUUACUUACAAUUGUGGAAAAUCAUAAAAUAAAUAUUUCUACUUAUUGUUAUACAAAAUAUGUUUUUUUAGGAAAUCUAAAUAUAAUCUAUACAAUAAAGUAAAUAUUAUAUCAUAAGUUAUGUUGACUAAGAUUAAAGAAAUUUCUAAUCAGUAACAAUAGUUGUAAAUUUAUAACCGUUUGAAUUGAAAAUUAAUUUCAAAAUACAAACUAUAUAUUGACAAUAUAUUUUAAAAUAGAAAACAAUUUGGUACCAGUUAAAAUAUGAUUAUGUAAGGAAAAAAAUUUAAAUAAUUUUGACUAUAAUCUAUGAAAUUAAAUUGAAAGAUUUUUAGAAGGAAAAAAUCCUUUUAUGAAAAGUUAUGUUAGUAUAUAUAAACAAUAUCUAAAGCAAAAUAGUACACUAACAAAAAUUAAGAGAAUAUCAUAAGAAAUGGGUAUCUCAAAAACCUUAUUGAUUCAAUAUGUUUUACUAUCUUCUUCGUAAUAUCUAAUGUUCGGUGCAACCUGGGUUCUAAAAUAUCUCAAGAAGAUGAAUAAUGCGAGAGGUUUUUUUUGGAGCUAAGAGCAUUCAAUUAGUUGGCAAAUGUGUUCUUAGUAGAAAUACAUUUUCCAACUAACUGAAAGCUUUUAGCUCUACAAAACCUCUCACAUGCCGUGUUUCCUCUUUGAUCACUUGGAUCGAAACAUUUUUGUAGUCUUGUUUUACUCCAAAAUCUAUUUAAAAUCCGAACCAUUCAGAAGUUGAAAAAUUAUAAAACGAGAAAGACAUGAGCCUAAGUAAGCGUAAAUACUAAAGUGAUAUUUUAGUACUCUGAACACUAUAUAUUACUAUGGAUUGAGAAGUUCUGUGAUUUUAGUCAACAUAACAUAAGAAAUAAUGUUUACUUUGCUGUAUAGGUCACAUUAAUCUUUAUAUAUUUUCUAUACCAACAAACUAGCUAGGAAUUUUUAUUUUAAGUUUUUCACAAAUGUAAGUAAAUAGUUUUAUUUUAAUAGGAUCUUGGCACAUUAAAUUUAUAUUUAUACUAAAUUAAUUCAUUAGUUUAAUAAAUUAAUUUUAUUUAUGUUAUUGUUUUUAUGUCAAACGUAUUUCAUGUAGAGUACUGUUUGAAGUAGAUAUUUCUUAAUUAGUAAACAAUUGAUAUAUUAUGUAAUAUAUACAUUUUUGGUAGGGGUAUUCAAUCGGAUAUCGGUUCGGUUUCGGUUCGGUAUUUUUGGUUUUUUGGUAUUUCAGUUAAUAAAAUAUAACUACCAUUCUAAAUCCAUAUUUACUUCGGUUUAUAUACCGUCGGUUUUCGGUUUAUUUGGUUUUAUACCAAAACAUAAUUAUUUAGUUUGAGAUCAUAUUAUAUAAAUUUUAGAGUCAUAUUGUCAUCGCAGUCAUUUAUUAAAAAAAUAUUAUAUUUUUAAUAAAACAAAAAAAAACGCUUAUACCUUCAGAUGAAAUAAUCAAAUCUAGAAUUAAAAUCAAAACUCGAAAUUUUGAAAAUAAAAAUAAAAAAACAAAAGAGAAGUAUGAAAGAAAAGUUUUUUUACUCUUUCAUAUUUAGUGUUCAUCAAAGCCAUGCUUCUUCGAGUGAAACUUUGUUCGUUUAUAAAUAAGAAAAAAGUUGUGAAGCUUCUUUUCUAGUUAUUAUCCAUCAAAUUUAUAACUUUCACUUCAAUUUAAACAAUGCUAAAAGAAAGCAAAAUGAUUGAAAGAAAAAGACUAAGAAAAUAAAAAGCCUCAGUUGUUAUGAAUUGUUAUUUAAUUAUAUUUUAAUUGUUCUUCAAAUUAUGAUUCUUUAUUAAUAUAAAAAUAUGGUAAUAAUUAUUAACAAAAGAAUAACUUAUAUAACAAAUAGAUUUUCAUGUGACGUUAUAAAAUAUGUACAUAUUUACAUGUUUCUACUUUUGAUCGGUUUUGUUCGGUUUAUUCGGUUUAAUCGGUUAUAAACCAAACCAUAUCCAAAUCCUACGGUUUUUAUAAAAUAAUAUCCAUUCGGUUUAUAUGGUAUAUACCAAAACCAUACCAUAUUGUCUAUUUCGGUUCGGUUCGGUACGGUUCGGUUUUACCAUAUUGGACAGGCCUAAUUUCUGGUCAAAAUAUUAUCACUACAAAAACAUAUAUUACAUUUUGACCAUAUUUAUGACCAAUAAAUAUGGUUAGAAAUAGUUAUAACUUUAUUCUUAUUCUGUUUCUGAUGAAUAAGAAAAAUGGUCAAAAUUUAGUUAGAAAUUUUUAACCAGAACGUAUUGUCAAUAAGUGGUCAAUUUUUUUUGACUCAUUUCUAACCAACAAAAAUGGUCAAAGAAGUGGUCAGAAAAUUUUAACCAUAUUACGAUGUCUCUAAUUUGACCUUUUUGGGUGCAACUCUCUAAUUUGACCUAGAUAUCAAAUUUUAUUUCUUCAUUCUCCUAAGUUGACCUUCCUCUUCAAACGGCGCCAUCGAACCUCUUUUCAUUUUGUUCUCAUCACUUUUUCUAUUUAUUUCUUUUUUGAUUUUCUUCUCUUCUCUGCUAAUUCAGUUUAUUCUUCCUUGUAACAGCUUACCCGAUGGUCAAUGGAUAGUAGAUGAUGACCUGAAGCCAGCUGUGACUUCAGAGCGAGAAAUCAGUGAGACCAGUCUAUCACCUGACGAUGAGUGUAGAGUCAAGAUUUUAAGAAAUGUUGAAGCCGGUUCAAGAUGGUUUCGGUUCAAGAGUAUCUAGAUGACCGGUUUAGUGAUUUGGAGAAUACAAGAUCGUGUUCCAAGCGGUUAUGGAAAAUGGAGAAAGAUAUGGAAAGAAGAUAAUCUGUACAUGCCGUGAUAUAUAAGGAGAGUGGGAACCUAAGAAAGAGGUGUGCUUUCUGAGAGAAGAUAUCAAGGCAUUAGGGUUUCCAGUGAGAGAGUGACAACGAGAGAAAUGUAAGGGUUGCAACUAGGGUUGUGGUUCUCACGUUUUUGGGUAGUUAAGAAUCGGCCAGUGGUGAUACACGGUUGUUUACGUAGACACAGAAACCUGAUUAAACAGGACUGUCGAGUCUGUCUAAACGAUUCUUAAUAAAAGUAUUGUUGAAGAAAGUUCUGUUUGUUCAAGAUUCUCAUAUCCUCUAUGUUCUAGGUAUUAUAUUUGGUAUCAGAGCAAGUCAACCUCUUCAAUAUCAAGCAGCGACUACAGGUUGAGAUCUUGGGAAGAACAUGGAUCAUAUGAAGGAGCUAUAAUCGCUGUGCAAAAGCCAGUCAUGCUGGACGGUCAAACUUUGGACAUUGGAAAGUGAAGAUAAGGUAUGUCAUUUGCAGUAUUGAUGAAGAAGCAUGGGCGGCUGUUAUGAAUGGUUGGUCUGAAUCCACCAUGUAUGAUGAGAAAAGAAGGGAAGUGCAUAAGUCAUUGGAGCAAUGGACGAUUGAAGAAAUGAAUGCAUCAAAAUAGAACUCAAAAGCUAUCUCCACCAUCUUCUCAGCUCUUGAUAUUGACCAGUUCAAGAUUAUUCAAGGGUGUGAAUCUGCCAAGGCUGUGUGGGAUACACUGGUGAACUACUUUGAAGGUGAUUCGAGCGUCAAGAGGACUCGUCUUGGUCAUCUUGAGACCAAGUGGGAGAAUCUGAGGAUGGAGGAAGAUGAACCUCUGGGGAGCUUCACAAAUAAGCUGACCACAAUCUCUAAUGAAGCAUAUGUGCUGGGUGAGAAGUAUUCAGAAAAGAAGCUUGUUAAGAAGCUCAUUAUAUGUCUCCCCAAGCGUUUUGAGGCUUAGAAGGCUGUCAUCAAAGGUACAAUGAACUCAGAUGAUACCCAAGUUCGACAAGUUGGUCGGAUUACUAAUUUCAUUUGAGCAAGAACGGAAUGAAGAUCAGCAACCUCCAGUAAAAGGCAUUGCCUUCACGGCAAGCUCUGAGGAUGAGAGAGUUAAGAAGCUGGAAGCUGAUGUCAGUUUAAUGGUCAGGAGCUUCAACAAUAUGGUGAAAAGACUUGACAAAGGAGUGUCUAGAAUCCUUGGUCGGUUCAACAGAGGUGAAAAUCAGUGGAACUCAAGAACGAAUGAAGAGCCAAGUUGUUUGAAUUCCUCUCAAUUGUUAAAAACCAUUCCAACAUGUACCAUGUUUGGGUUAUCAGUACAUUUUCCUACAUUUUAAAUUAUUGGAACAAGCUUUAGUGAUUUUCUUCACAAAAUGUAAUUCAUAAAAUAUGAAAUUGUGACGGGAAAAUAUAAGAAGAUAAUUCACAUUAUAGCGCUCAUAAUUGUACAAUACUUGAUCCGUUCUUUUUAACCGGUUAUAUAUAACAACAACAAAAAUACAAUCAACCGGUGCCAACUACAUAUCCAAAAUCUAUACUAUAUAAAAGUUGAGGAUAUAAACCAUUGAGAGCGUCCACGUAGGAUUUAAAACCACCAAUCGUAUGUUGACAAAUCAUCAUUUACUUUAUUACCUUUUUAAAAUAUUAAUAUUUCCAAAAAAAUAACUUACUUAAACAAAUGGUAUCUAUUAUAGUAAAAUGGAAAAUCAAAAGAAAAAUAUUUAUAGUAACAAAAAUUACUUAUUCUUAGAUAUAAUAAAUCUAAAACACAUUUUAUACCAAAAUAAAAUGGAAAAUUAAUUUUAAAAUAGUUAAAGUAGGAAAAACAUAUUAUUUUCUCAUUUUUUAAAAACAAUAUUAAUAUCUCCAAAAAUAAAAUAAUACGAAAUUAAUAUUAUAUAUAAAACUUAUAAAAUAAAUAUUAACAUUUGACAACUUGCUUAAAAAUGGUAUGUAUUUAACAUAUUACAGUCAAUAAUAAAAAAAAUCAAUAAAACUAAACUUGAUAUAUAUGAUUUUCAAAAACUGAAAAUAUAUUUUUAAAAUACAGAACUUUUUAAAAUACAGAACUUUUUAAAAACCAGACCUAUGAUAAUUUAAAUCACAUAUAAUUUUGAAUUACAUAUAAAUAACACAAACUAACGAAUUUGUUUUAGUUAUAUAUAAUUUUUAUUUUGGAAAGUUAACAUUUGAAAAAAUAGAAUACAAGAGUUUUUAAUCGAAGCUAUAAGAAGUUAAAUAUGAUUUAAAACCACAAAUAUAUGAUAAAUCAUGAUUUUAAAUUACUAUUUUAAAAAAUCAAUAUUUCCAAAAAAACGAAAUUAUAUUGGGCUGGUCGAUACCUUGAGUUAUCUAAACCCCUACGCAAAAACGUUUUAUUAUAUUCAAUGUAUUCAAGAAAAAACAUUUUGAGUUUUCUCUUCUGACAUAGGCAAAACUGUAUAAAAAUUGCUAAAAAUAUAUUACAGUCAUGACUUUCAGUAAUGUAAAAUUAAUACAUUGCAGUCAAGACUUCCAGAAAUGUAAAACUAAAUGUUAAAAAUGGAAAACUAGAUUAAAAAGUAAUAUUAGAGGUUUCAACAAAAUUUGCAAUUAAUUAACUUCAAUGGCAUGUUGUCAAGUUAUAUAAAUGCAGAUGAUCACUUUGAUUAGAGUGCUCUUAUUAUAAUUCAAGCAGAGAGAGAGAGACAAAACAAAGAAAUAAUAUGGUCUAGAUCAAAAAUAUAAGCGGCUAAGAGAUUUGCUACUAUUUUUGUGAAGGAAACAUCAAAUACAAGUGAAACAUAACGGCAUCGUUACACAGAGACAAUACAACAAAUCACAACAUUGAUUACUACAUCUGAGCUUCACAACGAACAAGCUGAAGAUAAAGCUGUCGGGAGAAGCAUAUAAGCAGCUAAACCGCGACUCAGUGUGCCAAUUAAAGGCAAUGGAUGUGAGAACAGAUGAGUGGUGCAUCUUGACGCUUCUUGAGAAAUUAUAAGACCGGUUGAUCUUGGACUGGACCCAUUGCACCUAGGGGCGGAUCUAGAAAAUUUCACAACAUGGGGUAUCUUAUAUAAUAAAGGAGACUUUAGUCUCUCCUUAUAAAGCCACAUCAGCAGGAAGGAUAGGGCAAAUGAAGACACGUCAGCCUCUCUUUUUCCUUUAGUUUCUGAUGCUCACGGACUCAAGAUUCUCCGAUUGUGGUCUAUCAAACAUUUGGCCCAUUGAUCAUUUGUUUUAAUAAAAUCAGACAUGGUCCAGAUUUCUCCUUACUAUCUUUUGUGGGCGUGGGCCCCGAUUCAAGAAGCGUUCUUUUGUUCUGCGUCACCUUCUCCAUAACUCUAAUAUCAAUUUUUUUUGGCAGAGAGAAGGUUAGACUUGAGAACUUCUCAACCUCUUGCUUUUAGACUUGAGUCCGGCCAUUGUUCUCAGAACGCAUAACGUCAAAUGGUGGUGAGUUAAAGGGCCUCUAGAUGCUCAUAAAUCAUAAUUGAUGAAAAGGUAGGUUUUGUUUUUAUCUUCUCCACUCUCUUACCAUCACUCUAUCUAUACUAAUAUUGUAUCUCCUUUCUUAAUUAGCUCUUGACCCUCGAAAGAAACAACCUUUUUGAGGUUAUAAAAAGCUUUGAUUCUUAAUAGGUUUUCUGAUUAUACAAUUGAAGAAGAAGAGUAAGGAAACCUACAUGUUCUAUUGAGGUUGUGCAAGCACCUGGAUAAUUCAUUGGGAAUUUAUUUUCUCUCAGAUCUGCGAGAACACACAUUAAAUCUCUUACACUUAUCACUGUUAGAUUCCUCAAGACUGAUUUCUUCAACCUAAUUUAGUUCCCACUAGAACGAUAGGCACGUUAGGGGAAUAAUGUUGCAGCUCAAGGACCCACUGCAAAAGAAAUUUGAACCAGAAGCACAUGAGAUGGUGUGUGAUAAAGUUACAUUGCAGUGAAACUGAAGUGGAAAGAAAGUUGAAACCUUUUUAGCAAUGUUCUCAAAGCUAGGCCUGCUGAUAAGAGAGAAGGCAAGAAUAAAAACAUCUGCUCCUCUAUAACUCAUCUAAGCCUAUUGUAAUCUUCUUGACCUGUAAUAUAAUAAAAUACCAAAGAAGAUACUCCACAAUAUUCAUAAUAAAACACCAAAGAUACUGCCCAAGAUUCAUAAUCUGUCUGAAAAUAGUUUUUAAAAACAUGAACGGGAACUCUAAUCAUGAAUUCAGAAAGCAAUUUUUUUUUUAUCAUAUGAUGGUUGACAAAGACGAGCGUUAAGAGUAAAGAUCCAUUCUUUUUAAAAUACCUAGAAACUUCUAGAUUUUUGAGAAACAAAGUCAUCAUUUCUCUUAAAGGGUCAAAAGAUUAGAAUUUGACACAAUGUUGAGAAUACAAACCUGAUAGAAGAACAAGACUUUUAACGAAAGUAACAAAUUUUUUUUACGAGCAGUAUCCCAAACACCAAGAUUGACAGUUUUGCCAUUGACUACAUCAUUUGCAUAGAUAUUGUCGAACACUGUUGGAACAUAUAUAGUCCUGUAAUAACAAGGACAACAUUCACCAACAAAAGCCAGUAAAAAGACAGUUCACUAGAGAGAGAGAGAUGGAUAUAGUUGGAGAAGUGUUGCAUGAGUACUUGAGUAGGAGAUAAGAAGACAAGUUUAGCCCACAACUCCAUCGCAAACAGUGACGCACUUUAUAGCUGUUGUUGUUGUUGAUACUGCUGCCGCAGCCAAAGAAGCUGACAUUUGAUUGAAAUGUGAGAAUGGUACUUUGAGUUAGCUUCGCUUUCACUUUUUGCACUCAUGGUUAAGUAUAGAAGGAAACUGAGACUUAGAUGAAAAGCUGCAAAAUUUUAAAAUCUUAGAAAAAAAGAGAAAACUUUAAUUUCCGAGACAAAACUAUUUGAAUGCAUAGACUUUAUUUCAUCAUCUUUUUUGAGCAACCGACUUAAUUUAUUUAUUUUUUAAAAAUUCUUAUAUACCCAUUUUUUCAAUAUGACAUACAAAACUCAAAGGUCCACUCCUUAUGGUACGGCCCAUAAAAAUUAAAUAAACCCCAAAACAUAAUGUCCUUACUCAAUUGUUUUCAUUCUUAUUAACAAAAGCAACAACUCAACUCAACCAAAAGUCCACAAACUAACGUCAAAAUAUCGACGCCUAGCUACCUAAAUUUGGGGGCCAUAAUUCAACAUAAAUUUUAAAAACACCACUUGCUUGGCAAGCAAAACCAAUCUACUUAUACAAGCAAGUACAAAUGACAUCACAGUCAAUUAUAAAUUCAUGUAAAAAUAAAACAUACAAACCCGGCGCGUAGCGCCGGAAUACCACUAGUACUUAAUAAAAUAACAGUCGUAACCAGAGGUGUACGGAGCAUUGGAGAUGAUAAGCCAUUUAAGAUCCUUGAUUUUCAAUGCAACUAAUGAAAAAAAAUCUGCAUGUGGCACUUGCCCCACCUAGAUCUUUCCUAGGCUUGCCCCUGUUGCACCGGAUGUGAGGCUAGGAAGACGAUUGACUUUGAUUUCAGUAAUAGUUUCUGGAAGAAUGAUGAACACAUCAGAUAGAGUCUUUUAUGGAAUGAAAUAAAAUAAAAUGUCAAAGUUUUCCAAAAACAAAUCGUUUAAAGUAAAAUAAAUUUUCAUAUAAAUUAGAAUAAAUUUUCAUAUAAAUUAACAUAAACUUCAAACUCACUAAAACUAAUUAAAUUGACACAUAGAAACAUUUUUGGAAACUUAACAUAAGACUAACAAAUAUAUCUCUUAAAAAGAAUAUAAACUUCAAGAAUUUAAUUUAUAAGAAUUUAGAACACAAAGUUGAUACUACACAAAAUUAAAAAUUUAAACAUAGAAUUUAUAAAUAUCAAGAUUUUCAGAAACAAAUAUUUUUUUAAUUAAAAAGAAAAAUCAGAUCAAUAUAGAAUAAUCAAAACAAAUAUAGGGGAGAUUAUUUUAAAAAUUAACAUUACAUACAUGCCAAUUAUUUUGGAAAGAACGUCAAAGAGAUUAAUAAAAAAUUGUGUUAUAAGUAUGUUAAAGCAUAAAUAUAUCAUAUCAUAUAUAUGUAUAUAUAUACAUAUAUAUAUAUAUAUUAAAAUAUAAUAUAUAUAAUAAAUAUCAAAAAUUUGAGACUAAAAACAAAAUUAACAUGGUUUAAAAAAAAAACUAAAACAAUGGCUGGUUUCAGUUUUCUCUUUCUUUCUACGGAGGCAAUUUAUUCUUUGACUUACAAAUUACUUACUUUAAGAGAACUAGAAGUAAGUAUAAUCCACUUGUGUGAAACAUAUAUUGUUAAAAUCAGAUUAUUAGAGAAUUUUAAACUGAUUCUUUUCAAUCAAAAGAAAGUAACAAAAAAAUUUACUCAUCAAAAUUUUGAAAUUGUAAUCAACACUAUCAUAUUACAUAAAGUAUAUAUAUAUAAUGGCAUUAACAAUAAAAUAAACCACAUGAUGACUUCUUAUAAUUAUAUAUCACCGAUAAAAGUAUAUGUUCCAUAUAAUAGAUAAAGUUUAAACGAUAUCAUACAAAAAUGGUUGAAAAAUAAAGAUAUUUUAUAAAAAUAUUUAUAAGAAAGACGAAAAAUAAAGAGUCUAAAGUAUUACGUCUAAUAAAUUAGUUGAAUUUCAAAUAAAUUAAAAUGUAACACCAACAACAAAUUAUAUAAUGAAUGACAACCUAAAAAAUAAUAAGAAGAAUAGCCAAUGUGCAUUUAACACAUUUACAAGAAGUUUAUUAAAAAAGAACCGCAUGGAAGAUAAUCCCACUUAUGUAAAAGGGAUAAUUUGCAAGAUACCCUAUUUAGGAUUUGAAAUUUGAAAAAUACAGUGUCUUUAAUUCUUUUUGAAAACUACACUUUCUUUAAUAUGAAUUUACUUUCUUAUCCCAAUUUAAUUUUUUAAUAAUUAUGUUUUAAAUUUUUUUUCUGGAAUUUGACGUUUUUAUGUUCUAAUCUUUUUUUUUUCUGUUCGAAACGCUUUUUUCUGUGAACAUGUAUGCUUUCUUUGUUUUCAUUAGAUUCAACUCUGGUUACAGCUUUUUUGAAGUACAACAUGCACUUGAUCAAAAAGUUGAUGAACUAUACAAGAAGCGUGUCCAUCUAUAUAAAUAUAUAUAAACCUCUGCUAUGUAUGUUCUCUAUUUCAAUUUUUUUUGUGGUAAAACCAAUAGUUUUAGGCAUCAUCAUCCCUUUGUUUAUCCUAUGGAACUCUUGGUUUAGCUUCAGGGAUCUCUGUCUUCAUUCCCAAGAAAAUGAUUGUUGUAGAUGGAAACUAUGAGAUUCUCUCCCUAUCUCGAACCCAUCUCGAAUCUUAUCAUCAUCGAUCAUCUCUAAUAUCAAUCCUUGUUUUCUCUGUCCACAAGAGUUUUCCCACAAACAGAUAACUUGACAAGCAAGUAACUAGGGUAGUGUCUUUCUCCCAAGCGCUUCUCGCAACAAGAGCAGAACCCUAAACCAAUAACGCUUCUCACUUCUCGAUCCGAACACUCCGCGCACAAGUUCGCCGACUUGGAUAAUAACUUCCCGUGCAUUUUGCAAAAACUGAGACUCGCUAGCUCCGCCACAUGGUCUGGACAUAGCAGCUAUCUGUAAGUGAGUCUGUUUUCUGGGUUUCGGUAUGGAAGAUACAAUCUAGCUUCGGACAGAGGAGGAAGAUUUGCUUGAGGCCGAAGAAAGAUGCGAACUUGGCGAUGAAGCAAGUGAAAAUGGAGUUGAGGAAGAUGAAGAACAUGAGAUCACUGUGUUUCUCUUCGUGGUUUGCUUAGCUUCGUCGCAAAAUUGUUGACAGCCAUUGAUGUUUGGCUCCUCUCUGCUAGCUUCGUCGCGAAAUUGUUGGCCGCCAUUGAUGUUUGGCUCCUCUCUGCUAGCUUCUCUGCUGUAGAGAGAGAGAGAGAGAGAGAGAGAGAGAGAGAGAGAGAGAGAGAGAGAGAGAGAGAGAGAGAGAGAGAGAGAGAGAGAGAGUUUAUCUAUGGAAGAAUAUCCAAUGUGCAUUUAACACAUUUACAAGAAGUUUAUUAAAAAAAGAACCGCAUGGAAGAUAAUUCCACUUAUGUAAAAUACAUAUUAUUAAAAAUCACUUUAUAUAUAAAUUUCAAACUACGUAUUGAAAAUCCAAAAAUAUAACCAAUUUAUUUACUCAUCAAAAUUUUAGCCAAUAAUAUUAUCUUAUGUUUUGACACAGAGUUUGUAAGUUAACUUCAAUCAAAACCUUCGUAUAAACUAAUCAAAAUACGCUAAUACGAAGCAAUCCACGUUUACCUGAUCUUUUAAGAGAUUAACUAGAUUUCCACCCGCACAAACGUGCGGGUAUAUAUUUUCACAUUUAUAUAUAUAUAUAUAUAUAUAUUUGUUUUACAUAAUUAUUAUAUAUUUUUAAUGUUACUCACAUAUUUAAAUGUUUGUAUAAUUAUGCCAAAUAUAAUAAUUUUAUAGUUUUCAUGCUGUAAAUUAAAAUCAUCACAUAUAUAUGUUGCUUAUUAUAUAUUUGUUCUAUUGAAUUUGCGUUUGAUUACUAAACUAAAUUUUUUAAUGCAUGAAACAACAUAUAUGAAAAUAAUUUUGUAUUUAAUUUAUUAUAAUCAUGAUUCAUAAUUCAAAUCGCUAGAUUUUUUUAGUAAUUUUUUAAUGUUAAUUAAUUUUAUAUAAUAAAUUACUGUAUAUUAAAAAGUUUAAGAUUAGAUAAAUUUUUAUACAUGUGUUAUAUAGUUUACUAAUAUUAACCCAUUCUACCAACAUAUUAUAUUUUUAGCAUAAAUAUUUUAUAUUUAUGAAAAUAAAAUAUGUUAACUUAUCAAUUUAAAAUAAUUUUAUCAUAUUUUGUUCAAUAUAACGCUUUUAUUUUAAAAUGAUAGAUAUUAUUACAAAAUUGAUAAAAUAGGAUAUAAUUUUAUUAUUUUAGUAACAUUUCAUAACUAAUUACAAAAUUAGUUGAAAAUGUUUAUAUUCAAUUUAUGAAAAUUAAGAUCUUAUUAUAAUCUUUUUCAAGAGAUUUGUUAAAAUUUUAAAUAUUUUUUAAAAAAAUAAAAAAUAUAAAAGAUAUUAUGAUUAAAGUAGUUAAAAAUAUUAUAUAUAUUAGCAUUAGUGAUAUACAUUUAAUAGAAAAUUUAAUUGAUGGUCCAAAUAAAAAUAUCACUCAUCAAAAAAUCAUGAUUUUUAUUUUAUUAGAAAACAAAUUUGAAAAAAUUAAAAUAGAAAUAAAUAUUUAUUUCUAACAAAAUCUUUAAAAAUUAUUAGUAAAUGUAUUUUUGAAAUUAACUAAUUUCAUUUUAUUUAAAUUUUCGUUUAUAAACCAAAACUAUAUUCAAUUUUAAUUUCUAAUUAUAUUUUAUGUAAAUUUAAAUUAAAAAUAACUAAUUUUUGAAAGUAAAUUUAAAAAGAUUCUAAGAAGAUUUUAAAAAGAUUUUGUUAGAACAUUUUAAAUAUAUUCAUUUGUAUUUCAAAUAAAAAGAUAAAGAUAUUAAAAGAUAUAAUAAUGAACUUAUGUAAAAUAUGAUAUUUUCUAAGAAUGGUCCAAACUAAAAAAAUCACACAUGAAAAGAAGUCAUGACUUCUGUUUUAAUAUAUUAGAUGUCAUUUACAAUAAAGAAAACUAAAUGAUGAUUUCUUAUAAACAUAUAAUAGUUCACCGAUAGGUUCCAUAUAAUAAAUUAAUAAUUAUCUCAUACAAGUUUGGUUGAAAAAUCUAUUUAGAUAAUAAUGUUUAUAACAUAAAUGGACAAAAAUUAAGAAUCUAAAGGCUCAUGUCUUAUAAAUUAGUUUAAUUGCAAAUAAAUUUAUAUUUAAUACCAACAAUAAAUUGUAAUAUGAAUGAUAACUUACAAAAGAAUAGGAAGAAUGAUCAAUAUUCAUUUAUAAUAUAAUAUACUAUAUGCAAAAUUUAUUGGCUUAGACGAAUUUUUUUUUAAUUAUGUAAUAACUUUAAGAAAUACUUAAGAAUAUUUAUGUAAAACAGCAACAGAAACAAACAUUAUUUGUUUUAGUACAGAUUAACUUUUAUUCUUUUCUUACAAAGAUCAAAAUUUUAUAUAUUACAAAAAAAAAUAUACAAUCAUACAAGAUUCCCUACUAUAUAAUAUAAUUAAUUAGACCAAGUAUAAGAUAAAUCUUAUGCUCUGAAUUGAUUAUAUUGUUACCUCAAUAAUAAAUUUAUAUAAAAUUAAUUAAAAUUCAUUUUAUUUUCAUUUUUAUUAUCCAAGAAAAGUAGUUAACAAUAGGCAAAACUCAGUAAAAUAUUAAUUGUAAUUUAUAUUUAUAUCUAAAUAUUAUACCUUCACAUACAUAUUUAAGAUAUCAAAUAAAGUUUUUAAGUAUGUUUGUGCACACAAUAAAAAUAUAAUAGUUAUACAUUAUUUGUAAAACUUUGUUUAGUACAAAUAAAAUUUAAAUAUUAUGCAGAUAGAUUAAUCAUUUUCGCAUUAAAUCCAAAGAUAUAUCAAAUGUGUCAUGUAUGGUAAAAAUAUUUACAAUAUCAAGAAAAUUACAUAAUAUUUGAAAAUUUAAAACAUUAUAUCUUAUAAACAAUAUAAAUACGUUUAUAAAUACAAUAUAUACAUCUAUAAAUAAAAACACUAGAUGCUAAGAAGUGUUAAUUUAAAAAGUAUAUAUUUUUUAUAGACAAACAUAUGUUAAAGUCUUUAAAUGAUAUUUUAAAUAUGAAUUCAAAAAAUUUAAAUUUAUAUAAAUUGAUUAUAUUUUUAGAAAAUUAAAUUAUUACAAUUUUUAAACUAAAUUAUUAAUAUAGACUUGCGCGUAGCGCGAGUGUAAAAUCUAAUCUAUACUAUAUAAAAGUGCGAGUAUAAAAUCUAAUUUAUACUAUAUAAAAGUUGAGACUAUAAGCCAUAGAUAGCGUUCACGUAGGAUUUAAAACAACCGAUCGUAUUAUGAUAAAUAAGUAUUUUAAUUUUUUAUUUUUAAAUAUGUUAAUGUUUCCAAGAACUUGUUUAUUUCAUAAUAAAAAAGAAAUCAACAUCGAAUAAGGCAAACUAACAAAAGUAAAAACAUUAUAAAAUAUAUUAACUUAUAUAUAUAAAAUAACAAUUUUGAAAUUUAACAGAAAUUAAGUAAAAAUAAUAAUUAUUUAAAAUGCAAUGAUUGAAACAAUUAUAACUAUAAAUUUAACUCAUGAUUUUCAAAAUUUAGGCUAUAUGCUAUUGAAACUAUUCAUAAAUAACAUACAUCAGUGAAAAACAACUAAUUAUAUUUUGAUUAAGAUUUAAAAAUUCCAUAAAAUCAUUUAAAAUAUAAUAGAAACUAAUAUCAAACAAGGUUAAAACAUCAACUCUAAACCCUAAACCAUGAAAGAUCAACUCUAAAUCCUAAACCCCGAAACAUCAACACUAAAUCCUAAAUCCUAAACCUUCAAAUCUAAACCCUAAAACGUCAAUUCUAAACCUUAAACGUAAACCCUAAACUCUAAAUCUAAACGUAAAACAUCAACUUUAAACCCUAAAUCAUCAACUCUAAACCCUAAACCAUGAAACAUCAAAUCUAAACCCUAAGCCCUAAACCCUAAACAUCAACUCUAAACCCUAAACGUAAACCCUAAAACCGUAAACCUUCAUAUCUAAACCCUAAAACAUCAACUCUAGGGUUUUAGGGUUUAGGGUUUAGAGUUGAAGGUUUAUGGUUUAGAGUUGAUGUUUUUGGGUUUAGGGUUAAUUUUUUUAGGGUUUAAGGUUUUGAGUUUAUUUUUUAGGGUUUAGGGUUUAGUGAUAGUUUAGGGUUUAGUGUUUAUGGUUUAGGGUUUAGAGUUGAAGUUUAGGGUUUAGGGUUUAAGAUUUAGAGUUGAUGUUUAGGGUUAAAGGUUGAAAGUUUUAGGGUUCGUAUUUCUAAAAAAAAUUAGGAUUGAUGGUUUACGGUUUAUAGAUGAGUUUUAGGGUUUAGGGUUUGAAUAUCGAAAUAGUAUAAUUCGAAAAAAUUAUUAAAAAAAUUAAUUUUUAUUUUUUAGAUUUUUAUUUAUUUAAAUAAUGAUUUAUUAUAUAUAUAAAGAACAAGGGCAUAAGAGUCUUUUGCCACUUAAUGAAAAAUAUAUUUUUGAAAAUUUAUAUUUAGUGGUGCUAAAAAUGAAAAAAAUGAUAGCUUGAAAGUGGUAAACUUGUAAUUUUCCUUUUUAAUAUGCUAAAAUUUCCAAAAUUAAUAAUACAAAAUGGAAUUCAACAUCAAAUAAGGAUUCCAUAAUAAAUCAUUAAAAUUAAAUUGAUUCGUAGAUAUAUAUAUAUAUAUUAAAUAUUUUGAAAUUUUACAAACAAAUCAAAAAAAAUAAUAUAAAAUUUAAAGAUACGAAAACAAAUAUAUAUCUUUUAUUUUAUUUCUUACUUUUUAUUUAAACAAUUAUUUAUUAUAUAUAUAGAGAACAAUUAUAUAAUAGUCUUUUGCCACUUAAUGAAAAAAGUAUUUUUGAAAAUGUCUCUUUAGUGGUUAAAGAUGAAUAAUGGUACCAUGAAACUAGUAAACAUGAAAAUUUCCCAUAAAUAUUAUAUUUUAGGUUCUCUAUUUUAUUAAGGGAAAAUUACAUGUUUACCACUUUCAUGGUACCAUUUUUUCAUUUUUACCACCACUAAGAAGAUAUUUUCAAAAAUACAUUCCUCGUUAAGUGGCAAAAGACUCUUAUGCCCUUGUUAUUUAUAUAUAUAAUAAAUCAUUAUUUUAAAAAUAAGUAAAAUUUUUUUUUUUAUGUUUUCGAAUUAUACUUUUUCAAAUUCGAAAUUUUUUAUAAUUUUUUUUUGAAAUUCUUUUUUCGAAUUUCUUUUAGUUUUUUUUUUCAAAUUUCUUUUUUAAAAAUGAAAAUCAUGUUUGAAACUAUUUUUCUAAUUUUUAAUAUAUUUUUAAAGUAUUUAUUUAUAUAUUUAUUAGAAUCCUAAAUUUCACAUUCCAAAAACCCUACCCCACCACUCCUCAACUCUAAAGCCUAAGUCUAGAUUAGUUAACUCUAAGGGUAUAAUUGUCUUUUACCCUUCAUUAAAAGUGAGGAUAAAAGUGGUUAGUGUAAACAUGAAAAGUGGUACUAUGAAUGUGCUAUUUGUGGCAAUUUUUCUUUUAUUAAUUCACUAAAUAAAAUAUUACUUAACAUUUGUUUUAUUCAUUAAAUUUACUUUAAAUUUAUAUUAUCUUAAAAAGAUUAUUUAAUAUUAAUUAAAGUUUAUCAAAAUAUUUCUUGUGAUUAAAUUUUAAAUCUAAAUAUUAUACUAUAUGUAUAUAUAUAUAUAUGUAUGAAUAAUAACCACACAUUAAUUAUAAUGUUUUUCUGAGUAUAAAGCAAACUUAGAUAUUAUGCAUAUAGUUUAAUCGCUUAUGUUAUUCAAAUAAAAUAUAUAAUUUUUUGAUAAAAAUAUUAUAAUGUUUUAACAUUUUACAUGCAUUGAGUAAUCUACAUAAUAUUUUAAAACAUAAUUUAAUAUUUUCAAAAACUAUCAAUAUGUUUAUAAAGAUAAUUAUUGCAUCUAUAAAUACAAAUAACUAAAUAGCUAAUAACAUUGUAUAAUUAUAAAUAAACAUAAUUAUUACAAUCAAAUAUCAUAUUUCAAAUAAUAAAAUUAGAUAAAACAAUUAAAUUGUUAGCUUAAAAGUUAUUAUAAAACUAAACUAAAUUAUUAAUUUAGAUUUGCGCGUAGCGUGGGUAUAAAAUCAAGAUUUUAUACUCGCGCGCUGUAUUAAUAAUUGAACUUAAUUUAUAAUGACUUUUAAACUAAAAAUUUAAUUGAUUUAUAUAAUUUUCUUAUUUGAAUUAUGAUUUUUUGAUAUUAUUAAUUUGUUGAUUAUUAAUUUGUUGAUUUUAUUAUUUAUGUUUACUUUAUAACUAUAACAUCUUAUUAGUUAUUUAGUUAUUUAUAAUUAUAAUUGUUAUAAUUAUGUUCAUAAACAUAUUCAUAAAUUUUAAAAAUAUUAAUCUAUAUUCUAAAAUAUUAUAUAGAUUUCUCGAUGCAUAUAAGCUGUUAAAUACAUUGUAAUAUUUUUAUCAUACUAUUUACAUAUAUCUUAUUUGAAUAACAUUAACAUUUAAACUAUAGGACGUUUGUUUAUAUGAUCUAUAUGACGUUUGUUUAUAGAGACCCUGUAUUAGAAAGACGAGAUAAAGUUUGAGAACGGCUUACGCGUUUCUCAACAAGAAAUGGACCUUGGUCCAUGAUAAAAGAUUUUUAUGAAAUAACAUGUCAUAAUGAGAAAGUAGAAGGAAGACAACGCCCUGAUAGUUUCUUUCUUCCUUUCAAGCAAAUACUUAAUGAUUGUGGUAUGAUAGAAUUUUCUUUCACGGGAGAUAUGCUCUCUUGGGUGGGGAAGAGAGCAGAAGGAUCAACAGUUCGUUGUCGUUUAGACAGAGCAGUAGGAAAUGCAGACUGGCAUGAGAAGUUUCCCCACUCGACUGUAAAGUACAUGAGGCUAUGGAGAUCGGACCAUCGUCCGAUUCUUGCAGACAUACUCAUAAAGCCAACGAGAAGAUCCAAAAAGUUUAAGUUUGAUAAAAGAUAGUUGGAUAAUGAGGAGCUACGACAAGUUAUCCUUGAGGGAUGGAAAUCUCCUGAUCUUCCUCCCAAUGCGACUAUUAUGGAACAUAUUUCCAGCUGCAGGAGAGCCUUGAGUGAAUGGCAAAAGCAAAAUCAUGUCAAUUCGGCAAAAUUAGUGGAGGAGCUUAAAGAAAAGGUGGAAGGCUUGUAUGCAGAUGAUAAUGCCACAACUGAGGAAAUUGCAGCAGCCCUGAAGGAACUCUCAGAUGCUCUUAAAGCGGAAGAGAUGUUCUGGAAGCAGAAGAAUCGGGUGUUUUGGUUGAGAGAAGGAGAUAGAAAUACAAAAUAAUUUCAUGCCUUAACGAAGCAAAGAAGAGCAAGAAAUAAGAUCACACAGCUUUUAGAUGAGAAUGGAAAUAUUGUUGAGGAUGAAGAAGGACUAGUAUCCAUUGCUACUAGUUACUUUAGGCAGAUUUUUGAAUCAUCGAAUCCGGAGGAAAUUGAGGAGGCGCUAGCUCAAGUGCCAACGACGAUAACUGGUGCUAUGAAUGACAACCUUACAGCUCUGGUAUCUGAAUGGGAGGUCAAAUUAGCGCUUUUUACCAUGCACCCAGAGAAGGCACCAGGACCAUAUGGGAUGACUGCGCUUUUCUACCAGAAAUUUUGGGAUAUAGUAAAGGAAGAUUUAACUCUUAUGGUUAAUAAAUUCCUUUUUGAGGGGACGGUGGCAAAUGGAUUGAAUGACACAAAUAUAUGUCUCAUCCCGAAGAAAACAAAGCCUAAUGCAAUGGCUCAGUUUAGACCCAUUAGCCUGUGCAAUGUCAGCUACAAGAUAAUCUCUAAAGUCUUGUGCCAGAGGUUAAAAAAAAGUGCUACCAGGUUUGAUAUCGGAAAUCCAGUCAGCCUUUGUUGCUGGGAGACAGAUUUCAGAUAAUGUUAUGAUCGGUGAUAUCACUCAAAUUACCCUAAAGAGUGUUACUCUCAUCAAAAGAGGUUCAGAUGUAGUACUUAGGGAUCGAGUCCACAGAGACUCUAGGAUUACUCAACAGACUUAAAUAAUUAGAAAUGAAGAUAGACUAAAAGGUUUUAAUAGUUUUAAAAGCAGUAAAUGAUAAAUCGAAAAUAAUAGUGAAACGAUAGAUUGAAUUGAAGUGGUUUCAAGAAUGGGAAAGUAGCUAGAUUCAGGUAAAUCUCAGGUAUGAAAUGUACGCACUUAGUUUAGACUAAAGGGUUUGAUGGUUUUUGAAAUAAACAAUGAUUUGACUGGAUAGGUUAUCUUCGCUAGAUCUCGGAUCUCAACUGUCGUAUUUUAAUCUCGAGAGAGUGUCGAUCGAUGUGAUUUUGUGUUCAUCGACCGAUACAGCUUUGUAACGAUCGAUCGACAGAACGAUAGUUGCGUCGAUCGAUGGUUAUUCUAGCGAGCUUUGCGAACGGGUUUAACUUGUCCUCAAACCUUCUCAGACCAACUGUCGUUGCGCCUGAGUUAGUUAGAUCACGCAAUUGGGUUCAGGAAUUGAGGAGAAACGGUUAGUUGGACUCAAUUAAUCCUAAGAUUUAAAAUGAAGGUGAUCAAUCUUAAUUUUAGCAUUAAGUUCACAAGCAAUGAAAGAACAAUCAAAACACCUUUUUAAUAGUCAUAUUAGCAGUACAUAAUUUCAACCAUGGUGAGAAACCUAAAUCUAACAAUUAGUUUACUCAAACAUAUUCAUGAGAGACAAAGUCAUGAUGGUGUGAAAUAAACUUAAAUGAAACAUAGAACACAGAUAGAUAGAGUAAUAGAAAUAAAGGAGUUCAAGAUCUUCUCUGUUUUGCAGUCUCAGAUCUAUCUCUCCAAUCCUAAGCUCUUCUAAUGGUAGCCAAAAUGCUCAUUCUCCAAACUAGGUCCUUUUGCAAGUGUCUACCUAAAAAUGAUACAAAACCCUAGUACAUAUAGCCUAACAGGCGGCUAGGAACUUAAGUUGCAAAUAAUAGAUCUUCUGGGAAAUGAAAUCUUUUAAUUUGCGAUCUCGUUCGUGUGACUGGGCAUCGAUCGAUGCACAUGUAUGUUUGUCGAUCGAUGGUAAGUGAUUAUGAUCGACCGAUGUUGCUCUUCAAGCGUCGAUCGAUUUUCCUUGCGUAAAAGCAUUCCAAAAUGUCCCAAAAGUAUCAUAUCCUUCCAUCAGGUGAAUAAACCUGUAAUUGCUUUGAAAAGACUCUAAAACAUGAUUAAUACGUCUUAAAACUUUUAUAUACCAUGUAUAAAAACGGGUGAAAAUCAUGGUAUAUCAACUCUCCCAGACUUAUCUUUUGACUUGUCCUCAAGUCAAACCAACAGACAGUCUCUCUGGAAGAGGGUUGAAAACAUCAGGGACUCAUAGAUUUGAAACAUUGAAAUUAUCACCUCUAUAAUAUUGCAUUCCACAUCUAAAGUUCCUUCUUACAGAAAUACAUUAUGCAACAUCCUAGCUUAGCAACUAAAGUCAUCUAGCCAACAAUAUUAACUAAUCUUAUUAUCAAUCUCCUCAACCAACCUCAUUUCUCAAUGUAAAAAGUGUAAGCUUUACCUUGGAGUAUCGAUCACAGGAUGCAAGGAUUUCAGACAAAUAUCUGGAACUGCAGGUAAAAGUUAGUUCCUAAUUUCUCUCUCUAAUUUCUCUCUUGGGUCAAAGUCUGCUUCCAUUUCAGGAUCAGUGACCAAGAUUGGACAGGCUUCCAUGAAUCAAAACUUAAUGGUGGUUGCCACCAAGCUCUGUUCACUUCUUUUUGACCUAUAUCCAAGAGUUCUUUGUGAAAGCGAGCCUUGAAGAUUGCCGCCUCCAAGUCCCGUUUCGAACUCUUUAUAGGAGUCUUUUAUGAAUCAAGCCUUAAUGGUUUUAGUCACCAAGUCAUGUUCAGACUCAUCCUAAUUAAACAAUAGAUCUUAUUAUUAUUAUUUUUUUUUUGUUAAUUACUAACUAAUAUAGGGUCGGAAUUAGAGAGAAGAAUGUGAUAUCUAAUUCUACACAAGGCUUUACCUUCCAGACUUGUCUGAAGAAUCCGAUCCCAUGUAUACCAAGCCCCAAGACAAGCAGUGAAGUCAGGUUAGUGUUGGAGGUUAGCUUUGGUUCUUUCUAACAAGCUAGCAAGUGUGUAUAGUUGACUGGUUGAUCCACUUUAGCAUCUAUAGUAUUAUCUGCAAUCAGUAAAUCUAGAAUGGUGCUAGAAAGUGGUUAGACAUUCAAGUAGAAAUCAUUAGUUCAUAAUCCCCUUCUUGACUCAAUAAAAUUAUUUUUGAAAAGAUUUUUGACAAAAACUCAAGAAAGUGGUGUUAGUAACUACCUCCCCCAGACUUAAAUUGCACUGUCCCGGUGCAAAGUGCCCAAGGGUAGGUUAAAAGCAAGUUAGAAUGUUUGAGAAUGUUAGAGUAAAAAUGAAGUACCUAUCCGUACUACACAUCGAUCGAUGUAAUCCUCUCCAUAUCGUUCGAUGUUACUCGCCGAGAAUCGAUCGAUGUAAUCCUCUCCAUAUCGAACGAUGGUGAAGCACAAAAUUUUUGCAUGUGCUGUGAGUCGAACUUGAAGUUCCUGCCUAAUGUUAGCUCUGUUAGACAACCAAGCAUAAGAAAUAAUAAGCAUUCUCAGACAUAAGAUAUAAGUUUAAGAACAUAAAUCCUACAAGUUCAGAAAAUAAAUAAACAAGUUCAUAAUAGGAAGAUAAGAGAUAGAUAUAUGAGGACUAGUCGGUGUCCUCGUCCGUCGCCUCAUCGUCCUCCGGGGAAGGGUCCCUGCGUGCUGCUGCUGGUGCCUGCGCUCCGGUAGCUCUCCUGCUCCGACAAGACACUCUAGCCCAGAUGGCCUGAAGAGCGUCCACCACGAACCUCUGAAAGUCUCCCUGGUCGUGCAUAGGGAUGUCCAGUAUGUUCGGGAAGUCGGGGAGAGGCGGUGCCUGUGCGUCCUGAGCUCUGGUACAGCGAAUGCUGGGAGGUCGGCGUGACAUGUUCCGGGGGUUGCGGAGAAAUGCCUCGUCUGGCAUGCAUCGAAGCUGCUCCACGCUGUUCCCGAAAUCAGUGAUCCUCCUAUCCGGUAGGGGUAGAAGGCGAUGCUCAUCGCAGAUCCUGAAGCGCCAGAGUUUCCCUUCCUCGAGCCAUAGCGAGUGCACCAAGUGCUGCUCGUCGAGGAAGGCGUGGUCGCGGUCGGCAGAGUGAGGGUCGAGGUGGAUGCCGAGAUACUGGAAAAUCGGGGUCAGAAGACUCCCAACUGUCUCCUUCUUCUUCUUACCCUUUCUGGUGAAGGGCUUCUUCUUCAACUCCACCAAGUGCGCGGCAAAGACAGCUCCGAGGUUUGGCGGGCUUACUUCGCCGUCCGCGUCCAACUCAACCAAAUCCACCACGCCAUUCACUGCGCAGAAAAGUAAUGUGAGCUCCUUUAUCCUGACCUUGUUGGGCUCCAUCUUGCAAGCCAGUGUGUUUGCAAGGAGCCGUAGGAAGUAGCGAAGUGCACGAUGGCGGAUGUCUGAUAGCACGGCCCUGUUUGUGUCCCAAACUCCUGUGCCGACGAUGUCCCAGAAUCUCUCGAGGUGUGGGAAAGGUGGGACCGUGUAGGAGGCGAUGCUCUCAUCGAAACGUAGAUGCGGCAGAGUUGGUGAUAGUGAUCCUGUACCGUGUCCCUCUGGCGAAGAAGGUCAAAGUACCAUCUCCCGCUACCCUCGCUGAUGAAGUCCUGUAGGUGACCUCGACAGUGGCCAUGAACUGGCGGACGAGAUCGGGGUAGAGGUCGUAAGCGCGAGAGGGCAUGGUACCGAGUCCGAGCUGUGUGAUCAUGUCCUGAAUAUCUCUCUCGAUCCCGAGCUUCUUUAGGAUGCGUCGGUCGAGGAAUUUGGUGGGCUCGAUAGAGACUCCCAGCCAAGCAUUGUAGAAGAGGCUGUCGUAGUCGUCCCAGUUGUCGGACAGGGGACGCUGACGGCACUCGUUGCUGUUGAUUGCUGCCUUAGGAUCAUCAUAGCCCGAGACAUCGACGGGUGUGUUUUUGGUGCGAGGCCAUGGAGGGCGCUGUGGGUUGGUGGAGCUGCUAGUCUCGUCGAACCUCUUUUUCGUCCUGAUUUCUCGGUUUCGUGCGUUUGUUUCUGAACUGCUCAUCUGAAACCAAGAAGAAAAGAAAGUUAGCUUUGUCGAUAAAAGGUAGUAUCGAUCGAUGGGUUGUACUGAAUAUCGAUCGAUAUUGUCGUGUCGGAACAAUCGAACAAGAGAUCAGCGGUCGCAUCGACCGAUGUCGAAUCGCGAAACCUGCAACAUCACUCAACUCCAAAUCGUGUUUAUACGAAUUAAAAGGCAUAGAAAUCACAAACCGAACUCUAAAUAAGCAAUAUGAACUACAAAAACUUCUCUCAAUCACACCAAAUCAAGCGUUCUAGUCCAACUCAAAACGAAAAUCCUAAUGUUUCGAAAAAUUGAAAAUUUCGAGUGCAUACCUUGAAUGCUGAUUUCGGGAGUGGAUUUAACAGUUUCAGAGUGAAAAAUCAAGUGGAUUUAGGCGAAGAACGGACGAAAUCCGUCAAGAAUCGAGAGAGAAAAGGGUUGUUUUUGUUUUCGGUUUCGGUUGCAAAUGAGGAAGAGGAAUGGGCCGAUAUCGAGUGAAAUAAGUGUUUUAACCAUCGAUAUACCCGCAUAGAUCGAUGGCAGUGAUGCCUCGUCGAUCGAUGUCCUCUUUAAAGACAAAUCCUAAUUUCUAAAGCUCCUAAAUAAUGCUAAUAAUAAGAAGAAAUACAUAAAUUACUAUUAAUUACUAUUAAAUAUAAUAAAAAAAUUUUAUUACUAUUUUUUAUUUUUUGAAAUAAAAUGGGUUGCCUCCCAUUCAGCGCUUAAUUUUUAAGUCUUUAGUUCGACUUCCUGAUUAAACUAAUUAUCAGGUUCAUACAGCACCAUGGGCACUUUUGCUGGUGGUUUUGCCCAAUAAUGCUUAACUCGUUGGCCGUUCACUGUAAAUUCUUGGCCUUUAUCAUUUUGUAAGGUGAUAGCUCCGGAGGGUUGAACGUUCGUUACGGUGAAGGGUCCAGACUAACGGGAUUUUAGCUUUCCAGGAAAUAAAGUUAAUCUAGAGUUAUAAAGGAGGACUUGAUCAUCUGGUUCGAAAUGCCGGGAUAUGAUCUUUUUAUCGUGAUAAGCUUUAGUCCUUUCUUUAUAAAUUUUCGAAAUUUCGAAAGCUAAAUGUCUGAUUUCAUCAAGCUCGUUAAGCUGGAUGAGUCUCCUUUCUGCAGCUGGUUUGAUAUCAAAGUUCAAAAGUUUGGUAGCCCAAGCUGCUUUGUGUUCCAGUUCGACUGGUAAAUGACAUGAUUUCCAAAAAGGAGGUGGAAUGGUGUUGUUCCUAACGGCGUUUUGUAGGCGGUCAUGUAGGCCCAAAGUGCAUUAUCUAGUUUCCUAGACCAAUCUUUUCUGGUGGUUCCUAAGGUUUUCUCUAAGAUUUCCUUAAUUUGCCGGUUAGAGACUUCUACUUGUCCACUAGUUUGUGGGUGGUAAGGUGUAGCUACUCUAUGAUGAACACCAUUCUUUUUAAGCAAUCUAUCAAAGAUUUUGUUAAUGAAAUUAGUACCACCGUCACUAAUGACUACUCUUGGAACUCCAAAUCUCGGAAAGAUUAUACUCUUGAAGAGUUUAAUAACCACAGAUGCAUCAUUGGUAGGAGAAGCUACUGCUUCGACCCAUUUGGAUACGUAGUCUACAGCGACUAGUAUAUAUUUGUUUCCAUAUGAAGACGGGAAGGGUCCCAAAAAAUCGAUACCCUAGCAAUCAAAGAAUUCAACUUCAAGAAUGAACUUCUGUUUCAUUUCGUGUCUUUUGCUGAUUUUCCACGUCUUUGGCAUCUGUCACAUUGGGUUAUAAAUGCGUGGACAUCGCGAAAAGUGGUCGGCCACCAAAAUCCUGCUUGGAGAAUUUUCGAAACCGUUUUAAAGGUAGCGAAAUGUCCUGCAUAAUCAGCUCCGUGACAUUGGUAAAUAAUGUCCGGAAUUUCAGCUUCGGAUACGCAUCGUCUGUAUAUGCCAUCAGAACAAUGCUUAUAGAGGUAAGGUUCAUCCCAAUGAUAGCGUCUUACUUCUCUGAAAAAUUUCUUCCUCAUAUAUCCCUUGAGUUCGUCUGGCUCAACCUCAGCUGCCAAAUAGUUAACUAUGUCGGCAUACCAGGGUCGGUUAUCCGAGUUUCUACUAAUCACGUCUACCUCCCGUUGUGACAAUUCCUCAGGUGUAAGAUUAAUCUCAUCACCGGAAACAUUAGCUUGCAAAUUGAAGUUGAUUUUAAUAGACGGGGGUUCGUGAUCUUGGUCAUUGGAGAGUUGAGAAGUUACAUCAGUCUCGUCAUCGAUCGAUGUAUUAAUACGUAAAUCGACCGAUAUGCCAUCUCUCUCAUCGAUCGAUAGAUCUUCCGAUGUGAGAGAUAUUUGACCGACAAAAGAUGUAUCUAAGUGUGCAACAUUCUAUGUGGGAAAGAAGUCGUCUAUAGGGACAUCAUCCUCUAUCCUUAUCCGGAAAAUAUAGUCAGCGACUCCAUUAUCUACUCCUCUCUUAUCCUUAAUUUCGAUGUCAAAUUCUUGGAGUAGUAGAAUCCAGCGUAUGAGUCGAGGUUUAGCAUCUUUCUUUUGCAUUAAAUAUUUGAUGGCAGCGUGAUCAGUGUGAACUAUCACUCGUGAGCCAAUUAAGUAUUGACGGAAUUUUUCAAAAGCGUAAACUAGUUCCUUUUCUGUUGUUGCGUAAUUCUGUUGCGCUUCAUCAAGCGUGCGGCUGGCGUAGUAAAUGGCAUGUAGCUUUUUGUCUUUCUUUUGGCCUAAAACUGCUCCAAUUGCGAAAUCGCUCGCAUCGCACAUGAUUUCGAAAGGAAGAUUCCAGUCGGGGGCUUGUACUACGUGGGCAGUGAUAAGGGAUUUCUUUAAAUCUUCAAAAGCUUUCAUGCAUUCAGGGGUAAAAUCGAAUUUAAUAUCCUUGCAUAAUAGGUUAUUUAAAGGUCUAGCGAUUUUGCUGAAGUCCAAUAUAAAUCUCCUGUAAAAUCCGGCGUGUCCAAGAAAACUCCGCACGUCUUUAACAGUUUUGGGUGGAGGUAAACUGGUCAUUACUUCAAUCUUAGCUCUAUCUACUUCUAUACCAGCGGCGGAAACCUUAUGUCCUAACACUAUUCCAUCGUUAACCAUGAAAUGACAUUUUUCCCAGUUUAGGACAAGGUUCUUUUCUUCGCAUCUUUCCAAUACUUUGCAUAAAUUGUCGAGGCAACUCUUAAAAUCUGAUCCGUAGACUGAAAAGUUCAUCCAUGAAUACUUCCAUGAAGUCCUCGAUCAUAUCCGUAAAGAUUGACAUCAUGCAACGUUGGAAAGUGGCGGGGGCGUUACAUAGACCAAAUGGCAUUCUGCGAUAUGCGAAAGUUCUAUAGGGGCAUGUAAACGUUGUCUUUCCUUGAUCAUCCGGGUGUAUAGGAAUUUGGAAAAAUCCAGAAUAUCCAUCAAGAAAACAGUAAUACUGGUGAUUAGCUAAUCUCUCCAGCAUCUGAUCAAUAAAGGGAAGGGGAAAAUGGUCUUUCCUAGUAGCGGCAUUUAAUUUCCUAUAAUCAAUACACAUCCGAUGACCAGUAAUGGUACGAGUCGGAAUGAGUUCGUCCUUUUCAUUCUUCACUACAGUGAUACCUCCCUUUUUGGGUACAACAUGUACGGAGCUUACCCAUUUGCUAUCCGAAAUAGGGUAAAUAACUCCAGCAUCAAAGAGUUUUAUAAUUUCCUUUUUAACUACUUCCUUUAGAUUCGGAUUCAAUCUCCUUUGCUGCUCUAUUGACGUUUUAGCAUCAUCUUCCAAGUUGAUCCGAUGCAUGCAAAGAUCGGGAGAGAUUUCAGGAAUGUCAUCGAGAGAAUACCCGAUCGCUUUCCUGUACUUGCGUAAUUUAUUCAGCAGUAAAGCAAGUUCUCCGCUAGUGAGAUUGGCAUUGACGAUAACAGGGUAGGACUGGUCAUAAAGGUAAGCGUACUUAAGACCGCUGGGUAGAGGUUUUAAUUCUACCUUUGGUGCUUUAUCUUUAGACCAAUUUGAUUGCGAGGGAGGUUGUCGAUCGACGGUAUCUUGUAGGUAUCGAUCGAUGACAACUUGUGAGUCGUCAUUUUCUUCUAUGUUUGCAACUUCGAUGCUAGCGUCCAUUAGUCGCAUGUAAUCGUCUGUCCUAUCUGAUAUGCUGAAAAUUUCAUUUCCCACGUGGUUAAGGGUGUCUUCUAAGGGGUUGUCUGAACACAUAUUUAGGAAAGAGUCUUUUUCAUCCUCAGAAACUUUUUCCACGUAGAAGGCCUGGUCAUCUAUUAGGGGUCGCUUAAUCAGUUUUUCCAUAUCAAAAGUCAUCGAGAUAUCCCCUAUGUUCAAAUUAAUUCGUCAUUCUUUGACGUCAAUGAUUGAUCCAGCUGUAGCUAGGAAUGGCCGACCCAGAAUGAGGGGGUCUUUGGGUUCUUGUCUUUAUUUCAACACAACAAAAUCCGUAGGCACGAUGCAAUCGUUAAUCUUUAUGGGAACAUCUUCGAGAAUUCCUUCGGGUACCCUAAUAGAUCUAUCAGCUAAAACCAGGGAGAUCGGAGUUGGCAUAAACUCUUUAUAUCCUAACGUUACUGCAACAGAGUAAGGCAUAAGAUUCACGCUAGAGCCGAGGUUACAUAAUGAUCUAGGAAAGCACGUGUUUUCUAUUUUACAAUCUAGGACGAAACUACCAGGAUCUGGUCUCUUUGUUGGAGUUUCUCCUUUAAUCAUAGCACUUACUUCUUCUGAAAUCAUCAUAACGCUAUGUUCUGCAAUGGGUAGUUUGGAGAUGUCAUCUCCUUUAUAUACUUCAUAAUCGAAGGUGCUAUUUUUAUAGCAUCACUAAGGGACAUCUCAACAGAAAUUUUGUCUAAGGCUUUCUUGCAGAUCGCGUUUUCUAAUGAUUUCUUAGUUUGCGUUUUAGGAGGAAAAGGGGGUAAAGUCCUAUAGACUCUUUCAAUUAUGGGUUCGGGUUGAGUAGACCGUCGAUCGACGGGUUUUUCAGGUUGUCGAUCGAUGGUAGGUUUUUCAGGUUGAUCGACGUCAGUUCUGUAUUGUCGAUCGAUUUCGUCCUGAAUCUCCGUAUCUUCUUCUAGUUUUAAGUCUAUUGCCUUUUCCUUAGCCUUUUCAGUGGUGGUUUUCCGGUUCUCUUGAGAUGGAUUUGGGUCAAGAUCGUUAAGAAGAAUAGGAUGAGAGUUGCUUUUUCAGGUCUUGUCGGUGUCGUCAGGUUUUCCAACAUCUGUGUUAUUCCUCGAAUCUGCUGCGAGGUUUUUCCUGCUGCGCAACAUUACGGCACUGACUUGACGUCUCGGGUUUAAAUCAGUUAUCCCGGGAAGACAUCCAGCAUCUCUCUUUAUGGCAGUUGCAAUCUCAGCUACUUGACCUUCUAAUUUCCGGAUUAGUUCUCCCAAAGAAUCUGCUUUCUCCAUUAAUUCUCCGUAAACCAUAUUUAUUUUUCCGUAAAACUCUGAUUUUGUCUUACGGUUGCCAGUAAGAGCUUGUCUGAUAUUGAACCUCUCUCUUCCGGUACGUGAUUUUACAGCAGUGUCAUAAGCUUGGGUAAAGCUAUCGACAUUAAGCACAGAGUAGAGAUCGGAACAGUUCGUUCCUUCAUCCAAAUAAUCAUUGGUGUCAGACAAAGCGUUGUCGUCGAUCUGGGCUAUAUCAGAUCAGUGUUUGUUUUGAAGAAAGGAAUGAAGAGAUUUAAGGGAAUUCUUAAUUUCUAUCAAAUCAGAGUUGUCUUUUGGGCUUGUGGCUUUUUCUAUCUCUUCAUCCAUCUUUUCAUAGGAUCUUCCCGUUGUCAUAUUCUUGAUAAGACGUCUAGCUCCUUCGGGAUUCCUAGUGAUGAAAUUUCCAUCACUCGCUGUAUCGAGUGUGGUUUUAUAGCUCAAGUUAACACCUCCAUAAAAGAUGUUAAGAAGUUGUGGUUCUGAAUAACCGUGAUGGGGACAUUCAAGUUCAUAGCCUCUGAAUCUUCCCCAGGCGUUUUUAAAAGAUUCGCGUGGACCUUGGCAAAAUGUAGAAAUUUUCUUUCUUACUUCCCAGUAGCGUUCAUCAGUGAAAAAUUCUCUAAGGAAGACACUUCUAAUCUCUUCCCAACAAGUGAGUGAUCCUGUUGCUAAACAGUUUAACCACCUGAGGGCUUCUCCUUCUAGGGAGAAUGAGAAUAGUUUGCAACGAUCAUAUUCGUCUGGUAUAAAUUCUUCCAAAUUUUCAAUGUGAUCUUGUGGGUGUUCUGGGAGGGAUCCACGAAAUGGAUUUUGACGAACCAUACGGUAGUAAUCUGCGUUAAACUUAGAUUUCUUGGUAUCGUCUCCUGGUAUUUUGAUAGCGGACCUAUUGGAAUAUGUCCUACCAGGAUCAAGGUAGUCUUGUAUGGACAAUUUUAUAUCUUCACCUUUAGUUAAGGUGGAAUUUUCCUUAACAGGGAUUUCAGUCCCCUGUUCAGUUUGGCUAGCUUCAUUGCUCGUUUGACCAUUUAGUUCAGUUUGGACUACUUUCUCAUUAGCGGGCUUGGUAAGAGAAAACUUACCUGCUUCCAGCUGGGCGGUAUCGAUCGAUGUUGUUAGCUCUGUAUCGGUCGAUUCUUCUGACUCAACGUCGCUCGAUGGAAACGUGUCUCCGUCGAUCGAUGGUUGGUCGCGGUCUGUGUUCUCCAUUCUUUGUGUCUGCGUAACAGAUUAAGAAAGAAAACUAUAGCAAGUUUUUCGUAACAAGUCUAUACUAAAUUCUAAAUUAAAUCUAAUGGUAAUAAGAAAGAGUCUCCGGCAACGGCGCCAAUUUGAUAUCACUCAAAUUACCCUAAAGAGUGUUCCCUCAUCAAAAGAGGUUCAGAUGUAGUACUUAGGGAUCGAAUCCACAGAGACUCUAAGAUUACUCAACAGACUUAAUAAUUAGAAAUGAAGAUAGACUAAAAGGUUUUAAUAGUUUUAAAAGCAGUAAAUGAUAAAUCAAAAAUAUAGUGAAACGAUAGAUUGAAUUGAAGUGGUUUCAAGAAUGGGAAAGUAGCUAGAUUCAGGUAAAUCUCAGGUAUGAAAUGUACGCACUUAGUUUAGACUAAAGGGUUUGAUGGUUUUUGAACUAAACAAUGAUUUGACAGGAUAGGUUAUCUUCGCUAGAUCUCGGAUCUCAACUGUCGUAUUUUAAUCUCGAGAGAGUGUCGAUCGAUGUGACUUUAUGUUCAUCGACCGAUACACCUUUGUAACGAUCGAUCGACAGAACGAUAGUUGCAUCGAUCGAUGGUUAUUCUAGCGAGCUUUGCGAACAAGGUUUAACUUGUCCUCUAACCUUCUCAGACCAACUGUCGUUGCGCCUGAGUUAUUUAGAUCACGCAAGUGGGUUCAGGAUUGAGGGGAAACGGUUAGUUGGACUCAAUUAAUCCUAAGAUCUAAAUGAAGGUGAUCAAUCUUAAUUUUAGCAUUAAGUUCACAAGCAAUGAAAGAACAAUCAAAACACCUUUUUAAUAGUCAUAUUAGCAGUACAUAAUUUCAACCAUGGUGAGAAACCUAAAUCUUACAAUUGGUUUACUCAAACAUAUUCAUGAGAGACAAAGUCAUGAUGGUGUGAAAUAAACUUAAAUGAAACAUAGAACACAGAUAGAUAGAGUAAAUAGAAUAAAGGAGUUCAAGAUCUUCUCUGUUUUGCAGUCUCAGAUCUAUCUCUCCAAUCCUAAGCUCUUAUAAUGGUAGCCAAAAUGCUCCUUCUCCAAAAAGAGGUCCUUUGCUAGUGUCUACUUAAAAAUGAUACAAAACCCCUAGUACAUAUAGCCUAACAGGCGGCUAGGGACUUAAGUUGCAAAUAAUAGAUCUUCUGAGAAAGAAAUCUUUUAAUUUGCGAUCUCGUUCGUGGUGACUGGGCAUCGAUCGAUGCACAUGUAUGUUUGUCGAUCGGUGGUAAGUGAUUAUGAUCGACCGAUGUGUGCGCUUCAAGCGUCGAUCGAUUUUCCUUGCGUAAAAGCAUUCCAAAAUGUCCCAAAGUAUCAUUUCCUUCCAUCAGGUGAAUAAGCCUGUAAUUGCUUUGAAAACUCUAAAACAUGAUUAAUACGUCUUAAAACCUUUAAUACCAUGUAUAAAAAACGGGUGAAAAUCAUGGUAUAUCAAUCGCUCAUGAAAUGUUCCACGCUUUGCGAACGAAACCAGUGGGACGAAACAAAAGGAUGGCCAUCAAACAAACAUGAGCAAAGCAUAUGAUAGGAUGGACUGGUCUUUUAUGAAGCUGUCCUGCGCAAGAUGGGUUUCUCAGAAACUUGGAUCAGCUGGGUCAUGCGAUGCAUUACAUCGUGAAAUAUAAGGUCUCGUUGAAUGGAGAGCCAAGAGGGAAUAUUAUUCCAGGUAGAGGACUACGUCAAGGAGAUCCUUUGUCUCCUUUUCAUUUUAUUCUAUGCACGGAAGCACUCGCUAGCCUUCUUAAUUAUGCAGAGAUCCAGGGAAGAUAACAGGGAUGCGUGUUACACGCACGUGUCCGUCGGUAUCCCACCUUCUUUUUUGCUGAUGAUAGCCUUUUCUUCUGUAAGGCGGAGCCCCGUGAAUGUGAAGAAGUAAUGAAAGUAGUCAGGAAAUAUGGUAAACAUCUGGUCAAUGUAUCAACUUUGACAAAUCAUCCUUACUCUUGGUAAGCGGAUUAAUGCAAAUACUAGACAAGAGAUUAAAGAUGCACUUGGGAUACAGAAUGAAGGAGGAAUAGGAAAUACUUGAGGGACAUCCCGAAGACAUAAGUGGAUCUAAUGCAAAUUUUUGCAUUCCGGAAAGAUAAGCUGAUUACAUGAGUGAAUGGAUGGACAGGUAGAUGGCUUGAUAUGAAAAAAGUAAAAUGUUCUUUUCAGAUAAGUUUGCGUGAUAUGAAAAAGUAAAAUGUUCUUUUUCACUUUAUCAUUAGUCUUAAGUUGUUUUGUAUCCAAGCGACAUUUCAUUAGGACAUAUACGCAGUAGAUCUCAAAUAUAUUCAANNNNNNNNNNNNNNNNNNNNNNNNNNNNNNNNNNNNNNNNNNNNNNNNNNNNNNNNNNNNNNNNNNNNNNNNNNNNNNNNNNNNNNNNNNNNNNNNNNNNCAAACUCCACCAGAACUGAGUGAUGGCACUGGCUAAAUUUUCACAUAUCUCCAAUGGGAGCAGGAAAGUCGACAUGAUGUUGUCGGAAAGAGCGACAGAAUUGAUUUAAUCAGCACAUUCCUUCCACCUUUGAGAGCCAUCUACCUGUCCAUCCAUUCACUCUAUGUAUCAGCUUAUCUUUCAGGAAUGCAAAAAUUUGCAUUUAGAUCCACUUAUGUCUUCGGGGAUGCCUAGUAUGUUCCUAUUCCUCCUUCAUUCUGUAUCCCAAGUGCAUCUUUAAUCUCUUGUCUAGUAUUUGCAUUAAUCCGCUUACCAAAGAGUAAGGAUGAUUUGUCAAAGUUGAUACAUUGACCAGAUGCUUUACCAUAUUUCCUGACUACUUUCAUUACUUCUUCACAUUCACGGGGCUCCGCCUUACAGAAGAAAAGGCUAUCAUCAGCAAAGAGAAGGUGGGAUACCGACGGACACGUGCGUGUAACACGCAUCCCUGUUAUCUUCCCUUGGAUCUCUGCAUAAUUAAGAAGGCUAGCGAGUGCUUCCGUGCAUAGAAUAAAAAUGAAAGGAGACAAAGGAUCUCCUUGACGUAGUCCUCUACCUGGAAUAAUAUUCACUCUUGGCUCUCCAUUCAUGAGAACCUUAUAUUUCACCGAUGUAAUGCAUCGCAUGACCCAGCUGAUCCAAGUUUCUGAGAAACCCAUCUUGCGCAGGACAGCUUCAAUAAAAGACCAGUCCAUCCUAUCAUAUGCUUUGCUCAUGUUUGUCUUGAUGGCCAUCCUUUUGUUUCGUCCACUUGGUUUCGUUCGCAAAGCGUGGAACAUUUCAUGAGCGAUUGAUAUACCAUGAUUUUCACCCGUUUUUAUACAUGGUAUAUAAAGGUUUUAAGACUUAUUAAUCAUGUUUUAGAGUCUUUUCAAAGCAAUUACAGGUUUAUUCACCUGAUGGAAGGAAAUGAUACUUUUGGGACAUUUUGGAAUGCUUUUACGCAAGGAAAAUCGAUCGACGCUUGAAGCGCAACAUCGGUCGAUCAUAAUCACUUACCACCGAUCGACAAACAUACAUGUGCAUCGAUCGAUGCCCAGUCACACGAACGAGAUCGCAAAUUAAAAGAUUUCAUUUCUCAGAAGAUCUAUUAUUUGCAACUUAAGUCCCUAGCCGCCUGUUAGGCUAUAUGUACUAGGGUUUUGUAUCAUUUUUAAGUAGACACUAGCAAAAGGACCUAUUUUGGAGAAGGAGCAUUUUGGCUACCAUUAGAAGAGCUUAGGAUUGGAGAGAUAGAUCUGAGACUGCAAAACAGAGAAGAUCUUGAACUCCUUUAUUUCUAUUACUCUAUCUAUCUGUGUUCUAUGUUUCAUUUAAGUUUAUUUCACACCAUCAUGACUUUGUCUCUCAUGAAUAUGUUUGAGUAAACCAAUUGUAAGAUUUAGGUUUCUCACCAUGGUUGAAAUUAUGUACUGCUAAUAUGACUAUUAAAAAGGUGUUUUGAUUGUUCUUUCAUUGCUUGUGAACUUAAUGCUAAAAUUAAGAUUGAUCACCUUCAUUUUAGAUCUUAGGAUUAAUUGAGUCCAACUAACCGUUUCCCCUCAAUUCCUGAACCCACUUGCGUGAUCUAACUAACUCAGGCGCAACGACAGUUGGUCUGAGAAGGUUAGAGGACAAGUUAAACUUGUUCGCAAAGCUCGCUAGAAUAACCAUCGAUCGAUGCAACUAUCGUUCUGUCGAUCGAUCGUUACAAAGGUGUAUCGGUCGAUGAACAUAAAGUCACAUCGAUCGACACUCUCUCGAGAUUAAAAUACGACAGUUGAGAUCCGAGAUCUAGCGAAGAUAACCUAUCCUGUCAAAUCAUUGUUUAGUUCAAAAACCAUCAAACCCUUUAGUCUAAACUAAGUGCGUACAUUUCAUACCUGAGAUUUACCUGAAUCUAGCUACUUUCCCAUUCUUGAAACCACUUCAAUUCAAUCUAUCGUUUCACUAUUAUUUUUGAUUUAUCAUUUACUGCUUUUAAAACUAUUAAAACCUUUUAGUCUAUCUUCAUUUCUAAUUAUUAAGUCUGUUGAGUAAUCUUAGUCUCUGUGGAUUCGAUCCCUAAGUACUACAUCUGAACCUCUUUUGAUGAGGUAACACUCUUUAGGGUAAUUUGAGUGAUAUCAAAUUUGGCGCCGUUGCCGGGACUCUUUCUUAUUACCAUUAGAUUUAAUUUAGAAUUUAGUAUAGACUUGUUACGAAAAACUUGCUAAAGUUUUCUUUCUUAAUCUGUUACGCAGACACAAAGAAUGGAGAACACAGAGCGCGACCAACCAUCGAUCGACGGAGACACGUUUCCAUCGAGCGACGUUGAGUCAGAAGAAUCGACCGAUACAGAGCUAACAACAUCGAUCGAUACCGCCCAGCUGGAAGCAGGUAAGUUUUCUCUUACCAAGCCCGCUAAUGAGAAAGUAGUCCAAACUGAACUAAAUGGUCAAACGAGCAAUGAAGCUAGCCAAACUGAACAGGGGACUGAAAUCCCUGUUAAGGAAAAUUCCACCUUAACUAAAGGUGAAGAUAUAAAAUUGUCCAUACAAGACUACCUUGAUCCUGGUAGGACCUAUUCCAAUAGGUCCGCUAUCAAAAUACCAGGAGACGAUACCAAGAAAUCUAAGUUUAACGCAGAUUACUACCGUAUGGUUCGUCAAAACCCAUUCCGUGGAUCCCUCCCAGAACACCCACAAGAUCACAUUGAAACUUUGGAAGAAUUAAUACCAGAUGAAUAUGAUCGUUGCAAACUAUUCUCAUUCUCCCUAGAAGGAGAAGCCCUCAGGUGGUUAAACUGUUUAGCAGUUGUCUUCCUUAGAGAAUUUUUCACUGAUGAACGCUACUGGGAAGUAAGAAAGCAAAUUUCUACAUUUUGCCAAGGUCCACGCGAAUCUUUUAAAAACGCCUGGGGAAGAUUCAGAGGCUAUGAACUUGAAUGUCCCCAUCACGGUUAUUCAGAACCACAACUUCUUAACAUCUUUUAUGGAGGUGUUAACUUGAGCUAUAAAACCACACUCGAUACAGCGAGUGAUGGAAAUUUCAUCACUAGGAAUCCCGAAGGAGCUAGACGUCUUAUCAAGAAUAUGACAACGGGAAGAUCCUAUGAAAAGAUGGAUGAAGAGAUAGAAAAAGCCACAAGUCCAAAAGACAACUCUGAUUUGAUAGAAAUUAAGAAUUCCCUUAAAUCCCUUCAUUCCUUUCUUCAAAACAAACACCAAUCUGAUAUAGCCCAGAUCGGCGACAAUGCUUUGUCUGACACCAAUGAUUAUUUGGAUGAAGGAACGAACUGUUCCGAUCUCUACUCUGUGCUUAAUGUCGAUAGCUUUACCCAAGCUUAUGACACUGCUGUAAAAUCACGUACCGGAAGAGAGAGGUUCAAUAUCAGACAAGCUCUUACUGGCAACCGUAAGACAAAAUCGGAGUUUUACGGAAAAAUAAAUAUGGUUUACGGAGAAUUAAUGAAGAAAGCAGAUUCUUUGGGAGAACUAAUCCGAAAAUUAGAAGGUCAAGUAGCUGAGAUUGCAACUGCCAUAAAGAGAGAUGCUGGAUGUCUUCCCGGGAGAACUGAUUUAAACCCGAGACGUAAAGUCAGUGCCGUAAUGUUGCGCAGCGGGAAAAACGUCGCAGCAGAUACGAGGAAUAACACAGAUGUUGGAAAACCUGACGACACCGACAAGACCUGAAAAAGCAACUCUCAUCCUAUUCUUCUUAACGAUCUUGACCCAAAUCCAUCUCAAGAGAACCGGAAAACCACCACUGAAAAGGCUAAGGAAAAGGCAAUAGACUUAAAACUAGAAGAAGAUACGGAGAUUGAGGACGAAAUCGAUCGACAGUACAGAACUGACGUCGAUCAACCUGAAAAACCUACCAUCGAUCGACAACCUGAAAAACCCGUCGAUCGACGGUCUACUCAACCCGAACCCAUAAUUGAAAGAGUCUAUAGGACUUUACCCCCUUUUCCUCCUAAAACGCAAACUAAGAAAUCAUUAGAAAACGCGAUCUGCAAGAAAGCCUUAGACAAAAUUUCUGUUGAGAUGUCCCUUAGUGAUGCUAUAAAAAUAGCACCUUCGAUUAAGAAGUAUAUAAAGGAGAUGACAUCUCCAAACUACCCAUUGCAGAACAUAGCGUUAUGAUGAUUUCAGAAGAAGUAAGUGCUAUGAUUAAAGGAGAAACUCCAACAAAGAGACCAGAUCCUCGUAGUUUCGUCCUAGAUUGUAAAAUAGAAAACACGUGCUUUCCUAGAUCAUUAUGUGACAUCGGCUCUAGCGUGAACCUUAUGCCUUACUCUGUUGCAGUAAUGUUAGAAUAUAAAGAGUUUAUGCCAACUCCGAUCACCCUGGUUUUAGCUGAUAGAUCUAUUAGGGUACCCGAAGGAAUUCUCGAAGAUGUUCCCAUAAAGAUUAACGAUUGCAUCGUGCCUAUGGAUUUUGUUGUGUUGAAAUACAGACAAGAACCCAAAGACCCCCUCAUUCUGGGUCGGCCAUUCCUAGCUACAGCUAGAUCAAUCAUUGACAUCAAAAAGGACGAAUUAAUUUGAACAUAGGGGAUAUCUCGAUGACUUUUGAUAUGGAAAAACUGAUUAAGCGACCCCUAAUAGAUGACCAGGCCUUCUACGUGGAAAAAGUUUCUGAGGAUGAAAAAGACUCUUUCCUAAACAUGUGUUCAGACAACCCCUUAGAAGACACCCUUAACCACGUGGGAAAUGAAAUUUUCAGCAUAUCAGAUAGGACAGACGAUUACAUGCGACUAAUGGACGCUAGCAUCGAAGUUGCAAACGUAGAAGAAAAUGACGACUCACAAGUUGUCAUCGAUCGAUACCUACAAGAUACCGUCGAUCGACAACCUCCCUCGCAAUCAAAUUGGUCUAAAGAUAAAGCACCAAAGGUAGAAUUAAAACCUCUACCCAGCGGUCUUAAGUACGCUUACCUUUAUGACCAGUCCUACCCUGUUAUCGUCAACGCCAAUCUCACUAGCGGAGAACUUGCUUUACUGCUGAAUAAAUUACGCAAGUACAGGAAAGCGAUCGGGUAUUCUCUCGAUGACAUUCCUGGAAUCUCUCCCGAUCUUUGCAUGCAUCGGAUCAACUUGGAAGAUGAUGCUAAAACGUCAAUAGAGCAGCAAAGGAGAUUGAAUCCGAAUCUAAAGGAAGUAGUUAAAAAGGAAAUUAUAAAACUCCUUGAUGCUGGAGUUAUUUACCCUAUUUCGGAUAGCAAAUGGGUAAGCCCCGUACAUGUUGUACCCAAAAAGGGAGGUAUCACUGUAGUGAAGAAUGAAAAGGACGAACUCAUUCCGACUCGUACCGUUACUGGUCAUCGGAUGUGUAUAGAUUAUAGGAAAUUGAAUGCCGCUACUAGGAAAGACCAUUUUCCCCUUCCCUUUAUUGAUCAGAUGCUGGAGAGAUUAGCUAAUCACCAGUAUUACUGUUUUCUUGAUGGAUAUUCUGGAUUUUUCCAAAUUCCUAUACACCCGGAUGAUCAAGGAAAGACAACGUUUACAUGCCCCUAUAGAACUUUCGCAUAUCGCAGAAUGCCAUUUGGUCUAUGUAACGCCCCCGCCACUUUCCAACGUUGCAUGAUGUCAAUCUUUACGGAUAUGAUCGAGGACUUCAUGGAAGUAUUCAUGGAUGACUUUUCAGUCUACGGAUCUGAUUUUAAGAGUUGCCUCGACAAUUUAUGCAAAGUAUUGGAAAGAUGCGAAGAAAAGAACCUUGUCCUAAACUGGGAAAAAUGCCAUUUCAUGGUUAACGAUGGAAUAGUGUUAGGACAUAAGGUUUCCGCCGCUGGUAUAGAAGUAGAUAGAUCUAAGAUUGAAGUAAUGACCAGUUUACCUCCACCCAAAACUGUUAAAGACGUGCGAAGUUUUCUUGGACACGCCGGAUUUUACAGGAGAUUUAUACUGGACUUCAGCAAAAUCGCUAGACCUUUAAAUAACCUAUUAUGCAAGGAUAUUAAAUUCGAUUUUACCCCUGAAUGCAUGAAAGCUUUUGAAGAUUUAAAGAAAUCCCUUAUCACUGCCCUCGUAGUACAAGCCCCCGACUGGAAUCUUCCUUUCGAAAUCAUGUGCGAUGCGAGCGAUUUCGCAAUUGGAGCAGUUUUAGGCCAAAGAAAGACAAAAAGCUACAUGCCAUUUACUACGCCAGCCGCACGCUUGAUGAAGCGCAACGGAAUUACGCAACAACAGAAAAGGAACUAUUAGCUGUAGUUUACGCUUUUGAAAAAUUCCGUCAAUACUUGAUUGGCUCACGAGUGAUAGUUCACACUGAUCACGCUGCCAUCAAAUAUUUAAUGCAAAAGAAAGAUGCUAAACCUCGACUCAUACGCUGGAUUCUACUACUCCAAGAGUUUGACAUCGAAAUUAAGGAUAAGAGAGGAGUAGAUAAUGGAGUCGCUGACCAUCUUUUCCGGAUAAGGAUAGAGGAUGAUGUCCCUAUAGACGAUUCUUUCCCACAGAGAAUGUUGCACACAUAGAUACAUCUUUUGUCGGUCAAAUAUCUCUCACAUCUGAAGAUCUAUCGAUCGAUGAGAGAGAUGGCAUAUCGGUCGAUUUACGUAGUAAUACAUCGAUCGAUGACGAGACUGAUGUAACUUCUCAACUCUCCAAUGACAAAGAUCACGAACCCCCGUCUAUUAAAAUCAACUUCAAUUUGCAAGUUAAUGUUUCCGGUGAUGAGAUUAGUCUUACACCUGAGGAAUUAUCACAACGGGAGGUAGACGCGAUUAGUAGAAACUCGGAUAACCGAUCCUGGUAUGCCGACAUGGUUAACUAUUUGGCAGCUGAGGUUGAGCCAGACGAACUCAAGGGAUAUAUGAGGAAAAUUUUUUCAGAGAAGUAAGACGCUAUCAUUGGGAUGAACCUUACCUCUAUAAGCAUUGUUCUGAUGGCAUAUACAGACGAUGCGUAUCCGAAGCUGAAAUUCCGGACAUUAUUUACCAAUGUCACGGAGCUGAUUAUGCAGGACAUUUCGCUACCUUUAAAACGGUUUCGAAAAUUCUCCAAGCAGGAUUUUGGUGGCCGACCACUUUUCGUGAUGUCCACGCAUUUAUAACCCAAUGUGACAGAUGCCAAAGACGUGGAAAAAUCAGCAAAAGACACGAAAUGAAACAGAAGUUCAUUCUUGAAGUUGAAGUCUUUGAUUGCUAGGGUAUCGAUUUUUUGGGACCCUUCCCGUCUUCAUAUGGAAACAAAUAUAUACUAGUCGCUGUAGACUACGUAUCCAAAUGGGUCGAAGCAGUAGCUUCUCCUACCAAUGACGCAUCUGUGGUUAUUAAACUCUUCAAGAGUAUAAUCUUUCCGAGAUUUGGAGUUCCAAGAGUAGUCAUUAGUGAUGGUGGUACUCAUUUCAUUAACAAAAUCUUUGAUAGAUUGCUUAAAAUGAAGGGUGUUCAUCAUAGAGUAGCUACACCUUACCACCCACAAAAUAGUCGACAAGUAGAAGUCUCUAACCGGCAAAUUAAGGAAAUCUUCGAGAAAACCGUAGGAACCUCCAGAAAAGAUUGGUCUAGGAAACUAGAUAAUGCACUUUGGGCCUACAGGACCGCCUACAAAACGCCGUUAGGAACAACACCAUUCCACCUCCUUUAUGGCAAAUCAUGUCACUUACCAGUCGAACUGGAACACAAAGCAGCUUGGGCUACCAAACUUUUGAACUUUGAUAUCAAACCAGCUGCAGAAAGGAGACUCAUCCAGCUUAACGAGCUUGAUGAAACCAGACAUUUAGCUUUCGAAAUUUCGAAAAUUUAUAAAGAAAGGACUAAAGCUUAUCACGAUAAAAAGAUCAUAUCCCGGCAUUUCGAACCAGAUGAUCAAGUCCUCCUUUAUAACUCUAGAUUAACUUUAUUUCCUGGAAAGCUAAAAUCCCGUUGGUCUGGACCCUUCACCGUAACGAACGUUCAACCCUCCGGAGCUAUCACCUUACAAAAUGAUAAAGGCCAAGAAUUUACAGUGAACGGCCAACGAGUUAAGCAUUAUUGGGCAAAACCACCAGCAAAAGCGCCCAUGGUGCUGUAUGAACCUGAUAAUUAGUUUAAUCAGGAAGUCGAACUAAAGACUUAAAAAUUAAGCGCUGAAUGGGAGGCAACCCAUUUUAUUUCAAAAAUAAAAAAUAGUAAUAAAAUUUUUUUAUUAUAUUUAAUAGUAAUUAAUAGUAAUUUAUGUAUUUCUUCUUAUUAUUAGCAUUAUUUAGGAGCUUUAGAAAUUAGGAUUUGUCUUUAAAGAGGACAUCGAUCGACGAGGCAUCACUGCCAUCGAUCUAUGCGGGCAUAUCGAUGGUUAAAACACUUAUUUCACUCGAUAUCGGCCCAUUCCUCUUCCUCAUUCGCAACCGAAACCGAAAACAAAAACAACCCUUUUCUCUCUAGAUUCUUGACGGAUUUCGUCUGUUCUUCGCCUAAAUCCACUUGAUUUUUCACUCUGAAACUGUUAAAUCCACUCCCGAAAUCAGCAUUCAAGGUAUGCACUCGAAAUUUUCAAUUUUUCGAAACAUUAGGAUUUUCGUUUUGAGUUGGACUAGAACGCUUGAUUUGGUGUGAUUGAGAGAAGUUUUUGUAGUUCAUAUUGCUUAUUUAGAGUUCGGUUUGUGAUUUCUAUGCCUUUUAAUUCGUAUAAACGCGAUUUGGAGUUGAGUGAUGUUGCAGGUUUCGCGAUUCGACAUCGGUCGAUGCGACCGCUGAUCUCUUGUUCGAUUGUUCCGACACGACAAUAUCGAUCGAUAUUCAGUACAACCCAUCGAUCGAUACUACCUUUUAUCGACAAAGCUAACUUUCUUUUCUUCUUGGUUUCAGAUGAGCAGUUCAGAAACAAACGCACGAAGCCGAGAAAUCAGGACGAAAAAGAGGUUCGACGAGACUAGCAGCUCCACCAACCCACAGCCCCCUCCAUGGCCUCGCACCGAAAACACACCCGUCGAUGUCUCGGGCUAUGAUGAUCCUAAGGCAGCGAUCAACAGCAACGAGUGCCGUCAGCGUCCCCUGUCCGACAACUGGGACGACUACGACAGCCUCUUCUACAAUGCUUGGCUGGGAGUCUCUAUCGAGCCCACCAAAUUCCCCGACCGACGCAUCCUAAAGAAGCUCGGGAUCGAGAGAGAUAUUCAGGACAUGAUCACACAGCUCGGACUCGGUACCAUGCCCUCUCGCGCUUACGACCUGUACCCCGAUCUCGUCCGCCAGUUAAUGGCCACUGUCGAGGUCACCUACAGGACUUCAUCAGCGAGGGUAGCGGGAGAUUGUUCUUUGACCUUCUUCGCCAGAGGGACACGGUACAGGAUCACUAUCACCAACUUCUGCCGCAUCUACAGUUUCGAUGAGAGCAUCGCCUCCUACACGGUCCCACCUUUCCCACACCUCGAGAGAUUCUGGGACAUCGUCGGCACAGGAGUUUGGGACACAAACAGGGCCGUGCUAUCAGACAUCCGCCAUCGUGCACUUCGCUACUUCCUACGGCUCCUUGCAAACACACUGGCUUGCAAGAUGGAGCCCAACAAGGUCAGGAUAAAGGAGCUCACAUUACUUUUCUGCGCAGUGAAUGGCGUGGUGGAUUUGGUUGAGUUGGACGCGGACGGCGAAGUAAGCCCGCCAACCUCGGAGCUGUCUUUGCCGCGCACUUGGUGGAGUUGAAGAAGAAGCCCUUCACCAGAAAGGGUAAGAAGAAGAAGGAGACAGUUGGGAGUCUUCUGACCCCGAUUUUCCAGUAUCUCGGCAUCCACCUCGACCCUCACUCUGCCGACCGCGACCACGCCUUCCUCGACGAGCAGCACUUGGUGCACUCGCUAUGGCUCGAGGAAGGGAAACUCUGGCGCUUCAGGAUCCGCGAUGAGCAUCGCCUUCUACCCCUACCGGAUAGGAGGAUCACUGAUUUCGGGAACAGCGUGGAGCAGCUUCGAUGCAUGCCAGACGAGGCAUUUCUCCGCAACCCCCGGAACAUGUCACGCCGACCUCCCAGCAUUCGCUGUACCAGAGCUCAGGACGCACAGGCACCGCCUCUCCCCGACUUCCCGAACAUACUGGACAUCCCUAUGCACGACCAGGGAGACUUUCAGAGGUUCGUGGUGGACGCUCUUCAGGCCAUCUGGGCUAGAGUGUCUUGUCGGAGCAGGAGAGCUACCGGAGCGCAGGCACCAGCAGCAGCACGCAGGGACCCUUCCCCGGAGGACGAUGAGGCGACGGACGAGGACACCGACUAGUCCUCAUAUCUCUAUCUCUUAUCUUCCUAUUAUGAACUUGUUUAUUUAUUUUCUGAACUUGUAGGAUUUAUGUUCUUGAACUUAUAUCUUAUGUCUGAGAAUGCUUAUUAUUUCUUAUGCUUGGUUGUCUAACAGAGCUAACAUUAGGCAGGAACUUCAAGUUCGACUCCAAGCACAUGCAAAAAUUUUGUGCUUCACCAUCGUUCGAUAUGGAGAGGAUUACAUCGAUCGAUUCUCGGCGAGUAACAUCGAACGAUAUGGAGAGGAUUACAUCGAUCGAUGUGUAGUACGGAUAGGUACUUCAUUUUUACUCUAACAUUCUCAAACAUUCUAACUUGCUUUUAACCUACCCUUGGGCACUUUGCACCGGGACAGUGCAAUUUAAGUCUGGGGGAGGUAGUUACUAACACCACUUUCUUGAGUUUUUGUCAAAAAUCUUUUCAAAAAUAAUUUUAUUGAGUCAAGAAGGGGAUUAUGAACUAAUGAUUUCUACUUGAAUGUCUAACCACUUUCUAGCACCAUUCUAGAUUUACUGAUUGCAGAUAAUACUAUAGAUGCUAAAGUGGAUCAACCAGUCAACUAUACACACUUGCUAGCUUGUUAGAAAAAACCAAAGCUAACCUCCAACACUAACCUGACUUCACUGCUUGUCUUGGGGCUUGGUAUACAUGGGAUCGGAUUCUUCAGACAAGUCUGGAAGGUAAAGCCUUGUGUAGAAUUAGAUAUCACAUUCUUCUCUCUAAUUCCGACCCUAUAUUAGUUAGUAAUUAACAAAAAAAAAAUAAUAAUAAUAAGAUCUAUUGUUUAAUUAGGAUGAGUCUGAACAGGACUUGGUGGCUAAAACCAUUAAGGCUUGAUUCAUAAAAGACUCCUAUAAAGAGUUCAAAACAGGACUUGGAGGCGGCAAUCUUCAAGGCUCUCUUUCACAAAGAACUCUUGGAUAUAGGUCAAAAAGAAGUGAACAGAGCUUGGUGGCAACCACCAUUAAGUUUUGAUUCAUGGAAGCCUGUCCAAUCUUGGUCACUGAUCCUGCAAUGGAAGCAGACUUUGACCCAAAAGAGAAAUUAGAGAGAGAAAUUAGGAACUAACUUUUACCUGCAGUUCCAGAUAUUUGUCUGAAAUCCUUGCAUCCUGUGAUCGAUACUCCAAGGUAAAGCUUACACUUUUUACAUUGAGAAAUGAGGUUGGUUGAGGAGAUUGAUAAUAAGAUUAGUUAAGAUUGUUGGCUAGAUGACUUUAGUUGCUAAGCUAGGAUAUUGCAUAAUGUAUUUCUGUAAGAAGGAACUUUAGAUGUGGAAUGCAAUAUUAUAGAGGUGAUAAUUUCAAUGUUUCAAAUCUUUGAGUCCCUGAUGUUUUCAACCCUCUUCCAGAGAGACUGUCUGUUGGUUUGACUUGAGGACAAGUCAAAAGAUAAGUCUGGGGGAGUUGAUAUACCAUGAUUUUCACCCGUUUUUAUACAUGGUAUAUAAAAGUUUUAAGACGUAUUAAUCAUGUUUUAGAGUCUUUUCAAAGCAAUUACAGGUUUAUUCACCUGAUGGAAGGAUAUGAUACUUUUGGGACAUUUUGGAAUGCUUUUACGCAAGGAAAAUCGAUCGACGCUUGAAGAGCAAUAUCGGUCGAUCAUAAUCACUUACCAUCGAUCAACAAACAUACAUGUGCAUCGAUCGAUGCCCAGUCACACGAACGAGAUCGCAAAUUAAAAGAUUUCAUUUCCCAGAAGAUCUAUUAUUUGCAACUUAAGUUCCUAGCCGCCUGUUAGGCUAUAUGUACUAGGGUUUUGUAUCAUUUUUAGGUAGACACUUGCAAAAGGACCUAGUUUGGAGAAUGAGCAUUUUGGCUACCAUUAGAAGAGCUUAGGAUUGGAGAGAUAGAUCUGAGACUGCAAAACAGAGAAGAUCUUGAACUCCUUUAUUUCUAUUACUCUAUCUAUCUGUGUUCUAUGUUUCAUUUAAGUUUAUUUCACACCAUCAUGGCUUUGUCUCUCAUGAAUAUGUUUGAGUAAAGUAAUUGUUAGAUUUAGGUUUCUCACCAUGGUUGAAAUUAUGUACUGCUAAUAUGACUAUUAAAAAGGUGUUUUGAUUGUUCUUUCAUUGCUUGUGAACUUAAUGCUAAAUUAAGAUUGAUCACCUUCAUUUUAAAUCUUAGGAUUAAUUGAGUCCAACUAACCGUUUCUCCUCAAUUCCUGAACCCAAUUGCGUGAUCUAACUAACUCAGGCGCAACGACAGUUGGUCUGAGAAGGUUUGAGGACAAGUUAAACCCGUUCGCAAAGCUCGCUAGAAUAACCAUUGAUCGACGCAACUAUCGUUCUGUCGAUCGAUCGUUACAAAGGUGUAUCGGUCGAUGAACACAAAAUCACAUCGAUCGACACUCUCUCGAGAUUAAAAUACGACAGUUGAGAUCCGAGAUCUAGCGAAGAUAACCUAUCCAGUCAAAUCAUUGUUUAGUUCAAAAACCAUCAAACCCUUUAGUCUAAACUAAGUGCGUACAUUUCAUACCUGAGAUUUAUCUGAAUCUAGCUACUUUCCCAUUCUUGAAACCACUUCAAUUCAAUCUAUCGUUUCACUAUUAUUUUCGAUUUAUCAUUUACUGCUUUUAAAACUAUUAAAACCUUUUAGUCUAUCUUCAUUUCUAAUUAUUUAAGUCUGUUGAGUAAUCCUAGAGUCUCUGUGGACUCGAUCCCUAAGUACUACAUCUGAACCUCUUUUGAUGAGAGUAACACUCUUUAGGGUCAUUUGAGUGAUAUCAGCGAUCAUAACAUUAUCUGAAAUCUGUCUCCCAGCAACAAAGGCUGACUGGAUUUCCAAUAUCAAACCUGGUAGCACUUUUUUUAACCUCUGGCACAAGACUUUAGAGAUUAUCUUGUAGCUGACAUUGCACAGGCUAAUGGGUCUAAACUGAGCCAUUGCAUUAGGCUUUGUUUUCUUCGGGAUGAGACAUAUAUUUGUGUCAUUCAAUCCAUUUGCCACCGUCCCCUCAAAAAGGAAUUUAUUAACCAUAAGAGUUAAAUCUUCCUUUACUAUAUCCCAAAAUUUCUGGUAGAAAAGCGCAGUCAUCCCAUAUGGUCCCUGUGCCUUCUCUGGGUGCAUGGUAAAAAGCGCUAAUUUGACCUCCCAUUCAGAUACCGGAGCUGUAAGGUUGUCAUUCAUAGCACCAGUUAUCGUCGUUGGCACUUGAGCUAGCGCCUCCUCAAUUUCCUCCGGAUUCGAUGAUUCAAAAAUCUGCCUAAAGUAACUAGUAGCAAUGGCUACUAGUCCUUCUUCAUCCUCAACAAUAUUUCCAUUCUCAUCUAAAAGCUGUGUGAUCUUAUUUCUUGCUCUUCUUUGCUUCGUUAAGGCAUGAAAUUUUUUUUUAUUUCUAUCUCCUUCUCUCAACCAAAACACCCGAUUCUUCUGCUUCCAGAACAUCUCUUCCGCUUUAAGAGCAUCUGAGAGUUCCUUCAGGGCUGCUGCAAUUUCCUCAGUUGUGGCAUUAUCAUCUGCAUACAAGCCUUCCACCUUUUCUUUAAGCUCCUCCACUAAUUUUGCCGAAUUGACAUGAUUUUUCUUUUGCCAUUCACUCAAGGCUCUCCUGCAGCUGGAAAUAUGUUCCAUAAUAGUCGCAUUGGGAGGAAGAUCAGGAGAUUUCCAGCCCUCAAGGAUAACUUGUCGUAGCUCCUCAUUAUCCAACUAUCUUUUAUCAAACUUAAACUUUUUGGAUCUUCUCGUUGGCUUUAUGAGUAUGUCUGCAAGAAUCGGACGAUGGUCCAAUCUCCAUAGCCUCAUGUACUUUACAGUCGAGUGGGGAAACUUCUCAUGCCAGUCCGCAUUUCCUACUGCUCUGUCUAAACGACAUCGAACUGUUGAUCCUCCUGCUCUCUUCCCCACCCAAGAGAGCAUAUCUCCCGUGAAAGAAAAUUCUAUCAUACCACAAUCAUUAAGUAUUUGCUUGAAAGGAAGAAAGAAACUAUCAGGGCGUUGUCUUCCUUCUACUUUCUCAUUAUGACAUGUUAUUUCAUAAAAAUCUUUUAUCAUGGACCAAGGUCCAUUUCUUGUUGAGAAACGCGUAAGCCGUUCUCAAACUUUAUCUCGUCUUUCUAAUACAGGGUCUCCAUAAACAAACGUCAUAUAGAUCAUAUAAACAAACGUCAUAUAGUUUAAACGUUAAUGUUAUUCAAAUAAGAUAUAUGUAAAUAGUAUGAUAAAAAUAUUACAAUGUAUUUAACAGCUUAUAUGCAUCGAGAUAUCUAUAUAAUAUUUUAGAAUAUAGAUUAAUAUUUUUAAAAUUUAUGAAUAUGUUUAUGAACAUAAUUAUAACAAUUAUAAUUAUAAAUAACUAAAUAACUAAUAAGAUGUUAUAGUUAUAAAGUAAAUAUAAAUAAUAAAAUCAACAAAUUAAUAAUCAACAAAUUAAUAAUAUCAAAAAAUCAUAAUUCAAAUAAGAAAAUUAUAUAAAUCAAUUAAAGUUUUAGUUUAAAAGUCAUUAUAAAUUAAGUUUAAUUAUUAAUACAGCGCGCGAGUAUAAAAUCUUGAUUUUAUACCCGCGCUACGCGCAAAUCUAAAUUAAUAAUUUAGUUUAGUUUUAUAAUAACUUUUAAGCUAACAAUUUAAUUGAUUUAUCUAAUUUUAUUAUUUGAAAUAUGAUAUUUGAUUUUAAUAGUUAUGUUUAUUUAUAAUUAUACAAUGUUAUUAGCUAUUUAGUUAUUUGUAUUUAUAGAUGCAAUAAUUAUCUUUAUAAACAUAUUGAUAAUUUUUGAAAAUAUUAAAUUAUGUUUUAAAAUAUUAUGUAGAUUACUCAAUGCAUGUAAAAUGUUAAAACAUUAUAAUAUUUUUAUCAAAAAAAUUAUAUAUUUUAUUUGAAUAACAUAAGCGAUUAAACUAUAUGCAUAAUAUCUAAGUUUGCUUUGUACUCAGAAAAACAUUAUAAUUAAUGUGUGGUUAUUAUACAUACAUAUAUAUAUACAUAUAGUAUAAUAUUUAGAUUUAAAAUUUAAUCACAAGAAAUAUUUUGAUAAACUUUAAUUAAUAUUAAAUAAUCUUUGUAAGAUAAUAUAAAUUUAAAGUAAAUUUAAUGAAUAAAACAAAUGUUAAGUAAUAUUUUAUUUAGUGAAUUAAUAAAAGAAAAAUUGCCACAAAUAGCACAUUCAUAGUACCACUUUUCAUGUUUACACUAACCACUUUUACCCUCACUUUUAAUGAAGGGUAAAAGACAAUUAUACCCUUAGAGUUAACUAAUCUAGACUUAGGCUUUAGAGUUGAGGAGUGGUGGGGUAGGGUUUUUGGAAUGUAAAAUUUAGGAUUCUAAUAAAUAUAUAAUAAAUAAAUACUUAAAAAAUAUAUUAAAAAUUAGAAAAAUAGUUUCAAACAUGAUUUUCGUUUUUCAAAAAAAAAUUUGAAAAAAAAACUAAAAAAAAUUCGAAAAAAAGAAUUUCAAAAAAAAAAUUAUAAAAAAUUUCGAAUUUGAAAAAGUAUAAUUCGAAAACAUAAAAAAAAAAUUUUACUUAUUUUUAAAAUAAUGAUUUAUUAUAUAUAUAAAUAACAAGGGCAUAAGAGUCUUUUGCCACUUAACGAAGAAUGUAUUUUUGAAAAUGUCUUCUUAGUGGUGGUAAAAAUGAAAAAAUGGUACCAUGAAAGUGGUAAACAUGUAAUUUUCCCUUAAUAAAAUAGAGAACCUAAAAUAUAAUAUUUAUGGGAAAUUUUCAUGUUUACUAGUUUCAUGGUACCAUUAUUCAUCUUUAACCACUAAAAAGACAUUUUCAAAAAUACUUUCUUCAUUAAGUGGCAAAAGACUAUUAUAUAAUUGUUCUCUAUAUAUAUAAUAAAUAAUUGUUUAAAUAAAAAGUAAGAAAUAAAAUAAAAGAUAUAUAUUUGUUUUCGUAUCUUUAAAUUUUAUAUUAUUUUUUUGAUUUGUUUGUAAAAUUUCAAAAUAUUUAAUAUAUAUAUAUAUCUCUACGAAUCAAUUUAAUUUUAAUGAUUUAUUAUGGAAUCCUUAUUUGAUGUUGAAUUCCAUUUUGUAUUAUUAAUUUUGGAAAUUUUAACAUAUUAAAAAGGAAAAUUACAAGUUUACCACUUUCAAGCUACCAUUUUUUUCAUUUUUAGCACCACUAAAUAUACAUUUUCAAAAAUAUUUUUUUCAUUAAGUGGAAAAAGACUCUUAUGCCCUUGUUCUUUAUAUAUAGAGAAUUUAGGCCGUAUACACACAGGAAUUAUCGAAAUUAGAAGAAUACCCGAAACACUGUUGAACUUUUUUUAAUACCAAAACACCCCUAUAUGACUACAACUCAUCUAUCUUGUCCUUGUAGAUUAUGUGUCAGAAACUAGAAGCUAAGAUACUACACGCCACCGACUGUACUUCACUGUUAUUCACAAAGACGCCAGGGAUAGAUGAAAAGGCAGCAAUUACAUUUUUAUAGUUUAUUAGUUGUGUUCAAAGUCACAACCUUUCAUUCUCUCUCGUCAUAAACAUUGUGUCACGUUCUUCACCUCUCCAUUAUCUUUUCAUCUUUUUUUGUGUUCUUCUCUCAGGGAAUACAAAACCAUGUUCAUCUUCUUCCAUGGCAAUCAGGCAACACAUCAGAUUCCGAUCAAAUUAUCUCCCUACCAUUUGCCACCGCUUUUAAUUCCAAAACUGAAGAGGUGUAAGUAACCUAAUCCUUUUGAUUGUUCUGAUUUCUUCUUAUUUCUCUUUUCUUGGGAACAAUUUUCAACUGUGGCUGAUUCAUUGUCAUAGAUGGAAGAUGUGCACUUCCCUGAACCUUUAUUGUGGGGAAAUUUUUGGAUCUCUGAUUUUUUUUGGAUGGGAAUGCACGGUACGUUGGAUGAUUUUACUUAUUAGUGUCUCUGCCACUCAUAAUUCAGUGUCUAUAUUUUUUUGAGUUUGUUGAUACUAAUGUUAGUAGAUCCUAAGAGCUUAUUUUCCCGUUUAUGAUACAUGUUAGGAAUGCGACCUAGCCAGAAACAUUCUUUCUACACUUUAGCAGUGCUUAUAUUUUAUUUGGCAGGAGAAACAUGUUUAAUACGGUUAAUUUCAACUUGUAUUAUAACGGUUACUAGUUUUCCUUUCGCUCUAACUUUGAUGAUAUAUGUUAUGGAGAUGCCGUAGAAAUAAUAAUUGUAGAAGUUAACCGUAUGUGAAAACGCUAAUAAUAGCUGUAGACUGUAACUGCAUAGUUAGAUGUUAAGGUUUAGACGUAACUUGUAUUAUACUGUAUGAAUAACUAACAUAGUUAGAUGUUAAGGUCGGACGUAAAAUGUAUUAUACUGUAUGUAUACCUAUAUUUGUUGUAGUAGACUGUAACAUCAUUGUUAGACAUCAAGUUACUUGUUAGACGUAGCAGAGCAAUGAGGUGGCUUUCCAUCAUUCAUUCAUCUCAUCCGUGUAGGUUAUGGAUGCGCUUAUGUUCGCCCUGGUGCUGCAAGGGAGCUAGCCACAACGAUGCAUCAAGAUGUAGCUGCUGGUUAACCAUAUGUACGACCAAUGUGUAACUGAUAUACUAUCUGAUAAAAUGAUAUUAAUUUGGUUAAUAUUUCUAAUGAUUCGUAAGUGUUAUAUUAACGUCUUAGAUGUCUUUUCGACAAUGUUUUUGUAAGUGGAUCAUGUGUAUAGAAGAUUAUCAAAAUAGUGUGCCGUCUAAUACAUAAUUUAGUAGAUAAACACAACAGAAAAAUAAGCCAAAGAGAAUAACGAAAUAGACAAUAUUGAUGAUCCAGUUGAUGUUGAAUUAUCAGAUGCACAAGACAAUAACCACAUGAACAUCCUUGUUGGUAGCCUUGUGAAUCAGAAAUUAACAACAUUGCUAACAAUUUACGUAUUUGGGAAAGUCACUAAUGACCUUCAUCUAUGUUAACUGCUAAUCUUAGUUUGUAGAUGUUAACUUGUUUUGUAGUACUAUAUUAACUAAUGGUAACUUUACUAAGAUCAAACCUAACAUGUCAAUUAUAUGCUAACUUACCGUUUAGAUGCUAACGUUACUGAUGGCUGUCACCGGAGGAUGUAUGUGCUAACACGAAACUUAGCAAUUUUGCCAUUAAUGACUAAACAACUAAUAGCAUCUUUUCUUUAGGCUUGCAAAAGUAUUCCCGUUUUCAGAACUUUAUCUUAAAGCAUAUUAAUAUUGUUGACUGAUUCAUUAACGUGUAUGCUAAAGCAUUUAUAAACCUAGAAGUGUACAGAAAACAUGUGGUUUAAAAGCCUCCCUUUGCAGACAUAAGAUUUGGUUAUCUGCAAAGGUUAUUUAAGAAAAAAGAAAUUUAAAUUAUAAUGCAAAGAUCAGCCAAAACGAGUGGAUGAGAAAAAGCUAGCUACAGACCUAAUUUCUAAUAGUAACCUAUAGCUGUAUCAUAACAAAUCAAACAAAAUCCAAAAAGGACUCACCUUUUAACCAUCGUAUUUUCGUUUUAGGGGUAAAAUUGGAAACAUUGACCAAAUGUUGAACAAUUAUUAAGGGUUUUCUGGGGCGUAGGGUAGAUAACUAAUUUUUUCCACUUUCAUGUAUAUUAAGCCAAUUUUCUCUUAUAUAUAUAAUAAAUUAUUAUUUAAAUAAAUAAAAAUCUAAAAAAUAAAAAUUAAUUUUUUAAUUAUUUUUCGAAAUAUACUAUUUCGAAAUUCAAACCCUAAACCCUAAAACUCAACUAUAAACCGUAAACCAUCAAUCCUAAUUUUUUUUUAGAAAUACGAACCCUAAACCCUAAACCAUCAAUCCUAAACCCUAUGUUUUUGAAAUAUGAACCCUAAACCCUGAAACAUCAACUCUAAACCCUAAACCCCGAAACAUCAACUCUAAACCCUAAACUUUCAACCUUUAACCCUAAACAUCAACUCUAAAUCUUAAACCCUAAACCCUAAACUUCAACUCUAAACCCUAAACCAUAAACACUAAACCCUAAACUAUCACUAAACCCUAAACCCUAAAAAAUAAACUCAAAACCUUAAACCCUAAAAAAAUUAACCCUAAACCCUAAAACAUCAACUCUAAACCAUAAACCUUCAACUCUAAACCCUAAAUCAUAAACCCUAAAACCCUAGAGUUGAUGUUUUAGGGUUUAGAUAUGAAGGUUUACGGUUUUAGGGUUUACGUUUAGGGUUUAGAGUUGAUGUUUUAGGGUUUGGAUUUGAAGGUUUAGGGUUUAGGGCUUAGGGUUUAGAGUUGAUGUUUCAUGGUUUAGGGUUUAGAGUUGAUGAUUUAGGGUUUAAAGUUGAUGUUUUACGUUUAGAUUUAGAGUUUAGGGUUUACGUUUAGGGUUUAGAAUUGACGUUUUAGGGUUUAGAUUUGAAGGUUUAGGGUUUAGGAUUUAGUGUUGAUGUUUCGGGGUUUAGGAUUUAGAGUUGAUCUUUCAUGGUUUAGGGUUUAGAGUUAAUGUUUUAACCUUGUUUGAUAUUAGUUUCUAUUAUAUUUUAAAUGAUUUUAUGGAAUUUUUAAAUCUUAAUCAAAAUAUAAUUAGUUGUUUUUCACUGAUGUAUGUUAUUUAUGAAUAGUUUCAAUAGCAUAUAGCCUAAAUUUUGAAAAUCAUGAGUUAAAUUUAUAGUUAUAAUUGUUUCAAUCAUUGCAUUUUAAAUAAUUAUUAUUUUUACUUAAUUUCUGUUAAAUUUCAAAAUUUUUAUUUUUUAUAUAUAUAUAUAUAUAUAUAAGUUAAUAUAUUUUAUAAUGUUUUUACUUUUGUUAGUUUGCCUUAUUCGAUGUUGAUUUCUUUUUUAUUAUGAAAUAAACAAGUUCUUGGAAACAUUAACAUAUUUAAAAAUAAAAAAUUAAAAUACUUAUUUAUCAUAAUACGAUCGGUUGUUUUAAAUCCUACGUGAACGCUAUCUAUGGCUUAUAGCCUCAACUUUUAUAUAGUAUAAAUUAGAUUUUAUACUCGCACUUUUAUAUAGUAUAGAUUAGAUUUUAUACUCGCGCUACGCGCAAGUCUAUAUUAAUAAUUUAGUUUAAAAAUUGUAAUAAUUUAAUUUUCUAAAAAUAUAAUCAAUUUAUAUAUAUUUAAAUUUUUUGAAUUCAUAUUUAAAAUAUCAUUUAAAGACUUUAACAUAUGUUUGUCUAUAAAAAUAUAUACUUUUUAAAUUAACACUUCUUAGCAUCUAGUGUUUUUAUUUAUAGAUGUAUAUAUUGUAUUUAUAAACGUAUUUAUAUUGUUUAUAAGAUAUAAUGUUUUAAAUUUUCAAAUAUUAUGUAAUUUUCUUGAUAUUGUAAAUAUUUUUACCAUACAUGAUACAUUUGAUAUAUCUUUGGAUUUAAUGCGAAAAUGAUUAAUCUAUCUGCAUAAUAUUUAAAUUUUAUUUGUACUGAACAAAGUUUUACAAAUAAUGUAUAACUAUUACAUUUUUAUUGUGUGCACAAACAUACUUAAAAACUUUAUUUGAUAUCUUAAAUAUGUAUGUGAAGGUAUAAUAUUUAGAUAUAAAUAUAAAUUACAAUUAAUAUUUUACUGAGUUUUGCCUAUUGUUAACUACUUUUCUUGGAUAAUAAAAAUGAAAAUAAAAUGAAUUUUAAUUAAUUUUAUAUAAAUUUAUUAUUGAGGUAACAAUAUAAUCAAUUCAGAGCAUAAGAUUUAUCUUAUACUUGGUCUAAUUAAUUAUAUUAUAUAGUAGGGAAUCUUGUAUGAUUGUAUAUUUUCUUUUGUAAUAUAUAAAAUUUUGAUCUUUGUAAGAAAAGAAUAAAAGUUAAUCUGUACUAAAACAAAUAAUGUUUGUUUCUGUUGCUGUUUUACAUAAAUAUUCUUAAGUAUUUCUUAAAGUUAUUACAUAAUUAUAAAAAAAUUCGUCUAAGCCAAUAAAUUUUGCAUAUAGUAUAUUAUAUUAUAAAUGAAUAUUGAUCAUUCUUCCUAUUCUUUUGUAAGUUAUCAUUCAUAUUACAAUUUAUUGUUGGCAUUAAAUAUAAAUUUAUUUGCAAUUAAACAAAUUUAUAAGACAUGAGCCUUUAGAUUCUUAAUUUUUGUCCAUUUAUGUUAUAAACAUUGUUAUCUAAAUAGAUUUUUCAACCAAACUUUUAUGAGAUAAUUUUUAAUUUAUUAUAUGGAACCUAUCGGUGAACUAUUAUAUGUUUAUAAGAAAUCAUCAUUUAGUUUUCUUUAUUGUAAAUGACAUCUAAUAUAUUAAAACAGAACUCAUGACUUCUUUUCAUGUGUGAUUGUUUUUAGUUUGGACCAUUCUUAGAAAAUAUCAUAUUUUACAUAAGUUCAUUAUUAUAUCUUUUAAUAUCUUUAUUUUUUUAUUUGAAAUACAAAUGAAUAUAUUUAAAAUGUUCUAACAAAAUCUUUUUAAAAUCUUCUUAGAAUCUUUUUAAAUUUACUUUCAAAAAUUACUUAUUUUUAAUUUAAAUUUACAUAAAAUAUAAUUAGAAAUUAAAAUUGAAUAUAGUUUUGGUUUAUAAACGAAAAUUUAAAUAAAAUGAAAUUAAUUAAUUUCAAAAAUACAUUUACUUAUAAUUUUUAAAGAUUUUGUUAGAAAUACAUAUUUAUUUCUAUUUUAAUUUUUUCAAAUUUGUUUUCUAAUAAAAUAAAUAUCAUGAUUUUUUGAUGAGUGAUAUUUUUAUUUGGACCAUCAAUUAAAUUUUCUAUUAAAUGUAUAUCACUAAUGCUAAUAUAUAUAAUAUUUUUAACUACUUUAAUCAUAAUAUCUUUUAUAUCUUUUAAUUUUUUAAAAAAAUAUUUAAAAUUUUAACAAAUCUCUUGAAAAAGAUUAUAAUAUGAUCUUAAUUUUCAUAAAUUGAAUAUAAACAUUUUCAACUAAUUUUGUAAUUAGUUAUGAAAUGUUACUAAAAUAAUAAAAUUAUAUCCUAUUUUAUCAAUUUUAUAAUAAUAUCUAUCAUUUUAAAAUAAAAGCGUUAUAUUGAACAAAAUAUGAUAAAAUUAUUUUAAAUUGAUAAGUUAACAUAUUUUAUUUUCAUAAAUAUAAAAUAUUUAUGCUAAAAAUAUAAUAUGUUGGUAGAAUGGGUUAAUAUUAGUAAACUAUAUAACACAUGUAUAAAAAUUUAUCUAAUCUUAAACUUUUUAAUAUACAGUAAUUUAUUAUAUAAAAUAAAUUAACAUUAAAAAAUUACUAAAAAAAUCAAGCGAUUUGAAUUAUGGAUCAUGAUUAUAAUAAAUUAAAUACAAAAUUAUUUUCAUAUAUGUUGUUUCAUGCAUUAAAAAAUUUAGUUUGGUAAUCGAACGAAAAUUCAAUAGAACAAAUAUAUAAUAAGCAACAUAUAUAUGUGAUGAUUUUAAUUUACAGCAUGAAAACUAUAAAAUUAUUAUAUUUGGCAUAAUUAUACAAACAUUUAAAUAUGUGAGUAACAUUAAAAAUAUAUAAUAAUUAUUUAAAACAAAUAUAUAUAUAUAUAUAUAUAUAUAUAUAUAUAUAUAUAAAUAUGAAAAUAUAUACCCGCAUGUUUGUGCGGGUGGAAAUCUAGUUAAUCUCUUAAAAGAUCAGGUAAACGUGGAUUGCUUCGUAUUAGCGUAUUUUGAUUAGUUUAUACGAAGGUUUUGAUUGAAGUUAACUUACAAACUCUGUGUCAAAACAUAAGAUAAUAUUAUUGGCUAAAAUUUUGAUGAGUAAAUAAAUUGGUUAUAUUUUUGGAUUUUCAAUACGUAGUUUGAAAUUUAUAUAUAAAGUGAUUUUUAAUAAUAUGUAUUUUACAUAAGUGGAAUUAUCUUCCAUGCGGUUCUUUUUUUAAUAAACUUCUUGUAAAUGUGUUAAAUGCACAUUGGAUAUUCUUCCAUAGAUAAACUCUCUCUCUCUCUCUCUCUCUCUCUCUCUCUCUCUCUCUCUCUCUCUCUCUCUCUCUCUCUCUCUCUCUCUCUCUCUCUCUCUCUCUCUCAGUUACAGCAGAGAAGCUAACAGAGAGGAGCCAAACAUCAAUGGCGGCCAACAAUUUCGCGACGAAGCUAGCAGAGAGGAGCCAAACAUCAAUGGCUGUCAACAAUUUCGCGACGAAGCUAAGCAAACCACGAAGAGAAACACAGUGAUCUCAUGUUCUUCAUCUUCCUCAACUCCAUUUUCACUUGCUUCAUCGCCAAGUUCGCAUCUUUCUUCGGCCUCAAGCAAAUCUUCCUCCUCUGUCCGAAGCUAGAUUGUAUCUUCCAUACCGAAACCCAGAAAACAGACUCACUUACAGAUAGCUGCUAUGUCCAGACCAUGUGGUGGAGCUAGCGAGUCUCAGUUUUUGCAAAAUGCACGGGAAGUUAUUAUCCGAGUCGGCGAACUUGUGCGCGGAGUGUUCGGAUCGAGAGGUGAGAAGCGUUAUUGGUUUAGGGUUCUGCUCUUGUUGCGAGAAGCGCUUGGGAGUAAGACACUACCCUAGUUACUUGCUUGUCAAGUUAUCUGUUUGUGGGAAAACUCUUGUGGACAGAGAAAACAAGGAUUGAUAUUAGAGAUGAUCGAUGAUGAUAAGAUUCGAGAUGGGUUCGAGAUAGGGAGAGAAUCUCAUAGUUUCCAUCUAUAACAAUCAUUUUCUUGGGAAUGAAGACAGAGAUCCCUGAAGCUAAACCAAGAGUUCCGUAGGAUGAACAAAGGGAUGAUGAUGCCUAAAACUAUUGGUUUUACCACAAAAGAAAUUGAAAUAGAGAACAUACAUAGCAGAGGUUUAUAUAUAUUUAUAUAGAUGGACACGCUUCUUGUAUAGUUCAUCAACUUCUUGAUCAAGUGCAUGUUGUACUUCAAAAAAGCUGUAACCAGAGUUGAAUCUAAUGAAAACAAAGAAAGCAUACAUGUUCACAGAAAAAAGCGUUUCGAACAGAAAAAAAAAGAUUAGAACAUAAAAACGUCAAAUUCCAGAAAAAAAAUUUAAAACAUAAUUAUUAAAAUAUUAAAUUGGGAUAAGAAAGUAAAUUCAUAUUAAAGAAAGUGUAGUUUUCAAAAAGAAUUAAAGACACUGUAUUUUUCAAAUUUCAAAUCCUAAAUAGGGUAUUUUGCAAAUUAUCCCUUUUACAUAAGUGGGAUUAUCUUCCAUGCGGUUCUUUUUUAAUAAACUUCUUGUAAAUGUGUUAAAUGCACAUUGGCUAUUCUUCUUAUUAUUUUUUAGGUUGUCAUUCAUUAUAUAAUUUGUUGUUGGUAUUACAUUUUAAUUUAUUUGAAAUUCAACUAAUUUAUUAGACGUAAUACUUUAGACUCUUUAUUUUUCAUCUUUCUUAUAAAUAUUUUUAUAAAAUAUAUUUAUUUUUCAACCAUUUUUGUAUGACAUCUUUUAAACUUUAUCUAUUAUAUGGAACAUAUACUUUUAUCGGUGAUAUAUAAUUAUAAGAAGUCAUCAUGUGGUUUAUUUUAUUGUUAAUGCCAUUAUAUAUACUUUAUAUAAUAUGAUAGUGUUGAUUACAAUUUCAAAAUUUUGAUGAGUAAAAUUUUUUGUUACUUUCUUUUGAUUGAAAAGAAUCAGUUUAAAAUUCUCUAAUAAUCUGAUUUUAACAAUAUAUGUUUCACACAAGUGGAUUAUACUUACUUCUAGUUCUCUUAAAGUAAGUAUUUUGUAAGUCAAAGAAUAAAUUGCCUCCGUAGAAAGAAAGAGAAAACUGAAACCAGCCAUUGUUUUAGUUUUUUUUUAAACCAUGUUAAUUUUGUUUUUAGUCUCAAAUUUUUGAUAUAUAUUAUAUAUAUUAUAUUUUAAUAUAUAUAUAUAUAUAUACAUAUAUAUGAUAUGAUAUAUUUAUGCUUUAACAUACUUAUAACACAAUUUUUUAUUAAUCUCUUUGACGUUCUUUCCAAAAUAAUAUAAUUGGCAUGUAUGUAAUGUUAAUUUUUAAAAUAAUCUCCCCUAUAUUUGUUUUGAUUAUUCUAUAUUGAUCUGAUUUUUCUUUUUAAUUAAAAAAAUAUUUGUUUCUGAAAAUCUUGAUAUUUAUAAAUUCUAUGUGUAAAUUUUUAAUUUUAUGUAGUAUCAACUUUGUGUUCUAAAUUCUUAUAAAUUAAAUUCUUGAAGUUUAUAUUCUUUUUAAGAGAUAUAUUUGUUAGUCUUAUGUUAAGUUUCCAAAAAUGUUUCUAUGUGUCAAUUUAAUUAGUUUUAGUGAGUUUGAAGUUUAUGUUAAUUUAUAUGAAAAUUUAUUCUAAUUUAUAUGAAAAUUUAUUUUACUUUAAACGAUUUGUUUUUGGAAAACUUUGACAUUUUAUUUUAUUUCAUUCCAUAAAAGACUCUAUCUGAUGUGUUCAUCAUCCUUCCAGAAACUAUUACUGAAAUCAAAGUCAAUCGUCUUCCUAGCCUCACAUCCGGUGCAACAGGGGCAAGCCUAGGAAAGAUCUAGGUGGGGCAAGUGCCACAUGCAGAUUUUUUUUCAUUAGUUGCAUUGAAAACCAAGGAUCUUAUAUGGCUUAUCAUCUCCAAUGCUCCGUACACCUUUGGUUACGACUGUUAUUUUAUUAAGUACUAGUGGUAUUCCGGCGCUACGCGCCGGGUUUGUAUGUUUUAUUUUUACAUGAAUUUAUAAUUGACUGUGAUGUCAUUUGUACUUGCUUGUAUAAGUAGAUUGGUUUUGCUUGCCAAGCAAGUGGUGUUUUUAAAAUUUAUGUUGAAUUAUGGCCCCCAAAUUUAGGUAGCUAGGCGUCGAUAUUUUGACGUUAGUUUGUGGACUUUUGGUUGAGUUGAGUUGUUGCUUUUGUUAAUAAGAAUGAAAACAAUUGAGUUAGGACAUUAUGCUUUGGGGUUUAUUUAAUUUUUAUGGGCCGUACCAUAAGGAGUGGACCUUUGAGUUUUGUAUGUCAUAUUGAAAAAAUGGGUAUAUAAGAAUUUUUAAAAAAUAAAUAAAUUAAGUCGGUUGCUCAAAAAAGAUGAUGAAAUAAAGUCUAUGCAUUCAAAUAGUUUUGUCUCGGAAAUUAAAGUUUUCUCUUUUUUUCUAAGAUUUUAAAAUUUUGCAGCUUUUCAUCUAAGUCUUAGUUUCCUUCUAUACUUAACCAUGAGUGCAAAAAGUGAAAGCGAAGCUAACUCAAAGUACCAUUCUCACAUUUCAAUCAAAUGUCAGCUUCUUUGGCUGCGGCAGCAGUAUCAACAACAACAACAGCUAUAAAGUGCGUCACUGUUUGCGAUGGAGUUGUGGGCUAAACUUGUCUUCUUAUCUCCUACUCAAGUACUCAUGCAACACUUCUCCAACUAUAUCCAUCUCUCUCUCUCUAGUGAACUGUCUUUUUACUGGCUUUUGUUGGUGAAUGUUGUCCUUGUUAUUACAGGACUAUAUAUGUUCCAACAGUGUUCGACAAUAUCUAUGCAAAUGAUGCAGUCAAUGGCAAAACUGUCAAUCUUGGUCUUUGGGAUACUGCUCGUAAAAAAAAUUUGUUACUUUCGUUAAAAGUCUUGUUCUUCUAUCAGGUUUGUAUUCUCAACAUUGUGUCAAAUUCUAAUCUUUUGACCCUUUAAGAGAAAUGAUGACUUUGUUUCUCAACAAUCUAGAAGUUUCUAGGUAUUAUAAAAAGAAUGGAUCUUUACUCUUAACGCUCGUCUUUGGCAACCAUCAUAUGAUAAAAAAAAAAAAUUGCUUUCUGAAUUCAUGAUUAGAGUUCGUUCAUGUUUUUAAAAACUAUCAUCAGACAGAUUAUGAAUCUUGGGCAGUAUCUUUGGUGUUUUAUUAUGAAUAUUGUGGAGUAUCUUCUUUGGUAUUUUAUUAUAUUACAGGUCAAGAAGAUUACAAUAGGCUUAGAUGAGUUAUAGAGGAGCAGAUGUUUUUAUUCUUGCCUUCUCUCUUAUCAGCAGGCCUAGCUUUGAGAACAUUGCUAAAAAGGUUUCAACUUUCUUUCCACUUCAGUUUCACUGCAAUGUAACUUUAUCACACACCAUCUCAUGUGCUUCUGGUUCAAAUUUCUUUUGCAGUGGGUCCUUGAGCUGCAACAUUAUUCCCCUAACGUGCCUAUCGUUCUAGUGGGAACUAAAUUAGGUUGAAGAAAUCAGUCUUGAGGAAUCUAACAGUGAUAAGUGUAAGAGAUCUAAUGUAUGUUCUCGCAGAUCUGAGAGAAAAUAAAUUCCCAAUGAAUUAUCCAGGUGCUUGCACAACCUCAAUAGAACAUGUAGGUUUCCUUACUCUUCUUCUUCAAUUGUAUAAUCAGAAAACCUAUUAAGAAUCAAAGCUUUUUAUAACCUCAAAAAGGUUGUUUCUUUCGAGGGUCAAGAGCUAAUUAAGAAAGGAGAUACAAUAUUAGUAUAGAUAGAGUGAUGGUAAGAGAGUGGAGAUGAUAAAAACAAAACCUACCUUUUCAUCAAUUAUGAUUUAUGAGCAUCUAGAGGCCCUUUAACUCACCACCAUUUGACGUUAUGCGUUCUGAGAACAAUGGCCGGACUCAAGUCUAAAAGCAAGAGGUUGAGAAGUUCUCAAGUCUAACCUUCUCUCUGCCAAAAAAAAUUGAUAUUAGAGUUAUGGAGAAGAUGACGCAGAACAAAAGAACGCUUCUUGAAUCGGGGCCCACGCCCACAAAAGAUAGUAAGGAGAAAUCUGGACCAUGUCUGAUUUUAUUAAAACAAAUGAUCAAUGGGCCAAAUGUUUGAUAGACCACAAUCGGAGAAUCUUGAGUCCGUGAGCAUCAGAAACUAAAGGAAAAAGAGAGGCUGACGUGUCUUCAUUUGCCCUAUCCUUCCUGCUGAUGUGGCUUUAUAAGGAGAGACUAAAGUCUCCUUUAUUAUAUAAGAUACCCCAUGUUGUGAAAUUUUCUAGAUCCGCCCCUAGGUGCAAUGGGUCCAGUCCAAGAUCAACCGGUCUUAUAAUUUCUCAAGAAGCGUCAAGAUGCACCACUCAUCUGUUCGCACAUCCAUUGCCUUUAAUUGGCACACUGAGUCGCGGUUUAGCUGCUUAUAUGCUUCUCCCGACAGCUUUAUCUUCAGCUUGUUCGUUGUGAAGCUCAGAUGUAGUAAUCAAUGUUGUGAUUUGUUGUAUUGUCUCUGUGUAACGAUGCCGUUAUGUUUCACUUGUAUUUGAUGUUUCCUUCACCAAAAUAGUAGCAAAUCUCUUAGCCGCUUAUAUUUUUGAUCUAGACCAUAUUAUUUCUUUGUUUUGUCUCUCUCUCUCUGCUUGAAUUAUAAUAAGAGCACUCUAAUCAAAGUGAUCAUCUGCAUUUAUAUAACUUGACAACAUGCCAUUGAAGUUAAUUAAUUGCAAAUUUUGUUGAAACCUCUAAUAAUACUUUUUAAUCUAGUUUUCCAUUUUUAACAUUUAGUUUUACAUUUCUGGAAGUCUUGACUGCAAUGUAUUAAUUUUACAUUACUGAAAGUCAUGACUGUAAUGUAUUUUUAGCAAUUUUUAUACAGUUUUGCCUAUGUCAGAAGAGAAAACUCAAAAUGUUUUUUCUUGAAUACAUUGAAUAUAAUAAAACGUUUUUGCGUAGGGGUUUAGAUAACUCAAGGUAUCGACCAGCCCAAUAUAAUUUCGUUUUUUUGGAAAUAUUGAUUUUUUAAAAUAGUAAUUUAAAAUCAUGAUUUAUCAUAUAUUUGUGGUUUUAAAUCAUAUUUAACUUCUUAUAGCUUCGAUUAAAAACUCUUGUAUUCUAUUUUUUCAAAUGUUAACUUUCCAAAAUAAAAAUUAUAUAUAACUAAAACAAAUUCGUUAGUUUGUGUUAUUUAUAUGUAAUUCAAAAUUAUAUGUGAUUUAAAUUAUUAUAGGUCUGGUUUUUAAAAAGUUCUGUAUUUUAAAAAGUUCUUUAUUUUAAAAAUAUAUUUUCAGGUUUUGAAAAUCAUAUAUAUCAAGUUUAUUUUUAUUGAUUUUUUUAUUAUUGACUGUAAUAUGUUAAAUACAUACCAUUUUUAAGCAAGUUGUCAAAUGUUAAUAUUUAUUUUAUAAGUUUUAUAUAUAAUAUUAAUUUCGUAUUAUUUUAUUUUUGGAGAUAUUAAUAUUUUUUUAAAAAAAUGAGAAAAUAAUAUGUUUUUCCUACUUUAACUAUUUUAAAAUUAAUUUUCCAUUUUAUUUUGGUGUAAAAUGUGUUUUAGAUUUAUUAUAUCUAAGAAUAAGUAAUUUUUGUUACUAUAAAUAUUUUUCUUUUGAUUUUCCAUUUUACUAUAAUAGAUACCAUUUGUUUAAGUAAGUUAUUUUUUUGGAAAUAUUAAUAUUUUAAAAAGGUAAUAAAGUAAAUGAUGAUUUGUCAACAUACUAUUGGUGGUUUUAAAUCCUACGUGGACGCUCUCAAUGGUUUAUAUCCUCAACUUUUAUAUAGUAUAGAUUUUGGAUAUGUAGUUGGCACCGGUUGAUUGUAUUUUUGUUGUUGUUAUAUAUAACCGGUUAAAAAGAACGGAUCAAGUAUUGUACAAUUAUGAGCGCUAUAAUGUGAAUUAUCUUCUUAUAUUUUCCCGUCACAAUUUCAUAUUUUAUGAAUUACAUUUUGUGAAGAAAAUCACUAAAGCUUGUUCCAAUAAUUUAAAAUGUAGGAAAAUGUACUGAUAACCCAAACAUGGUACAUGUUGGAAUGGUUUUUAACAAUUGAGAGGAAUUCAAACAACUUGGCUCUUCAUUCGUUCUUGAGUUCCACUGAUUUUCACCUCUGUUGAACCGACCAAGGAUUCUAGACACUCCUUUGUCAAGUCUUUUCACCAUAUUGUUGAAGCUCCUGACCAUUAAACUGACAUCAGCUUCCAGCUUCUUAACUCUCUCAUCCUCAGAGCUUGCCGUGAAGGCAAUGCCUUUUACUGGAGGUUGCUGAUCUUCAUUCCGUUCUUGCUCAAAUGAAAUUAGUAAUCCGACCAACUUGUCGAACUUGGGUAUCAUCUGAGUUCAUUGUACCUUUGAUGACAGCCUUCUAAGCCUCAAAACGCUUGGGGAGACAUAUAAUGAGCUUCUUAACAAGCUUCUUUUCUGAAUACUUCUCACCCAGCACAUAUGCUUCAUUAGAGAUUGUGGUCAGCUUAUUUGUGAAGCUCCCCAGAGGUUCAUCUUCCUCCAUCCUCAGAUUCUCCCACUUGGUCUCAAGAUGACCAAGACGAGUCCUCUUGACGCUCGAAUCACCUUCAAAGUAGUUCACCAGUGUAUCCCACACAGCCUUGGCAGAUUCACACCCUUGAAUAAUCUUGAACUGGUCAAUAAAUAGAAAAAGUGAUGAGAACAAAAUGAAAAGAGGUUCGAUGGCGCCGUUUGAAGAGGAAGGUCAACUUAGGAGAAUGAAGAAAUAAAAUUUGAUAUCUAGGUCAAAUUAGAGAGUUGCACCCAAAAAGGUCAAAUUAGAGACAUCGUAAUAUGGUUAAAAUUUUCUGACCACUUCUUUGACCAUUUUUGUUGGUUAGAAAUUAGUCAAAAAAAAUUGACCACUUAUUGACAAUACGUUCUGGUUAAAAAUUUCUAACUAAAUUUUGACCAUUUUUCUUAUUCAUCAGAAACAGAAUAAAGUUAUAACUAUUUCUAACCAUAUUUAUUGGUCAUAAAUAUGGUCAAAAUGUAAUAUAUGUUUUUGUAGUGAUAAUAUUUUGACCAAAAAUUAGGCCUGUCCAAUAUGGUAAAACCGAACCGUACCGAACUGAAAUAGACAAUAUGGUGUGGUUUUGGUAUAUACCAUAUAAACCGAAUGGAUAUGAUUUUAUAAAAGCCGUAGGAUUUGGAUAUGGUUUGGUUUAUAACCGAUUAAACCGAAUAAACCGAACAAAACCGAUCAAAAGUAGAAACAUGUAAAUAUGUACAUAUUUUAAAACGUCACAUGAAAAUCUAUUUGUUAUAUAAGUUAUUCUUUUGUUAAUAAUUAUUACCAUAUUUUUUAUAUUAAUAAAGAAUCAUAAUUUGAAGAACACUUAAAAUAUAAUUAAAUAACAAUUCAUAGCAACUGAGGCUUUUUAUUUUCUUAGUCUUUUUCAUUCAAUCAUUUUGCUUUCUUUUAGCAUUGUUUAAAUUGAAGUGAAAGUUAUAGGUUUGAUGGAUAAUAACUAGAAAAGAAGCUUCACAACUUUUUUCUUAUUUAUAAACGAACAAAGUUUCACUCGAAGAAGCAUGACUUUGAUGAACACUAAAUAUGAAAGAGUAAAAAAACUUUUCUUUCAUACUUCUCUUUUGUUUUUUAUUUUUAUUUUCAAAAUUUCGAGUUUUGAUUUUAAUUCUAGAUUUGAUUAUUUCAUCUGAAGGUAUAAGCGUUUUUUUUGUUUUAUUUAAAAAUAUAAUAUUUUUUUAAUAAAUGACUGCGAUGACAAUAUGACUCUAAAAUUUAUAUAAUAUGAUCCCAAACUAAAUAAUUAUGUUUUGGUAUAAAACCGAAUAAACCAAAAACCGACGGUAUAUAAACCGAAGUAAAUAUGGAUUUAGAAUGGUAGUUAUAUUUUAUUAACUGAAAUACCAAAAAACCAAAAAUACCGAACCGAAACCGAACCGAUAUCCGAUUGAACACCCCUACCAAAAAUGUAUAUAUUACAUAAUAUAUCAAUUGUUUACUAAUUAAGAAAUAUCUACUUCAAACAUUACUCUACAUGAAAUACGUUUGACAUAAAAACAAUAACAUAAAUAAAAUUAAUUUAUUAAACUAAUGAAUUAAUUUAGUAUAAAUAUAAAUUUAAUGUGCCAAGAUCCUAUUAAAAUAAAACUAUUUACUUACAUUUGUGAAAAACUUAAAAUAAAAAUUCCUAGCUAGUUUGUUGGUAUAGAAAAUAUAUAAAGAUUAAUGUGACCUAUACAGCAAAGUAAACAUUAUUUCUUAUGUUAUGUUGACUAAAAUCACAGAACUUCUCAAUCCAUAGUAAUAUAUAGUGUUCAGAGUACUAAAAUAUCACUUUAGUAUUUACGCUUACUUAGGCUCAUGUCUUUCUCGUUUUAUAAUUUUUCAACUUCUGAUGGUUAGGAUUUUAAAUAGAUUUUGGAGUAAAACAAGACUACAAAAAUGUUUCGAUCCAAGUGAUCAAAGAGGAAACACGGCAUGUGAGAGGUUUUGUAGAGCUAAAAGCUUUCAGUUAGUUGGAAAAUGUAUUUCUACUAAGAACACAUUUGCCAACUAAUUGAAUGCUCUUAGCUCCAAAAAAAACCUCUCGCAUUAUUCAUCUUCUUGAGAUAUUUUAGAACCCAGGUUGCACCGAACAUUAGAUAUUACGAAGAAGAUAGUAAAACAUAUUGAAUCAAUAAGGUUUUUGAGAUACCCAUUUCUUAUGAUAUUCUCUUAAUUUUUGUUAGUGUACUAUUUUGCUUUAGAUAUUGUUUAUAUAUACUAACAUAACUUUUCAUAAAAGGAUUUUUUCCUUCUAAAAAUCUUUCAAUUUAAUUUCAUAGAUUAUAGUCAAAAUUAUUUAAAUUUUUUUCCUUACAUAAUCAUAUUUUAACUGGUACCAAAUUGUUUUCUAUUUUAAAAUAUAUUGUCAAUAUAUAGUUUGUAUUUUGAAAUUAAUUUUCAAUUCAAACGGUUAUAAAUUUACAACUAUUGUUACUGAUUAGAAAUUUCUUUAAUCUUAGACUAAGAUUCUUAGUCAACAUAACUUAUGAUAUAAUAUUUACUUUAUUGUAUAGAUUAUAUUUAGAUUUCCUAAAAAACAUAUUUUGUAUAACAAUAAGUAGAAAUAUUUAUUUUAUGAUUUUCCACAAUUGUAAGUAAAAAAAAUAUUUUAUAUUAAAUGUAUUCAUUAGUUAUGUUAAAAUAUUUUUUUAAUUGAUGAGAAGAAAAACUAGUUUUUAAUUAUGUUAUUUGUUUCUUUUAUUUCAAACAUAUUUCAUCUAAAGUUUUUAAUGUUUUUAGUAGAGAUUUUUAAUUUUGUAGAAUCCCCUAAAUAUUAAUAGAGAAACAUUAAAAAGUUAUAACAUGUAGUUUGUAUUAAUUAAAAAGUAUCAUGUUGAGUUGUCAUGUAAUUAGAAUGCUAAUUUUGCUUAUGUGGCAGCUUGAGAAUCAAUUGAGAAUUUUGUUAGUCCAAAAUUAAAUGGCUAGAAAAUGUUAUAUUAUAUAGUAUGUCCAUUAUGGACCAUUCAUUUAUCAAAUUGAAAUUAUUAUAUGUUUUUUUCUUAAAUAAAACAUACGGAAUUAUCUAAUGUGAUUAAGAUAUAUAUGGCAAUUAAUGAUUUUAAAUAAUAACAAUUUGCUAAAAAUCUGUAUACUUUCUAUCAUUUUUGUUUAAUUAUUUAUUAUUAAAAUAAAUUAUACAAUUGUAUUAAUCAUAUAAUAAAAUUUUAAAUUUUUUUGUAAAUGUUGUAUUUUGAAUUUUUCAAAAUGAGUAUAAAUUACUAACAAUGUUGAAAGUCUCACAUAAACUUUUGUGAUCAAGGUUAAAUUUUUUUCUUUCUAUAAUAAGAUACAAUGAUUAUAAAAUCAUAUGAAGAAAUAUUUUUUUUAAUAAGUGUUUAUGUUAAUAUAUAUAUAUAUAUAUAUACAUAUAUUUCAUAUCGUUUAAAAUAAACUUUAUAUCAUAUGAAAAUACAUAUUUAUAUUUUGAUAUCUGCGUUGAACAUUUAUUGAAAAGUUAAUAUUUUAAUUUUGAAAUCUUCAUUGAUUUUUUUUAAAUGAUUAUAAAUUAUUGAAACCACUAAACAUUCCACAUUAAAAAAAAAUCUUUGGUGUAACAAAUUUGUUACAUAAAUAUACAACUAAUCAUAAAAUCAUAUGAGUAGAAACCUCAUUUAAUAAAUAUCCAUAUUAAAAGUAUACUAUAUAUCUACGUUAAUAUCAUUUAAAUUUAAUUAUAUGUCAUAUAAUUUAAAUAAGAUUGAUUGUUUUGAUUUAUUUAUCCUAAAAUGAUUGUGAAUAAACAAAAGCGGUCGUUUGAUUUAUAUACGUACGCAAAUUCAUUACAUAAUAGUAACUGAUUUCUUAGUUAUUUAAUAUAUAAUUAUUAUUUUAUUAUUUCAUAAUAUGCAGAAAACAUAAAAUAAGUAUAAAUAUAAAAUAUUAAUUCUACAGAAUGCGCGGAUCUUAACCUAUGUAUGUAUCUCUUUAAUAAUUUUAAAUCUUAAACAUUUUCUAAAUCUGAGGCCAAAACAAAAUAACGAAAUGAGAAUAAACUCAAAAAUCGAUAUUUAUAUCGAACAAUAACCAAAAUAAAAAAACCGAUACAAAUAUGAGAAAAAAUAUUGAAAAUAGAUAGGAUUGGCAUGUGAACGUUGAUGUGUUCUUUAUCGCAGGUAUUGCAGUAGAACAAAGGACGCAUAUUGUCAUCAACAUUGGUUGUAGGAAAUACCUUUUUGUUGCAGUAUUUACAACUUAGUGCCCAUGGUAACAAAAGUCCCAACCUAUUCGUAAAUGAAAAAUAAAACUAAAUAAACCUAAAUAUGAUAACAAAGGGAAUUAAAUCACAAAACAUGAGAGAAAGAAAAUGGACGGCACAACAUGUUUAUAUACCAUAGUACUAUCGAUGAUCUCUCUUAUGGUUAGCCUCUCAUUAAGAACAAAAAACCUGGCACGAACAGAUGUAGCAGUACCAGCAGACUAUUGGGUGCUAUCGUUGUUUGUAAAAGCAAGGGAAUCAUUAGGGAGACUGCACAAUCAAGUAAUACAUCCAAUCAAAACGUUGUAGUAGGUUGUGUACAAAGAAGAAAUAUAGGAUUAGGUAACAAAAACUGCCAAACUGGAGGAGUACCUUGCUUUGAAGGUCAAUCAAAUCCAGUGUUGGGUUGAGCAAAAUAUGGGUUGAAUUAUACCCGCUAGAUAUGGAGUAAGAACCUACAAUAUAAAGAUUUUAUUAACAUGUUGUGCAAUUAAACAUUUUAGAAAGUAAGUCUGUUUUAUAUACCUUUCCACUCCUUAACAGAACAUAACCUAAUAACACAAAUAAUCAUUGUGGAAAUGUUACUCAUACUGUAAUCGUAUACUUGUUUAGCAUAACGACCCCACAGAGUACACAUCAUCUUCACAUUACUGUAAAAUAUAAACUUAAGUGAGAAAACAGAAUAUAGAUGUUUAGCUAGCAAAUAAAAGAAAAAGAUAAAGAACUUAAGCUUACCUCUGGUCACGUAACUCAAUCAAGACCUUUAUGUUAUCUUUUCCUUUUAUCUUUUUGUUUUCAAGAGACCCAAAGUUAACUAUUUGGCCAAUAACAUCUGCAUAACCAAAAAAUAUAAGAAUCAGGAACGAUGCUAAACAAAACCGAAAGAAUAUUUAACUUAAAACCAUUUUAACCACACAAAAUAUAUAAAUAGAGUAUUAAUGCUUAGAGUAUUAAUACAAAUCAAAGCUACAUGAUAAAUGGCAUAGAAACUGACUCACCAACCAAACAGUUGUUAUCAAGCUUUCCACCAAGAAGAUCAUUGUAGUCCGCAAAAUACUUUUCGGGAACUUCACUUGGAAACUCAUCAGCUUUUCCAACAAAGUUGUUGGGAAGAAGCCAAUUUUGUACGGAUGUGUGGUUGUAAGGUAGUCACCAAAAGCAUCGUACACUUUGAACAACUGGACGACAAUCGCAUCUCCCUCAUGUAGCUUAUCUUCAUACUUUUUGAUGAGCUGUUCACCAACUGAAGCAUGAAUUCUUGUCCGCUGACUGUCCAUAUAAAUGUUAUGAGUUAGAAAAAAUAAAUGAUAAGAGUUCGGUGAAAGCAGAAUAAGUAGAUCUGAAACAGUAUUUUUCCCAAGAAAAACUUGAGUUUAUUGUAUAGUAAAAAUAAAAUAAAAGACGAAUCUGAGAUGUAAGAAAAUGCAGUAAUAUCUUCACUUACUUCUUUAUCAACAAAAACCAUUUCAAUGGUGUUUCCUGAUUCUUUGUCAUAGUUUCUCCACAAGAGAAUAAUCCUAACUUCAAUUCACAACGUAUCUUUACGCGGUUUUAGUUCUCUAAUAUAAGAAACAGUAUUUUUUGGGGCUUGAACCAAUGCCAUUCUUUUCAAAAGUUGUUAGCAAAAGAGAAGAAUGUUUGUAUUUUAAGACUUUGGGGAUCGACUAUAUAUAUAUAAGGAUUUAAUUUUGAUAACAAUCGAGCAAUGAAAUAUUUUUCAUAUAAAUAAUGAAAUCGUUUAAAGAAAGAUAUUAAAUUUGUAUUGUCAUAAAGUGAUUUGCAGACGAUAUGAUUUUAAAACAAACAAGUGUUGGGGUCGAAAACGGUUACGACGAAGUUAACGUCCAAGUCUCCGCAAAAUACAAGUAUGUCUUUCCGCAACAAAUCGUGCUCGGAUUAAGAGAGCGUCACAACGUACGUUGUCAACCACAUCACGCUCAACCAUACAUGUCAACUGACGAUAUAACGUGCAGACUCCUCUUAAUGGAGGCAAUGGCACUGAUAUCCACACUCCAGCAGCGGACAACGCACCAACCAAUGCCGCGGCGCUCGAUGAGUUUAAAAAGAUGUUCGCCACCUACGAAAAAAGAUCGGAAGAACAGGACAGGCUCGUGAGCACCUUGACCAAACAGGUUGAAACCUUAACGGCAAGGACUCCAGCAAUCCGUCCCCGUGGAACCACUAAAGUCUGCAGGAAAAGACUCGACUUCGCCACCCCACUCGAUAGGCCUAAAGCCGCGCGGGAACGACCUUCGGGUCAAAACCCUAGCGAAAAAUCUCCCACCAAAAAGGGGAACCCUGAAAGUUCUCCGCCUCCCGCGAAGGAUUCGGAUGAUAACGAAGUCGAGCACGUCGACCUGGAUCCUAGCAAUGUCUCCAAAGAUACUGAUGAGGACGUCAACAGACAUCCAAGAAGGACCAGAAGCCGAUCUGCUCGGGAAAGCUCUCCGUUCGACAAACCAAUGACAGAAGAGGAGGAAAUCCUCUAUUGGAACGAACAAGAAGAGCUGGCUGAAAAGCAAAUCGAGCUCACUCGCAGUAAACGCCGACAGGCUCAGAAAUCUGCUGACGAGACGUCGGAUAUCCGCAAUCUUUGCGACUAUAUCACCAAGACUGCGGCAGAAGUAAGAGCCGUGAAAUCCCAAAUACAUCACGCUACUAGCGCUGCCCCCGAGAUCGAUAUGCUGCUGGAAGGGGCUCGGAAGACCCCCUUCACCACUCACAUCUCAGAUAUGAAGGUUUCCGAUCCGGGAAAAAUCAAAGUACCAAAAUAUGAUGGUAUGACCGACCGGAAGGCACACCUUCUGGCUUUCCACAUUACGAUGGGAAGAGCGAGACUGAAGGAUGGCGAAAAAGACACCGGCUACUGCCGCCUGUUCGUCGAGAAUCUGGAAAGAGCACCCCUCGAAUGGUUCGCACGCCUUAAGCAAAACUCCAUCGGGAGUUUCCUACAGCUCGCAUCGGAAUUUCUCAAACAAUACUCUAUGUUCAUAGAUAGAGAAACUUCUGAUGUCGAUCUUUGGAGUCUGUCCUAGAGGGAAGACGAACCCCUCCGCGAGUUCAUCAGCCGAUUCAAUCUGGUAAUGUCCAGGGUCAGCGGGAUAAGCGACAAAGUGGCCAUUGACGCGCUCAGAAAGACGCUCUGGUACAAGUCAAAAUUAAGAAAAUGGAUAACCCUCGACAAACUGCGGACGAUCCAGGACGCCCUCCACAAAGCAACGGACUAUGUCAUAAUCGAGAAAGAAACGAAAGUCUUAUCGCAAAAACAUAAGUCGGCAAGACCAUCCUCAAAAGACGUAGAUCCGAAAACGAAGAAGAAGAACUCUCGUAACGACAAGUAUGUCCAUCACGAGGGGGAAGAUCUGAUAGAACCAAAAUAAGGAUCACUCUUCGGUAAGGUUGAUAUGAACUCAGAUCCGAGAGGAUUGAGAACUGAUGGAUCGAGGGGUGACACUAAGGGUUGCGGAAUAGCCCAAAGAUACUACCAGACUUCGAUCGUUUCCGGAUGUGACGCACCGGUCCAACAAAAGAAGGAUCGAAACUUGGAGAUAACCUCACCAAGAAACUAAGAACAAGUUCUACAAAGAACAAAGAGUUUUAACUCAACAAAAGGGGAAAACAAUCUGCUUUAUUUCGUGGCUCUAAGGCCUUAUUUAUAGGAUUACAAGUUGUAGAGAUCCAAAGAAGAAUGUAUUAAAAACAAGACAUUGGAAAUAGAAACAAAGACUUGACUAAAUAAAAUCUUUGACUGAAACUUGGACUACCUCUUCAUAUAGCCACGACCAGGACUUUGAAAGGUGAAGAAUAUACUCCUGAUAUGGGCCAAGACAUGUCCCUUUGAGGCCUGAUCGAAAUCCAUCUUUUCUCUUAGCCAAUAUUUUAUCGGUUUCUCCAUUUGGGCUAAACAAGCUCGUUUUUGAAUCUUUUUAAAAACCAUCAAGCCCAAUGCUUUUUUGGACAUUUAGAACAUGAAUAAUCACCUUUGGCAUGAUUGAAUUGACCGUUGGUUCAUCAGAAAGAAGGUUAGCCAUUUCGAGCUUCUCGGGUGGUCUGAAUUCGCGAGAACUGAAGAUUACCUGAUUUGUAAAUAGCAUAACUAUCACACAUGAACUCCGUUUGAUCUGAUUCUUCUUUGAGGAGCUCCGUAAUUGAGUUGAGAACAUUCUCCAAGUGAUUUCAUGUGUAGAAGCCUCGUGGUUUAGCAGAUAUGAGUCAAACAAUGAACAUAUAUCAUUACUGCUUCCAAUGAUCAAACCAUGCAUGUCUGUUUUGCCCGGUGCGCUACCCCAUGGCACAUCAUUCCCUCCCUCUUCAAAAGGAUUUGACCUCAAAUCAAUUUUACCUGAAUCAAAAGAAAAUGAAUCAGACAAAAAGAAUUUUAAAAUCAUGUAAAAUUCAGAGAAGGAAAAUUUUGGACAGAAACUUCCUUGGAGUUUUGAACUUGCUUCCCUCAAGUAUUUCCAGUUCCAUGUUCGAAGAACAUAAGUCCUUAGGCAUUCUCCAGCGCUUGCUCUCCUUGGAAACUGAUCAUGCUUAUCCUGUUCAUUCAAAACAACUAGAGAAACCACAUCAAAUCUGCGAAAGAAAUAAUCAAAGGGUUUCUCUAUCUUUAGGACAUCAAGAUCAGGAUCCAAGCCCUUAGGAUAAUCAUCAAGAACGUGGGCAAGACUCAAACAAGUAAGCUGAUCGCCAAAAAUUGGUUUAUCAAUUUUAAAAUUAGGCCAAGCUGAGAAACGAUCAGGAAAACAAAGAGUCAAUGCCAAAUCUGAAAAAUUCUUAUCAUGAAUGAAAUCAAAUUGAUUCUUUGGCCUAAGAAAUUUUGGUUCAUGCCUUUUCCUAAACCAAAUCUAUUUCAAAGCACAGCUCAAUGAACACAAUUCAUGGAAAGGUUUAAACAAAACGUUUUUCAACCAAGUAAAGAUGUGAUUUCGUUUAGAAAUUCUCGGUUUUAAAACAUUUUCAUGAUGAGCAGAGAUAAUCAACCCAUGAUCCUUACAGUGCUUUUGGUUUGGCCAGGAGGUUGACUGAGGAAACACCUUUGGUUCAUUGAGGAUCGGUUUUGGCUCAGGUCGAUUCUUUCUGGGGCAUGAAUCUCCUUUAGAAAUCUGGUACUCGCGGAUAGUUGGACUGAAGAACCUCCGGUUUGGAAAAUUCAUAACUUCUUCAUCCGUGAAGCUUUUCAUGCGAUUCCAAGCCUCAGUGAAUCCUUGAUGAGUUGGCUUUCUUGUAAAAUUGGAUUCAAGACAAAAGACCUUAGGACUGUUGAGAUAUCCUUCUUGGACUGAACCUCUGUCGCUGGCACCAAGGUAGCCGGUUUGAACAACAAAGCUUCUCCAAAUCUGAGGUUGUUGGGCACGGCCAAUGCUUUCAUUCAGAGGCUGAACCUGUCUUUCCUGGAUACUCAAAACAAACACUAAAAGACCAGGAUCAAAUGUGCAAGAUAAAUAUUUGUUCAAAUCACAAAUCAAGAUAUCUUUUCCAAGAACAAAUUGCACAUUUUUCAGCCUUUCAAGGUGCUCAUCAAAGUAAAUAUUACAGACAAGAAUUUUAUCAAGAUAUGCAACAACAGUAUUCAUUUUCAAAAUGGGCAUAUCCUUCCCAACAUCUGAACACACAAGCUUAAGUUCAGUUUGAGAAUCAUUUAUCAAAAGUUCAAGGCAUUUCUCAAAGAAUGUGUUGUAAACCAAAAUAUCAUCAGAACUCAAGACAACACCAUUAUCACGAAAUGAUCUCAGAAAAUGCCAAGUAUUAUCAGUUUCAAAACUCAAGAGAUCAGGCUGCAAAACAGAACCACAAAAUUCAAGAUCACGAAAAUCAUUUUCAGUUUCAAGUGAUUUCUGUUCCAGCAACUUCUGAAUCAAAAUUUCGUCCAAGGCAUAAGAGGAUGCAAAAAAUUCAUCAGUGAUCAUUACAUGUCUAGAAGAACUCAGAUCAAAGCUAUUUCUUUUGCAAACUAAUGAAUCAAGAGAUUUUUCAGCACAAAAAUCAGUUUGUUGCAAAUCAAGAUCAAAUGGCCUUCCAAGAAGAUGAAAACCUUUGUUAUGUUCCAAGAACUGAUCAGAGCUCAAAAUAAUUCCAGAAAUAAUGCCAUUGACAUUUUGAAAACGUGAUUGAUCAAGACAUUUAUCAGGUUCAAAGAUUUUUAAGGAAUUAAUCAUGUUAUAAAAAACAGAUUUUGAAACACAAAAAUCUUUCAUCUUGUCAAGACCAAAACGAAUUACAUCAUCAGUACUGACUUUCACAACCAUGUCAGGCAGAGAAUUAAGAGAAGAAGGUUCCUCACAGUGCUCUUGAAGAUCAUGAAGCAAAGGGGCAGGAGAUGAAGGAGCAGUAGUUGUGCCGGAAUCAAAGCAAAGAUGGCUCUCCAUAAAGGUGGAUAUGAUGCUUGUUGCUUCUUCAUCAAAGACUGGACCAAGUUCGUCCUCCUCAUCAAAGAUAGGACCUAGUUCAUCAUCCAAACAUAUCCUAGUGUCAAGACAUGGGCACUGAUGUGGAAAAUCCAGUGGCUCUUCCUCAAAAACCUGUGGAGACAAAACAAGACUACUCGGAAGCUCCGGUUGCAAAACAGUUAGUUCUACAGUAGCUUGUUCAUUAUCAAGAUUAAACUCAGUUUCAAGAGAAGGAAGAUCACAAUCUUUUUCACAAAACAUCAAGCUUUCAAUUAGCUCUUCAUCAGAUUCAUCAAAAAUGGGUAGAGAAUCUGAAAAAUCUUUAAGUUCUUCAAAAUGGUUUUCAGAUUCACCUUGGGCUUUCUUACUGAUGAACAAGGAUGGCUCAGCUACUGGGGCACGUGUGGAUGUGCUCUUCUUUUGGCUCUUGUUGAAGUCCUUAAGGGCUUUGUCCACUCCCUUCACAAGGUUAUCACAAAUUUGUUGGACAUCAAUUUGAAAGGGUUGCCUUUUUGGAUCAGCCACAUCUCUGGUUGUUUUUCUCCUUAUAGCUGGCUGUUCCUGCACACUAACAAACUCAUCAAAAUAAUUCAAAGGAUAUUUAAAAGGAGUUUGAGAGUUAGAAUUUCGUUGAGGCUUCUCCUUGUUACUUUUCCUUUGCAAACCAAACAUCAUAAACCUGAAAAAUCUCAACACAAAAGUUAGUAGAUAAAAACCUCACACUCUCAAGUGUUUGAUCCUCACCCAUACAAGUGUUUCUCUCAGAUUUAGGUGAUCACACACAAGUUUUUACUCAAUGUUCUAAGAGAACAAAUCAAAGAAUCCCAAUGGGCAAAUCCAAGCAAACAAGGGAAUUUUCUCAAGCUAGAUAGAUAAGAGAUUUUUGAUUUUUUGAAAUCCGUUUUAACCACCUCAAAGGCUGGAUUUCUCCUCAGCCAGCAGGCUUUCUCUUCCACCACCAAUCCCCAAAUGAAACUUUCGAUUUCUAUUUUUUUUUUUUAUGUGGAUCUUUCUUUCUUUCUUUUUUUUGAUUAGAUCUUUUUUUUUUUGAUAUGGUGGAUGGUAAUGAGGGCCCGGAUUUAAGAAAGGUAGAAGAAGAAGUUUUUAUAAGAAAAUGGAAGAUGAGAAAGAUGAAUGAAAUAGACAAUACCGGAAGAGUGGCUCUGAUACCACUUGAUAGAACCAAAAUAAGGAUCACUCUUCGGUAAGGUUGAUAUGAACUCAGAUCCGAGAGGAUUGAGAACUGAUGGAUCGAGGGGUGACACUAAGGGUUGCGGAAUAGCCCAAAGAUACUACCAGACUUCGAUCGUUGCCGGAUGUGACGCACCGGUCCAACAAAAGAAGGAUCGAAACUUGGAGAUAACCUCACCAAGAAACUAAGAACAAGUUCUACAAAGAACAAAGAGUUUUAACUCAACAAAAGGGGAAAACAAUCUGCUUUAUUUCGUGGCUCUAAGGCCUUAUUUAUAGGAUUACAAGUUGUAGAGAUCCAAAGAAGAAUGUAUUAAAAACAAGACAUUGGAAAUAGAAACAAAGACUUGACUAAAUAAAAUCUUUGACUGAAACUUGGACUACCUCUUCAUAUAGCCACGACCAGGACUUUGAAAGGUGAAGAAUAUACUCCUGAUAUGGGCCAAGACAUGUCCCUUUGAGGCCUGAUCGAAAUCCAUCUUUUCUCUUAGCCAAUAUUUUAUCGGUUUCUCCAUUUGGGCUAAACAAGCUCGUUUUUGAAUCUUUUUAAAAACCAUCAAGCCCAAUGCUUUUUUGGACAUUUAGAACAUGAAUAAUCACCUUUGGCAUGAUUGAAUUGACCGUUGGUUCAUCAGAAAGAAGGUUAGCCAUUUCGAGCUUCUCGGGUGGUCUGAAUUCGCGAGAACUGAAGAUUACCUGAUUUGUAAAUAGCAUAACUAUCACACAUGAACUCCGUUUGAUCUGAUUCUUCUUUGAGGAGCUCCGUAAUUGAGUUGAGAACAUUCUCCAAGUGAUUUCAUGUGUAGAAGCCUCGUGGUUUAGCAGAUAUGAGUCAAACAAUGAACAUAUAUCAUUACUGCUUCCAAUGAUCAAACCAUGCAUGUCUGUUUUGCCCGGUGCGCUACCCCAUGGCACAUCAAGAUCCCCAAGGAGCGGACAAUUACGCGAUUAGUUCGGACCAAGGCCGAACCACGGGUAAUACAUGGACUCGCAAUCAAUGAUAUGACGAAAACACCUUUUGUGAGUUCCACCAGUCCCGAGGAUACUCCACGACUAACUGCAAAGUCUUGGGAGCAAGGCUGGCCGCAAAGCUACUAGCUGGCGAGCUCUCGGAAGUGACCAGUGUGAAAGAUCUCAUCCUCGAGACCGAUCGCCCCCCGAAGACAGACAUAAAUCCGCCCGCGGAGAAAUCCCCUCAAAGAAACCAAUCUGGGGAUAAACGCGGCAGAAGGCCGGACGACAAGGGAAACGAUAACAAUCGUCGCAGAGUCAAUAUGAUCAUCGGAGGAUCGCAAUACUGCAACGAUACGGUUUCGGCCAUCAAGGCUUACCAGCAGAAGGCAGAGUCGAGUGCAAACUGGCCUACAUGGUCUCCUCCCCGAGACGGUCAAAAUUGCUCGAUCACCUUCACCUCACUGCGAUUCGCUCGUCAUAGAUCUCAUCAUACGAGAUCUACAAGUUGGAAGGUUACUCAUUGACACGCGAAGCACGAUCAAUGUAAUCUUCCGCAACACUCUCAAUCGGAUGAGCAUCAAACUCGGAGAAGUAACUCCGACGCCGAAACCACUCACGCUCGGGUGAAGUGUCGAUGACUCUCGGAUCAAUCCAAUUGCCAGUCAUGGCCAAGGAGAUCACGAAAAUUGUCGACUUCGCGGUAGUCGAUCAUCCCGCUAUCUACAACGUGAUCAUGGGAACCCCAUGGCUCAACGCCAUGUAAGCCGUUCUGUCAACGUACCACCUCGGCGUCAAAUUCCCAACCCCAAACGGAGUCGCAGCUAUCUGGGGAUGUCAUAAACAGUCGCGGCUAUGCUUCCUCGUGGAGCACAAGUUAAGGCAAAUAGCGACAUCUGCAACGGCAAAUCGCAAGUGCACGAAGAUAGAUCAAUCUUCGGCCAAAAACGCUUCAAGGAAAGACGAUUUAACAUCGUCUGCUGACGCAAAUGCUUCAGACAUUGGAACUCAACACGAGUCUGAAGCCGACACUACAAACCAGCCGGAACAUCUAGAAAGGAACACUGACCCGGCCACGGUCAUCGCGAUCAAGGCGGUCAGCACGGCGACAACCGCCGAGUAAAAACGCUCGCAGCAUAAAACAGAACUACGAGAUGGCUUGAUCUUCGAAAGAGAUACGUAGGCAGCUCGUCGAAAGACGAGUUCAGCUAUCCCCCUCUCUAAAAAAGGGGGGGGGGAGUAGGUACGUAUACUCGUAUACUCCCACAUAGGAAAAGAUGCAUUAUUGUAAUCGAGUUUUUAAGAGAUUUAGAAAUUUUUUACUACAAUAUGCGUUGCUCCUUUUUAUUAAAAACACUUGUGCUUCAAUUAACGCAAAACUCUCAGGACACGCCUAAAAAAUCUACAAACGUUAAGACUUGUCAGCGGCCUCAUCCGGCCCACGAUCGCAAAAUAAUCAUUCAUCAGCACUUAAGAUAUACGUAUAGUCUUCGAAACAACUGCGAGACGUCGCCAAGUUAAAAUUCGAGAUGAUUCGACCGCGACCACAAAAACCUUACACCCCGUUAGUUGAUUGGCCCCGACGAACAGGCCAGCCGUCUUAAACAAACGCAACUUGAUCACUCAUUUGAUCUUCGAACGUCCAACACAAGGACGAAAGCGCGCUACAAAAAAAAUCCAAAAUUUUGGUCUAGCACUUCCAGUUGGCUUAAAAAUUAUCUCUGGAAACAUGCUCUAUUUAUACCAUACAAGUCAUAUAAGCCGAGAACCUAUCACGGACUUUAAAUCGGUAUGAAUCAGGUAGAAAUCACAACAGGAAAAUCGAUAGCCGGCUAGUCACCGCACAAACCUUUAACCGAGAAUAAACCUAGGUCUUGCCCUAAACUCAUCGCAUUGGUCUCAGACAUCUCAAGACAUGAUAUCUAAACGAUACGAGAUCCUAAACCAUGUCUCUCCGUUCGUAUCUCAACGUUCCCGAAAGUUGUAAGAAUAAAUAAUUUUUACGAAAAGUCACGAACGAACCGACAGAUUGAACGUCUCAACGGAAUUAAGUAUGAGAUGACAACUCAAAUUUACUUCAAACUUACUCAAAACAAUUCAAAAUAAAACGCCCAUCGUAUAAAGACCGCAUAAAGCGGUAGGGAUUUAAAGCCACCAACGGCCAGUCCCGGUAAACGAUAAAACGGCCAAAACAGGCCCAUACAAUGUCUCGAAAUCAAAGCCACACUCGGCAAAAAAAAAAAAAGACAAAUAAAAGCCAUACUCGGAAACAAACGCAGGAUAAAUAAACAACCUCCUCUGGAUGAUCACUGCACCUCUCAAGGUUCAAAGUAAAAGUUCUCGAACAACGAAGCUCCAAACGCAUCUGCAGGACGAUCCACCUCCUCGCAAUCACCGGGAGACUCGGUCGUGGUCUCUACAGUAUCGGGAGAAGCCGGGAUGGGAUCCUAGAAUCCUUGGAUCCUCCCGUCGAUCGGAGGAAUGAGCGCCUCAGCGUGAGCAUGAUCCUUCAUGCCGCCCUUCAUUAACUCCAUCUCCUUCUCAAAAACAUAGUCGUCCGCCUGCGUCUUCCAAAGGCUCCCGACUGAACCGCGACACUCACGGAAAUCACCCACCGAGGUGAAGGAAUCCUUGAGGUUCCCGUACUCGAUCUGGAAUUGAGAGGCGCGAUUCUUCAUCACCUCGAUGAUCUCCCUCUUUCCCUUCCGUUCCGCCUUGUGAACAGCCCUCGCAUGAUCACGAGCGAGUUGAGCAUCUCGCUCCAACAUCUUGCCUUGCAUGCGAGCAAGAUCCCUUUCUGCCUUCUCCGCUUUAAAGCGAUAGACCAUGGCUUCUCUAUGGCUCGCCUCAAUGGCCGAGCCAAGCAAGUUCAGGCCUUGCAAAACCAAUUAACACGUUGUAAGCGGAAAAAGAAAUACUUAAGGUAAUCGCCAAAUUUUUUGAAAAACUAACCCCGUUGAUGAUGCGAGACCCUUCCGCGCCGACUUUCGGUCUCCCCGAUUCGUUCGUAGGCGGAGGAGCAUCAAAUCCCGAGGGUAGACCAGCAAAGAUAUCGUCGAAGUCCGGAAUAGGGACCUCGCUCGUACCGCUUCCGUCGCCGUAAGCAAGGUCUGGAUCCCAUCCUGGGAGCAUAGAAUCAUCCACCGAAAACUCUAUGUCGCCAAGGUCAAUAUAUUUCCCCUUCGAAGAGUUCCACCCCAUCGCAACCGGGGGAGCAGCGUCGGAACCUUGGUCAUUGGGCUCGGAGUUGCUCAUUUUCCACGCCCGAAACAGGACCGGGAUGCACAAACCUCAACGCCUUUCGAACUCGCUUCGGCGUAAAGAAAGUCCAGAAAAACGGACCAUUCCUAAGAAGGUCCCUCACUGCAAUAAUAUCCUCGGGGAACGGGAGAAAGCGGACUGAUGAAGGGACGAUUGGUCGGCAACCUCCGGAACAGUGGAAUACAAUUCUCUUCGACAGACGCAGCGUAAACCCUUUAACCGCUGACAUGAAGUUCCGAGGGACCAGCCUAUACUUGUCUGUAUCCUUGACGAUCUGUAACCUGAGAAGCGCUUCAAAGUGGUCAACGGUAAGGGAGAGACCAUGCUUGUAGCUCAGGAUCAGGACUCCAAUGAGGUGCUGGAUGCCAAGGGGAUUCAGUUGGCUUAUCGCCACCUCGAAACGAUACAACACACGGACAAUAAUUUCGGGAAUCGGGAACCACAAGUGACAUUGCACUACAAAUGCUUUUUAACAAGUAAAGUAACCCUCCGGGGGAGUACUAGCGCGCUCUCCUUGACGAGGAACCCGGAAUUCCACCGCAUCCGAAAUCUCAUAGAACGACCGCAUGAUCUCGAGAAAUUCACUAGUGCUCCUACUUGGCGCAUCUUCCUCGACCAAGCGACGGUUCAUGACCGGGAACGACUUCUCUUUGGAAGGUGUGAUCGAACCAUAACACGCAACCCAAUAUGCCUCAUUCUCAGCCGGGUCUACCGAAUGAGGCACGAACUCUACCUUCAGUACAAGGAGCUCUUCAUGAACGUUUGCGGACGAGGAUCCUUUUUUCGAAGUCCUUUUCUUACUCGACAUUUUGUUUUAUUUUGAGAAUCAAGAAGGAAAGGAUAGAGAGAAAAAGGAAAAAUUUUUUUAAGGAAUUCUCAAUAAGGAUAAGCAAGUGAAAAAGUUGUGAAGAAGUUACCUCCCUUCUUAUAGGUAUGAGAAAUUACUAUUUACAUUCGGAUUUUCGUACACAAACUUCGCCUAAAUACACCAAUCUCGUCCGAACUCGCCAUAACGCGUCAGAAUCUCACUAGAAAUCCACGAUUCUAAUGGGCUGGGGGGCUAACUGUUGGGGUAAAAAACGGUUACGACGAAGUUAACGUCCAAAUCUCCGCAAAAUACAAGUAUGUCUUUCCGCCACAAAUCAUGCUCGGAUUAAGAGAGCGUCACAACGUACGUUCUUGAGAUAAAACUUUUUGGAUCAAACAUAAGUUGUCGGAAACGUACCCAAACCAGCUACGGAUAGGUUCGAGUAUGACGAUCGGAACACGGAUGGACCAAGCUCAGUUACUACGUGACUACCGCACAUGCACACUAUCCGGUCGCUACGUAGCGACCAAUCUCAAGUCUCAAGCAAAGCUUGGUCGCUACGUAGCGACCAAGCAUCUGUCCCGCUCAGUCCCUACGUAGCGACCGAGCGCGAGUUCCGUUCGGUCGCUGCGUAGCGACCGAGCUCUUCCGAAACGUCCAUACGACACAAGUUCAUGCAUUCUCGUCUACCCUUCGAUGCUAUCUCCCAAAGACCGUAUCGAACCCAUUUCAUGUUUUUCGCCAUUCGAAGUCAUCGAUCAAACUUUGCGGAAAAACCGCGGAAAGUUCGUUCUUUAUCGAAAGAAACCGUAAUAAACGCUUCGAGUCAAAAGACGGCCCAAAGGGAGCGUCACAACGUACGUUCUCGAGAUAAAACUUUUUGGAUCAAACAUAAGUUGUCGGAAAUCGUAAUAAACGCUUCGAGUCAAAAGACGGCCCAAAGGGACCUAAGACAUGACUCGAGGCCCAACUUACGAUUUCUUAACCAACGGCCCGUAAGCCGCAUAACGGUUUACGCUUCGUUCACAAGGAAAGAUAAAUGUCAAGUUUCCGCGGAUAAAUAUGAAAUUUUGAAGAUAAUUACGAAGAUCGGAAAAAAUGGAAUAUCUCCAUUUUGAUGCUAUGACGGCUUAAGGGCUGAAGAGAAAAAGCGUAAACCAACCUAGGAGCGAGUAUAUAAGGAGUCCUAGGCGAGAGGCAUGGAGAGAGACUUUUUCAGAGAAAAAUUAGCACUUAGAGCGAUAUAGGCAUAUUUCCGUUUUUGUUAUUCAAGCUGCGACUCAAUUAGGUUAUUGCCGUCUUAGGGUUUUAGAACUAGGAAUCUUGCUGACAGCUCUCGUAGCCCUGGCUCUUACCUUGUUGUAACGCUCAAACGCGAAUUCGGAAUAAGAUCUACUUUGCUCUCUCUUUUCGAUUUCUUACUUUUCUCGUCUUUAUUUCGUAUUCUGAUUGCUUGGCGGGUGGUAUUAACAGAUCUCCGGGACCUCUGAGAAAUUAGGGUUUUCCUAGUUUCCUAAUUUAAACGGAAAUCAACAGUGCGAAUUUUGGUUCCCUCAACAAGCUAAUUAGAAAUUGCAUUUAAACAAUGUAAUAAAUAUGAUAUCAACUUGCACAAGUUUACUUUUUGAAUAAUAAGAAAAGUUAUUAAUACCCGAAUUAAGUAAUAAUCUUGUGCAAGUAAUUUAUAAUAAGGUAAGUAUUAUCCCCCUACCUAUUUUUGUCAAAACCGAAAAUUAAUUUCAAUUAUAUGUAGGCUUACCUAAAUUGAUAAUAGUUUUUGGCUUGUCUAAAUAGGCUAUACACAUAUUUGCAUAUAGAAGUAGGCUAUAGAUGGUUAUAGAUGGUUAAUCAACUUGCACAAGUAAUCCUAAUCACUUAAGAUUGUUUCUGGUACAAAAGACAUACGGGAUGACUGCAGCGUCAAUGACUUCAGGGUAAGUGAGCAGCACUGGAUUUCCUCAACUCGCGCUGUUAUUUUCACUGAACUCUUGCUUACUCCUUGGCAUCAAGAGAACACCUUAUGAUUAGCAUGGAUAUAAAACAUUUCUUCAGUAAACAUGAGGAGAUAAACACAAGUGGUGAAAUGAAAUCAGUCAUAUAAACGGAAAUGAGUUCAACAGAAAUGAUCCGACCAAAGGCAUACAAGGCACCUGGUCGGUUUAGAAAUAAAAAUUUAGUGAAGAAACAACCGGAAAACGAAUUAAACGGAAAUGAUCCCACCAAAGUUAUCCACUAAUAUCAGCAGAACAGAUUUCAACUUCUACUAAAGUUUAGUUCCCAGGUUUGAGCUCAUGGCUUUACCAUUUAUAGAAGGUAUAUAAACUAUAAAUAGCAAUCCAGGAAGAAAGGAAGAGGAGGAAGUACCUCGAAGUUUCUCAUCUGUUUCAUGAGUGUUGUUGUUCAGUGUUGUCGCGGGGCUUGGACUAAAGAAGGUAAAGCUUGGCAUAGAUGGGAGUGUUGAUUCAGGUUGUUCCCCAUCAAAAUAAAACCCACCAAAACCAGAAGUUGGCGGUACAUUGUUGUUAUCCGCAGGUUAGAAAGAGGAGAAUGAUGAUCUACAAUCGUUAUCAAUCGAUUCCUCUAACUACCCCAUGCUAAAGCUAUAGUCUUGCUCCCGAGAAACAUACUCUGUGGAGAAAGAACAUCCACCACUCUCCAACCCUUCACAUCCAACCCCAUCUUGAUCAUAUUGUACUUGUCCUGGCUCAGAUAACUGCUCCAUCCAUGAUGAGCUGCAAGACAAAUCAUCAUUUCAAAAUCUUUGACUUAGAAGCAACAAAGACAGAGAGCUAAGCAACCGAGAAGAGAUUCAUAUCUAUACUCCCGAGUGGUGAAAUGAAAUCAGUCAUAUAAACAGAAAUGAGUUAAAACGGAAAUGAUUCUAAUCCCCAAAUCCAAUUAAACCCAAAAACCCUAAUCCCCAACUUUUGGAUUUAAAAGGAAACUAGAUUUUGAUCCGCGGGUCCACGCGGAUGUAUUUUUAAAAAAAUACGAUGCUAUUUGUUUUUUAUGUCACAAUUUAAGGUUGAAAAAAACUCAAAUUCAAAGAAUUGAACCGAUCUCAAUCCGAAUAAGUAGUACCAAAUUCUAACCGAAAUUGAUGAAAUAUUCGAAUUAUUCAAAAUUUUGGUAUUUGAAGAACUAAAACCUAAUUCGAUAUGAACCGAAGUAUUUUGGGUAUCCAAAAUAGAUUUAUAUAAUUAUAUAUAUUAAUUAUUUUUUGAUUUAAUAUAUAUAAAAACAUCUAGAAUAUAUAUGGUACUUUCAAGUUCGUUUAAAUACUUAAAAAUAUAUACAAAUAAUCAAACAUAAAUAUCUAAAAUAGUUCAAAAUAUACUCAAAACUCUAAAAAUAUUUAAAUAAUUAUUAAUUCUCUAUCCUAAUAUUUAAACCAAACAAUUUAAGUUGGUUAUCCAAAUAUAAACGGAAUCCUCAAAGAUCUGAACUAAACACGAAAUCCCAAACAGACCCGAAGACGAACUCGAAAGCCCACCCCUAAUCACAAUUAUAUAUCUUAUAUGUGUCACCAUAUGUUACAAAAUAUGUGUUAUCAUAUAAUUAAUCGUAUUUUAUACGUACCAUCAAAUAAGUUUUCUUAUAAUUAAUAAUAUUUUAUAUGUACAAUCAUAUAAAUAAUCACAUAUAUUAUAUUUUUAAAUUUCAAUGUGAAAUAUAAAAACCAUAAUUUAAGUUCGUGUUUGAAAUUGGGCUUUGUAUUGUAUUUUUCUUAUAUAUAUUGAAAACAUUUUUAUAGUGGUUAUUGGAAAAUAUGUAAGUAAAAAUCAAAAUUUUAAUAUAUGUAUAUUUUUGAAUGAAUUUUUGAUAUAAAUCAAUUUUAAAUUAUUAUUUUGAUUUGAAUAUGUAUAUCAAGUAACAGAAAACCAUUACUUUUUAAUAUAAUGUAAUGGACUUCUAAUUUUUUUUAAUAGCAUAAGCCCAUUACUUUUUUUUUCUUAACUUACUGCUAUUCAUGUUUCCAAACAUUAUUAUUUUUUUAAUUGUUAUCGAUUUUGCCAAACAAAAACUCAAAGUACUUAUACUUUAAUAAGACAUAUGAUGUAUGAUCAAUGAAGGAAAAGGAAAAAAAUGUAUAAAAGAAAUUAAGUAAACAUCGAAAAAUAAAGAAGAUCUGAAGAGGUUAAGAAAAUAUAGAUUUGAUGAAUAAAUCUAUCUUUUUCUUUUUUGGUAACUUGAAUAAAUCUCAUAAAAUAAAACCACUUUAUGACAAUUAUUUUUAUAGAACUAAUAAACUUUUAUAAGAAAAUAUUAUUUGAUCAAAAAAUAAUAUUAUUUGAUAAAAAAAAAGAAAAUAUUAAAUCGAGUAUUCCAUGAAAACGAACUACGUGUUGUCUUUCACCCUUGAAAAUGACACAUCGUGUUUUGUUUAUCGAGGGAUUGGUGAACAAAAUCGUCUCAGUGACCCAAACAAAAGUAUGUAGCUAACACACACAAAUAGUAAUAAUAUUUUUUUUCCUAAGAGAAUAAUAUUAAUUUUUAGAAUGAGUUAGUAGUACAACAUAAUAUAUCUUCUAACCGUUAUUAAUUUUUAUAUAGCAGUAAAUUUAAGAUCUAUAAAUUUAUAAAUGUUUUCAUUAUGUUUUUAUCACAUCCAAAUAAUUAAAAGUAAUAAUAUAAUCUAUACUAAUACCAAAAUAUUUUGUUAACCAAUUCAUUUCAUUUUAGUUUGUACGGAAACUCGCUAAGGUAUAUGCGGCAUACCAAAAUCUAUCAAGUUAUUAAAAAUACAUAAGGAAUAAAAAGUAUGCGGGAAGAAAUUUGUUAUGCUAUUUAAUAUAUAUGUGUAAUACAAAGUUUGCAUGUAUACUAUCUGUUUAUAUGAAAAAAAUAUAACUAGACCCUGAUCUGCGCGCCAGCGAGGAUAUAAAUUUUCAGUUUUUGGUUAUUUAUUUAACUAAAUGAUGUAUUUGUAAUAUAUAAUAUAUUAUAUUCACCAAGUAAAUAAUUUUUUGGCAUCUUAAACUAUCUAUUUAUGACGAAUAUUUAAUAUCAUAUAAAAAAUAGAACAAACAGACGUAAUUAGAGAAUUGUAGAUGAUAUAUAAAAACAAUGGUUAUAAUGUAAAAUAUGAAGAAAUAUUAUAUUAUGACUUAGUAUGGCAUAAAAGAUUAUAAAUUAAUUAUACAUGUUUAAAGAAAAUACAAUGAUUUUUAAACUUAUACGAAAAAUUUAACAUAUAAAAAAGGGUGAUGAAUUAGUCAUCAAAUUGUAAAUAAUUUCAUAAUUUUAUUAAUAAUAAAUUAUUUAUAGUCUAUGUUUUUCGUCAAGAUAAUUAUUAAAUGUCCAUAACAUUAAUAUGUUAAAAUGUCAUAUUAUGAAAGAUCUUUUUGUAACCGUUUUUUUUUUCCAGAAAGUGUAACAAAAAAUCACAUUUAACUCAUCAUUUUGUUUAAGUCCCGUGUCGAUAAAAGAUUAAAAAAACUCUCUAUCUCUUUCAAUGUUCAAUUUCAAGCUUAUUAUGCGAAAAUCAUACGCAAAUAUAGGCAAUUAGUUGGAAUCUCUAUAUUUUUAUAUUCUUACAAAUUUUAAAUUUAUUGUUUCCUCUUCGGCAAGAAAAUCAAUUACCGAAGUAAUAUAUCAAUUGGUUGUAAUCAAAUCUAUUCUUAUAAUUAGUGUAAUUAUGGUUACAGUUUCUAUAUUUAAUAGGUACAUUAAAGAUACGACAUUGAAGAUAUUCUGUUUUGAUUAAUAGAAGAUAUUUGAGUUUGUAUUUAUUGAUUUGUUUUUAAUAAAGCUUAGGGUAUGAAUGGUGAUCAAGGAACAACGAAGAAUAAUGCAUUCUCUAACAUUCCUGAAAAAAAUCACCAUUCACAAGGAAUAAUAAUUCCUUCUCAUUCCCUUUCAUUCCUUUUUUUGUAGAGAAUUAAAGAACAAAAGUAUUCCUUGUUAAAAUUGAUAAGGAACAACCAUUUCUUUUUUUUUUUUUUUUUGUCAUCAACAAUACAUACUCAUACUGACUCUGUAAACCAAACCGGGUGAUCUGAAUCCAUGUGAACAACAAAAGACGGUUGCUUUCUAGCACUGCGCGCUAGACGAUCCGCCUUUGAAUUUUGCGUCCGUGGUACAUAGAUAAUCUCUGAUCGGGUGAAGCUCUCUUUCAGGGUCUUGAUAUCUUCCAAAUAAUUUGCAAAAACUGGCCAUUCUUCUGGUUCGGAAACCAUCUUUACCAAUUGAGAACAAUCCGUUGCAAACGUAACCUGAAAUUGACGUAAAUUCCUCAUACAUUCCAUUGCCCAGAGCAACGCUUCAAUCUCUGCAUGAAGAGGCGAUAGACUAGCCCUAACAUUCCUCGCCCCCAACAAUCCAUCAAAACCUUCCAAAGUACUAAGCCAACCUUGUCCUGAAAAACCAUCCCCCUCUUUCCACGAGCCAUCUGUAAAACACCAUCGUCCUGGAAUCGACGGCAAUAUCGCAUCUAUUAUUUGUGGUGUCGUCCUCUGGUCAUUCACUACUUGUGCCUCAGCCCACAGUGUUGACUUUGUAUCAGCCAAUUUAAGCGUAUCCAUAGGAUCUAUAUCCAAAUUACUGAAAACUUUAUUAUUCCUAGCUUUCCAGAUAUACCAUAGUAUCCAUGCAAACUGAUGAUCCUCCAUCUGCGGGAGAACUCUCCAGAAUAAAUGAUCCAUAUUUGUGAAGAGGGAUCUAGUUGGAAAAAUAUCUUGAUUUGAUGGUAUCUUCGAAAGAGCCCAGACCUGAAGAGCUGGAGGACAUUCAAAAAACACAUGAUUUGUCGAUUCCUCAGGAGCUCCACAUCUGGCACAACAAAUAUCCCCAUGGAUCCCCCUCGCUUGUAAAUUCUUCCGCACUGCUAUACAUCCUGACACCAGUUGCCAUAGGAAAUGUUUUAACUUUGGUGGGCACCGUAUUUUCCAGCAGUAAGCCUUCAAAACAUCAACUGUGGGACCAAUCAGUAGCGGUGGCCUUUCUCUAACUGGAUAAAUCCGCUUGACCUGAUAUCCUGAUUUGACCGUAUAUUUUCCAUUUUUUGUAAAGUUCCAUCCAUCUUUAUCCACCCUCUGAGUCCUGCUCAAUGGUAUGCUUUCUAUAAGUUUCGCAUCCUGAGGAUCCACCAAUGUCCGAAUUGCCUCUAAAUUCCAAGUACGCAAAGUAGAGUCAAUGAGGGACUCUACAGUAAGGUCCGGAUAUAAAUUGUGUUGAUUUUUAUUAGCUGGUCUCGGGCGAGUGGUUGGAAGCCAAGGAUCAUUCCAUACAGAUAUAGAAGACCCUGAUCCCACCCGUUUAAUUAGUCCUUUGCUAACCAGAGAUCUAGCAGAAACAAUACUCCGCCAGCCAUAUGACGAAGAAUAUGAACGAAUCGGUUCCAAGGGGGAAGCAUUCCUAUAAUACCGACCUUUGAAAACUCGAGAAAAUAAAGUGUUUGGCUUUUUUAUCAGACGCCAUAGCUGUUUACCCAGCAUCGCCGUAUUGAAAUCAGUGAUGUCUUUAAACCCCAAACCUCCUUCAUCCUUAUUUGCACAUACCUUGUCCCAUGAUUUCCAAUGCAUACCCCUUGUGCUUCCCCCUGGACUCCACCAGAAUUGUGAUACCGUACUCGUUAGUUUCUUUACUGUUGCUUUUGGUAAUCGGUAGCAGGACAUCGUAUGAUUUGGUAAUGCUGUAAUCACUGAUUUAAUGAUCACUUCCUUUCCUCCUUUUGUAAAGAACUUAAAAGUCCACCCAUUGACUCGAUUAUUUAAACGAUCUUGUACAAAACUAAACACUUGGAUCUUUGAGCCCCUCAUAUUUUCCGGUAAACCCAGGUAGGAUCCCAUUCCUCCAAGAUUCUGGAUUCCCAAAAUAUCUCUUAAUUCUUGCCUAACAGAUUCUUCAAUCUUAUAUCCAAAUUGUAUUGAAGACUUAUCAAAAUUUAUUAAUUGUCCUGAAACUGCCUCAUACUCCUUUAAAAUCCUGAGAAUGGUUUGACACUCUUCUUUUUGAGCUUUACAAAAGAAAAGGCUAUCAUCCGCAAAACGCAAAUGAGAAAUCGACGGGCAGGCUCUUGCUACCUUCAUCCCUGUUAAUUGAUCCCCUCUCUCUGCCUUCUUUAUAUUUGCAAUUAAAGCCUCAGUACACAGAAUAAAUAGAUAAGGUGAUAAAGGAUCUCCUUGACGUAAGCCCCUACGGGGAAUAAUGCAGCCACGUGGUUGUCCAUUUAUGAGAACCCUAUAUUCCACCGAUGAUAUACAUUCCAUCAUUAAUUUAAUCCAAUGAAGGUCAAAUCCCAGUUUCUAUAAUAAGGCCUUUAUAAAGUCCCACUCCACUCUAUCAUACGCUUUGCUCAUAUCCGUUUUGAUUGCCAUAUACUUUCCUUUACAUGCUUUAUUAGUCUGCAGUCCAUGAAACAUCUCCUGAGCGAUAAGAAUAUUAUCAGAGAUCAACCUUCCUGCCACAAAAGCCGACUGAGUUUCGGAAAUGAGCAAAGGAAGAUAAAUUUUCAGCCGCUGGCAUAAAACCUUUGAAAUAAUUUUGUACCCUACAUUACAAAGACUAAUAGGCCUCAAUUCCGUCAUCCUUGUGGGUCUCUCUGUUUUUGGAAUCAUACAUAUAUUAGUAAUAUUUAAUCUUGUAUCCAUUUCUCCCGAAACCAAAAAAUUAUUCACCAUCUCUACUAAAUCAUUCUUAAUAAUAUGCCAUGAGUGUUGGAAGAACAGAGCUGUCAUUCCAUCCGGUCCUGGCGCCUUUUCUGGGUGCAUCAUAAACAAAACCUCUUUAACCUCCUCCUCCGUCGCUAGCCUCAACAAAUGUUGAUUCAUCUGAGGAGUAAUUCCCGGUGUAACCUCUAUAAGAAAACUAUCGAAUUCCGAUGGGGAGGUGGUACUAAAUAGAUCCUCAAAAUAAUCAAUUGCCACCUUUUCCACGCUAGUAUCCUCUGUAAUCCAAUUCCCAUCAACAUCAUGUAAUCCAACAAUUCUAUUACGGACCCUUCGUUGCUUAGUUAGAGCAUGAUAAAAUUUUGUAUUAAGAUCUCCAGAUGAAUACCACAUGUUCCGACUUUUCUGGUGCCAGUAAUCUUCCUCGUCCUUAUAUGCAUCUUGUAAUUUCAUAGAAACCUCCAAAAUAUCCUCUUGAGACCUAGAAUUAUCUGUUUGGACCGCUUCAAGAGCUUGUUGUAAUUCACUUAUUUUUUCCUUUCCAUAAAGGGGAUUAUCUUUCCGCCACUUAGCAAUUUCGUGACGAAAAUUACUAAUUUUUUCCACGAUGUUCUGUGAUCUUCCUUCAUCUCGUCUUUCGUUAUAGUCCAUCCAACCCAUUGUAAUUGAUUCCAUGAGACCCGCCUGUCCAAUCCACCUCUUAUCAAACCGAAAUUGUCCUUUCCUUCUAGUGACUUUAUCCUCAAGAUAAGCCACCACUGGCCGAUGAUCAGAAGACACCAAUCCUAAAUACUCUGUAAAAGAACAUGGAAAUAAGGUGUGCCACUCUUCAUUCGCCAAAGCACGAUCUACACGACAUCUAACAUAGAACAACCAUUUCUUUUCAUUCCUGCUAUUUUAUUCCCGAACAUUCAUUUUUUAGCCAUUCCUGUUGUUUCCCGAAUGGUCACCAGUCACACCCUUAGAAAAUCAAUAGGAUGAUUGGUUGGUUGAUACAUCCUAUAAGAAAAACGAAAACUAUAGGUGGUUUGAAUAUUGUACAUCGAUUGAUGCAUGUUGACUAUAUAAAACUUGAGCAUGGUCAUUUCAAACAAAAGUAUAGAAAGGUUAUAUGCAUUUGUUAUAUUGUAGUUAAUAUAUUUUAAAUAUUACAUACGUCAAGUGAUUCACGUUUUCAUAAAAAUAAAAUUUAAGUUCAUUAUUGGGCUGUACUCGUCCGUUAUAAGCUACGUAAAAUAUGAUGUAUGUUUAGGUUCAUUUAAUGACAUUAAGUUUAAAUUUGACUAAGAAAAACUCAUUAAUUUAACUGAAAAAAGAUAAACAUUAAAAUAUGUAGGUUUAUUUAAUGAUAUUAAGUUUAAAUUUGAUUAAAGAAAACUCAUUAAUUUAACUGGAAAAGACAAUCAUUAAAAUAUGUAGUUUACUUUAAUUCUCAGUGGCUUGAAAAUAUAAAUAAAUUAGAAAACUUAUGGAUAUUUUUUAAUGGGUACUUAUCUUUUAAUAAUAUAGAUUAUACAUCAAAUGGUUUGGUUUGGGCUUAAAAUUAACGACUGGUUUGGGGUUGAACAAAAUUGGAUAUCAUAAUUAGUUUGUAUUUGAGCCAAAUUAGAUAUCACUGCGGAAUAAGAAACAUUAUGCGUCAUUAAUCAGACCAUUUUUUCAAUUAUACAGAAUACAACAGAAUUAAUCUAAUUUGCCAUGGUCACCUACCAUUUCACGCUUAAUCGGUCAAUUAGUCAGCUUUAUGCCCUAUUUUUUGAACAUAGUGUUUUACGAUAAAAAUAAUAAUUUAAAACAUUAAAGGAAUAAAUAAAAAGGAAAAUAACUUCAAUAAAAUCUAUACUAUUAAAAGGAAAACAUUCUAAAAAAAUCUACUUAUACAAGGCUGUUGGACCCUUUUAUUAGACUAACCUUUUUUUGGUCUUUUCUUAUAUAUUUUAAUCUAUACUAUUAAAAUAAAAUCAACCUAAAAAUCUACUUACAAAAGGUUUGUUGCACCUACUCAUUAAUAUUUUUUGAUCCUACCUUUAUUUUCUCUAACCAUCUAACAUUUUUAUUAAUAGCUAUAUUAAUACAAGAUACAAUAACGGCAAUUAAAGCCUUUUUAUCCUCCACAUAACCAUAUUAAUAUCUCUUACUAAAUUUAAUACCUUGAUAAAUUCAUUUUUUUAAAAGACUGCGAACCAUAUAUUGACUGCGAACCAUAUAUUGAUUUCGAUAUAAACAUUGUAAUCCUUGAUAUAACUUAUCUUUCAAUAAUCACGACGACCUUUAACCUGACUAUUAAUAUACGACAAGUACUUAUCAACAAAAUCUAAACUUUUGAACACUGAAAAAAUUAACACUUUUAAUGUAAUUCAAAGUUGUCAAAAAUAUAUCCAACUAUUCACAAAUCAAAUUUGAUAAAAAAAAAUUAAACAAAUCAUCGGUUAAAAAAUUAUAAGUAUUACGAAAAAAUAAUUUUAUGAAAAUAUUUAUAAUAAAAAUUAUUAUUUAAGAUAAAUUUUUUAAAAAUAUUAAAACCCUACAAAUUUAUACUAUUCAGUUAGCUAAAAAUAUGCCAAACAAAUCUUAAGUGCAACUCUUAUAAAAUACACACAAAUAUAUUGAAAGAGAGUAGCCUUGAGUAUUGGGUCAUUGGAUUAGGUACGAAGCGGUUCUUUUUGAUUUUGGAUCCUUUGAGUCCUAAAGAUUUGGAGCCAAUUAGAUAUUUGAAUUUUUUUUGGCUUGGGUUUGGGUUAGUUUUUUUGGGUCCAGGUUGGUUCGGACCCAUAAUUUAAAUAUCUCCAAAAUACCUAUAAUUUUCAGGUAUCUAUCGGGUCCGGAUCGGUCUGAAAAACCUGAAGUACCCAAAAGCCGAAAACAUCCAAACCAGAACAAACACCCAAAAAUCCAAACAAAUACCCAAAAAUAUUCAAAAAACUAAUUUUACCUGAAAUCAGAUUUGAUGAACCAAAAAGUUUUCCAGAUACCUGAAAUAUAUUUUAAAUUUUGAAAAUUUAUCCAAAACUAUAACCGAUAACCCAAACUUGAAUGUUAAAAGAAUAUCUGUAACACCAGCAACAUAUCCGAAAUACCCAAAAAUACAUAAUCUAAACAAAAUAUUUCGCAUACUUUGGGUACCCGAUGAGUUCUCCGGUAAGAUCCAGACCCAAACUGAGAUCGCAUGUCCAAAAACAUACCCAAUAGGUAAUUUGCCAUGUACCUGGAACCGAACCAGACCUAUAUCUUUUACUCGGUUUCAGUUGAUUUUUUUGGAUCCGGAUAAAAUUUUCAGACCUAAAAAAGAGUUACAAAAAAAUAUAUACAUACCAAUUCUCAAAUAAACUAAUAACGCACAAUCACAAAAUACUAAUUCAUAUCAAAUUUUCUUUAUAAUAAAAAAAAACCCGCGCUUUCGAAGCGCGGGUCAAAAUCUAGUAAGACAUUAAACCAGAACUGAUAAAAUAUCCAAAUUUGAAGAACCAUAUCAAAUGCAAAACAACCACCACGUCACUUAGACAACGCUGAUGAUUUCUUCGUUUUCUUCAUGCAGGGACGAGAGAGGAGAUAGGCAGAUGUGACGGCCGCGGUUGCAGAGAUUGUAAGCGGCUAGGAACUGCAGGGAAAGAGAGGCGGUAACCAGUGGAUCACUACAAGAAGACGGGAAAUUAGGGUUUGUUUGACGCCGGCGUCUGAGAUGAAGUGGAUAACAUAUCGAAGAAGAGCAGAAGAAUCACAUAAAAUUUUGAAAAUAAAACAAAGAAGAGAAGUACCAGAUUGAGAUUUGCUCUGAUACAAUGAAAGUUUGAAUAUUUUCUUAUCUUACUUAACGUGUGAUUACAAGUGUUUAUAUACACAGACUAGAUACAAUCAGCUAAUAUCUUCCUAGAUUACAAGAGAGCAUAUCUGAACUAAGAGCAUAUAUGAACUAUAAAUUGAAUAAGAAUAUUGAGUGGCAUAUUCUUUCAUGUGCGGCUGUGGAGGGUUCUGAUUAUGAGGUUAGUCCCUCCGAGUAGAUAUACUCGGACCCGGAGACUGAAAGUGAUUACAUGGUGUUCUGUGUCGGAGAAAUUUGCCAUGGCAUAAAAGAUUGAGAGGCGAAAGAUGCAUUCGAGUGGAUGACAUGUUAGCUUUAUUUUUAUUUUCUCUAAAAUUUUAGAAAAUGCUCUGAUUAAAAACUUAAUCAAAUCAACUAAUGGCCCACUUAUGUCACCAAUGGAACUUUUCUUUUUUUUGACAACAAACAUUUACAGACUCAUAUAGACUCUGUAAACCAAGAAUGUAAUUCUACAUCCAUGUGCACGACGAAAGACGGUUGUUUUGCGAUUGUUUUAAAUAAUGUAUUAUGCUUGGACAUUAAAAAUUUUGGAAAUUUCUUAAAAUAUUUUUAUAAUUCCAAAUUUGAUAUUUAUAUUUUACAGACAACUUGAAAGUGUCAUAAUAAAGUCUACAAAAAAAAAUUACAUAUUUUUUUUGGAAAAAGACAAUAUCUCUGUUUCUAAAGCCACAACAUCAAUUGAAACAACAUAAAUCGACAUGUUAUCACAAUCCUUUAAAGUUUAUGAUUUUUUUUCAUAUCUCAUACUCUUAUUAUUUGAAAAAUAUAUUUACACCAUAUUUAGUCUAUAAAUAUUUUUAAUAAACAAUUAUAGGCUUUCUUUUUAAAUAAAUUGUAUACUUUUUAAAGGUAGAAAAAUUGUUUCAACAUGGUCUUUAACAAAUAAUAAAAUUAAUUAAUUAGGUUAUAUAAAUAUAUUUAUUUCAAUAUUUUUAAAAAUUGAAUUUUAUUUAAAACAAAAAAAAAAAGAUAAUCAGUAUUAUCAUCAACAUGUAUGUUACAUAUUUUAUUUUAUUUUUAAAAAAUUUUAAAGUUAUAUAUGCUAUAUUUUUAAUUAAAUUGUAAAUAAAUUGACUUGAAAUGAAUCUUAAAUGUAUUUAUCAUAUUUUGUAAUUUACAUACAUUGAAUAAAUUGAAAAGAUUACAAAAAUUCAUUUAAUGUUUCCUAUUAAAAUACAUAAUAACAUAAUUUGUUAUAAAUCAAUAAAUUUUAUUAUACUAAUAUAAAUAUAUAAGAUUUUUUGUUUUCAAUUGAAAAGAAAUAAUAUGAUGAGUAAUGUUAUUUAGUCAAAAUUUAUAGUAUAGUAACUUUUAGCGUUAUAUAUAUAUAUAUAUAUAAAAGCAAUUGUUUUAUAAUAAAAUCAUUAUACCUAAUAAAUUUUGUGAUUCCAUCCUUGUAAAAAACAUAAAAUCAUGCCCAAAACAAUCUAAUUUUAAAUAACCGAAGAAAAGACAAAUAUCUAAAAAACACAGACCCUCUAAUGUGAUUAUAUAUCACUUUGUUAUAUAAUACACAUACAACUAUAAUUUACAAAAUAUACGUCAAUACAUUACACAAUUACACGUAGAGCGUAUCAUACACGUAAAGCAUAUUCCGCGCGUUGCGCGGACCGAUCCUAGUAUAUUAUAUUUUUGUUGUUUCUCCGUUCUAUACUAAUGUAUAUUUUUUUCUCUUGUAAGUACAACACAUAAAUGACAAACUGUUUGAUAAAAACUAGAUUUUGAUCUCCGCGCGCUCGCGGAGAUGUAUUUUUCAAAAUAUGUUGCUAUUUGUUUUUCAUGUCAAUAUUAAGGCUAGAUAAAAAAAAAUCCAAAUCUGAAGAACCGAACCGAUCCCAAUCCGAAAGAGUAGUACCAAAACCGAACAGAAAUUGCUUAAAUAUCCAAAUUAUUCAAAAUUUUGAUGUUUAGAGAUUCGAAAAUGAAUCUGAUCUGAACCGAAGUAUUUCAGAUACUCAAAUGUAUCCGAAAAAGGUUUAAAUACUUAUACAUAUAAAUUAUUUUUAGAUUUAAUGUAUAUAAAAAUAUCCAGAAUACAUAUGAUACUUUUAAGUUGGUUUAAAUACUUGAAAAUAUCUACAAAUAGUCAAAAAUAAAUAUCUAAAAUAGUUAAAGUAUACUCAAAACUCCAAAAAUAUUUAAAAAUUUUAUUUAUUCUCAAUCCAAAUAUUUAAAACAAACCAAUUUAUAUGUUAAAUUUAGGUAUUCUAACAUAUGUUAUUCAAAUUCAUAUGUGAUAUUUUAUUUUGUUUAUUGUUUUUGAGAAAUUUAAAGUAUAUAAUGAAUUUAAUUUUUCUUUAAAUAAUUUAAAUAGGUUAGCUGAAUCCGAACCCGCAAAGAUCUGAAAAUAAUUUGAACCAAAAUUUAGAAAUAUCUGAAUGUGUCUGAAAUCUUUGACCCCGGAAACAAAUCCAAACCAAAUCCGAAUGGAUACCCGAAAGCCCACCCCUAGUCACUAUUAUAUAUCAUAUAUAUAUCAUCAUAUAAUUAAUCGUAUUUUAUAUGUACCAUCAUAUAAGUAAUCAUAUAAUUAAUAGUAUUUUAUAGAGACAAUGUGUGGAAUAUCCUCAAUUAAGGUCCAAAUUUGCUGAAUACCCAUAAUUAUGGAUAACCCAAAAAGGAAUAACUUUUUGACACUGUGCAGACGAAAAUGCCCUUAUGCUUUGUCGAAAACAAGUAACUCUAGAUUUAUCAGCUAAAUAUUUACAUAACAGGUAACAAUCUACAUAUCAACUAACAUAUCCGCUAAUAAUUUCAGUAUCAUCUAACAAUCUAUGUAUCAAACAAAUGUAUCGACUAACAAAUCAUAUAUCAGUUAAUGAAACUAUUAACAAUUAAUUAGUUAUCUAUUAAAUAGCUCCAAAUAUAUUUGUAACAGCUAACACUUAAUGUAUCGAUUAAGAAUCCAUUAAAAUCUAAAUAAUAGCAGGUAAGUAAUAAAAUACCUAAUAACGUAUAUAUUAACUAAAAGUUGAUUGUGAUUCGAAAUUGGAAACAUUGGAAUUGGGGUGAGAUAAUAAGAUUAGCAUUAUGGGUGUCAAAAGAAUCAGAAUAAAAAAAUAAAGAUUUAUGUUGAAUUAGAAGAUGAUUUGAAUAAUUUGUACAAGAGAUAAAGAGAUUAAAACACAUAAAAGAGAGAAGAGAGAGAGAUAGAGAUAAGGGUAUUAUAGUUACUAAAAAUAUUAAAAAGAAACAAGGUUAUAUGGCAAAUUACAAGCCUUUCUAGGUGCAUCUUUGCCAAUUACUCUAUUUUAUAUGUAUCAUCAUAUAAAUAAUAAUAUAUAAUAUUUUUAAAAUUUAAUGUGAAAUAUAAAAACCAUAAUUUAAGUUGGUAUAUGAAAUUGAGCUUUUUAUUGUAUUUUUAUAUAUAUUGAAACUAUUAUUUUAAUAAUAGUUAUUGGAAAAUAUUUUAGUAAAAAUAAAAUUUUGAAUAUAUGUAUAUUUUAAAUCAGUUUUUAAUAUAAAUCAACUUUAAAUUAUUAUUUUGAUUUGAAAUAAGUUGAAAUUUUAUUUUAUGAUUAUUUUAGACAAAAAAAAAAUGCUUUUAGGUAAUUAGAUUAAUCAAUUUACGUAUAUUUUAAAGUUGGCUCAAAUAGAUAGUUUAUCAUAAUAUAAUAGACUUCCAAUUUUUAUUAUUAACAUAAAUCUAUUACUUUUUUCUUAAUAUACUGCUAUUCAUAUUUCCAAACAAUAUUAUAUUUUUUUAUAUUACUAUUCAUGUUUACAAACAAAUUUUUUUUUAAACUGUUAUCCAUGUUUCCAAACAAAUUUUAUUAAUUCAAGUUUCCAAAUAAUCUCAAUGUCUACUUAAGUUUUAAGGGUUAAUUUGCCAAAUAGCCAAUUUUGGAGGCAAAAUAAAGAAUCUAGCCAUGAUUUUGACAUUAUUAAGUCACUAACAAUUUUUUCCAAGUUUCAUUCGGUUUUAUCCUUUUUCAUAACAAGUUGCGGGUGAAAGAAGAAAGAAGUGAUGACGUUGAUGGUGAAAAAUAUGUGGACCUAAAAGACCAAGACUGUAGUUGGUAAGAAAAUCAAUGGUGCUCAACAAUGGAGGAUGGAUGGCGGUGGUUAUGCAACGGCAAUGGACGGAAGAUGUGGUGAUGGUUACAACGACGGUGUGAAAACUAUGGUGGUAGUGAUUAUGGAGAAUGAAGCGGAUUUGGAUACAUGAAAAAGGUGAUCUUUCAUGAUAGAGAUUACAAUGGUUGUGGUGGUGUUUGUGGUGAUCACCGAUAAAAUUAAUGUGGUUGAAGAAAGAGACAUUAUAAAUAGAAUGGAACAUAUCAAAUAGUCUAGUACAUAUUGUUCAAAUUUUGAAAUGUAUAUGAUUGUAAGGAAAUAAGUAAUGUUUACCCCAACGUUAACCCAAAUCUUCCAUAAACUAAACCCAAAAUACUAAUCACUAAACCCUAAAAAAGAAAAUAUAAACCCUAACCUAAAAAUCAAAAUAUGCACAUAGUACAUAAUGUGAAGCAAAAUCAAAAUAGAAUAGUAACAAACAAAAUAGCAUAGUACAUGGAAAAAUAUAAUGCUUACCCAACGUCAACCCAAACCUCUUAUAAACUAAACCUAAAACACUAAUCAUUAAACCAAAAAGAAAAUAUAAUCUUAACCCAAAUAUCAAUAGAAUGGGAAAAACUGAAUGGUAUGGAACAAACUGAAUGGUGUGGAAUAACUAAAUAAAAUAGUAUUACGGAUUUCGUGGCGGUGAUGAGAAAACAGUUGUUCUGGCUAUAAAAGAAUCGGUGUUCGUGGAUAUAGAAGAGGAAAUGGUUUUCCAUAACGGAGGUGGUGUUGCCAUGAUGAAGAUUAUGAUGGCGAAGAAUGAUAGUAAUAGAGUAGGUGAUAAUAAUUAGGGUAGAAGAAGGUUGUAGUUUUUUUUUUUUGUAACACUGAAAUAUCAUUGUUCUCCAUACAAUAGAGAUAUAGGUUCGAACGAGCCCAUUAAACCGGAUAGCUUAAGAAACAAGAAAAACAAGAGAGGAGAAAAAAACAAAUACCAGUAGGCACCAAAUGAUAUAAGGCAUGUCCUAGGUGAUUCCACCCAAAAAAAGCAUUACUUGGCUUGCGCUUCUAGUACCAGGAGAUGGUGAAGCCACACAGGAGCAUUGUAAGCAAUAUAAGAUUGAUGUCGAUGGUCUGGAGUCACACAUACUGCGAGUGCGUCAGCAGCUUCAUUUCUACUUGGCCGACAAUGAUCUAAACUCCACAUCUCAAUCUCCGAGAGAUAGCUUUGAAUAGUAUGAAUGAUCCUUGAGAACUGGGGAAAUAACGUUGGAUUUGUUAGGAUUUCCAGAGGUAAGAAAGUUGUAGUUUACCGGAAGAAAAAUAAAACAAAAGAGAAAUAGAUAAUUAAGAAGGAUAAUAUAGUAUAUAUUGUAGGAAUGUUAGAGGCCUUUUAUUUUUGAGGAAUUACUUGAAAUAACUCUAAUUGAUCUAAUAAUUACUAAAAUAACUCAUAUUAAAUUUUAAUUACUAGACUAAAAUGAAGUAUAAGCAAAUUUACUAAAAGCCCAUCUCUAAUUUGAUUAAACAUAAAUUUGCCACAUAAAUAAAUUAAAAAUUUAGAAAAAAAUAGAAACAACGCUUUGUUUUGCAGUCGGAGGUGGAGCAAUCUCUGAUUUGCAGUCGCCGUCGUCCCUGUCCCACUCCGGCAACAUCUCCUCCAUCACAGCUGCCGUCGAUUUCGACAGCUCCUCAAGUCGCCAUCGUCCUUUUGCGUAAACCCUAAAUCUCAAUCUCAACUGUAAGUGCUAAAUCUAUUCAAUUCUAAGUUGUUAUUACACCUUUUUAACAUAUAUUGUUUGAUUGAGAUGUUUAAUUUCGAAAACCCUAAAUCCCAGUUUCCACAUUCUGUUCACUUUGAAAUCUAGAGACCUUUUUUUUUUUGUUCUGUAAUUAAAGUUAGGUUUCGACGGACUGUUUGAUUAUUGUUUAUUGAUUGUUCCUUUACCAGCUGAUGAAAUUUCAAUUGAAACUAUGGUUAUAGAUAGCAAGAUUACUCACGAUUGUGAAAAAAAUCUAGUAGCCUUGAUUAUUCAUAACUUUGUUUCUGCUUUUUUUUCCUGAACUUUGAUUAUGCGAAUAGUAAGAAAUUUUGCUUUGUAGAGAAGAAAGUAAUUUGUGAAGUGAUUUAUUUUUCAGGUAUGGCUUUUUCUUCGGGUACGAGAAAGUAUCCUCAUCGUCUGUAUGAGGUUGGAAAACCCCCAAUUCAGAAUAGGAGUAUGAACCAUAGUUGUUAUCUGGCCAACAUUCAGACGGUGAAAGAAGCUGUUGGAGAAGAUGUUUGGUCUGAGUUGAGGGAAUCAGCUAUUGGAGUAAUUGUGAAGCUGAAAGAGCUGAAUUAUUGCUACAGCGAGAGAGAAAAAGGAAAAACAGUUUACUUAUCGUAGGCACAAAAAGAACCCUUAAAAUGAGAACUCGGGAGAUUGUGGUGUGUACUCUUUAAUAUACAUUGAAUGUCUAGCUCUUGGACGUAACUUUGUACGCUUGAAUGAUCAGAUUAUAACACCACUGCGACUGAAGUUGGCGGCUGAUAUUUAUGAGGAAGUGAUUGAGACAGCCGAAUAAAUUGGUCUUCUGUUUUUUUUGGCUACUGAAUGAUUGAUGAACUUGCUGGUUUUUUGCUUGAGACGGAUGUGUAACUUGUUGGUUUUUGGCUUUAGACGGAUGUAUGACUCGGUGGUUUUGGCUUAUGAAUGAUUGAUAUAUAACUUGCUGGUUUUUGGCUUAUGAAUGAUGGAUGUAUAAUUUACUUGUUUAUGAAUGAUGGAUGUAUGCAGGUUUUACAGAUGUUUUAUAUUGGAUUCUCGUGUAUGUUAAUAUAUUGUCCCACAAUCUGAAACUCGUCACGUUGAUCUCUGGAGCUUCUUUCGGCGUCUGGAGUGGUUUCCCACUAGACGAUGGCCGGACCUGGACCUAGUCAACCCCGCUUCGCCUAUUGUUUAGCUUGGGAUAGGCUUCGACCCCUAAGCCUAUUCUCCGGCUGAAUUGCUCUCUGAUUUAUGCUCUUGGUGCAGGUACCGGCUUCAAGAUAAAGCAUCGAUCAACUAGAAUUGUAAUGAUGCUAGUUUUGUCUAGCUUUAAUCAAACCCUCGGGUGAUGAUUAAAUCUUCAUGUCACUGAAUGUCUUUUUUUUUUUUUAAAUCUUUUUUGGGGCAUUCACUGACCCUUGCUUUAUUUAUUAGCUUAUUUUAGAUGCAAUAGUUUUUGAUUCUUCAAAAUCAAAUGUAUCUCAUGUAUCACAUUAUUCAUUAAUGAAAAUUCACAUACUUAUCAAAAAAAAAAAAAAAACGCAGUACCAAGGAAGACUGGGAAGAAUGGAUGAGACAUUUUAGUAUUGAAUUACUUAAAGAGUCUCCCUCUCCAGCAUUGAGAACUUGUGCAAAACUUGCUCAUUUGCAGGUGUUUCAUCUAUGCUCUUUCUUUUUCUCUCUCUCUCUCAUAAGGGUAUGCAUUUUAACGACUGUAUAUUACAGCCUUUUGUCGGGAGAGAAUUGUUUGCCGUUGGUUUUGUCAGUUGCUGGGCACAGAUGAAUGAAGCUAGCCAAACGCAGUUAGUUAGGAGCUUGGAGAUGGCUUUUUCAUCUCCAAAUAUCCCUCCUGAGAUUUUGGCGACACUACUUAAUUUGGUAUGUUCUUUGUUAAGCUACAAAAAUUAAGUAUGCUUUCCUUUAACUAUGGUUAUGCUCAUUGAAUGCUAGUGUUUUAAGCAUAGGCAAAUAUAUAGUGUUAGCAAUGAGUUAGCUACGUCUUGCUUGACUAGAAACAAAAUUCUGCUUAGGUCACCAUUUCCUUAGUGAUUGCACCUGUUAUUCUUUCUACUGAAAAAAACACCAUCAACUAAACAAUCUGCAAACGUUAAUAUUGACCCUGGUAUCCGAGUUUCUGCUUAAGACUGGAGUAAAGAAUCAUACAUUUAGAGUCAAAAUAAACCUACCUCUGUGUGAUCUUGGUUCUUGGUCCUGUCACAUGAGCUUUAUUUCCUCAAUACUCGUUUUAGGCAGAAUUUAUCCAACAUGAUGAAAAGCCUCUUCCCAUUGAUAUUCGUCUCCUGGGGGCUCUUGCGGAAAAGGUUUGCGUCAUGUAUUUCAUAAGAUAUGGCAUUUCUAUCCUUUUUGAAUCAAACAUUCAUCCUGUUUUUCUUGGUAAUGUUGCCAUUUUCAACUUUGCAGUGCCGUGUUUUUGCCAAAGCUUUGCACUAUAAAGAGAUGGAAUUUGAGGUUCCACGGUCCAGAAGGAUGGAUGCCAACCCAGUUGCUGUUGUUGAGGCUCUUAUACACAUAAAUAAUCAGCUACACCAGCAUGAGGUACAUUAUCUUACUUCUACGACUUCCCCAUCUUGGCUAUGUGUCAUUCUUGAUUGUUUGGGAUUUGUUGGCAUAGGCUGCUGUCGGCAUAUUGACCUAUGCUCAACAACAUCUUGAUGUGCAAUUAAAAGAAUCAUGGUAACAUGACUUUUAUCAUUCUUAAUGGCACUUAUUUCCGGUUGUGUGUGAUAGGCGCGCAGACAGAAUUUGUUUGUUACUAGUAACAGUGUUUGUUUCUAGGUAUGAGAAGCUGCAGCGAUGGGACGAUGCACUCAAGGCGUACACUUUGAAAGCAUCUCAAACAUCUAAUCUCCAUCUUGUAUUAGAAGCCACAUUAGGUAACCAAGUCUUAUAUUGGGAAGAUCCCGUGUUUUUAGUUUCCAUAUAAUUUCUCGUGGAAGUGGAAUCUAAGGUUUUUUUUUAUAUUUUUGGGGGUCUAUAUGUAUUGUCAGGCUCUGACGCAGCUAGUAUCGCAACAAAAAGGUCCAUGCAUCUGUUUUAUGUGCAUAAGCUCCAGACAUCUAUCCAUAUGGCUUUUUAUUCAUUAUCUGGAUAUAUGUAUUAGCUGUUGGGCCUAAUUAUUAAGCUUAUUAGCUCAAAUAAUGAAAGGCAAAUGUGAAAAGGAAAUGGGCUUACGAGCUCUUUGUAAAAAGCCAUGUUGGCAUUAAUGAAAGGAAAUAAGAGAGUCCCACAUCGAUUAAAACUUGAGAAGUUGUGAUGUAUAUAUAUGGUAUCACACUCUCCUUGGAUUAAACGGCUCAGAGGAAGAGAGAGCUCCCCACGCACGCGCAGCCGCCGCCGUCCGGUUCGGCUCGGCGUGGGCUCGGCUCGGCUCGGCUCGGCUCGGCUCGGCUCGGCGUGGGCUUGGGCUUGGGCUUGGGUGGAGGGCCUUUGGCCCGAUAAGAAUUAUUCUUUUUGGACCAAGUUAAGCUCAACGCUUUGCCAUUUUAUUUCUAAAAAACAGCAUGACAUUUGUGUAUAAACGACAUGUAGUUCGUUUAAAAAUAACACGAAGUUUAUCUGUUCGAAAUGGAUCAGAACGAGUCAACAAGAGAGAAACUUGCGGAGAAAGCUGCUCAACGUUCCACUCCGAGAUCUUUGCGAGAUUUUCGGAAAAAACGUUCGCAACAGUUUCGAAAAAGCGCUCCUAGUCUUCUCUUUAAAUACGGACUCUCCUCUUCUCAUUUUAUUCAACUUUUUCACAUCGAAACCAGCAUCAAAAUUCCCUUACCGUAAGUCAUAAAAACGAGAGUGUUUCGUAGAGUUUAUAGUUCGAUAGGACGAUCACGAGUGAGGCGUGAUUCGUCUGCCAUGGUUGUAUCCUGGGACUCUAUAUUCGUACAGUCCCGUCUCACUAACGGAGCGAAUAUUUUGAGUUAAGGAAAGAGAUCAUAUCUCGCCUCCAUGUCUCGUUGCGAAUACGAUUUCUUAUCGUUCUCGUAUUCGUUUUCUAUAUUCGUCUAUUUCCUUAACUUCGCUUUUAUUAUAUCGUUUACAUCAGACCGGUUUACCGGCUUCUACAAUCUUAACUCAAAAUCGCUUUAUGUUUAAAGCUUUAAUCGGGUUGAUAAACGAUUAAUAGAAACGGGUUUCGGAACCGUGUUUGCAAUUUGCUUUCUAGCACUUCCGCGAAACGUUUGUUCUUAUAUCAAAACGAUGUUUGCGAUUUGCUAUACGCUUAUCCGCGAAACGUUUCUGGCUAAAUGUGUUUGCGAUUUGCCUUAGAGCACUUCCGCGAAACGUUUCAGUUUUACUUCAUUACGCUUUGCGGAUUGCUUUCUAGCAUUUUCGCAAAACGUUUUUUGAUACAUUUCUUCAAACGUUAUAUAUAUGAAUCGUUUCAGUGACCGCUUUCUUAAGCGAGUCUGUGAAACAUUCUAAGUCUAUAAAAAUGGUUUCUGCGAACGCUUCUAAGCGAGUUUGCAAAACGUUUUUUCAAGACUUAUAUCGAUAUGAUUUGGUUCAAACACCAAAAAUGAACAUCGAUUUUAGACUAUUAUUUUCUUUAAAAUAAUAUGUUAAUUGUUGAAUGGAGUACUAAUCCGUUUUCAUGUUUUCUCUACAGGAAAAUGACAAACGAGAACGACACCCCCACUCCCAUGGGCACCUCGGAUGUCAUUCAGACUCCACUCAACGCUGCAUCAACUGGCGUGACAACCGCUGGAAACAUCACAGCGUCAACCACUGCAGCAACAACGAGCACUUUCCUCCCUGCGGGGAAUGCUGCUGAUGAAACCACUCGCCGUACCCUAUUUGGUGCUGGUCUUUAUCAGACGGGUUCAAUUUCAGCAACUGCAAGUGGUCCGGUGGCAGUUCAAACUCCUCCGACUGUCCCUAGUGUGUUCACUCAAGGACUGAUGCCAAACCAAUUUGAUGGCAAAGGCUUCAAAAUGUGGCAGAAGAAGAUGUUAUUCUUCCUGGCAACGAUGAAGCUGGAGAAGUUCUUCCAGGAGGACAAGCCCCUUAUGCCUUACGGGAUUGAUGAUGUUCACAGCCUCGCAACUGUUGACAUAUGGGUGCAUUCCGACUUCAUCUGCAAAGGCUACAUUUUGGGUCGCCUCAUUGACCCAUUGUACCGUGUCUACUGUGAGAUCCCCACGGCGAAAGAGCUAUGGAGAUCACUAGACAAGAAGUACAGAGGUGAGGACGCUGGCUGCCAGAAGUAUGUGGUCUCAAAAUUCCACGACUUCAAAAUGGUGGAUUCAAAACCCAUCAUGGAUCAGGUGGAAGCGCUUCAGCUCAUUUGCCAUGAAAUCGCUGCUGAAGGAAUGUCCAUCUGCGAGACAUUCACAACUCUCAGCUUCAUUGAAAAGCUUCCUCCAAGCUAUGCGAUUUCAAGAACUACUUGAAGCACAAGAAGAAGAAGAUGGGGCUCGAGGAGCUCAUCACGAGGCUUCAGAUGGAAUCCAGAAACCGAACUGCUGCAAAGGUCGGUACAAAGGAGCACAGUGUCAACAUGGCUGAGCACAAAGGCAAAGGAAAGGCCCACGCCUAUUCUCCUGCCAAGCCUUCCAAAACUGCUGCAGCCUUGAAGGCUUCUGGAAAAAACUUCAAGAACAAAGGUAUUGAGAUCAAUGCGAAUGUGGAGAAGUUCAAGGGGAAAUGUCACUACUGCCACAAAGUGGGGCACAAAACAGUUGAGUGUCACAAAAAGAUCAAAGAUGAGAAGGAUCAGGCAAAACUCACUGAGGAGGAUCUCGUUGCUGUGGUGACUGAAGCAAAUAUAGUUGAAAGCAACAACCCCAAGGAAUGGUGGUAUGACACUGGUGCAACCACCCACAUUUGCACCGAUAGGGCGAUGUUCAGCACCUAUCAGAAAGGAGAAGCUCAAGAUGGGAAACACUGCAGUCUCCAAGAUUGAAGGACGCGGCAAUGUGAUCUUGAAGAUGACAUCUGGACGUGAGGUCACUCUGACAAAUGUGAAGCAUGUGCCAGACAUGAGGAAGAACCUGGUCUCGGGAACCUUGCUCAGCAAGAAUGGAUUCGCCACAAGCUUUGAGGCGGAUAAGCUCGUGAUUAGGAAGAAUGGGAUGUAUUUGGGAAGGGGAUAUGUUAAGGGUGGACUUGUCAAGUUGAAUGUAAUGACAGUCACUCCAAAAGUUGUAGCUCCAAAAGUUUCAAUGAAUAAGAAUGAGCCAGUUGCUUAUUUGGUUGAGUCUUUUAAUAUAUGGCAUGAAAGAUUAGGCCAUGUAAACUACAAGUCUAUGCAAAGAUUAAUGAAUUUAAAUCUAAUUCCUAAAUGCAAAACAAGUAAACAAAAAUGUGAAGUAUGCGUACAGGCUAAGCUCACAAAAACGCCAUCACCUCGUGUUGAAAGAACUAAUAAACCUCUAGAUUUAAUUCACACUGAUUUAUGUGAUUUAAAAUACUUACAAACUAGAGGUGGUAAAAAGUACUUUGUGACCUUCAUAGAUGACUGCACAAAAUAUUGUUAUGUUUAUUUAUUACAUAGCAAAGAUGAAACCUUGGAAAAAUUUAAAGAAUUUAAACUCGAGGUCGAGAAUCAGCUUAAAACAACUAUUAAAGUAGUUAGAAGCGACAGAGGAGGCGAGUAUGAUGGUCCGUUCAAUGCAUUCUGUAAAGAACAUGGAAUAAUCCAUCAAACUACAGCUCCUUACUCACCAGAAUCUAAUGGAGUUGCUGAACGCAAAAAUCGAACUCUAAAAAAGAUGAUGAAUGCUAUGUUGCAGGAAUCUGGGUUACCCCAGAACAUGUGGGGGGAAGCGUUGCUUACCACUAAUUAUAUCCUCAACAAGAUUCCACACAAAGUAACUGGCAAAACUCCAUAUGAAUUAUGGAAAGGUAAUUUACCUUCGUAUAAAUACCUCAAAGUGUGGGGGUGCCUGGCAAAAGUUGCGGUGCCGCCACCAAAGAAGGUCACUAUUGGACCUAAACAGUGGAUUGCAUCUUCAUCGGAUAUGCACAUAACAGUAAUGCUUAUCGUUUUCUGGUACAUAAAUCUGAAAUAUCAGACAUUCAUGAAAAUACAGUCAUGGAAUCAAGAAAUGCAUCUUUCUUCGAAAAUAUUUUUCCAUAUAAGGAAAAACAAGGUUCAAAACGAACUCGAGAAGAAAGAGACAAUGACAAAAACUCAGAAACUGAGACAAACGUCGAGAUUUCUAUAAAUGAUAUUUCAGAAAAUGGAGAAAAAGAUGAACCUCGAAGGAGCAAAAGAGCUUGGAAAGAAAAAUCUUUUGGAGAAGAUUUCCUAAUGGCAUUUUUAGUAGAAAAUGUUCCAAAAACGUUGGCAGAAGCAUGGCUUCACCAGAAGCUCCAUUUUGGAAUGAAGCUGUCAGAAGUGAGUUUGAUUCGAUCAUGCAAAAUUAUACUUAUUACAUAACGAAUUUACCACCUGGCUGCAAAGCAUUAGGGAAUAAAUGGAUAAUGACACGAAAACCUGGUGGAAAAUACAAGUCUAGGCUUGUAGAUCAAGGAUUCCGACAAAAGGAAGGCCUUGACUAUUUUGAUACAUAUUCUCCAGUGACGAGAAUAACAUCAAUAAGACUGAUGAUAGCUAUCGCAGCCUUAAGAGACUUAGAAAUCCAUCAAAUGGAUGUAAAAACUGCUUUUCUAAAUGGUGAUUUAGAAGAGGAAAUUUACAUGAAACAACCUGAAGGUUUUGUCAUUCCCGGACAGGAAAACAGAGUAUGUCGACUUGUAAAGUCACUUUAUGGGCUUAAACAAGCUCCUAAACAAUGGCACGAAAAAUUUGACAACACAAUGAUGUCAAAUGGUUUCAAAAUAAAUGAAUGUGACAAAUGCAUAUACUACAAAACUACCAAAAAUGCGUAUGUUUUGCUAUGCCUAUAUGUAGAUGAUAUGCUCAUUAUUGGAAGCAAUAAAGACAUUAUCAAUCAAACAAAAAAUAUGCUCAAAGGGACAUUUGAGAUGAAAGACUUGGGAUUAGUAGAUGUAAUUCUCGGGGUUAAAGUCACAAGAAAUUCAAACGGAAUUAUCUUAACCCAAUCUCAUUAUGCUCAAACAAUAUUAGAGAGAUUUAAAAAUUACUCUAAUAGUACGGCAAAAACUCCGUUAGAUCCCCAAAUGCACUUGACGAAGAAUUCAGGUGAGGCGGUUUCACAAAACGAGUAUGCACGUGUGAUCGGAAGUCUCAUGUACUUGACAAAUUGUACUAGACCGGAUAUGGCGCAUGCAGUAAACGUACUUAGUCGAUAUACCAGUAAUCCAGGUCAUACACACUGGAAAGCUAUAACGAGGGUACUCAAUUACUUGCGCUACACCAAAGAUUUUGGGCUUCACUAUGGUAAAGAACAAACAGUUUUGGAAGGAUACAGUGAUGCUAACUGGAUAUCAGAUUCUAAAAACUCAAAAUCCACGAGUGGAUAUGUCUUUACACUAGGAGGAGCAGCAAUAUCAUGGAAAUCUACCAAACAAACAGUGUUAGCCAGAUCUACCAUGGAAUCUGAGUUCAUAGCUUUAGACAAAGCAGCAGAAGAAGCUGAAUGACUUAGAAAUUUUUUGGAAGAUAUUCCUAUGUGGGAGAAACCUGUGCCAGCUAUACGUAUACAUUGUGAUAGUCAAUCAGCAAUAGCUCGGGCUCAGAAUAAUCUCUACAAUGGUAAAUCUCGUCACAUCAGAAGACGACAUAAAACCAUUAGACAACUUAUCUCAACUGGUGUAAUUACAAUAGACUACAUCAAAUCGGCUGACAACCUAGCGGAUCCAUUUACCAAAGGUUUGUCACGAGAUGUUGUUGCUAAAUCAUCAAAAGGAAUGGGUAUAAAGCUUAUAACGAAUGAGGAUGCUUGAUUGCAACCCUACCUAUCAUGACUGGAGAUCCCAAGACGUAGGUUCAAAGGGAAAACAAAAUCAAACAGAAUCUAACCAAAGCACUUGAGACAAGUAGUUUCUUCCCAGCUCCUAAGAUGAUAAAAGUGCUAACAAAUGUGAGAAGGAUAAGCAUAAGCUUUUAAUGAUUCCAUAGCUUCUUAAGCGGAGUAUUACUCAAUACUUUUCAUGGUCAAUCACCUAAUGAGUGUGAAAUGAGGCCGUUUCUAGGAGAAUGAAUGCAAGGCUAUAUUCUCUAAGUUCACUCAUGAAAACCAGGAAUAGUUCAGGGCCACAAUGAACACAAUAGAGAACUAAGUUCUACGAGAAAAUGAAGCUGCGUUAUGCAUGUUGUCUCGAUUUACAUAAAACACCGGUUGGUUCUAGACAUCAUGUUCACCUUCUGGUAAAGUAAACCCAACAGAUAUUAACUAUGAGUGGUUCAAAGCUUAAAAAUGCCAUCAACUCAAACACAGUGAAUUUUUUGCAAACACUCUCGAUAAAUCUGUCUAGUCUAGUCAGGAUUAGAAUAAGUAUAGUUUUUUAGAGUCUAUCGAGUCUGCAUCUAGUCUGCAUAUGUUUAGAGUCAUUUCUAUUCAUGUGGGGGAUUGUUGGGCCUAAUUAUUAAGCUUAUUAGCUCAAAUAAUGAAAGGCAAAUGUGAAAAGGAAAUGGGCUUACGAGCUCUUUGUAAAAAGCCAUGUUGGCAUUAAUGAAAGGAAAUAAGAGAGUCCCAUAUCGAUUAAAACUUGAGAAGUUGUGAUGUAUAUAUAUGGUAUCACACUCUCCUUGGAUUAAACGGCUCAGAGGAAGAGAGAGCUCUCCACGCGCGCGCCGCCGUCGCCAUCCGGCCGGCUCGGCUCGGCUCGGCUCGGCUCGGCUCGGCUCGGCUCGGCGUGGGCUUGGGCUUGGGCUUGGGUGGAGGGCCUUUGGCCCGAUAAGAAUUAUUCUUUUUGGACCAAGUUAAGCUCAACGCUUUGCCAUUUUAUUUCUAAAAAACAGCAUGACAUUUGUGUAUAAACGACAUGUAGUUCGUUUAAAAAUAACACGAAGUUUAUCUGUUCGAAAUGGAUCAGAACGAGUCAACAAGAGAGAAACUUGCGGAGAAAGCUGCUCAACGUUCCACUCCGAGAUCUUUGCGAGAUUUUCGGAAAAAACGUUCACAACAGUUUCGAAAAACCGCUCCUAGUCUUCUCUUUAAAUACGGACUCUCCUCUUCUCAUUUUAUUCAACUUUUUCACAUCGAAACCAGCAUCAAAAUUCCCUUAGCGUAAGUCAUAAAAACGAGAGUGUUUCGUAGAGUUUAUAGUUCGAUAGGGCGAUCACGAGUGAGGCGUGAUUCGUCUGCCAUGGUUGUAUCCUGGGAUUCUAUAUUCGUACAGUCCCGUCUCACUAACGGAGCAAAUAUUUUGAGUUAAGGAAAGAGAUCAUAUCUCGCCUCCAUGUCUCGUUGUGAAUACGAUUUCUUAUUGUUCUCGUAUUAGUUUUCUAUAUUCGUCUAUUCCUUAACUUCGCUUUUAUUAUAUCGUUUACAUCAGUCCGGUUUACCGGCUUCUACAUUAGCUACUUGCAUUGUCUGGAUUGAUUCUCUUUCUCACAUUUUCCCAUUUUCUUAUUUAAAUGGCCAUGUUUCUUCUCAAUGUGAAUUGAAUGUUUUUAGAUUCUGACGAGGGAACUCUCAAGUGUGCCACAUUCUCAGUCUGACAUGAUGGCUAGUAUGGUAUCUAGCAAGGGAGCAAAUGUUCCACUUCUUGCACGUGUAAAUCUCAAAUUGGGAACAUGGCAGUGGGCACUUUCUCCCGGAUUGAAUGAUGGGUCUAUUCAAGGUGAAUAUUAGUUACUUUUAACUGUGUAAGUGUAGUCAAACUAGUUCUGACCAUAACAUUCUGGUGACAAUCUAAUACUCUUUUUUCAGAAAUUCUUGAUGCCUUUAGCAAAUCUACCAUCUAUGCUCCUAAAUGGGCUAAGGCAUGGCACACAUGGGGGUUAUUCAAUACGGCAGUGAUGUCUCAUUACAUAUCAAAAGGUCAAAUUGCUUCUCAGUUUGUUGCUGCUGCAGUCACUGGAUGAUACUUCCAUUCUAUAGCAUGUGCAGCGAAUGCCAAAGGAGUUGAUGAUAGUUUACAGGUUAAGUGUGCAUACUUUCAUGGAUUCCAUGUUUCACAUACCAAACCCGUGUCUUUCUUUUCUUCGCCUUGUUAUGCCACAUAGAUUAAGUUUCAUCUCUGAUAUUUGUUGAAGUAGGAGUUUUUUUGCAACACUAGUCUUUCCUUAUUUUCUGUUUUUCGUUUGCAUAUAAAAACAAAAUGUCUUUUUUUCUGAUAAAACAUUAAUGGUUUAUGUAUGAGCCUAACCUUUGAGAUCUCUAAUAUGCUCUUUGGGAGUUUGAUCGAAGCUUUGUUUGCUUAGAUUGACGUUUACUCUGGUGUUGAAUCUACUUAAACAAACAUUUUAAGGGUAAACGUUGUUAGCCAACAGUGAAUUAUUGACUAGAGUAUAUGGUCUCUUUUAAGAAUGUAAAGUCGGGAUAUACUGUUGGCUUAUAUCUUAAAAAAUGUCUGCAUCAGGAGACAUUUUUAUUUAUUUCAUUUGUUUGCCUUAAGAUCUAAGUUGCUUUUGUUGAAAUAUUUGUUUUCCCUUCUGUCUCAUUUUCUUAGGAUAUACUGCGUCUUCUCACGUUAUGUUUCAACCAUGGAGCUACGGCUGAUGUCCAAACAGCAUUGAAGAGGAUUCAGUCAUGUCAGCAUUGACACAUGGCUUGUUGUGUUGCCUCCAAUAAUUGCUAGGAUACAUUCAAAUAAUCGUGCUGUCAGGGAACUGAUACAGUCUCUUCUCAUCCGCAUAGGAGAAAACCACCCGCAGGUUUGUAGUUUUCCAUUAAUCUAAACUUUUAAAUCUUCAUCUGUAUUACGAAUUUAUGAUGACUAUUAAUAAGUUCUGAUCUGAAAAUUAAUUAAAUGUCAUGCCAACUCAGAGUUCAUAAUUUCUGUCGACUACUUUUCUAAUGUUUUCAGGCUCUUAUGUAUCCCCUUCUCGUUGCAUGUAAAUCAAUAAGCAAUCUGCGUAGAGCUGCAGCUCAAGAGGUGGUUGAUCAAUUUCGCCAGCACAGUGGCGCCCUUGUGGAUCAGGCUAGUAGUCGGCUUCUUGUGCUUAUCUUUGUCUCUAUAUAUGAAAGUGUUUCUUUUAACUGAGCUAAUUGGUGACCCCUUUCCUUUACCCCUACAACAACCAAAAAAAAACAGGCACAACUUGUAUCACAUGAACUUAUCAGGGUUGCUAUACUUUGGCAUGAAGCACUAGAAGAAGCUAGUCGCUUGUAUUUUGGAGAACAUAACAUUGAAGGAAUGCUGAAAGUACUUGAGCCAUUACAUGAGAUGCUUGAAGAAGGUGCAAGAAAGGACAACGUGACCAUACAAGAGAGAGCAUUUAUAGAGGUAGUGCCAUUUUCAGUCCUGGUUUUCCAACCUUGGGUAUAACAUAGUGUUUUUCUUACAGGUUACAUGCCAUUAGCUGUGUCGCCACGGUAUCCGUGAUUUAAUCUUUCUUUCUCUAGCACAGAACUGUACAGCACUCCAGCAUCUAGUUUUGUUUUUUCCAUGUAACCCGUGGUCAUUUUUUCUGGGGUUUUAAGAAUUUAAGUCAACCAGGUGACCAUGAUAAAAUUUGAGGUUUAGGGUGUGGAGUAUUUGUUUUCAUAUAUUUUUGUAAAGGCUAUAUGCGAAACUGGAUGGUGUUUGUUCGUAUCAGCAACUGAAGUUGGUGUGUUGUUGAUGCAGGCAUACCGUCACGAACUACUAGAGGCAUAUGAAUGUUGUAUCAAUUACAAGAGAACUGGAAAAGAUGCUGAACUUACACAGGUGACGAAAAAUUUGAAACAAAAUUUCAGAUGUGUUCUUGGCCUUUAUCUCAGGAAAGGGGCAUAACGACAUGUUUGUCAUUUUCAAUUGUUUUCAAACGGAUUGACAAACAGCUUGCCAGCCUCACGACAUUGGAUUUGGAGGUAAAGAUUCUCUAUUUCUUUGGUUCUCUCGUCUCUUUUUUACUUUAUAAUCAAACUGUCACAUUACAUGGUGGAUAGUUUGUGUCUCCUGAAUUGCUGCUGUGUCGUGACUUGGAGCUAGCUGUUCCUGGAACAUACCGUGCGGGUAACAUUUUGAACUACAGUUUGUCUGAGCUGAUUUACGGUUUUAACCUAGGAUUCGGUGCUUAGAUCACUGCUUUGGUUUUAUUUAAAUAGAUGCCCCCGUUGUGACGAUAGCAUCGUUUCCUCGUCAACUUCUUGUCAUAACAUCUAAACAACGACCACGGAAAUUGACUAUUCACGGAAAUGACGGUGAGGACUAUGCCUUUUUAUUAAAGGGACAUGAAGAUCUAAGGCAAGAUGAGCGUGUUAUGCAGGUGAUUUUCAAAAAAAAAAAAAAAAAAAAGUUGUUCAGUUAUUGUGUUAACUACAAGAUAACACUUUGCUCUAUUGUGUUUCAGCUUUUUGGUUUGGUGAACACUUUGCUCGAGAAUUCCAGAAAAACAGCAGAAAAAGAUUUGUCCAUCCAACGGUAUUCUGUAAUACCAUUAGUGGACUCAUUGGAUGGGUUCCCAACUGCGAUACCCUUCACCAUCUUAUUCGAGAAUACAGAGAUGCACGAAAGGUUUGUCUUUUUAUUCAUGAAGGUUUUCACUCUUGAAAGUUUCUGUUGAUUCUUACACAUGCCUUUUCUUAUUUCCAGAUCAUCCUUAAUCAAGAACACAAACAUAUGUUGAGUUUUGCUCCAAACUACGGCAAUCUACCGCUCAUAGCAAAGAUUGAAGUAUUUGAGUACGCUCUAGAAAACACAGAGGGAAAUGAUCUGUCCAGGGUACUUAAUCUAGCUUUAACUUCUAGUAGUGUUCUCUUGGCUAAAGUAACUAAUCUGGAAUACGAAAUUGCUUUGUUUCUCCUUCUUGGUAGGUUAUGUGGUUAAAAAGUCGCUCGUCAGAGGUAUGGCUGGAGAGAAGAACCAACGAUACUAGAAGUUUAGCCGUUAUGAGUAUGGUAUGUGGUUGCUUUCAUCAUUUGUUCACCACUUGUGUAGCGUCAAUGUAGAUUUUUUACUCAUGUUUGACUUGCACUUUAAAUGAACUUCUCUCGUAUCAGGUUGGUUAUAUUUUUGGGUUAGGUGAUCGACAACCAAGUAACCUUAUGCUAGAUAGAUACAGGUACAUAAAAAUAAAGAAAAGGGUUUAUAUUGCUUAAAACAUCCAACUAUACUUCUGUUUCUUUAUCAAUGGUUUCAAUUUUGCAGUGGGAAAAUCUUGCAUAUUGAUUUCGGAGAUUGUUUUGAGGCGUCUAUGAAUAGAGAGAAGUUUCCUGAAAAGGUACUAUCUUAUAAUGUUUUCCUCAUAAGACUUGUUUGACGAUAUGAGGAGAGAGCUUUAUUGUCUUAAACAACACUAUGUUAGGUUCCAUUCCGUCUGACAAGAAUGCUUGUCAAAGCAAUGGAAGUAAGUGGCAUCAAAGGAAAUUUCCGGUCGACAUGCCAAAAUGUUAUACAAGUUCUCAGAACCAACAAAGACAGUGUAAUGGCGAUGAUGGAGGCGUUUGUGCAUGAUCCUUUAAUCAAUUGGCGUCUUUUUAAUUUCAAUGAAGUCCCUCAACUAGCCCUACUCGGUAACAACAAUCCCAAUGGUUCUGCUAAUGUUGAACCUGAGGAAGUAGAUGAAGAUCCCGCUGAUGUAGACCUUCCUCAGCCUUAAAGGAGUACUCGAGAGAAGGAAAUUCUUCAGGUUUCUUUUUAAUUCUUUUGUUGAUGAUUUGAUUCUUGGAUUGUAUUUCAGGCUGUGAAUAUGCUUGGAGAUGCAAACGAGGUAUUGAACGAACGUGCAGUAGUUGUAAUGGCUCGUAUGAGUCAUAAGCUUACGGGCCGUGAUUUCUCUACGUCUGCGGUUCCAAGCAAUCCCACUGCUGAUCACAAUAACUUGCUCGGAGGAGAUUCUCAUGAAGUCGAACAUGGUUUGUCUGUGAAAGUUCAGGUUCAAAAGCUAAUCGAUCAAGCUACUUCCCAUGAAAAUAUCUGUCAAAAUUAUGUCGGGUAUGUUCUUCUCCACUCUUGUGCUUAUCUGUUUUCAUUUGCACAAGUUUGGUUCGUGAGAUAUGUUUUAAGUCAUUUCCAAUGGUUCGAUGCAAAAAUGUGAACAAAUUUUCUUGUUUUUGUUUGCAGGUGGUGCCCUUUCUGGUGAGAAGGAUCAUCUGUUCUGUUUAUUGUAAAUAGGCUUUGUAAAAUUUCGACUAAGUUGCAUUUUUUGGAUUUAAUUCGAUGAUAAACUAUGGUCUUUUUUUAUGUAAAUAAUGUGUUAGGUCGAUUUGGAGUUUCGUUAUCGUUUAUAAUAGGGCUUUGGAAACUUGUUGCUGCCGGCUUAGUUCCCGGUGAUAUCCUAUAGUACCGUCGGCUUUUGUAUCUUUGUCAUGUGUUUCAGUCAAAAUAUUCUGAAAUGAAAAAAAUAAAAAUAAUAAUAGUGUGUUAGAAUUCCUAGUCAUAUGUACAUAUGUUCAGUCAAAGUGGAAAAGUUGUUUCGACAACAAUCAACACGCCAUAUAUUUUUCAAAAUUUUGGUGUGAACAGAAUCAAGCAUAAAAGUAAGUUAAAUUAUUUCAAAGCUCUCAUUGAUCUAAAGGACGUAAAAGUAAGCAGUUUCCUUAUAUAUGUAAACAGUUUCUCUUUGUGUAGAUUGAUGUUUCUCUUUCUGUCCUAUGGAAGCGCAUAGGUCCUGCAAUGUUAAUUGCUGUGCAUAAUGGAAAAUCUUUUUUACAAACAAUCAACCACUAUUAAAAUCUUUUUUUACAAACAAUCAAUCUUUUUUAACCGAACCAAAAACCAAAAAUGUCGGUUCGGUUCGGUUCGGUUCGGUUGGUUCGGUUCGGGGCAAAGUCGCAGGGCUAGUUACCUCAGAAAACUCACGGCUAAACAAAAAAUGCACGAUUUAACUAAGUUAAAAUCACGAUUUAAAAUAGACACGAUCUAGUUAGAAAAUAACACAUGGGUACAUUACGCACAGUUUAAUCACGAAAUAACAGUGGAUAUUAAUCUAACCACGACUUUCCCAUGUUAUUUCCGUGGCUAUAGCUUUUACCCGGAGGCACGAAUCUGAAGAAAUAUAGAAAAUACUUAAAUUUAUAAAACAUAAAAUAAUAGUUUAGAUAUGUAUAUUUUUAUGUUUAAUAUAAUAUAGAAAACAUUUCACUUUAGUUUUUAUUUUUAUUUGACAUAAAAAUAUCAAAAAAUAAUUUAGAAUAUUUAUAAUUUUUGUAACAAGUUAAGAGUUAUGACAUCUAAAAUAAUUCAAGACAUAAAAUUUAUAAAUAUUUAAAUAUCUAAUGUGAAUAAUAAAUUAAACUUCAUAUCUAAAAUAAAACAAGAGCAAAACAUAUAUUAUACUAAAUUAUCGAUAUCAAAAAUAAAUUAACACCAAAUCAUAUCAAUUAAUUUUGGUUUUCUCUACCAUCAUUCACCUUAUUUUCUUUAGGUGGCAUACUGAAAUCUUCAUCAAAACCUAUGAAUCACAAAUAUACAACUGAAAAAUGAAAAUCUAACUUCUUAAUUGGAAAUUUAGAAUAUAAAAAACAAUCUAAAAACAUAAUUAAAAACUUAAAAAGGUAAAAAAUAUCCAUUAGUUCAACUGGUGGUUCAACCGGUAUCGGAUUUCUGGUUUUAGUAGGUCUUCACAGGUUUUUGGGUUUUUAAAUAUUGGGUUUUUUUUAAAAAAAACCUGAUUUUUUUGGGACACCGGUUUACCGGUUCAACAGCAGAUCCGGAUCGGGUUUCAAAACACUGAUUAUAUAUAAUAGAAUUAAUUUAUUUAUUAACUCACGGUUCAUCUGCGAUUGAUCCACUAACUCCAUAAAUCAUCCGGUUCAGUGUUCGGAUCGGGUUUAAAAACAUUGGCUACUACUUUAUGAUAAAAUCAGGUGGUUGAGAGUGUCAAAAAGAGAGAAAUUUUGAAAACGAAAUCCCAAGAAAAGAAAACCCAAAUGGUUGGGAAACUGCCUAGGAGUAAAUGAUUAAGAGAGUUUUCGUGUAUACCGUAUUAAAUUUAUAUAAGUGAAAAACAUUAAAUUUUCUGAGUUUGUGAUUUUUGUGCAAAUAUAAUUCUCGUCAAAUCUGCAACUCUCGUCAAAGAUUAUCAUUGAAACAAUGGUAUUAAAUGUAUCAAUGGAACUUUAUAAUUAUUUGCACCAAAUAUCUGACUAUUCGUUGAGAGUGAGUUACAAAACAUUCCUUAAAUGAACAAAAGGUUAAUAAUGGGUGAAUUUGCUGAAUAUUUAUAAGAGGCAAAAAAAAAAAUGAAAAAUAUAGCCAUUAUACAAUAAUUCAAGAUGGAUGGGACAAUUUGUACAAAACAUGACCAAAAUCUUCUUUAAGGCGCGUGCGCUUGAUGUUGAAAUGCAUAAGAUAAAAUUAUCAUAGUAUACUACACACUAUUUAGUAUAGGCACACGAAUCAUUUCACUCUAAUUAUACUAUAUUUGAUUUAGAAUAGUAUGGCAAUUGAUGUUGGUUACCAACAUAAUAAAAUACAACCAAAUAAACCUUAAACCCGCUACCUAAACCCAAACUCUAAACACUAAACUCUAAACCCAAACGAUAGACCCUUAAACCCUAAACCCAAACCGUAUACCCUAAACCCAAACCCUAACCCAAAUUCUUAACCCAACCGUAAACCAUACCGGAUCUACCUAAACCAUAAACCAUAAACCAUAAACCCAAACCCUAAACACAAAUUCUUAACCCAAACCAUAGACCCAAACGGAGCUACCUAAACCCUAAACACCUCUAAACCCAAACCGUAAACCUUUAACCCAAACCCUAAACCCAAAUUGUAAAACCAAACCAUCGCCCAUAACAAAGCUACCUAAACCCUAACCUUGAAGGUCUAAACCCUAAACCCAAACUGUAGACCCUAAACCCAAACCCUAAACAAAAACCUCCCUAAACCCAAACUCUAAACCCUAAACCCAAACCUUAAACCCUUAACCAAAACCCUAAACUCAAAUUGUAAAACCAAACCAUCGUCCAUAACGGAGCUACAUAAACCCUAACCUUGAAGGUCUAAAAUAUACUAUAUUUCAUUUAGAAUAGUAUGGCAAUUGAUGAUAGUUACUAUAUUGAUGAAUGGGAAAAGGAGGAAUGGGAAAAGGAGGAAUGGGAAAAGGAGGAACGGAAGUAGGAAUGGAGGGGAGGAGGAGGAAGGAGGAAAGAUAGAAGUAUGGAGGAAAGGAAGUAGGAAUGGAGAGAGAGACAGAGAGAGACCGGGGAAGGGAGGAGAGGAGAGAAAGAGUAGGAGGGAGUGUAAGAGUGAAAGCGACAUAAGAGGAAACUAUACUAUUUUGAUGGCACGUUCACCAAAGAAGAGAACAUAUAUGCACACAUGUCCAUGUAUGGGAAAAGGCUGGCAUACGACUAUACUAUAUUCAAUAUAGUAUGUAAUAUCAGAUUUGCGUUUUUAUCCAAACAAGCCGAACAAAAUUAAACAGAGGGGAAAUCAGCAACUAGGUUACUAAGGGCAUUAGUUUGGGUUAAAUGUGGAGUCUUCAACUGCGUACGUCCUAACUGUAAGUGUGUCUUCCGUGUGACUAUACUGUUUAGUACUUUCAUAUAGUAUAUGAGAUCAAACUUUUACUCUUUAACUUUUUUCAGAAAGUACGUUUUUUGUCGUUUUGCUGUUAACUCAUUCUAACCAGAUCUAAAAUCUAAAUGGUGAUUUUGAUUUCAGAUAACACACAAAAGAUCGAAUUGCUUAGACACUGAUGAUAUGUCCACGAUAAAUAUUAAUUCAAAAGACACUGUGGGAAAAGGUAAAGAGAUCACAAGUAGCGGCGGCGGUGGUAGGAAAGAAAACAAUAGAGAUGGUGGCAACCAUGGUGGAAAAGGUGAUGGUGGUGAAGAAGAAAAUAUGUGGUGCGCGCGUGUGUUAUCAAGGGUAAAAAUGUAAUUAAUAUAUAAUAUACACAAAAUAUCGUAGCCAAGGUAAUGUUAUGGAUAUAAACUUUAUUUUUAUUUUCCUUAUGUAUAUGCGUUGCAAUUCCCCUUAAAUAAUAGACUUCAAUACUAUUAUUAAUUUUGACAAUCCCUUUAUAUUAAAUGAGAAUCAUUGUAAUAAAUACAUUUACCCUAUAAUAGACCCAUGAGAGCCUCACAAUAAUUUGAUAAUAAGUAUGCUAACACGUUCAUAUUAUACUAGGAGUUUUCAUGCGCCAUGCGCAGAAAUAGUAAUUUUUAACAUAACAUUUUUUAUUUCAAAAGAAAACUUUGAUUUAUAUUUCAACAUUAUUAAUUUAUAUUUUAACUUCAAUAGUUAUAAAAAAUCAUAAACGUACUUUUGCAAUCUUAUUUCUUUUGAUUUGGUAUAACUAUUUAAAUUUGAUUUUAUUUAAAUUUUUAUAAAAACAAAAUUAGAUUUUAUAAAAAUUAUUUUAAUUAUAUUAUUGUGUUUUAUAUUAUUUAUUGUAUAUAUAUAUAUAUAUAUAUAUAUAUAUAUAUAUUUCCAUCUAAUUUUAAAUAUAUACAUAUAUAGAUAUAUAUUUAUUUACAUAUAAAUAUAUAUUCUAAUAAAUUUGAGACUUUCUUGUUUUAGUUAAACUGAAAAAUAUUUUUGAACAGAUAAAUUUAAAUAAUGUUUAAAUAUUUAACUAUCAAAUUUUUUUUAUUUUAAUGUUACUUUAUUUAAUUUAUUUUUAUUAAUGUGAGAUAUAUAUAUACAUAUAUAUAUUAUUAUUUUAAUUGUUAUAUAUGAAUUAUUAAUAUAUUUAAUAGUUUACCAUAAAUAAAUAUUUAUAUGGAAAAUUGACAUUAAUGAUGAUAUAUGAGUUAUUUUUAUUACCAUAUUUAAAAUCAAUGCAAAUUUUUUUAAAUUUUUAUUAAAAGAUUUUACAUCUCACAAUUAAUAUGAUGCCAUGUCACUAUUUUCUAAAACCAUGUCAUCUAUUUUAAGUGUCAUGUCAUCAUUUUUCAGCGAAAAUUAUUGUAGUCACGACAUGUGUAUAAAUCACUUCGCAUAUAUAGUCUAGGGGAUUCAUAAAUAUGUUCACACUAUAUAUUUUGUAUUUUUUAAAUAUAAAACUCACAUGCAUGGUUUCAAUAAAACUUUGGAUUUUUCUGUUCGAAUCAAAAUAAAUAACGAAUCAAAAGCUAACUAUAUAUAUAUAUACAUAUAUAUUAUUUUUAUUGUUUUCGGAUAAAGUUGGGAAAAAUAUUUAUAAAUUUUGAUUUGAUUCGUUAUCCGUUUUGAUUUGAAUCAAAAAAUAUGGAUAUCCGUAACUCUACAAAGCAAAUCAAAUACUAAAAUACAAUACAAAAAAAAAACAGAUCACAAAUACCAAUAUUUUUAGGAACGAAUAUCUAAUUCAAUCUGUUAUAUGCAUAUAUAUACAUAUAUGUACAGCAUUGUAUAUAUAUAUAUAACACACAUAUAUAUAUAUAUUAUAGUUUAUAUAAGUUUUACAAUAUUUUUAUGAAUUAAAUUUAUUAUAUUAGGUAUUAAAAUUUUAAAGUUAAAUAAUAUUUUAUUUUUGUAAUAAAAUGUUAUUAUUAAAAUUUUCAAUUAUGUUUAAAUUUUUAUUUUAUCUACGGAUCAAAUCGGAUAUUCUUUAAAAUUCUAAAUCAUUUCGGAUAUCAGAGUCACCGACUAUCCAGGUGGCUAAGGAUUGAAUCGACAUGAAUGCCUCCAAAUAACCGGAUAUUCGAUAUGUGUCCACCUCUAUUUACGGAUACAAUUUAUUUUUCUGUAUAUGAAAAAAAUUCACUAAUGUCAAGGCCUUUUUAAUUUUUAAUUAAUUUUAAUUUUAUCUUUCAUGUAUUAUUUUGAAUAAAAAAGUCAUUUAAUAUUAAUUAACAAUAUCUUAUAUAUUUGUCAACAAUUUUUAUAUACUUUUACAUACACAUACAUGCGCACCUUGAUGUGAGCACCUUGUAACUAAGUAUUUACCACAACUGAAGUAUCUAUUUUUUUGGAAGUUAAAAUAUUUUUUUCUUAAUGGUUCUUUCACUACCGACCAAAUUGUAGUGAAUGAUUUGUCUUAAUAAUUUUCUUUUCUUUUUCUUGAACUAUUAUCCGUUUAGAAACUAUGAUAUGAAACCAUUGGUUCGACAUGACGAUUAUCUAAAAUUCAUAACAUGAAAAUAAACAAAUAAUAGUAAUUUUUUAGUUUUACCAAAAAAAACUAAAAAAUCAAACAUUCUAAUCGAAUAAACAAAAAUAAAUAUUAAUUUAAAAUAAUAGUUAUAUUUUAAGAGAUUAAAAACCAAAAGAAAUUUAAAACCGAACCGAUAUCCAAAUUAAACAGAUUUAAUGUAUUUUUAUUAAAAAUAACAAAACUAAUAAUCACAUCUCGCGCAAUCCGUAGAUUAUUACCUAGUCGAUUAUUAAUGAACGAACACUCGUAAACCAACCACACUAAAUGUUCCCUAUAAGUACAUUAUACAUCCAUUAAGCUAUUGGUACAAAAAAAAUGAUAGGCUCAUACUAUAAUUUCAGUUUCUAUCUUCCUAUCGCUCUUCUUCUCUUCUCCUAUGCAAAGUUAUUAAGCACUUCUGCAUCUCUAACACCGGACCUGUGCGAUCCAGAUGAAAGAGUUUUGCUUCUCAAGCUGAAGGCUGAGUUCAAAAUUUGGAAGUCUGGUGAGUUUAACGACUACUUUGGUGACUCUGUGACAAUUUAUGAUGACACGGUGGUGAACGUUAAGUCUUACCCAAAGACCAAAUCAUGGGGGAAUAGCACGGAGUGUUGUAGUUGGAAAGGUGUCACAUGCCAUACAAAGUCAGGAAAGGUAAUUGGUCUCGAUCUAAGUUGCAGCUAUCUUUAUGGCCGUCUCGAACCGAAUUCCAGUUUGUUUAGACUGAUACAUCUCAAAACUUUGAACCUUGCUUGCAAUAAUUUCACUUUUUCUCCAAUCCCUCAUAAGUUCAACAAUCUCAUGUUGCUAGAAACACUAAAUCUCUCUGGAUCUUCAUUGAAAGGUCCAAUACCAACAGAAAUUCUCCAACUCACCAAUUUGGUGUCUCUCGAUCUUUCUUCUUUUUCCUAUAUUUCUUAUCUUUUACCUCCUCCAAGUUGGCUGUUCAUUGAAAACCCACCAUAUUUUCUCCAUCUACUUGCUAGUAACCUUAAGAACCUUAGAGCCUUGGAUAUGAGCUUUGUAAACAUAUCUUCAAAAAUCCCCCACGAGUUUUCAAAGAUGCAAUCUCUGAGAUGGCUACAUCUUCAGAACUGCUACCUGGAUGGAGAAUUUCCAAGCAGUAUUUUUCUGAUACCAAACUUACAGUCCAUUAUCCUGAGUCACAACCCAAAUCUGAGAGGCAAACUUCCUGUUUUUCGUAGAAACAACUCUAUGAAAGUCAUGGAGUUUUUUAUGACAUCUUUCUCAAGUGUCAUACCUGAUUCCAUCGGCAACCUUAAACAUUUAGUUUCUUUGACACUUGAUUCGUCCAAACUACUCAGGCUCUCUCUUUAACUGGUGAAAUCCCAUCUUCCAUUGGCAAUCUAAAACAGUUGAUCACGUUUGAGGUUGCCAAUAAUCACCUCACCGGAAACAUUCCAUCUGCAAUCUUCAACUUAACCAAACUACUCAGGCUCUCUCUCGAUUCAAACCACUUCAUAGGUUCCCUCUCACCUAACAUUGGGCAACUCUCCGAACUGGUAGCCGUUGUUGCCCAUGAUAAUCUUUUUACUGGAGCAGUUCCUUCAUCCUUGUUCCAAAUCUCUUCAUUGGAAGAAAUUGAUUUGGAGAAUAACCAACUCAGUGAUCUGGUUGGAUUCGAGAAUUUUUCUCUGUUAUCCAAUUUAGAAUAUCUCUACCUUGGGUCUAACAAUUUCAGAGACAAUAGUCCAGUUGACUUAAAUGUCUUCUCUUCUCUCAAGAAGCUAGUACGGCUAGAUCUUUCGGGCAUCCCUCUUUCAACAUCAAACAUCACUUCAGAUUCUGAUUUUUCAUCAAAUUUCGAGUUUUUGUUCUUGUCAAGCUGCAACAUCACUGAGUUUCCUGAUUUCAUAAGAGACCAGAGAAAUCUAAUGUCUAUAUACCUUUCCAACAACAACAUCAAAGGUCAAGUACCAGACUGGUUAUGGAGAUUACAAGAGCUGCGAUAUCUGGAUCUUCAUAACAAUGGUCUCAUCGGAAGUCUUCCUCACAUGUGCAUGCAUGCCAAGCAUUUAAGGGUCAUUGACGUCAGCCACAACCUAUUGGAGGGAAAGCUUCUUCCAUCUCUAACCAGUUGUUCUCGUCUGGAAGUUCUUAACUUGGAGAGUAAUGCUAUCAACGACACAUUCCCGUUCCACUUGAAUUCCUUGCAGAGCCUAGAAGUUCUUGUCCUCCGAUCCAACAAGUUUCAUGGCAUGUUGCAUCACUCCAAUGGGGGGGCUUGGUUCGGGUUUCCUGCCUUGAAAAUCAUUGAUGUAUCACAUAACGAUUUCCACGGUACCUUACCAUCUGAUUACUUCCUCAACUGGACUGCAAUAUCCACGAAUGAAGAUAAUUCUACGCAACCGGAAUACAUCGAGGUUCUCUUCAACUACGUUUCUGUUAUGUUGAUGAGUAAAGGAGUAUCAAUGGCAAUGGAACGUGUCCUCACAAUCUACACAAUCAUUGAUUUUUCUGGAAACAGAAUCCAUGGACAAGUUCCUGAAUCCAUUGGACUCUUGCAGGGACUCUAUGUUCUCAAUCUGUCAAGAAAUGCUUUCACAGGACACAUCCCAUCUUCUUUGGCAAACCUUACUGCACUGGAAUCACUGGACCUAUCCCAAAACAAGCUUUCUGGUGAGAUCCCUCCACAGCUAGGGGACCUCUCGUCUCUUGAGUGGAUCAACGUUUCACAUAACCAGCUCGUAGGUUCAAUACCACAAGGUACACAGUUCCAGCGACAAAACUGCUCUUCCUAUGAGGGAAACCCUGGAUUUAUGGUCCUCCCUUAAGCCUGUUUGUGGAGAUCCAACAUCGCCAGAAACUGAACCACCAGUGCCCGAAGAAGAAGACGAAGACGAAGAAGUGGAAAGGUUGAGUUGGGUAGCAGCAGGGUUCGGCUUUGCACCUGGAAUAUAAUUUGGAGUAACCAUCGGAUACAUCCUGAGGAAUCUUGCCAGAAGAAGGCACUGAAGCACUCGUUAGCUUCACCCAUUCUCAUUGCUGUUCUGUUCAAUAAAAUUAUUGCAUUUUAGUAUCAUGGUAUUUUUGUUGUAUUGCAAAGGACACUAGUGAUAUAUAAAACUUUUAUCUAUAAUAUUUGNNNNNNNNNNNNNNNNNNNNNNNNNNNNNNNNNNNNNNNNNNNNNNNNNNNNNNNNNNNNNNNNNNNNNNNNNNNNNNNNNNNNNNNNNNNNNNNNNNNNUUUAAUAUGUUAAAAUUUCCAAAAUUAAUAAUACAAAAUGGAAUUCAACAUCAAAUAAGGAUUCCAUAAUAAAUCAUUAAAAUUAAAUUGUAUCGUAGAGAUAUAUAUAUAUAUUAAAUAUUUUGAAAUUUUACAAACAAAUCAAAAAAAUAAUAUAAAUUUAAAGAUACGAAAACAAAUAUAUAUCUUUUAUUUUAUUUCUUACUUUUUAUUUAAACAAUUAUUUAUUAUAUAUAUAGAGAACAAUUAUAUAAUAGUCUUUUGCCACUUAUGAAGAAAGUAUUUUUGAAAAUGUCUUUUAGUGGUUAAAGAUGAAUAAUGGUACCAUGAAACUAGUAAACAUGAAAAUUUCCCAUAAAUAUUAUAUUAGGUUUCUCUAUUUUAUUAAGGGGAAAAUUACAUGUUACCACUUUCAUGGUACCAUUUUUUCAUUUUACCACCACUAAAGACAUUUUCAAAAAUACAUUCUUCGUUAAGUGGCAAGACUCUUAUGCCCUUGUAUUUAUAUAUAUAAUAAAUCAUAUUUAAAAAUAAGUAAAUUUUUUUUUUAUGUUUUCGAAUUAUACUUUUUCAAAUUCGAAAUUUUUUAUAUUUUUUUUUUGAAAUUCUUUUUUCGAAUUUUUUUUAGUUUUUUUCAAAUUUUUUUUGAAAAAACGAAAAUCAUGUUUGAAACUAUUUUUCUAAUUUUUAAUAUAUUUUUAAGUAUUUAUUUAUUAUAUAUUUAUUAGAAUCCUAAAUUUUACAUUCCAAAAACCCUACCCCACCACUCCUCAACUCUAAAGCCUAAGUCUAGAUUAGUUAACUCUAAGGGUAUAAUUGUCUUUUACCCUUCAUAAAAGUGAGGGUAAAAGUGGUUAGUGUAAACAUGAAAAGUGGUACUAUGAAUGUGCUAUUUGUGGCAUUUUCUUUUAUUAAUUCACUAAAUAAAAUAUUACUUAACAUUUGUUUUAUUCAUUAAAUUUACUUUAAAUUUAUAUUAUCUUACAAAGAUUAUUUAAUAUUAAUUAAAGUUAUCAAAAUAUUUCUUGUGAUAAAUUAAAUUUUAAAACUAAAAAUCUACAUAUUGUACUAUAUGUAUAUGUAUGUAUAUAUAACCACACAUUAAUUAUAAUGUUUUUCUGAGUACAAAGCAAACUUAGAUAUUAUGCAUAUAGUUUAAUCGCUUAUGUUAUUCAAAUAUAAAUAUAUAAUUUUUUUUGAUAAAAAUAUUAUAAUGUUUUAACAUUUUACAUGCAUUGAGUAAUCUACAUAAUAUUUUAAAACAUAAUUUAAUAUUUUCAAAAAUUAUCAAUAUGUUUAUAAAGAUAAUUAUUGCAUCAUAAAUACAAAUAAACUAAAUAGCUAAUAACAUUGUAUAAUUAUAAAUAAACAUAACUAUUAAAAUCAAAUAUCAUAUUUCAAAUAAUAAAAUUAGAUAAAUCAAUUAAAUUGUUAGCUUAAAAGUUAUAUAAAACUAAACUAAAUUAUUAAUUUAGAUUUGCGCGUAGCGCGGGUAUAAAAUCAAGAUUUUAUACUCGCGCGCUGUAUUAAUAAUUAAACUUAUUUAUAAUGACUUUUAAACUAAAACUUUAAUUGAUUUAUAUAAUUUUCUUAUUUGAAUUAUGAUUUUUUGAUAUUAUUAAUUUGUUGAUUAUUAAUGUUGAUUUUAUUAUUUAUAUUACUUUAUAACUAUAACAUCUUAUUAGUUAUUUAGUUAUUUAUAAUUUAUAUUGUUAUAAUUAUGUUCAUAAACAUAUUCAUAAAUUUAAAAAAAUAAUCUAUAUUCUAAAAUAUUAUAUAGAUAUCUCGAUGCAUAUAAGCUGUUAAAUACAUUGUAAUAUUUUUAUCAUACUAUUUACAUAUAUCUUAUUUGAAUAACAUUAACGUUUAAACUAUAUGACGUUUGUUAUAUAUGAUCUAUAUGACGUUUGUUUAUGGAGACCCUGUAUUAGAAAGACGAGAUAAAGUUUGAGAACGGCUUACGCGUUUCUCAACAAGAAAUGGACCUUGGUCCAUGAUAAAAGAUUUUUAUGAAAUAACAUGUCAUAAUGAGAAAGUAGAAGGAAGACAACGCCCUGAUAGUUUCUUUCUUCCUUUCAAGCAAAUACUUAAUGAUUGUGGUAUGAUAGAAUUUUCUUUCACGGGAGAUAUGCUCUCUUGGGUGGGGAAGAGAGCAGGAGGAUCAACAGUUCGAUGUCGUUUAGACAGAGCAGUAGGAAAUGCGGACUGGCAUGAGAAGUUUCCCCACUCGACUGUAAAGUACAUGAGGCUAUGGAGAUUGGACCAUCGUCCGAUUCUUGCAGACAUACUCAUAAAGCCAACGAGAAGAUCCAAAAAGUUUAAGUUUGAUAAAAGAUAGUUGGAUAAUGAGGAGCUACGACAAGUUAUCCUUGAGGGCUGGAAAUCUCCUGAUCUUCCUCCCAAUGCGACUAUUAUGGAACAUAUUUCCAGCUGCAGGAGAGCCUUGAGUGAAUGGCAAAAGAAAAAUCAUGUCAAUUCGGCAAAAUUAGUGGAGGAGCUUAAAGAAAAGGUGGAAGGCUUGUAUGCAGAUGAUAAUGCCACAACUGAGGAAAUUGCAGCAGCCCUGAAGGAACUCUCAGAUGCUCUUAAAGCGGAAGAGAUGUUCUGGAAGCAGAAGAAUCGGGUGUUUUGGUUGAGAGAAGGAGAUAGAAAUAAAAAAAAAUUUCAUGCCUUAACGAAGCAAAGAAGAAGAGCAAGAAAUAAGAUCACACAGCUUUUAGAUGAGAAUGGAAAUAUUGUUGAGGAUGAAGAAGGACUAGUAGCCAUUGCUACUAGUUACUUUAGGCAGAUUUUUGAAUCAUCGAAUCCGGAGGAAAUUGAGGAGGCGCUAGCUCAAGUGCCAACGACGAUAACUGGUGCUAUGAAUGACAACCUUACAGCUCCGGUAUCUGAAUGGGAGGUCAAAUUAGCGCUUUUUACCAUGCACCCAGAGAAGGCACCAGGGACCAUAUGGGAUGACUGCGCUUUUCUACCAGAAAUUUUGGGAUAUAGUAAAGGAAGAUUUAACUCUUAUGGUUAAUAAAUUCCUUUUGAGGGGACGGUGGCAAAUGGAUUGAAUGACACAAAUAUAUGUCUCAUCCCGAAGAAAACAAAGCCUAAUGCAAUGGCUCAGUUUAGACCCAUUAGCCUGUGCAAUGUCAGCUACAAGAUAAUCUCUAAAGUCUUGUGCCAGAGGUUAAAAAAGUGCUACCAGGUUUGAUAUGGAAAUCCAGUCAGCCUUUGUUGCUGGGAGACAGAUUUCAGAUAAUGUUAUGAUCGCUGAUAUCACUCAAAUGACCCUAAAGAGUGUUACUCUCAUCAAAAGAGGUUCAGAUGUAGUACUUAGGGAUCGAGUCCACAGAGACUCUAGGAUUACUCAACAGACUUAAAUAAUUAGAAAUGAAGAUAGACUAAAAGGUUUUAAUAGUUUUAAAAGCAGUAAAUGAUAAAUCGAAAAUAAUAGUGAAACGAUAGAUUGAAUUGAAGUGGUUUCAAGAAUGGGAAAGUAGCUAGAUUCAGAUAAAUCUCAGGUAUGAAAUGUACGCACUUAGUUUAGACUAAAGGGUUUGAUGGUUUUUGAACUAAACAAUGAUUUGACUGGAUAGGUAUCUUCGCUAGAUCUCGGAUCUCAACUGUCGUAUUUUAAUCUCGAGAGAGUGUCGAUCGAUGUGAUUUUGUGUUCAUCGACCGAUACACCUUUGUAACGAUCGAUCGACAGAACGAUAGUUGCGUCGAUCAAUGGUUAUUCUAGCGAGCUUUGCGAACGGGUUUAACUUGUCCUCAAACCUUCUCAGACCAACUGUCGUUGCGCCUGAGUUAGUUAGAUCACGCAAGGGUUCAGGAAUUGAGGAGAAACGGUUAGUUGGACUCAAUUAAUCCUAAGAUUUAAAAUGAAGGUGAUCAAUCUUAAUUUAGCAUUAAGUUCACAAGCAAUGAAAGAACAAUCAAAACACCCUUUUAAUAGUCAUAUUAGCAGUACAUAAUUUCAACCAUGGUGAGAAACCUAAAUCUAACAAUUACUUUACUCAAACAUUCAUGAGAGACAAAGUCAUGAUGGUGUGAAAUAAACUUAAAUGAAACAUAGAACACAGAUAGAUAGAGUAAUAGAAAUAAAGGAGUUCAAGAUCUUCUCUGUUUUGCAGUCUCAGAUCUAUCUCUCCAAUCCUAAGCUCUUCUAAUGGUAGCCAAAAUGCUCAUUCUCCAAACUAGGUCUUUUGCAAGUGUCUACCUAAAAUGAUACAAAACCCUAGUACAUAUAGCCUAACAGGCGGCUAGGAACUUAAGUUGCAAAUAAUAGAUCUUCUGGGAAAUGAAAUCUUUUAAUUUGCGAUCUCGUUCGUGUGACUGGGCAUCGAUCGAUGCACAUGUAUGUUUGUUGAUCGAUGGUAAGUGAUUAUGAUCGACCGAUAUUGCUCUUCAAGCGUCGAUCGAUUUUCCUUGCGUAAAAGCAUUCCAAAAUGUCCCAAAAGUAUCAUAUCCUUCCAUCAGGUGAAUAAACCUGUAAUUGCUUUGAAAAGACUCUAAAACAUGAUUAAUACGUCUUAAAACUUUAUAUACCAUGUAUAAAAACGGGUGAAAAUCAUGGUAUAUCAACUCCCCAGACUUAUCUUUUGACUUGUCCUCAAGUCAAACCAACAGACAGUCUCUCUGGAAGAGGGUUGAAAACAUCAGGGACUCAAAGAUUUGAAACAUUGAAAUUAUCACCUCUAUAAUAUUGCAUUCCACAUCUAAAGUUCCUUCUAACAGAAAUACAUUAUGCAAUAUCCUAGCUUAGAAACUAAAGUCAUCUAGCCAACAAUCUUAACUAAUCUUAUUAUCAAUCUCCUCAACCAACCUCAUUUCUCAAUGUAAAAAGUGUAACCUUUACCUUGGGAGUAUCGAUCACAGGAUGCAAGGAUUUCAGACAAAUAUCUGGAACUGCAGGUAAAAGUUAGUUCCUAAUUUCUCUCUCUAAUUUCUCUUUUGGGUCAAAGUCUGCUUCCAUUGCAGGAUCAGUGACCAAGAUUGGACAGGCUUCCAUGAAUCAAAACUUAAUGGUGGUUGCCACCAAGCUCUGUUCACUUCUUUUUGACCUAUAUCCAAGAGUUCUUUGUGAAAGCGAGCCUUGAAGAUUGCCGCCUCCAAGUCCUGUUUCGAACUCUUUAUAGGAGUCUUUUAUGAAUCAAGCCUUAAUGGUUUUAGCCACCAAGUCCUGUUCAGACUCAUCCUAAUUAAACAAUAGAUCUUAUUAUUAUUUUUUUUUUUGUUAAUUACUAACUAAUAUAGGGUCGGAAUUAGAGAGAAGAAUGUGAUAUCUAAUUCUACACAAGGCUUUACCUUCCAGACUUGUCUGAAGAAUCCGAUCCCAUGUAUACCAAGCCCCAAGACAAGCAGUGAAGUCAGGUUAGUGUUGGAGGUUAGCUUUGGUUUUUCUAACAAGCUAGCAAGUGUGUAUAGUUGACUGGUUGAUCCACUUUAGCAUCUAUAGUAUUAUCUGCAAUCAGUAAAUCUAGAAUGGUGCUAGAAAGUGGUUAGACAUUCAAGUAGAAAUCAUUAGUUCAUAAUCCCCUUCUUGACUCAAUAAAAUUAUUUUUGAAAAGAUUUUUGACAAAAACUCAAGAAAGUGGUGUUAGUAACUACCUCCCCCAGACUUAAAUUGCACUGUCCCGGUGCAAAGUGCCCAAGGGUAGGUUAAAAGCAAGUUAGAAUGUUUGAGAAUGUUAGAGUAAAAAUGAAGUACCUAUCCGUACUACACAUCGAUCGAUGUAAUCCUCUCCAUAUCGUUCGAUGUUACUCGCCGAGAAUCGAUCGAUGUAAUCCUCUCCAUAUCGAACGAUGGUGAAGCACAAAAUUUUUGCAUGUGCUUGGAGUCGAACUUGAAGUUCCUGCCUAAUGUUAGCUCUGUUAGACAACCAAGCAUAAGAAAUAAUAAGCAUUCUCAGACAUAAGAUAUAAGUUCAAGAACAUAAAUCCUACAAGUUCAGAAAAUAAAUAAACAAGUUCAUAAUAGGAAGAUAAGAGAUAGAGAUAUGAGGACUAGUCGGUGUCCUCGUCCGUCGCCUCAUCGUCCUCCGGGGAAGGGUCCCUGCGUGCUGCUGCUGCUGCUGCUGCCUGCGCUCCGGUAGCUCUCCUGCUCCGACAAGACACUCUAGCCCAGAUGGCCUGAAGAGCGUCCACCACGAACCUCUAAAAGUCUCCCUGGUCGUGCAUAGGGAUGUCCAGUAUGUUCGGGAAGUCGGGGAGAGGCGGUGCCUGUGCGUCCUGAGCUCUGGUACAGCGAAUGCUGAGAGGUCGGCGUGACAUGUUCCGGGGGUUGCGGAGAAAUGUCUCGUCUGGCAUGCAUCGAAGCUGCUCCACGCUGUUCCCGAAAUCAGUGAUCCUCCUAUCCGGUAGGGGUAGAAGGCGAUGCUCAUCGCGGAUCCUGAAGCGCCAGAGUUUCCCUUCCUCGAGCCAUAGCGAGUGCACCAAGUGCUGCUCGUCGAGGAAGGCGUGGUCGCGGUCGGCAGAGUGAGGGUCGAGGUGGAUGCCGAGAUACUGGAAAAUCAGGGUCAGAAGACUCCCAACUGUCUCCUUCUUCUUCUUACCCUUUCUGGUGAAGGGCUUCUUCUUCAACUCCACCAAGUGCGCGGCAAAGACAGCUCCGAGGUUCGGCGGGCUUACUUCGCCGUCCGCGUCCAACUCAACCAAAUCCACCACGCCAUUCACUGCGCAGAAAAGUAAUGUGAGCUCCUUUAUGCUGACCUUGUUGGGCUCCAUCUUGCAAGCCAGUGUGUUUGCAAGGAGCCGUAGGAAGUAGCGAAGUGCAGGAUGGCGGAUGUCUGAUAGCACGGCCCUGUUUGUGUCCCAAACUCCUGUGCCGACGAUGUCCCAGAAUCUCUCGAGGUGUGGGAAAGGUGGGACCGUGUAGGAGGCAAUGCUCUCAUCGAAACCGUAGAUGCGGCAGAGCUCGGUGAUAGUGAUCCUGUAGCGUGUCCCUCUGGCGAAGAAGGUCAAAGUACCAUCUCCCGCUACCUCGCUGAUGAUGAAGUCCUGUAGGUGACCUCGACAGUGGCCAUGAACUGGCGGACGAGAUCGGGGUAGAGGUCGUAAGCGCGAGAGGGCAUGUGUACCGAGUCCGAGCUGUGUGAUCAUGUCCUGAAUAUCUCUCUCGAUCCCGAGCUUCUUUAGGAUGCGUCGGUCGAGGAAUUUGGUGGGCUCGAUAGAGACUCCCAGCCAAGCAUUGUAGAAGAGGCUGUCGUAGUCGUCCCAGUGUGACAGGACAGGGGACGCUGACGGCACUCGUUGCUGUUGAUCGCUGCCUUAGGAUCAUCAUAGCCCGAGACAUCGACGGGUGUGUUUUCGGUGCGAGGCCAUGGAGGGGGCUGUGGGUUGGUGGAGCUGCUAGUCUCGUCGAACCUCUUUUUCGUCCUGAUUUCUCGGCUUCGUGCGUUUGUUUCUGAACUGCUCAUCUGAAACCAAGAAGAAAAGAAAGUUAGCUUUGUCGAUAAAAGGUAGUAUCGAUCGAUGGGUUGUACUGAAUAUCGAUCGAUAUUGUCGUGUCGGAACAAUCGAACAAGAGAUCAUCGGUCGAUGCGAACGAGUUUGCAUCGACCGAUGUCGAAUCGCGAAACCUGCAACAUCACUCAACUCCAAAUCGUGUUUAUACGAAUUAAAAGGCAUAGAAAUCACAAACCGAACUCUAAAUAAGCAAUAUGAACUACAAAAACUUCUCUCAAUCACACCAAAUCAAGCGUUCUAGUCCAACUCAAAACGAAAAUCCUAAUGUUUCGAAAAAUUGAAAAUUUCGAGUGCAUACCUUGAAUGCUGAUUUCGGGAGUGGAUUUAACAGUUUCAGAGUGAAAAAUCAGUGGAUUUAGGCGAAGAACGGACGAAAUCCGUCAAGAAUCGAGAGAGAAAAGGGUUGUUUUUGUUUUCGGUUUCGGUUGCGAAUGAGGAAGAGGAAUGGGCCGAUAUCGAGUGAAAUAAGUGUUUUAACCAUCGAUAUGCCCGCAUAGAUCGAUGGCAGUGAUGCCUCGUCGAUCGAUGUCCUCUUUAAAGACAAAUCCUAAUUUCUAAAGCUCCUAAAUAAUGCUAAUAAUAAGAAGAAAUACAUAAAUUACUAUUAAUUACUAUUAAAUAUAAUAAUUUUUUUUUAAUUACUAUUUUUUAUUUUUGAAAUAAAAUGGGUUGCCUCCCAUUCAGCGCUUAAUUUUUAAGUCUUUAGUUCGACUUCCUGAUUAAACUAAUUAUCAGGUUCAUACAGCACCAUGGGCGCUUUUGCUGGUGGUUUUGCCCAAUAAUGCUUAACUCGUUGGCCGUUCACUGUAAAUUCUUGGCCUUUAUCAUUUUGUAAGAUGAUAGCUCCGGAGGGUUGAACGUUCGUUACGGUGAAGGGUCCAGACUAACGGGAUUUUAGCUUUCCAGGAAAUAAAGUUAAUCUAGAGUUAUAAAGGAGGACUUGAUCAUCCGGUUCGAAAGUGCCGGGAUAUGAUCUUUUUAUCGUGAUAAGCUUUAGUCCUUUCUUUAUAAAUUUUCGAAAUUUCGAAAGCUAAAUGUCUGAUUUCAUCAAGCUCGUUAAGCUGGAUGAGUCUCCUUUCUGCAGCUGGUUUGAUAUCAAAGUUCAAAAGUUUGGUAGCCCAAGCUGCUUUGUGUUCCAGUUCGACUGGUAAAUGACAUGAUUUGCCAUAAAGGAGGUGGAAUGGUGUUGUUCCUAACGGCGUUUUGUAGGCGGUCCUGUAGGCCCAAAGUGCAUUAUCUAGUUUCCUAGACCAAUCUUUUCUGGAGGUUCCUACGGUUUUCUCUAAGAUUUCCUUAAUUUGCCGGUUAGAGACUUCUACUUGUCCACUAGUUUGUGGGUGGUAAGGUGUAGCUACUCUAUGAUGAACACCCUUCAUUUUAAGCAAUCUAUCAAAGAUUUUGUUAAUGAAAUGAGUACCACCAUCACUAAUGACUACUCUUGGAACUCCAAAUCUCGGAAAGAUUAUACUCUUGAAGAGUUUAAUAACCACAGAUGCAUCAUUGGUAGGAGAAGCUACUGCUUCGACCCAUUUGGAUACGUAGUCUACAGCGACUAGUAUAUAUUUGUUUCCAUAUGAAGACGGGAAGGGUCCCAAAAAAUCGAUACCCCAGCAAUCAAAGACUUCAACUUCAAGAAUGAACUUCUGUUUCAUUUCGUGUCUUUUGCUGAUUUUCCACGUUUGGCAUCUGUCACAUUGGGUUAUAAAUGCGUGGACAUCGCGAAAAGUGGUCGGCCACCAAAAUCCUGCUUGGAGAAUUUUCGAAACCGUUUUAAAGGUAGCGAAAUGUCCUGCAUAAUCAGCUCCGUGACAUUGGUAAAUAAUGUCCGGAAUUUCAGCUUCGGAUACGCAUCGUCUGUAUAUGCCAUCAGAACAAUGCUUAUAGAGGUAAGGUUCAUCCCAAUGAUAGCGUCUUACUUCUCUGAAAAAUUUCUUCCUCAUAUAUCCCUUGAGUUCGUCUGGCUCAACCUCAGCUGCCAAAUAGUUAACUAUGUCGGCAUACCAGGGUCGGUUAUCCGAGUUUCUACUAUUCACGUCUACCUCCCGUUGUGACAAUUCAUCAGGUGUAAGAUUAAUCUCAUCACCGGAAACAUUAGCUUGCAAAUUGAAGUUGAUUUUAAUAGACGGGGGUUCGUGAUCUUGGUCAUUGGAGAGUUGAGAAGUUACAUCAGUCUCGUCAUCGAUCGAUGUAUUAAUACGUAAAUCGACUGAUAUGCCUUCUCUCUCAUCGAUCGAUAGAUCUUCCGAUGUGAGAGAUAUUUGACCGACAAAAGAUGUAUCUAAGUGUGCAACAUUCUAUGUGGGAAAGAAGUCGUCUAUAGGGACAUCAUCCUCUAUCCUUAUCCGGAAAAUAUAGUCAGUGACUCCAUUAUCUACUCCUCUCUUAUCCUUAAUUUCGAUGUCAAAUUCUUGGAGUAGUAGAAUCCAGCGUAUGAGUCGAGGUUUAGCAUCUUUCUUUUGCAUUAAAUAUUUGAUGGCAGCGUGAUCAGUGUGAACUAUCACUCGUGAGCCAAUUAAGUAUUGACGGAAUUUUUCAAAAGCGUAAACUACAGCCAAUAGUUCCUUUUCUGUUGUUGCGUAAUUCCGUUGCGCUUCAUCAAGCGUGCGGCUGACGUAGUAAAUGGCUUGUAGCUUUUUGUCUUUCUUUUGGCCUAAAACUGCUCCAAUUGCGAAAUCGCUCGCAUCGCACAUGAUUUCGAAAGGAAGAUUCCAGUCGGGGGCUUGUACUACGUGGGCAGUGAUAAGGGAUUUCUUUAAAUCUUCAAAAGCUUUCAUGCAUUCAGGGGUAAAAUCGAAUUUAAUAUCCUUGCAUAAUAGGUUAUUUAAAGGUCUAGCGAUUUUGCUGAAGUCCAAUAUAAAUCUCCUGUAAAAUCCGGCGUGUCCAAGAAAACUCCGCACGUCUUUAACAGUUUUGGGUGGAGGUAAACUGGUCAUUACUUCAAUCUUAGCUCUAUCUACUUCUAUACCAGCGGCGGAAACCUUAUGUCCUAACACUAUUCCAUCGUUAACCAUGAAAUGACAUUUUUCCCAGUUUAGGACAAGGUUCUUUUCUUCGCAUCUUUCCAAUACUUUGCAUAAAUUGUCGAGGCAACUCUUAAAAUCUGAUCCGUAGACUGAAAAUUCAUCCAUGAAUACUUCCAUGAAGUCCUCGAUCAUAUCUGUAAAGAUUGACAUCAUGCAACGUUGGAAAGUGGUGGGGGCGUUACAUAGACCAAAUGGCAUUCUGCGAUAUGCGAAAGUUCUAUAGGGGCAUGUAAACGUUGUCUUUCCUUGAUCAUCCGGGUGUAUAGGAAUUUGGAAAAAUCCAAAAUAUCCAUCAAGAAAAUAGUAAUACUGGUGAUUAGCUAAUCUCUCCAGCAUCUGAUCAAUAAAGGGAAGGGGAAAAUGGUCUUUCCUAGUAGCGGCAUUUAAUUUCCUAUAAUCAAUACACAUCCGAUGACCAGUAACGGUACGAGUCGGAAUAAGUUCGUCCUUUUCAUUCUUCACUACAGUGAUACCUCCCUUUUUGGGUACAACAUGUACGGAGCUUACCCAUUUGCUAUCCGAAAUAGGGUAAAUAACUCCAGCAUCAAAGAGUUUUAUAAUUUCCUUUUUAACUACUUCCUUUAGAUUCGGAUUCAAUCUCCUUUGCUGCUCUAUUGACGUUUUAGCAUCAUUUUCCAAGCUGAUCCGAUGCAUGCAAAGAUCGGGAGAGAUUCCAGGAAUGUCAUCGAGAGAAUACCCGAUCGCUUUCCUGUACUUGCGUAAUUUAUUCAGCAGUAAAGCAAGUUCUCCGCUAGUGAGAUUGGCAUUGACGAUAACAGGGUAGGACUGGUCAUAAAGGUAAGCGUACUUAAGACCGCUGGGUAGAGGUUUUAAUUCUACCUUUGGUGCUUUAUCUUUAGACCAAUUUGAUUGCGAGGGAGGUUGUCGAUCGACGGUAUCUUGUAGGUAUCGAUCGAUGACAACUUGUGAGUCGUCAUUUUCUUCUAUGUUUGCAACUUCGAUGCUAGCGUCCAUUAGUCGCAUGUAAUCGUCUGUCCUAUCUGAUAUGCUGAAAAUUUCAUUUCCCACGUGGUUAAGGGUGUCUUCUAAGGGGUGUUCUGAACACAUAUUUAGGAAAGAGUCUUUUUCAUCCUCAGAAACUUUUUCCACGUAGAAGGCCUGGUCAUCUAUUAGGGGUCGCUUAAUCAGUUUUUCCAUAUCAAAAGUCAUCGAGAUAUCCCCUAUGUUCAAAUUAAUUCGUCAUUCUUUGACGUCAAUGAUUGAUCCAGCUGUAGCUAGGAAUGGCCGACCCAGAAUGAGGGGGUCUUUGGGUUCUUGUCUUUAUUUCAACACAACAAAAUCCGUAGGCACGAUGCAAUCGUUAAUCUUUAUGGGAACAUCUUCGAGAAUUCCUUCGGGUACCCUAAUAGAUCUAUCAGCUAAAACCAGGGAGAUCGGAGUUGGCAUAAACUCUUUAUAUCCUAACGUUACUGCAACAGAGUAAGGCAUAAGAUUCACGCUAGAGCCGAGGUUACAUAAUGAUCUAGGAAAGCACGUGUUUUCUAUUUUACAAUCUAGGACGAAACUACCAGGAUCUGGUCUCUUUGUUGGAGUUUCUCCUUUAAUCAUAGCACUUACUUCUUCUGAAAUCAUCAUAACGCUAUGUUCUGCAAUGGGUAGUUUGGAGAUGUCAUCUCCUUUAUAUACUUCAUAAUCGAAGGUGCUAUUUUUAUAGCAUCACUAAGGGACAUCUCAACAGAAAUUUUGUCUAAGGCUUUCUUGCAGAUCGCGUUUUCUAAUGAUUUCUUAGUUUGCGUUUUAGGAGGAAAAGGGGGUAAAGUCCUAUAGACUCUUUCAAUUAUGGGUUCGGGUUGAGUAGACCGUCGAUCGACGGGUUUUUCAGGUUGUCGAUCGAUGGUAGGUUUUCAGGUUGAUCGACGUCAGUUCUGUAUUGUCGAUCGAUUUCGUCCUGAAUCUCCGUAUCUUCUUCUAGUUUUAAGUCUAUUGCCUUUUCCUUAGCCUUUUCAGUGGUGGUUUUCCGGUUCUCUUGAGAUGGAUUUGGGUCAAGAUCGUUAAGAAGAAUAGGAUGAGAGUUGCUUUUUCAGGUCUUGUCGGUGUCGUCAGGUUUUCCAACAUCUGUGUUAUUCCUCGUAUCUGCUGCGAGGUUUUUCCUGCUGCGCAACAUUACGGCACUGACUUGACGUCUCGGGUUUAAAUCAGUUCUCCCGGGAAGACAUCCAGCAUCUCUCUUUAUGGCAGUUGCAAUCUCAGCUACUUGACCUUCUAAUUUCCGGAUUAGUUCUCCCAAAGAAUCUGCUUUCUCCAUUAAUUCUCCGUAAACCAUAUUUAUUUUUCCGUAAAACUCUGAUUUUGUCUUACGGUUGCCAGUAAGAGCUUGUCUGAUAUUGAACCUCUCUCUUCCGGUACGUGAUUUUACAGCAGUGUCAUAAGCUUGGGUAAAGCUAUCGACAUUAAGCACAGAGUAGAGAUCGGAACAGUUCGUUCCUUCAUCCAAAUAAUCAUUGGUGUCAGACAAAGCGUUGUCGUCGAUCUGGGCUAUAUCAGAUCAGUGUGUUGUUUUGAAGAAAGGAAUGAAGAGAUUUAAGGGAAUUCUUAAUUUCUAUCAAAUCAGAGUUGUCUUUUGGGCUUGUGGCUUUUUCUAUCUCUUCAUCCAUCUUUUUCAUAGGAUCUUCCCGUUGUCAUAUUCUUGAUAAGACGUCUAGCUCCUUCGGGAUUCCUAGUGAUGAAAUUUCCAUCACUCGCUGUAUCGAGUGUGGUUUUAUAGCUCAAGUUAACACCUCCAUAAAAGAUGUUAAGAAGUUGUGGUUCUGAAUAACCGUGAUGGGGACAUUCAAGUUCAUAGCCUCUGAAUCUUCCCCAGGCGUUUUUAAAAGAUUCGCGUGGACCUUGGCAAAAUGUAGAAAUUUUCUUUCUUACUUCCCAGUAGCGUUCAUCAGUGAAAAAUUCUCUAAGGAAGACACUUCUAAUCUCUUCCCAACAAGUGAGUGAUCCUGUUGCUAAACAGUUUAACCACCUGAGGGCUUCUCCUUCUAGGGAGAAUGAGAAUAGUUUGCAACGAUCAUAUUCGUCUGGUAUAAAUUCUUCCAAAUUUUCAAUGUGAUCUUGUGGGUGUUCUGGGAGGGAUCCACGAAAUGGAUUUUGACGAACCAUACGGUAGUAAUCUGCGUUAAACUUAGAUUUCUUGGUAUCGUCUCCUGGUAUUUUGAUAGCGGACCUAUUGGAAUAUGUCCUACCAGGAUCAAGGUAGUCUUGUAUGGACAAUUUUAUAUCUUCAUCUUUAGUUAAGGUGGAAUUUUCCUUAACAAGGAUUUCAGUCCCCUGUUCAGUUUGGCUAGCUUCAUUGCUCGUUUGACCAUUUAGUUCAGUUUGGACUACUUUCUCAUUAGCGGGCUUGGUAAGAGAAAACUUACCUGCUUCCAGCUGGGCGGUAUCGAUCGAUGUUGUUAGCUCUGUAUCGGUCGAUUCUUCUGACUCAACGUCGCUCGAUGGAAACGUGUCUCCGUCGAUCGAUGGUUGGUCGCGGUCUGUGUUCUCCAUUCUUUGUGUCUGCGUAACAGAUUAAGAAAGAAAACUAUAGCAAGUUUUUCGUAACAAGUCUAUACUAAAUUCUAAAUUAAAUCUAAUGGUAAUAAGAAAGAGUCUCCGGCAACGGCGCCAAAUUUGAUAUCACUCAAAUUACCCUAAAGAGUGUUGCCCUCAUCAAAAGAGGUUCAGAUGUAGUACUUAGGGAUCGAAUCCACAGAGACUCUAAGAUUACUCAACAGACUUAAUAAUUAGAAAUGAAGAUAGACUAAAAGGUUUUAAUAGUUUUAAAAGCAGUAAAUGAUAAAUCAAAAAUAAUAGUGAAACGAUAGAUUGAAUUGAAGUGGUUUCAAGAAUGGGAAAGUAGCUAGAUUCAGGUAAAUCUCAGGUAUGAAAUGUACGCACUUAGUUUAGACUAAAGGGUUUGAUGGUUUUUGAACUAAACAAUGAUUUGACAGGAUAGGUUAUCUUCGCUAGAUCUCGGAUCUCAACUGUCGUAUUUUAAUCUCGAGAGAGUGUCGAUCGAUGUGACUUUAUGUUCAUCGACCGAUACACCUUUGUAACGAUCGAUCGACAGAACGAUAGUUGCAUCGAUCGAUGGUUAUUCUAGCGAGCUUUGCGAACAAGUUUAACUUGUCCUCUAACCUUCUCAGACCAACUGUCGUUGCGCCUGAGUUAUUUAGAUCACGCAAGUGGGUUCAGGAAUUGAGGGGAAACGGUUAGUUGGACUCAAUUAAUCCUAAGAUCUAAAAUGAAGGUGAUCAAUCUUAAUUUUAGCAUUAAGUUCACAAGCAAUGAAAGAACAAUCAAAACACCUUUUUAAUAGUCAUAUUAGCAGUACAUAAUUUCAACCAUGGUGAGAAACCUAAAUCUUACAAUUGGUUUACUCAAACAUAUUCAUGAGAGACAAAGUCAUGAUGGUGUGAAAUAAACUUAAAUGAAACAUAGAACACAGAUAGAUAGAGUAAUAGAAAUAAAGGAGUUCAAGAUCUUCUCUGUUUUGCAGUCUCAGAUCUAUCUCUCCAAUCCUAAGCUCUUAUAAUGGUAGCCAAAAUGCUCCUUCUCCAAAAUAGGUCCUUUUGCUAGUGUCUACUUAAAAAUGAUACAAAACCCUAGUACAUAUAGCCUAACAGGCGGCUAGGGACUUAAGUUGCAAAUAAUAGAUCUUCUGAGAAAUGAAAUCUUUUAAUUUGCGAUCUCGUUCGUGUGACUGGGCAUCGAUCGAUGCACAUGUAUGUUUGUCGAUCGGUGGUAAGUGAUUAUGAUCGACCGAUGUUGCGCUUCAAGCGUCGAUCGAUUUUCCUUGCGUAAAAGCAUUCCAAAAUGUCCCAAAAGUAUCAUUUCCUUCCAUCAGGUGAAUAAGCCUGUAAUUGCUUUGAAAUGACUCUAAAACAUGAUUAAUACGUCUUAAAACCUUUAUAUACCAUGUAUAAAAACGGGUGAAAAUCAUGGUAUAUCAAUCGCUCAUGAAAUGUUCCACGCUUUGCGAACGAAACCAAGUGGACGAAACAAAAGGAUGGCCAUCAAGACAAACAUGAGCAAAGCAUAUGAUAGGAUGGACUGGUCUUUUAUUGAAGCUGUCCUGCGCAAGAUGGGUUUCUCAGAAACUUGGAUCAGCUGGGUCAUGCGAUGCAUUACAUCGGUGAAAUAUAAGGUUCUCUUGAAUGGAGAGCCAAGAGGGAAUAUUAUUCCAGGUAGAGGACUACGUCAAGGAGAUCCUUUGUCUCCUUUCAUUUUUAUUCUAUGCACGGAAGCACUCGCUAGCCUUCUUAAUUAUGCAGAGAUCCAAGGGAAGAUAACAGGGAUGCGUGUUACACGCACGUGUCCGUCGGUAUCCCACCUUCUUUUUGCUGAUGAUAGCCUUUUCUUCUGUAAGGCGGAGCCCCGUGAAUGUGAAGAAGUAAUGAAAGUAGUCAGGAAAUAUGGUAAAACAUCUGGUCAAUGUAUCAACUUUGACAAAUCAUCCUUACUCUUUGGUAAGCGGAUUAAUGCAAAUACUAGACAAGAGAUUAAAGAUGCACUUGGGAUACAGAAUGAAGGAGGAAUAGGAACAUACUUAGGCAUCCCCGAAGACAUAAGUGGAUCUAAAUGCAAAUUUUUUGCAUUCCUGAAAGAUAAGCUGAUACAUAGAGUGAAUGGAUGGACAGGUAGAUGGCUUGAUAUGAAAAAAGUAAAAUGUUCUUUUCAAAAGUAAGUUUGCUUGAUAUGAAAAAAGUAAAAUGUUCUUUUCACUUUAUCAUUAGUCUUAAGUUGUUUUGUAUCCAAGCGACAUUUCAUUAGACAUAUAACGCAGUAGAUCUCAAAUAUAUUCAAUACGAAAAACAUGAAAUAUAAUUUUAUUUUUCAAAAACACUAACAAAUUUUUAAAAACUAUUAAAUAAAAUUAGAUAGAAAUAUUUUUAUCUAUGUUAUAUGAAUUAUAUUAUUGCCAAAAAAAUAAAAUGAAGGUAACUGUAAUGUAAAAUAUAUAUUAUUAAAACAGAAACAUUGUGUUGGACCUAACAUUUAUUUUAUAAGUUUUGAAAUUAAAUACAUCUUCCUACUUUAUAGUUAAUGCUACAUUAAAUCACUAAUAUUCUUUUCCUUAUACUACUAUCAAUGUUUCCAAACAAUAUAGUCAUUUUUUUAUACUACUAUCCAUUUUUCCAAACAAUACUAUAAUUAAUCUUAUGUCCAAACAAUAUAAAAUAAUGGAACUUAUCUUUUUAAUAACCAAAUAUUUAAAUAAAUUAAAUAAUUAAAAAAUAUUCAAAUUUUUUUAUAAAAAGCGAAAAUAAAUAAAACUUACUUUUACAGGUUUAAAUACUACAAAAACAUUUCAAUCAAUGAUAAAUCAAUGAUAAAUCAAUUAAAUUAACAUAUUAUUUUAUUUAUAUUUACUACAUAAUGGUUCUAUCAUUUAUUUAAGUAAGAUAACAAUUCAAUAAUAGCCAUUACAUAAAAAAUAAAUAUAUAAACAUUAUACAGUGUACAAUAACUAUAAUAACAAAAAUAAUUGUGAAAAAAUGUUCAAAAUAUAUGUUAUCUAAAGAAAAAUGCUUAAUACUAAUUGUUAACAAAAAAUUUAAAGCGAUUAUAAUAUAAAUGAUUAACAAGAGAAAUUACAAAAAACAAUUAUGAUAAAAUUAAUUAAGUUAUAUAAAACGGAGUAAUAUGAUCAAGACAUUUAUAGUUGUUAAUAAUAUCUAUUAUUUUCUCUAUCAAGAUUUUGUAGAAAUGUCAUAAUUUAAUAAAAUUGUAAAACAAUAAACUUUAUAAUUUGGAUUAAAAGGUGACAAAUUAUGAAACUAUAGCAAUUUAAAUCAAAUUGGAUAUGUUAACAUAUCGGGCAUCCAUCGGUUCAAUUGGUUAGUCUCGGAUAUAGUGAUUUUUAUAAAUAUGGAUAUUUUUAAAACCUAAAUUGAAUUAUCGAAUCACCGGAUUAACCGAUUUGACCGCGGAUUCGGAUCAAAUUUAAAAGCAUUGAUUUAAAUGCAAAGAAAAUUCAAAUAAACAAAAUUCUUACAAAUUAACAAAAUAUUUAUUAAUUAUUAGUAAAAAAUUUCAUCAUAAAAUAAUCCGCGCUUGCAAAACGCGGAUCAUGAUCUAGUAAAAAUUUAAAUAGAAUGGCCACACAAACAAAUCAACAAUACUAUUAUUUACACAAUAUAACAAACAUAAUUUACCUUUUCAUAAGAAAAAAGAUCUAUAAUUAUAAAUGAAAGGCUACCCUACAUUUUCUUUCGAUUAUACCUUGCAUAUAUUCAAGAAUAGGUCAAGAAUAGGUAUCUUACAUGAUUUUAUUAAUUUUACAUUAUGUUUGUAUCAAAUGAUUAUGAGACAUAUUAGUCCCUUAAACAUAUUAAAAUAUAAAUAAUUAGUUUCAACAACCACCAAUAUAUAGUAACUUAUUUACCAAAAAAUAUAGCUACUUAAUCCUUAUUUAGAAUAAAAAUAUUUAAUGUUUCAAAAUGAUAUGUGUUUAUUUUGAUCACAGCUGUAGAAUAUACAUAUUACCUUUAAAAGAUAUAUGUACGUAAUUAAUAUAUUUAUAUAUAUAUAUAUAUAUUCUGACUUGGUAUAUAAUCUUGAAGUAUACAAAUUUCUAAACAUAUUUAAAAUAUAAAAAUAUUCAAUAAAAAAAAAAAAAAAAAAAAAACAAAACUGAAAUGUAGCUACCUAAAUCAUAAUCGACUCGAAAAUUACAUAUCCCUAUUCAGACCAAGACACUCAAAUUCAACUUGAAAUUUUAUCAGGUUCUUAACACUGUUAUUUGAACCAAACCAAAAACUAAAAUAACCAACCCAAACCAAAGCCAAAUUCAUAAAUAACAGAACGGUUAUUUUUAAAAAUGAAAUCCAAACAUUGCAACUAAACUGGAAUCAAACCGAAAACCAAAAAUGCAAUUUGGCAGUAAAGUUUGUAAGAUGUCAUUAAAUCAUAAAAUUGUAAUCUAAAAACAUAAAUUAUAAAUAAUCCCUCGCAACCGCGCGGGUCAGAAUCUAGUUAUGCUUAAACAGAGAGAGACUUAGCCAUAUAUAGGUAUUUUCAGUGUUACUAUUUCAAUAUUUAGAGUUUAAGUUCAGGGUUAUUUUAUUUAAAAAACAUAAAAAUAUGAGUUUAAUAUUGUGAAUAUUAUUAGGUAUUCUAAGGAUAAUAACAAAAAAUGAUCAUGUUUUAGAGAUAGAGAUUAAACAAGGAUAAGAAACUAAUGAGACAUUAGUUGUGGACAUAUUAUCUGAAACCGGAAAAAUAAACUGAAGCUAAACAAAAACUUGACAAAAAUUUACAAAAACUCGAACGAUUCUUAUUUUUCUAAAUUCAAAACAUUAAAAUCGAACCAAAAAUCGAACGGCCACCAGAAUAUUUAAAAUAUUAAUUUAUAUAUAAUAUAAGUUAUAAAUAAAAUAUUCAAAACCCCGAAUUAUAUUAAUGACCUGUUUUUUUGGAUUAAACUUUGGAUUUUCGGCUUUUUAGAUUUUUUGGCUUUGAACUCGAAUUAACCUAAACUAUUUCUAAUUUCUUUCACUUCGAAUUUUAUGAAAAAAUAAAAAUCUGACUCGAACCCAACAUUAUCCAAACCGAUCUGAUCCAAAAAAAAUGUAUAGUUCCUAAACACCAUCAUGCGUCAUCAGCUCGAAACUAGUCCUCAGCUAAACAGCCUAACUUUACUCAGCGCUACGAGCUCGCCACAUGAUCUCGGCUCAUUAGCCCAAAUUCUCAGCCCAUUUGCUUGGUCCGUUAAGCUUAGCCUAGCUAAGGCAAACCGACUUAGGACAAAGGGGAUAUGAGGUUCACUUAUAAAAAGAGAAAAAAGGGCUACCAAGGAAAGGCUCCAAAUUUGAAUUCAACAGAGACUGACGGCUAAAAAUUAUGGUUUUACACUUUACUCUUCUAGCCGACUUGUAUUUUUCCAGCCAACUCUAACGACCGCUGGCUAGUUUUUCCUCUUAUUCAUACAUUCUGUAAUCUCACUCUUUUCUGAUUAAUAAAACAGCUUCGAAAUAACACACAAUCAAGUUUUGUUUUCUCUUAUUUGAAUCCGACAAAACUCAACUCAGAUUCAACAAGCUAUAGGAAGAUGGAGAAAAAUUGUUGGAGGUGUUGCAGAAGUAAAGCCAUCAAAAUUAAUUUAUAUUACUUUUUCUAAUAUAAACACACUAGUAGCGAAACUUAAAAAGGAAAAUAUCAUUUAAAUCAUCAACUUUUAAAUUUGAUUGAAAUAAAACACAAACUUUUUCAAAAAAAAAAAACACUUAAAUUUAUCGACAAACCAUUUUAAUCAUAAACUUUCGUUGAUCACAUCAUUUUAGUGCUAUCGUUAGUCAACCGUUAUAGUUGACUAACACUAUAACUAAAAUGGCUUUUAAAGUUGAUGAUUUUUUUGGCAAAAAAUAAAUCAACAUUUAAAAAACAAAAUUGGAUGUUAACUUGUAGAAUAAAUUAUUUAGUAACUAUAACAUUAUGUAAAGAUAAAUAUUGACUAAAUAAAAAUAUAACGUUUUCAUUAUUUUCUUCAAAAUAAAAGUUAAAUAAUUUUCAUUUAAUCUAAAAUAGUUAGUUAACAUAUCAUUAGUUUAAUAAUGAUUUAUUUAAAAAUUAAAUAAAUUUUAUAAUAUUGUUUUGAUAAUUAUGUCACUUUUCGUAACUAUUAGUAUAGUCCUAAUUGGUUUUCAUAAAUUUACUGUCCAAAAUUUAAUUUUGUUUGUAUAAAAUUAAUUAAUUUAUUUUAUUCUCAGAAGAACAGAACUAAUGGUAUAUAGAUUUUUCAUUAUUCUAAUGAUGUAGCAACAUUUUGGAUCUUAACAGUUUUUUGGUGAAACUUAUCCCCUAUAUAUUAAUUGAGGAACAUUUGAAAAGAUGCAACCUCAAUUUUGUAUUAAUUAAAAAAGACCCCUUGCUUAUGUGUCAAUCAAUUAGGUAGUUAGUUAAUCAUAUGUGUCAGCCUCACACUAAAAUUGAAAAACAUGUUUGUUCAAUUCGAUUUUUAUUUCUCACUAGAAAUAUUUAAUACCAACUAUAUAAUAUCAUAUGGUAUUAACUAAAACAAGGUGGCUAUUUAUUAUAUAUUAUUUCCUAAAAUAAAACCUACAUAAUUACCUAAUGUGAUUAUGAUAUAUAUAGUAAUUAAUGAUUUUAAAUAAUGAAGAUUUGCUAAUAAUCUGUAUGAUUUCUAUCAUUUUUGUUUAAUUAUUUACUAUUAAAAUAAAUUACACAAUUACAUUAAUCAUAUAUUAAAAAUUAAGAUUUUUUUGUAUAUGUUGUAUUUUGAAUUUUUCAAAAUGAAUAUAAAUUACUAAAACUGUUAAAAGUCUCACAUAAACUUUUGUGAUCAAUGUUUAAAUUUUUUUCAAUAAUAAGAUACAAUGAUAAUAAAAUCAUAAAAUAAUUUUAUUUUAAUAGGUGUUUAUGUUAAUAUAUAUAUACUUCAUAUCAUUUAAAUUUAAUUAUUUAUCAUAUACGAUAGAUAAGAUUGACUAAUUUGAAUUAUUUAUUCUAAAAUGGUUGCGAAUUAACAAGAGCAGUCAUUUGAUUUAUAUGUGCAAGCCAAUUUAUUACAUAAUAGUAACUGAUUUCUUAGUUAUUUAAUAUAUAAUUAUUAUUUUAUUAUUUCGUAUUAUGCAGAAAAAUAUAAAAUAAGUAUUUAUUCUGCACAAGACGCAGAUCUUAACCUAAGUAUGUAUCUCUUUAAUAAUUUUGAAUCUUAAACAUUUUCUAAAUCCCAGGCCAAAAUAAAAGAAAGAAAUGAAAAUAAACUCAAAAAUCAAUAUUUAUAUCGAGCAAUAACUAAAAUGACACAAAAAGGAGAAAAAUAUCGAAGAUAAAUAGGAUUGGCACGUGAACGUAAACUUCUCAUAACCAUAAGUAACUUUUAAAUUGCUAAAUCAUGAUAUAAAACCGAGUUGACAUAGUUUCAUUGUAACCAAAUAGUAGGCAUGAGAUUCUUCGACCUAAAUGUUAGGUUUUUAUGCGAUAAAUAAUUUUUUGACCUAAAAUAUUUUUAAAAAUGAGAUCAGUUCAUUAGUAAACAAAUUAUGUAAUUAACAAAAAAGUUUUUUAAAUUUUUUUAAGGGCCAAAUAUAUUAAUUUGAUCAAUAAUAUAAUUUCUUUUUCAUACGAUAUUUCUUAAAUAAUUUUCAUAUAUAUUUACUCUGCGCAAGGCGCAUGUCUUAUCCUAGUUUUUCAUUAAAAUUCAGAAGGAAUUUUGUACACAUUUAUAGAAAAGGCAAUUGUCAAUAAUAGCACCUUUUGAGUUUUUGUUUCAAAAAUGGCACUAUAAGGAAAAAGUCACAAAAAUGACAUUCAUUAAAGAGUAAAAUAUCCCUAAUAUCCUUGGUUUAAAAUUAAAUAAACAAACAAAAAUAAAUAAAAAAACUAAUAAAAGAAACUUUUUUUAUAGUUUCAGAUUCGAAAUUUUUUGUAAUUUUUUUUUUUGAAAUUUUUUUUCGAAUUUUUUUUUAUUUUUUUUUCAAAGUUUCUUUUUAUAUCUCAAAAAUACUUUUUGAAACUGUUUUUUAAAUUUUUAUUUUUAAUUUUUUUGUAUUUAUUUUUUAUUUUAUAAAAUCUUAAACCCUAAUUCUAAAACUCCACCCCUUAACUCUAAACCUAUUUUUGUGACUUUGAUCAUUGAGUGCUAGUUUGGGAACAAAAACUUAGUUUGGUGCUAUCUUUAGUCUUUUUCUCUUUUAAAAAUUAUAUAAUUUGUUUUGAAGAUAUUUAUUAUAAAAAUAAAGAAUCAUGAAGAAUCCAUCAAUCCAUAACUCUUUUCGUUUGAGAAUAAAUCCAUAACUCUAUUCGUUUGAGAAUAAGUUGCUGAAUUCACAUUUCAUUAACAAUUUUUUUGACAGUAAAAUUAUAAAACAUAAUCCAUAUAAGAUUAUAUAAAUAGUUAAUUGCUGAAAACAUGUUCUUUCUAGCACAACGGUAAGUUUAUAAUCGCUUAUACUGCUAACCUGGGUUCGAAUACCAUGCAAUUAAACAAGUGAAAAAAGUACCCCAGCAGAUUUCGAACUGAGGACACGCAAAAGGCGCAUCAGACGUGACCACAAGACGUUUGAGCAUUUUUUUUCUUAUUAAAUAUAUUAGCGUAGUAAUCGUCCUAUUGCUAAUCGUUUAGGGUCAGAGUCUGACUCUCAGUGUUUUGUUUAUUUGAAAUUCAAAGGUUUCGAGUUUCUAAUUUCAAUUGCCUAUUAAAUAUUUCUUCAUUGUUUUAGGGUUCUUUUAUGCUCAGUAGGUUCUGCUUAGUGCUGAUGAUAAGUUUGAGCUGGUGAACUUAUCGAUUACUUGUAAGCCUCGUAACAAUGUCGAUUACAGAUUAUCUAAGCCUCAAGAGAUAACGAUGAUCCUCACACAUGAGUACAUCGUUACUCUCAUACGAAUCUCCUAAUUAAGAGCGGUCAUUUGAUUUAUUUAUUCUAAAAUGGUUGCGAAUAAACAAGAACGGUCAUUUGAUUUAUAUGUGCAAACCAAUUUAUUACAUAAUAGUAACUGAUUUCUUAGUUAUUUAAUAUAUAAUUAUUAUUUUAUUAUUUCGUAUUAUGCAGAAAAAUAUAAAAUAAGUAUUUAUUCUGCACAAGACGCAGAUCUUAACCUAAUUAUGUAUCUCUUUAAUAAUUUUGAAUCUUAAACAUUUUCUAAAUAUCAUGCCAUAAUAAAAGAAAGAAAUGAAAAUAAACUCAAAAAUCAAUAUUUAUAUCGAGCAAUAACUAGAAUGACACAAAAAGGUGAAAAAUAUCGAAGAUAAAUAGGAUUGGCACGUGAACGUAAAUUUCUCAUAACCAUAAGUAACUUUUAAAUUGCUCAAUCAUGAUAUAAAACCGAGUUGACAUAGUUUCAUUGUAACCAAAUAGUAGGCAUGAGAUUCUUCGACCUAAAUGUUAGGUUUUUAUGCGAUAAAUAAUUUUUUGACCUAAAAUAUUUUUAAAAAUGAGAUCAGUUCAUUAGUAAACAAAUAAUGUAAUUAACAAAAAAGUUUUUUAAUUUUUUUAAGGCCAAAUAUAUUAAUUUGAUCAAUAAUAUAAUUUUUUUUCAUACGAUAUUUCUUAAAUAAUUUAUAUAUAUUUACUCUGUGCAAGGCGCAUGUCUUAUCCUAGUUUUUCAUUAAAAUUCAGAAGGAAUUUUGUACACAUUUAUAGAAAGGGCAAUUGUCAAUAAUAGCACCUUUAGAGUUUUUGUCUCAAAAAUGGAAAUAGAAGGAGAAAGUCACAAAAAUGACAUUCAUUAAAGAGUAAAAUAUCCCUAAUACAUUUGGUUUAAAAUUAAAUAAACAAACAAAAAUAAAUAAAAUAAAUUUUUUUUAUAGUUUCAGAUUCAAAAUUUUUUAUAAUUUUUUUUUGAAAUUUUUUUUUUCGAAUUUUUUUUAAAUUUUUUUUCAAAUUUUCUUUUUAUAAUUCAAAAAUACUUUUUGAAACUGUUUUUUAAAUUUUUAUUUUUAUUUUUAAUUUUUUAGUAUUUAUUUUUUAUUUUAUAAAAUUUUAAACCCUAAUUCCAAAACCUCACCCCUUAACUCUAAACCUAUUUUUGUGAUUUUGAGCGUUGAGUGCUAGUUUGGGAACAAAAACUUGGUUUUGGUGCUAUCUUUAGUCUUUUUCUCUUUUAGAAAUUAUAUAAUUUGUUUUGAACAUAUUUAUUAUAAACAUAAAGAAUCAUGAAGAAUCCAUCAAUCCAUAACUCUUUUCGUUUGAGAAUAAGUUGCUGAAUUCAGAUUUCGUUAACAAUUUUUUGACAGUAAAAUUAUAAAACAUAAUCCAUAUAAGAUUAUAUAAAUAGUUAAUUGAUCGUAAAUAAUUAGAAAAACAUGGUAAGUUUAUUUAAAAUUGAUGAAGUAUAACAUGUUUUUCCAUUGCUGAAAACAUGUUCUUUCUAGCACAACGGUAAGUUUAUAAUCGCUUACACUGCUAACCUGGGUUCGAAUACCAUGCAAUUAAACAAGUGAUAAAAAUACCCCAGCAGAUUUCGAACUGAGGACACGCAAAAGGCACAUCUGACGUGACCACAAGACGUUUGAGCAUUUUUUUUUUCUUAUUAAAUAUAUUAGCGUAGUAAUCAUCCUAUUGCUAAUCGUUUAGGGUCAGAGUCUCAGACUCUCAGUGUUUUGUUUUGAAAUCCAAAGGUUUCGAGUUUCUAAUUUCAAUUGCCUAUUAAAUAUUUCUUCAUUGUUUUAGGGUUCUUUUAUGCUCAGUAGGUUCUGCUUAGUGCUGAUGAUAAGUUUGAGCUGGUGAACUUAUCGAUUACUUGUAAACCUCGUAACAAUGUCGAUUACAGAUUAUCUAAGCCUCAAGAGAUAACGAUGAUCCUCACACAUGAAUACAUCGUUACUCGCAUACGAAUCUCCUAAGAGAUCGCCUCAAGACUCUCGUCUCACUCACUUCUGAUCUUCGAUAGUCUUCUCCAACCACAAUACAGAGUAUUUAUUCAACUAUCAUAACUGCCAAAGACUCUUUCUCCAUUCGACUCUUUGCUCCUUCCUUCCCUUCAUAUCUUGCCUUUAAAGGACUAGCCACGUCAGCAGUAUCUGAUUCUUCCUUUGGCCCAAGCGUAUCAGCUGAUUUCUCCGGGGCCUUUGAAAUCUUGGGGGGCUCUUGUUCUGUUUCUUGUGUGUGUCAUAACAGUUGGGCUCUAGUGGCGGCUGAGCCAAGCUCUGACCAAGUUAGGGAGAGGUGUAGACAUGAUUCUUGUUUUGCUAAUUCAAAUAUUAUAGAUAAAAGUUUUAUAUAUCACUAGUGUCCUUGCAAUACAACAAAAAUACCAUGAUACUAAAAUGCAAUAAUUUUAUUGAACAGAACAGCAAUGAGAUGGAUGAAGCUAACGAGUGCUUCAGUGCCUUCUUCUGCCAAGAUUCCUCAGGAUGUAUCCGAUGGUUACUCCAAUUAUAAUUCCAGGUGCAAAGCCGAACCCUGCUGCUACCCAACUCAACCUUUCCACUUCUUCGUCUUCGUCUUCUUCUUCGGGCACUGGUGGUUCAGUUUCUGGCGAUGUUGGAUCUCCACAAACAGGCUUAAGGGAAGGACCAUAAAGUCCAGGGUUUCCCUCAUAGGAAGAGCAGUUUUGUCGCUGGAACUGUGUACCUUGUGGUAUUGAACCUACGAGCUGGUUAUGUGAAACGUUGAUCCACUCAAGAGACGAGAGGUCCCCUAGCUGUGGAGGGAUCUCACCAGAAAGCUUGUUUUGGGAUAGGUCCAGUGAUUCCAGUGCAGUAAGGUUUGCCAAAGAAGAUGGGAUGUGUCCUGUGAAAGCAUUUCUUGACAGAUUGAGAACAUAGAGUCCCUGCAAGAGUCCAAUGGAUUCAGGAACUUGUCCAUGGAUUCUGUUUCCAGAAAAAUCAAUGAUUGUGUAGAUUGUGAGGACACGUUCCAUUGCCAUUGAUACUCCUUUACUCAUCAACAUAACAGAAACGUAGUUGAAGAGAACCUCGAUGUAUUCCGGUUGCGUAGAAUUAUCUUCAUUCGUGGAUAUUGCAGUCCAGUUGAGGAAGUAAUCAGAUGGUAUGGUACCGUGGAAAUCGUUAUGUGAUACAUCAAUGAUUUUCAAGGCAGGAAACCCGAACCAAGCCCCCCCAUUGGAGUGAUGCAACAUGCCAUGAAACUUGUUGGAUCGGAGGACAAGAACUUCUAGGCUCUGCAAGGAAUUCAAGUGGAACGGGAAUGUGUCGUUGAUAGCAUUACUCUCCAAGUUAAGAACUUCCAGACGAGAACAACUGGUUAGAGAUGGAAGAAGCUUUCCCUCCAAUAGGUUGUGGCUGACGUCAAUGACCCUUAAAUGCUUGGCAUGCAUGCACAUGUGAGGAAGACUUCCGAUGAGACCAUUGUUAUGAAGAUCCAGAUAUCGCAGCUCUUGUAAUCUCCAUAACCAGUCUGGUACUUGACCUUUGAUGUUGUUGUUGGAAAGGUAUAUAGACAUUAGAUUUCUCUGGUCUCUUAUGAAAUCAGGAAACUCAGUGAUGUUGCAGCUUGACAAGAACAAAAACUCGAAAUUUGAUGAAAAAUCAGAAUCUGAAGUGAUGUUUGAUGUUGAAAGAGGGAUGCCCGAAAGAUCUAGCCGUACUAGCUUCUUGAGAGAAGAGAAGACAUUUAAGUCAACUGGACUAUUGUCUCUGAAAUUGUUAGACCCAAGGUAGAGAUAUUCUAAAUUGGAUAACAGAGAAAAAUUCUCGAAUCCAACCAGAUCACUGAGUUGGUUAUUCUCCAAAUCAAUUUCUUCCAAUGAAGAGAUUUGGAACAAGGAUGAAGGAACUGCUCCAGUAAAAAGAUUAUCAUGGGCAACAACGGCUACCAGUUCGGAGAGUUGCCCAAUGUUAGGUGAGAGGGAACCUAUGAAGUGGUUUGAAUCGAGAGAGAGCCUGAGUAGUUUGGUUAAGUUGAAGAUUGCAGAUGGAAUGUUUCCGGUGAGGUGAUUAUUGGCAACCUCAAACGUGAUCAACUGUUUUAGAUUGCCAAUGGAAGAUGGGAUUUCACCAGUUAAAGAGAGAGCCUGAGUAGUUUGGACGAAUCAAGUGUCAAAGAAACUAAAUGUUUAAGGUUGCCGAUGGAAUCAGGUAUGACACUUGAGAAAGAUGUCAUAAAAAACUCCAUGACUUUCAUAGAGUUGUUUCUACGAAAAACAGGAAGUUUGCCUCUCAGAUUUGGGUUGUGACUCAGGAUAAUGGACUGUAAGUUUGGUAUCAGAAAAAUACUGCUUGGAAAUUCUCCAUCCAGGUAGCAGUUCUGAAGAUGUAGCCAUCUCAGAGAUUGCAUCUUUGAAAACUCGUGGGGGAUUUUUGAAGAUAUGUUUACAAAGCUCAUAUCCAAGGCUCUAAGGUUCUUAAGGUUACUAGCAAGUAGAUGGAGAAAAUAUGGUGGGUUUUCAAUGAACAGCCAACUUGGAGGAGGUAAAAGAUAAGAAAUAUAGGAAAAAGAAGAAAGAUCGAGAGACACCAAAUUGGUGAGUUGGAGAAUUUCUGUUGGUAUUGGACCUUUCAAUGAAGAUCCAGAGAGAUUUAGUGUUUCUAGCAACAUGAGAUUGUUGAACUUAUGAGGGAUUGGAGAAAAAGUGAAAUUAUUGCAAGCAAGGUUCAAAGUUUUGAGAUGUAUCAGUCUAAACAAACUGGAAUUCGGUUCGAGACGGCCAUAAAGAUAGCUGCAACUUAGAUCGAGACCAAUUACCUUUCCUGACUUUGUAUGGCAUGUGACACCUUUCCAACUACAACACUCCGUGCUAUUCCCCCAUGAUUUGGUCUUUGGGUAAGACUUAACGUUCACCACCGUGUCAUCAUAAAUUGUCACAGAGUCACCAAAGUAGUCGUUAAACUCACCAGACUUCCAAAUUUUGAACUCAGCCUUCAGCUUGAGAAGCAAAACUCUUUCAUCUGGAUCGCACAGGUCCGGUGUUAGAGAUGCAGAAGUGCUUAAUAACUUUGCAUAGGAGAAGAGAAGAAGAGCGAUAGGAAGAUAGAAACUGAAAUUAUAGUAUGAGCCUAUCAUUUUUUUUGUACCAAUAGCUUAAUGGAUGUAUAAUGUACUUAUAGGGAACAUUUAGUGUGGUUGGUUUACGAGUGUUCGUUCAUUAAUAAUCGACUAGGUAAUAAUCUACGGAUUGCGCGAGAUGUGAUUAUUAGUUUUGUUAUUUUUAAUAAAAAUACAUUAAAUCUGUUUAAUUUGGAUAUCGGUUCGGUUUUAAAUUGUCUUUUGGUUUUUAAUCUCUUAAAAUAUAACUAUUAUUUUAAAUUAAUAUUUAUUUUUGUUUAUUCGAUUAGAAUGUUUGAUUUUUUAGUUUUUUUUGGUAAAAACUAAAAAAUUACUAUUAUUUGUUUAUUUUCAUGUUAUGAAUUUUAGAUAAUCGUCAUGUCGAACCAAUGGUUUCAUAUCAUAGUUUCUAAACGGAUAAUAGUUCAAGAAAAAGAAAAGAAAAUUAUUAAGACAAAUCAUUCACUACAAUUUGGUCGGUAGUGAAAGAACCAUUAAGAAAAAAAUAUUUCAACUUCCAAAAAAAUAGAUACUUCAGUUGUGGUAAAUACUUAGUUACAAGGUGCUCACAUCAAGGUGCGCAUGUAUGUGUAUGUAAAAGUAUAUAAAAAUUGUUGACAAAUAUAUAAGAUAUUGUUAAUUAAUAUUAAAUGACUUUUUUAUUCAAAAUAAUACAUGAAAGAUAAAAUUAAAAUUAAUUAAAAAAUAAAAAAGGCCUUGACGUUAGUGAAUUUUUUUCAUAUACAGAAAAAUAAAUUGUAUCCGUAAAUAGAGGUGGGCACAUAUCGAAUAUCCGGUUAUUUGGAGGCAUUCAUGUCGAUUCAAUCCUUAGCCACCUGGAUAGUCGGUGACUCUGAUAUCCGAAAUGAUUUAGAAUUUUAAAGAAUAUCCGAUUUGAUCCGUAGAUAAAAUAAAAAUUUAAACAUAAUUGAAAAUUUUAAUAAUAACAUUUUAUUACAAAAAUAAAAUAUUAUUUAACUUUUAAAAUUUUAAUAUCUAAUACAAUAAAUUUAAUUCAUAAAAAUAUUGUAAAACUUAUAUAAACUAUAAUAUAUAUAUAUACACAAUGCUGUACAUAUAUGUGUAUAUAUGCAUAUAACAGAUUGAAUUAGAUAUUCGUUCCUAAAAAUAUUGGUAUUUGUGAUCUGUUUUUUUUUGUAUUGUAUUUUAGUAUUUGAUUUGCUUUGUAGAGUUACAGAUAUCCAUAUUUUUUUAUUCAAAUCAAAACGGAUAACGAAUCAAAUCAAAAUUUAUAAAUAUUUUGCCCAACUUUAUCCGAAAACAAUAAAAAUAAUAUAUAUGUAUAUAUAUAUAGUUAGCUUUUGAUUCGUUAUUUAUUUUGAUUCGAACAGAAAAAUCUAAAGUUUUAUUGAAACCAUGCAUGUGAGUUUUAUAUUUAAAAAAUACAAAAUAUAUAGUGUGAACAUAUUUAUGAAUCUCCUAGACUAUAUAUGCGAAGUGAUUUAUACACAUGUCGUGACUACAAUAAUUUUCGCUGAAAAAUGAUGACAUGACACUUAAAAUAGAUGACAUGGUUUUAGAAAAUAGUGUCAUGGCAUCAUAUUAAUUGUGAGAUGUAAAAUUUUCUAAUAAAUAUUAAAAAAAAUUUGCAUUGAUUUUAAAUAUGGCAAUAAAAAUAACACAUAUAUCAUCAUUAAUGUCAAUUUUCCAUAUAAAUAUUUAUUUAUGGUAAACUAUUAAAUAUAUUAAUAAUUUAUAUAUAACAAUUAAAAAAUAUAUAUAUAUAUGUAUAUAUGUAUCUCACAUUAAUAAAAUAAAUUAAAUAAAGUAACACUAAAAUAAAAAAAAUUGAUAGUUAAAUAUUUAAACAUUAUUUAAAUUUAUCUGUUCAAAAAUAUUUUUCAGUUUAACUAAAACAAAAAAGUCUCAAAUUUAUUAGAAUAUAUAUUUAUAUGUAAAUAAAUAUAUAUAUAUAUAUAUAUAUAUAUUUAAAAUUAGAUGGAAAUAUAUAUAUAUAUAUAUAUAUAUAUAUAUAUAUAUAUAUAUAUAUACAAUAAAUAAUAUAAAAAACAAUAAUAUAAUUAAAAUAAUUUUUAUAAAAUCUAAUUUUGUCUUUAUAAAAUUUUUGAAUAAAAUCAAAUUUAAAUAGUUAUACCAAAUCAAAAGAAAUAAGAUUGCAAAAGUACGUUUAUGAUUUUUUAUAACUAUUGAAGUUAAAAUAUAAAUUAAUAAUGUUGAAAUAUAAAUCAAAAUUUUCUUUUGAAAUAAAAAAUGUUAUGUUAAAAAUUACUAUUUCUGCGCAUGGCGCAUGAAAACUCCUAGUAUAAUAUGAACAUGUUAGCAUACUUAUUAUCAAAUUAUUGUGAGGCUCUCACGUGUCUAUUGUAGGGUAAAUGUAUUUAUUACAAUGAUUCUCAUUUAAUAUAAAGGGACUGUCAAAAUUAAUAAUAGUAUUGAAGUCUAUUAUUUAAGGGGAAUUGCAACGCAUAUACAUAAGGAAAAUAAAAAUAAAGUUUAUAUCCACAACAUUACCUUGGCUACGAUAUUUUGUGUAUAUUAUAUUUUAAUUGCAUUUUUACCCUUGAUAAUACACGCGCGCACCACAUAUUUUCUUCUUCACCACCAUCACCUUUUCCACCAUUGUUGCCACCAUCUCUAUUGUUUUCUUUCCUACCACCGCCGCCGCUACUUGUGAUCUCUUUACCUUUUCCCACAGUGUCUUUUGAAUUAAUAUUUAUCGUGGACAUAUCAUCAGUGUCUAAGCAAUCCGAUCUUUUGUGUGUUAUCUGAAAUCAAAAUGACCAUUUAGUUUAUAGAUCUGAUUAGAAUGAGUUAACAGCAAAACGACGAAAAACGUACUUUCUGAAAAAAGUUAAAGAGUAAAAGUUUGAUCUCAUAUACUAUAUGAAAGUACUAAACAGUAUAGUCACACGGAAGACACACUUACACAUAGGACGUACGCAGUUGAAGACUCCACAUUUAACCCAAACUAACGCCCGUAGUAACCUAGUUGCUGAUUUCCCCUCUGUUUAAUUUUGUUCGGCUUGUUUGGAUAAAAACCCAAAUCUGAUAUUACAUACUAUAUUGAAUAUAGUAUAGUCGUAUGCCAGCCUUUUUCCAUACAUGGACAUGCGUGCAUAUAUGUUCUCUUCUUUGGUGAAUAUGCCAUCAAAAUAGUAUAGUUUCCUCUUAUGUUGCUUUCACUCUUACACUCCCUCCUACUCUUUCUCUCCUCCCCUCCCUUCCCCGGUCUCUCUCUGUCUCUCUCUCUCUAUUCCUACUUCCUUUCCUCCAUACUUCUAUCUUUCCUCCUUCCUCCUCCUCCCCUCCAUUCCUACUUCCAUUCCUCCUUUUCCCAUUCCUCCUUUUCCCAUUCAUCAAUAUAGUAACUAUCAUUAAUUGCCAUACUAUUCUAAAUGAAAUAUAGUAUAUUUUAGACCUUCAAGGUUAGGGUUUAUGUAGCUCCGUUAUGGAUGAUGGUUUGGUUUUACAAUUGGAGUUUAGGGUUUGGGUUAAGGGUUUACGGUUUGGAUUUAGGGUUUAGAGUUUGGGUUUAGGGAGGUUUUUGUUUAGGGUUUGGGUUUAGGGUUUAGACCUUCAAGGUUAGGGUUUAGGUAGCUUUGUUAUGGGCGAUGGUUUGGUUUUACAAUUUGGGUUUAGGUUUGGGUUAAGGAUUUACGGUUUGGAUUUAGAGGUGUUUAGGGUUUAGGUAGCUCUGUUUGGGUCUAUGGUUUGGGUUAAGAAUUUGUGUUUAGGGUUUGGGUUUAUGGUUUAAGGUUUAGGUAGAUCCGGUAUGGUUUACGGUUGGGUUAAGAAUUUGGAUUAGGGUUUGGGUUUAGGGUAUACGGUUUGGGUUUAGGGUUUAAGGGUCUACCGUUUGGGUUUAGAGUUUAUAGUUUGGGUUUAGAGUUUAGUGUUUAGAGUUUGGGUUUAGGUAGUGGGUUUAAGGUUUAUUUGGUUUUGUUUUAUUAUGUUGGUAACCAACAUCAAUUGCCAUACUAUUCUAAAUGAAAUAUAGUAUAAUUAGAGUGAAAUGAUUCGUGUGCCUAUACUAAAUAGUGUGUAGUAUACUAUGAUAAUUUUAUCUUAUGCAUUUCAACAUCAAGCGCACGCGCCUGAAAGAAGAUUUUGGUCAUGUUUUGCACAAAUUGUCCCAUCCAUCUUGAAUUAUUGUAUAAUGGUUUUAUUUUUCUUUUUUUUUGCCUCUUAUGAAUACUAGAUUUUUUAACCGCGCUAUGCGCGGAUAAGAUAUUAUAUGUAUUUCUCAAUUCUAAAAAAAUAAUGUAUAAUAUUAUAUUAAAUUAUUUAAAGAAUAUAAAAUAAGACUACAUAACAUAAAUAUAUUUUUAAAAUUUCUUUGGUGGAAAUCAUUAUGUUGUUUGAUUGUUGUACUUAAUUCACAUAUUUGCAUAGUUAUUUGUGAUAGAUGAAUAACUAUAUUUUUAUUAUUAGUAAAUAAUAUAUAUUUAUUAUAUAAUAUAAGAAAAAUAAAAUUAUUUACUUUUAAAACAAACUUGUCUCAUGUUGGAGACUCGGUUAUAAACAUAUCAUAUUCGAAUGAGACACUUUUACAGUUAUAAAUCUUCUUAAUAAUCAAGAAACAAAUCUGAGUAUCAAAACAAUAUCUCAUACGAUCUCUUUGUGGAAUAACUGCUCUGAAGAAAUUGAAUUUAGGCGUAAAAAAAGACUGAAAAUGGAUGUGCAGAUGUGUUAUCUAAGUCAGCUUUACAAAAUACUAUUCAUAGUUCAUAUAUCAUUUAUGUACAUCAUAUUUUUUUGUCCAUACUUUCUUAAACAUCUUGAAAUAACUGAUGCUAAUUAAUAAUAAAUUUUUGGCUGGCAAAAAAAAAUCAAAUUUAUCUAAUUAUCGCUUAAUUUGUCUAACUGAUAUAUAUGUAUUUCUCAAUUCUAAAAAAAUAAUGUAUAAUAUUGUAUUACAUUAUUUAAAGAAUAUAAAAUAAGACUACCUAACAUAAAUAUAUUUUUUAAACUUUCUUUGUGGAAAUCAUUAUGUUGUUUGAUUGUUGUACUUGAUUCACAUAUUUGCAUAGAUGUUUGUGAUAGAUGAAUAACUAUAUUUUUUAUUAUCACUAAAUAAUAUAUAUAUAUAUAUAUAUAUUUAUUAUAUAAUAUAAGAAAAAUGAAAUUAUUUACUUUUUAAACAAAGUUGUCUCAUGUUGGGGAUUCGGUUAUAGACAUAUAAUAUUCGAAGGAGACAUUUUUACAGUUAUCAAUCUUCUUAACAGUCAAGAAACAAAUCUGAAUAUCAAAACAAUAUCUCAUACGAUCUCUUUGUGGAAUAACUACUCUGAAGAAAUUGAAUUUAGGCAUCAAAAAGGACUGGAAAUUAUGUGCAGAUGUGUUAUCUAAGUCAGCUUUACAAAGUACUAUUAUUCAUAGUUCAUAUAUCAUUUAAGUCCAUCCUUUCUUAAACAUCUAUAAAUAAAUGAUGCUAUUUAUAGUCAAUUAUCUAAUAUAAUAUAUAAAUAUAAUAGUAUUAACAGAAAUUCGGUUUUAAUUAUUUAUAUUUUAGAUAAUUCUUAUAAUUAUUAAUUUUAAUCACUUAUUUAAUCAGAUAUAUUUUAAAUUUAUUUUUAUUUUUGACUAUUUAUAUAAUUUAUUCAUUAAGGGUAUAAACGAUUUAUUAUUAAUUUUAAUCACUUUUUUAAUCACAUAGAUUUGAAAUUCGUUUUUAUAUUUUGACUAAUUUAUAUAAUUAUUCAUUAAGGGUAUAAACUAUAUUAACCGCUCUAACUUUUAACGGGAGAGCUCUGUUGCAAAAAUUACUAUUUAUAUAAUUUAUUCAUUAAGGGUAUAAACGAUUUAUUAUUAAUUAUAAUCACUUUUUUAAUCAGAUAGAUUUGAAAUUCGUUUUUAUAUUUUGACUAAUUUAUAUAAUUAUUCAUUAAGGGUAUAAACGAUAUUAACCGCUCUAACUUUUAACGUGAGAGCUCUGUUGCAAAAAUUUACUUCGCAAAUAAUAAUAGUAUAUAUUUAUAUAAUUAUUCAUUAAGGGUAUAAACGAUAUUAACCGCUCUAACUUUUAACGUGAUAGCUCCGUUGCAAAAAUUACUAUUUAUAUAAUUUAUUCAUUAAGGGUAAAAAUUAUUUAUUAUUAAUUUUAAUCACUUUUUUAUUCAGAUAGAUUUGAAAUUCGUUUUUAUAUUUUGACUAAUUUAUAUAAUUAUUCAUUAAGGGUAUAAACGAUAUUAACCGCUUUAACUUUUAACGUGAGAGCUCAGUUACAAAAAUUUACUUCGCAAAUAAUAGUAUAGAUUUAUGGGGUAUAGUUAUCUUUUAGUUUUUAGAUUUAUCGUUAUCUAUUUACCUUUUACUUUUUGUUUGUUCAUUUGUUAAAAUUUAAAAUAUAUAAAUAAGUAUGUUUGAAAUAAUAAAUUGUGAUUUUAUUCUCUAUAUUUUGACAUACCUUUUUAUAUAUUUCAACAUUUUGAACAUGAAAAAUCAUAGACAUCGUUACGUGAACAUAAUUUUUUAGAUACGGUUUGGUGAACUAAAUUUUGUAGAAAACUUUUGGUGGACGGAAUUCUCUGAACUAUAAUAUGUGGACCAAUAUUUUUCAUUAUUUUGUAUUAUUAGUGUUCUUUUCACUUUUGUGUGUUCAUGCUAAUUUUUUAAAUAACUAAUUUGUUUGAUAUAACUAAUUAUAUUUCUUUUUUUACUUUUUAUAUUUAACAUCUAUUUAUAUAUAUAUAAUGUACAUACAAGAAAAUCGUGGAUACAAAUUUGGUGGACAAUAGUCUCAUUGAUAUUUUAAUAAUGUGGAGAAAUCAUUUCAAAAUCAUUGUUGUAUAAUCAUAUGUAAAAAUAAUUAUAUCGUGGAUAUAAUAAUUCAUCUAUAACUUAUUAAACUGACAUUUUUUAUUUUAUUUUGAAAGAUGUUCAUUUCACAUAGUUUCAUGUUAAUUGAACACACAAUAUAGUUUGUCUUUACAUUUUUCUCAAUACAUAUAUUUUCCAAGUUGUUUCUGAUUUUAUCCUAAAAAGAAGUUUCAUAGAUAAUGUUGUCAAUCAUACUAUCAAAUAUGAGGUUUGGUGGACAAAGUUUUCAAUCCUACAAAGUUUCAUGGACAAAGUUUCUUUUGAUGAGGUUUCACAGAUCAAGUUCUCAAUCCUAUAAAGUUUCGUAGAUGAAGUUUCGUGGACGCUAUGUUGUGGUGCAUUUUGUACACGAGUUUUUUUGGAUGAUGUGUUUACUCUGACGCAUAGUGUGCACCUCCUUUUUCUCCGCCAUUCGCCAUCAUUGGUUUGGAGUUGAGUGAAAUGAUUCGUGUGCCUAUACUAAAUAGUGUGUAGUAUACUAUGAUAAUUUUAUCUUAUGCAUUUCAACAUCAAGCGCACACGCCUGAAAGAAGAUUUUGGUCAUGUUUUGCACAAAUUGUCCCAUCCAUCUUGAAUUAUUGUAUAAUGGUUUUAUUUUUCAUUUUUUUUGCCUCUUAUGAAUAUUCAGCAAAUUCACCCAUUAUUAACCUUUUGCUCGUUUAAGGAAUGUUUUGUAACUCACUCUCAACGAAUAGUCAGAUAUUUGGUGCAAAUAAUUAUAAAGUUCCAUUGAUACAUUUAAUACCAUUGUUUCAAUGAUAAUCUUUGACGAGAGUUGCAGAUUUGACGAGAAUUAUAUUUGCACAAAAAUCACAAACUCAGAAAAUUUAAUGUUUUUCACUUAUAUAAAUUUAAUACGGUAUACACGAAAACUCUCUUAAUCAUUUACUCCUAGGCAGUUUCCCAACCAUUUGGGUUUUCUUUUCUUGGGAUUUCGUUUUCAAAAUUUCUCUCUUUUUGACACUCUCAACCACCUGAUUUUAUCAUAAAGUAGUAGCCAAUGUUUUUAAACCCGAUCCGAACACUGAACCGGAUGAUUUAUGGAGUUAGUGGAUCAAUCGCAGAUGAACCGUGAGUUAAUAAAUAAAUUAAUUCUAUUAUAUAUAAUCAGUGUUUUGAAACCCGACCCGGAUCUGCUGUUGAACCGGUAAACCGGUGUCCCAAAAAAAAUCAGGUUUUUUAAAAAAAAAACCCAAUAUUUAAAAACCCAAAAACCUGUGAAGACCUACUAAAACCAGAAACCCGAUACCGGUUGAACCACCAGUUGAACUAAUGGAUAUUUUUUACCUUUUUAAGUUUUUAAUUAUGUUUUUAGAUUGUUUUUUAUAUUCUAAAUUUCCAAUUAAGAAGUUAGAUUUUCAUUUUUCAGUUUUAUAUUUGUGAUUCAUAGGUUUUGAUGAAGAUUUCAGUAUGCCACCUAAAGAAAAUAAGGUGAAUGAUGGUAGAGAAAACCAAAAUUAAUUGAUAUGAUUUGGUGUUAAUUUAUUUUUGAUAUCGAUUAUUUAGUAUAAUAUAUGUUUUGCUCUUGUUUUAUUUUGGAUUUGAAGUUUAAUUUAUUAUUCACAUUAGACAUUUAAAUAUUUAUAAAUUUUAUGUCUUGAAUUAUUUUAGAUGUCAUAACUCUUAACUUGUUACAAAAAUUAUAAAUAUUCUAAAUUAUUUUUUGAUAUUUUUAUGUCAAAUAAAAAUAAAAACUAAAGUGAAAUGUUUUCUAUAUUAUAUUAAACAUAAAAAUAUACAUAUCUAAACUAUUAUUUUAUGUUUUAUAAAUUUAAGUAUUUUCUAUAUUUCUUCAGAUUCGUGCCUCCGGGUAAAAGCUAUAGCCACGGAAAUAACAUGGGAAAGUCGUGGUUAGAUUAAUAUCCACUGUUAUUUCGUGAUUAAACUGUGCGUAAUGUACCCAUGUGUUAUUUUCUAACUAGAUCGUGUCUAUUUUAAAUCGUGAUUUUAACUUAGUUAAAUCGUGCAUUUUUUGUUUAGCCGUGAGUUUUCUGAGGUAACUAGCCCUGCGACUUUGCCCCGAACCGAACCGAACCGAUAUUUUUGGUUUUCGGUUCGGUUAAAAAAGAUUGAUUGUUUGUAAAAAAAGAUUUUAAUAGUGGUUGAUUGUUUGUAAAAAAGAUUUUCCAUUAUGCACAGCAAUUAACAUUACAGGACCUAUGCGCUUCCAUAGGACAGAAAGAGAAACAUCAAUCUACACAAAGAGAAACUGUUUACAUAUAUAAGGAAACUGCUUACUUUUACGUCCUUUAGAUCAAUGAGAGCUUUGAAAUAAUUUAACUUACUUUAUGCUUGAUUCUGUUCACACCAAAAUUUUGAAAAAUAUAUGGCGUGUUGAUUGUUGUCGAAACAACUUUUCCACUUUGACUGAACAUAUGUACAUAUGACUAGGAAUUCUAACACACUAUUAUUAUUUUUAUUUUUUUCAUUUCAGAAUAUUUUGACUGAAACACAUGACAAAGAUACAAAAGCCGACGGUACUAUAGGAUAUCACCGGGAACUAAGCCGGCAGCAACAAGUUUCCAAAGCCCUAUUAUAAACGAUAACGAAACUCCAAAUCGACCUAACACAUUAUUUACAUAAAAAAAGACCAUAGUUUAUCAUCGAAUUAAAUCCAAAAAAUGCAACUUAGUCGAAAUUUUACAAAGCCUAUUUACAAUAAACAGAACAGAUGAUCCUUCUCACCAGAAAGGGCACCACCUGCAAACAAAAACAAGAAAAUUUGUUCACAUUUUUGCAUCGAACCAUUGGAAAUGACUUAAAACAUAUCUCACGAACCAAACUUGUGCAAAUGAAAACAGAUAAGCACAAGAGUGGAGAAGAACAUACCCGACAUAAUUUUGACAGAUAUUUUCAUGGGAAGUAGCUUGAUCGAUUAGCUUUUGAACCUGAACUUUCACAGACAAACCAUGUUCGACUUCAUGAGAAUCUCCUCCGAGCAAGUUAUUGUGAUCAGCAGUGGGAUUGCUUGGAACCGCAGACGUAGAGAAAUCACGGCCCGUAAGCUUAUGACUCAUACGAGCCAUUACAACUACUGCACGUUCGUUCAAUACCUCGUUUGCAUCUCCAAGCAUAUUCACAGCCUGAAAUACAAUCCAAGAAUCAAAUCAUCAACAAAAGAAUUAAAAAGAAACCUGAAGAAUUUCCUUCUCUCGAGUACUCCUUUAAGGCUGAGGAAGGUCUACAUCAGCGGGAUCUUCAUCUACUUCCUCAGGUUCAACAUUAGCAGAACCAUUGGGAUUGUUGUUACCGAGUAGGGCUAGUUGAGGGACUUCAUUGAAAUUAAAAAGACGCCAAUUGAUUAAAGGAUCAUGCACAAACGCCUCCAUCAUCGCCAUUACACUGUCUUUGUUGGUUCUGAGAACUUGUAUAACAUUUUGGCAUGUCGACCGGAAAUUUCCUUUGAUGCCACUUACUUCCAUUGCUUUGACAAGCAUUCUUGUCAGACGGAAUGGAACCUAACAUAGUGUUGUUUAAGACAAUAAAGCUCUCUCCUCAUAUCGUCAAACAAGUCUUAUGAGGAAAACAUUAUAAGAUAGUACCUUUUCAGGAAACUUCUCUCUAUUCAUAGACGCCUCAAAACAAUCUCCGAAAUCAAUAUGCAAGAUUUUCCCACUGCAAAAUUGAAACCAUUGAUAAAGAAACAGAAGUAUAGUUGGAUGUUUUAAGCAAUAUAAACCCUUUUCUUUAUUUUUAUGUACCUGUAUCUAUCUAGCAUAAGGUUACUUGGUUGUCGAUCACCUAACCCAAAAAUAUAACCAACCUGAUACGAGAGAAGUUCAUUUAAAGUGCAAGUCAAACAUGAGUAAAAAAUCUACAUUGACGCUACACAAGUGGUGAACAAAUGAUGAAAGCAACCACAUACCAUACUCAUAACGGCUAAACUUCUAGUAUCGUUGGUUCUUCUCUCCAGCCAUACCUCUGACGAGCGACUUUUUAACCACAUAACCUACCAAGAAGGAGAAACAAAGCAAUUUCGUAUUCCAGAUUAGUUACUUUAGCCAAGAGAACACUACUAGAAGUUAAAGCUAGAUUAAGUACCCUGGACAGAUCAUUUCCCUCUGUGUUUUCUAGAGCGUACUCAAAUACUUCAAUCUUUGCUAUGAGCGGUAGAUUGCCGUAGUUUGGAGCAAAACUCAACAUAUGUUUGUGUUCUUGAUUAAGGAUGAUCUGGAAAUAAGAAAAGGCAUGUGUAAGAAUCAACAGAAACUUUCAAGAGUGAAAACCUUCAUGAAUAAAAAGACAAACCUUUCGUGCAUCUCUGUAUUCUCGAAUAAGAUGGUGAAGGGUAUCGCAGUUGGGAACCCAUCCAAUGAGUCCACUAAUGGUAUUACAGAAUACCGUUGGAUGGACAAAUCUUUUUCUGCUGUUUUUCUGGAAUUCUCGAGCAAAGUGUUCACCAAACCAAAAAGCUGAAACACAAUAGAGCAAAGUGUUAUCUUGUAGUUAACACAAUAACUGAACAACUUUUUUUUUUUUUUUUUUUUGAAAAUCACCUGCAUAACACGCUCAUCUUGCCUUAGAUCUUCAUGUCCCUUUAAUAAAAAGGCAUAGUCCUCACCGUCAUUUCCGUGAAUAGUCAAUUUCCGUGGUCGUUGUUUAGAUGUUAUGACAAGAAGUUGACGAGGAAACGAUGCUAUCGUCACAACGGGGGCAUCUAUUUAAAUAAAACCAAAGCAGUGAUCUAAGCACCGAAUCCUAGGUUAAAACCGUAAAUCAGCUCAGACAAACUGUAGUUCAAAAUGUUACCCGCACGGUAUGUUCCAGGAACAGCUAGCUCCAAGUCACGACACAGCAGCAAUUCAGGAGACACAAACUAUCCACCAUGUAAUGUGACAGUUUGAUUAUAAAGUAAAAAAGAGACGAGAGAACCAAAGAAAUAGAGAAUCUUUACCUCCAAAUCCAAUGUCGUGAGGCUGGCAAGCAGUUUGUCAAUCCGUUUGAAAACAAUUGAAAAUGACAAACAUGUCGUUAUGCCCCGUUCCUGAGAUAAAGGCCAAGAACACAUCUGAAAUUUUGUUUCAAAUUUUUCGUCACCUGUGUAAGUUCAGCAUCUUUUCCAGUUCUCUUGUAAUUGAUACAACAUUCAUAUGCCUCUAGUAGUUCGUGACGGUAUGCCUGCAUCAACAACACACCAACUUCAGUUGCUGAUACGAACAAACACCAUCCAGUUUCGCAUAUAGCCUUUACAAAAAUAUAUGAAAACAAAUACUCCACACCCUAAACCUCAAAUUUUAUCAUGGUCACCUGGUUGACUUAAAUUCUUAAAACCCCAGAAAAAAUGACCACGGGUUACAUGGAAAAAACAAAACUAGAUGCUGGAGUGCUGUACAGUUCUGUGCUAGAGAAAGAAAGAUUAAAUCACGGAUACCGUGGCGACACAGCUAAUGGCAUGUAACCUGUAAGAAAAACACUAUGUUAUACCCAAGGUUGGAAAACCAGGACUGAAAAUGGCACUACCUCUAUAAAUGCUCUCUCUUGUAUGGUCACGUUGUCCUUUCUUGCACCUUCUUCAAGCAUCUCAUGUAAUGGCUCAAGUACUUUCAGCAUUCCUUCAAUGUUAUGUUCUCCAAAAUACAAGCGACUAGCUUCUUCUAGUGCUUCAUGCCAAAGUAUAGCAACCCUGAUAAGUUCAUGUGAUACAAGUUGUGCCUGUUUUUUUUUGGUUGUUGUAGGGGUAAAGGAAAGGGGUCACCAAUUAGCUCAGUUAAAAGAAACACUUUCAUAUAUAGAGACAAAGAUAAGCACAAGAAGCCGACUACUAGCCUGAUCCACAAGGGCGCCACUGUGCUGGCGAAAUUGAUCAACCACCUCUUGAGCUGCAGCUCUACGCAGAUUGCUUAUUGAUUUACAUGCAACGAGAAGGGGAUACAUAAGAGCCUGAAAACAUUAGAAAAGUAGUCGACAGAAAUUAUGAACUCUGAGUUGGCAUGACAUUUAAUUAAUUUUCAGAUCAGAACUUAUUAAUAGUCAUCAUAAAUUCGUAAUACAGAUGAAGAUUUAAAAGUUUAGAUUAAUGGAAAACUACAAACCUGCGGGUGGUUUUCUCCUAUGCGGAUGAGAAGAGACUGUAUCAGUUCCCUGACAGCACGAUUAUUUGAAUGUAUCCUAGCAAUUAUUGGAGGCAACACAACAAGCCAUGUGUCAAUGCUGACAUGACUGAAUCCUCUCUUCAAUGCUGUUUGGACAUCAGCCGUAGCUCCAUGGUUGAAACAUAACGUGAGAAGACGCAGUAUAUCCUAAGAAAAUGAGACAGAAGGGAAAACAAAUAUUUCAACAAAAGCAACUUAGAUCUUAAGGCAAACAAAUGAAAUAAAUAAAAAUGUCUCCUGAUGCAGACAUUUUUUAAGAUAUAAGCCAACAGUAUAUCCCGACUUUACAUUCUUAAAAGAGACCAUAUACUCUAGUCAAUAAUUCACUGUUGGCUAACAACGUUUACCCUUAAAAUGUUUGUUUAAGUAGAUUCAACACCAGAGUAAACGUCAAUCUAAGCAAACAAAGCUUCGAUCAAACUCCCAAAGAGCAUAUUAGAGAUCUCAAAGGUUAGGCUCAUACAUAAACCAUUAAUGUUUUAUCAGAAAAAAAGACAUUUUGUUUUUAUAUGCAAACGAAAAACAGAAAAUAAGAAAAGACUAGUGUUGCAAAAAAACUCCUACUUCAACAAAUAUCAGAGAUGAAACUUAAUCUAUGUGGCAUAACAAGGCGAAGAAAAGAAAGACACGGGUUUGGUAUGUGAAACAUGGAAUCCAUGAAAGUAUGCACACUUAACCUGUAAACUAUCAUCAACUCCUUUGGCAUUCGCUGCACAUGCUAUAGAAUGGAAGUAUCAUCCAGUGACUGCAGCAGCAACAAACUGAGAAGCAAUUUGACCUUUUGAUAUGUAAUGAGACAUCACUGCCGUAUUGAAUAACCCCCAUGUGUGCCAUGCCUUAGCCCAUUUAGGAGCAUAGAUGGUAGAUUUGCUAAAGGCAUCAAGAAUUUCUGAAAAAAGAGUAUUAGAUUGUCACCAGAAUGUUAUGGUCAGAACUAGUUUGACUACACUUACACAGUUAAAAGUAACUAAUAUUCACCUUGAAUAGACCCAUCAUUCAAUCCGGGAGAAAGUGCCCACUGCCAUGUUCCCAAUUUGAGAUUUACACGUGCAAGAAGUGGAACAUUUUCUCCCUUGCUAGAUACCAUACUAGCCAUCAUGUCAGACUGAGAAUGUGGCACACUUGAGAGUUCCCUCGUCAGAAUCUAAAAACAUUCAAUUCACAUUGAGAAGAAACAUGGCCAUUUAAAUAAGAAAAUGGGAAAAUGUGAGAAAGAGAAUCAAUCCAGACAAUGCAAGUAGCUAAUGUAGAAGCUGGUAAACCGGACUGAUGUAAACGAUAUAAUAAAAGCGAAGUUAAGGAAAUAGACGAAUAUAGAAAACAAAUACGAGAACGAUAAGAAAUCGUAUUCGCAACGAGACAUGGAGGCGAGAUAUGAUCUCUUUCCUUAACUCAAAAUAUUCGUUCCGUUAGUGAGACAGGACUGUACGAAUAUAGAGUCCCAGAAUACAACUAUGGCAGACGAAUCACGCCUCACUCGUGAUCGCCCUAUCGAACUAUAAACUCUACGAAACACUCUCGUUUUUAUGACUUACGCUAAGGGAAUUUUGAUGCUGGUUUCGAUGUGAAAAAGUUGAAGAAAAUGAGAAGAGGAGAGUCCGUAUUUAAAGAGAAGACUAGGAGCGGUUUUUCGAAACUGUUGCGAACGUUUUUUCCGAAAAUCUCGCAAAGAUCUCGGAGUGGAACGUUGAGCAGCUUUCUCCGCAAGUUUCUCUCUUGUUGACUCGUUCUGAUCCAUUUCGAAUAGAUAAACUUUGUGUUAUUUUUAAACGAACUACAUGUCGUUUAUACACAAAUGUCAUGCUGUUUUUUAGAAAGAAAAUGGCAAAGCGUUAAGCUUAACUUGGUCCAAAAAGAAUAAUUCUUAUCGGGCCAAAGGCCCUCCACUCAAGCCCAAGCCCAAGCCCGAGCCCACGCCCACGCCCACGCCGAGCCGAGCCGAGCCGGCCGGAUGGCGACGGCGGCGCGCGCGUGGAGAGCUCUCUCUUCCUCUGAGCCGUUUAAUCCAAGGAGAGUGUGAUACCAUAUAUAUACAUCACAAUUUCUCAAGUUUUAAUCGAUGUGAGACUCUCUUAUUUCCUUUCAUUAAUGCCAACAUGGCUUUUUACAAAGAGCUCGUAAGCCCAUUUCCUUUUCACAUUUGCCUUUCAUUAUUUGAGCUAAUAAGCUUAAUAAUUAGGCCCAACAAUCCCCCACAUUCGCAUUGAUCUCAAUACCUUUGUUCUUGAAGUUUUUUCCAAAAGCCUUCAAGGCUGCAGCAGUUUUGGAAGGCUUGGCAGGAGAAUAGGCGUGGGCCUUUCCUUUGCCUUUGUGCUCAGCCAUGUUGACACUGUGCUCCUUUGUACCGACCUUUGCAGCAGUUCGGUUUCUGGAUUCCAUCUGAAGCCUCGUGAUGAGCUCCUCGAGUCCCAUCUUCUUCUUCUUGUGCUUCAAGUAGUUCUUGAAAUCCGCAUAGCUUGGAGGAAGCUUUUCAAUGAAGCUGAGAGUUGUGAAUGUCUCGCAGAUGGACAUUCCUUCAACAGCGAUUUCAUGGCAAAUGAGCUGAAGCGCUUCCACCUGAUCCAUGAUGGGUUUUGAAUCCACCAUUUUGAAGUCGUGGAAUUUUGAGACCACAUACUUCUGGCAGCCAGCGUCCUCACCUCUGUACUUCUUGUCUAGUGAUCUCCAUAGCUCUUUCGCCGUGGGGAUCUCACAGUAGACACGGUACAAUGGGUCAAUGAGGCGACCCAAAAUGUAGCCUUUGCAGAUGAAGUCGGAAUGCACCCAUAUGUCAACAGUUGCGAGGCUGUGAACAUCAUCAAUCCCGUAAGGCAUAAGGGGCUUGUCCUCCUGGAAGAACUUCUCCAGCUUCAUCGUUGCCAGGAAGAACAAUAUCUUCUUCUGCCACAUUUUGAAGCCUUUGCCAUCAAAUUUGUGUGGCAUCAGUCCUUGAGUGAACACACUAGGGACAGUCGGAGGAGUUUGAACUGCCACCGGACCACUUGCAGUUGCUGAAAUUGAACCCGUCUGAUAAAGACCAGCACCGAAUAGGGUACGGCGAGUGGUUUCAUCAGCAGCAUUCCCCGCAGGGAGGAAAGUGCUCAUUGUUGCUGCAGUGGUUGACGCUGUGAUGUUUCCAGCGGUUGUCACGCCAGUUGAUGCAGCGUUGAGUGAAGUUUGAAUGACAUCCGAGGUGUCCAUGGGAGUGGGGGUGUCGUUCUCGUUUGUCAUUUUCCUGUAGACAAAACAUGAAAAUGGAUUAGUACUCCAUUCAACAAUUAACAUAUUAUUUUAAAGAAAAUAAUAGUCUAAAAUCGAUGUUCAUUUUUGGUGUUUGAACCAAAUCAUAUCAAUAUAAGUCUUGAAAAAACGUUUUGCAAACUCGCUUAGAAGCGUUCGCAGAAACCAUUUUUAUAGACUUAGAAUGUUUCACAGACUCGCUUAAGAAAGCGGUCACUGAAACGAUUCAUAUAUAUAACGUUUGAAGAAAUGUAUCAAAAAACGUUUUGCGAAAAUGCUAGAAAGCAAUCCGCAAAGCGUAAUAAAGUAAAACUGAAACAUUUCGCGGAAGUGCUUUAAGGCAAAUCGCAAACACAUUUAGCCAGAAACGUUUCGCGGAUAAGCGUAUAGCAAAUCGCAAACAUCGUUUUGAUAUAAGAACAAACGUUUCGCGGAAGUGCUAGAAAGCAAAUAGCAAACACGGUUCCGAAACCCGUUUCUAUUAAUCGUUUAUCAACCAGUUUAAAGCUUUAAACAUAAAGCGAUUUUGAGUUAAGAUUGUAGAAGCCAGUAAACCGGACUGAUGUAAACGAUAUAAUAAAAGCGAAGUUAAGGAAAUAGACGAAUAUAGAAAACGAAUACGAGAACGAUAAGAAAUCGUAUUCGCAACGAGACAUGGAGGCGAGAUAUGAUCUCUUUCCUUAACUCAAAAUAUUCGCUCCGUUAGUGAGACGGGACUGUACGAAUAUAGAGUCCCAGGAUACAACCAUGGUAGACGAAUCACGCCUCACUCGUGAUCGUCCUAUCGAACUAUAAACUCUACGAAACACUCUCGUUUUUAUGACUUACGCUAAGGGAAUUUUGAUGCUGGUUUCGAUGUGAAAAAGUUGAAGAAAAUGAGAAGAGGAGAGUCCGUAUUUAAAGAGAAGACUAGGAGCGGUUUUUCGAAACUGUUGCGAACGUUUUUUCCGAAAAUCUCGCAAAGAUCUCGGAGUGGAACGUUGAGCAGCUUUCUCCGCAAGUUUCUCUCUUGUUGACUCGUUCUGAUCCAUUUCGAACAGAUAAACUUCGUGUAAUUUUUAAACGAACUACAUGUCGUUUAUACACAAAUGUCAUGCUGUUUUUUAGAAAUAAAAUGGCAAAGCGUUGAGCUUAACUUGGUCCAAAAAGAAUAAUUCUUAUCGGGCCAAAGGCCCUCCGCCCAAGCCCAAGCCCACGCCGAGCCGAGCCGGACGGCGGCGCGCGCGUGGGGAGCUCUCUCUUCCUCUGAGCCGUUUAAUCCAAAGAGAGUGUGAUACCAUAUAUAUACAUCACAACUUCUCAAGUUUUAAUCGAUGUGAGACUCUCUUAUUUCCUUUCAUUAAUGCCAACAUGGCUUUUUACAAAGAGCUCGUAAGCCCAUUUCCUUUUCACAUUUGCCUUUCAUUAUUUGAGCUAAUAAGCUUAAUAAUUAGGCCCAACAGCUAAUACAUAUAUCCAGAUAAUGAAUAAAAAGCCAUAUGGAUAGAUGUCUGGAGCUUAUGCACAUAAAACAGAUGCAUGGACCUUUUUGUUGCGAUACUAGCUGCGUCAGAGCCUGACAAUACAUAUAGACCCCCAAAAAUAUAAAAAAAAACCUUAGAUUCCACUUCCACGAGAAAUUAUAUGGAAACUAAAAACACGGGAUCUUCCCAAUAUAAGACUUGGUUACCUAAUGUGGCUUCUAAUACAAGAUGGAGAUUAGAUGUUUGAGAUGCUUUCAAAGUGUACGCCUUGAGUGCAUCGUCCCAUCGCUGCAGCUUCUCAUACCUAGAAACAAACACUGUUACUAGUAACAAACAAAUUCUGUCUGCGCGCCUAUCACACACAACCGGAAAUAAGUGCCAGUAAGAAUGAGAAAAGUCAUGUUACCAUGAUUCUUUUAAUUGCACAUCAAGAUGUUGUUGAGCAUAGGUCAAUAUGCCGACAGCAGCCUAUGCCAACAAAUCCCAAACAAUCAAGAAUGACACAUAGCCAAGAUGGGGAAGUCGUAGAAGUAAGAUAAUGUACCUCAUGCUGGUGUAGCUGAUUAUUUAUGUGUAUAAGAGCCUCAACAACAGCAACUGGGUUGGCAUCCAUCCUUCUGGACCGUGGAACCUCAAAUUCCAUCUCUUUAUAGUGCAAAGCUUUGGCAAAAACACGGCACUGCAAAGUUGAAAAUCGCAACAUUACCAAGAAAAACAGGAUGAAUGUUUGAUUCAAAAAGGAUAGAAAUGCCAUAUCUUAUGAAAUACAUGACGCAAACCUUUUCAGCAAGAGCCCCCAGGAGACGAAUAUCAAUGGGAAGAGGCUUUUCAUCAUGUUGGAUAAAUUCUGCCUAAAACGAGUAUUGAGGAAAUAAAGCUCAUGUGACAGGACCAAGAACCAAGAUCACACAGAGGUAGGUUUAUUUUGACUCUAAAUGUAUGAUCCUUUACUCCAGUCUUAAGCAGAAACUCGGAUACCAGGGUCAAUAUUAACGUUUGCAGAUUGUUUAGUUGAUGGUGUUUUUUUCAGUAGAAAGAAUAACAGGUGCAAUCACUAAGGAAAUGGUGACCUAAGCAGAAUUUUGUUUCUAUUCAAGCAAGACGUAGCUAACUCAUUGCUAACACUAUAUAUUUGCCUAUGCUUAAAACACUAGCAUUCAAUGAGCAUAACCAUAGUUAAAGGAAAGCAUACUUAAUUUUUGUAGCUUAACAAAGAACAUACCAAAUUAAGUAGUGUCGCCAAAAUCUCAGGAGGGAUAUUUGGAGAUGAAAAAGCCAUCUCCAAGCUCCUAACUAACUGCGUUUGGCUAGCUUCAUUCAUCUGUGCCCAGCAACUGACAAAACCAACGGCAAACAAUUCUCUCCCGACAAAAGGCUGUAAUAUACAGUCGUUAAAAUGCAUACCCUUAUGAGAGAGAGAGAGAAAAAGAAAGAGCAUAGAUGAAACACCUGCAAAUGAGCAAGUUUUGCACAAGUUCUCAAUGCUGGAGAGGGAGACUCUUUAAGUAAUUCAAUACUAAAAUGUCUCAUCCAUUCUUCCCAGUCUUCCUUGGUACUCCGUUUUUUUUUUUUUUUUUGAUAAGUAUGUGAAUUUUCAUUAAUGAAUAAUGUGAUACAUGAGAUACAUUUGAUUUUGAAGAAUCAAAAACUAUUGCAUCUAAAAUAAGCUAAUAAAUAAAGCAAGGGUCAGUGAAUGCCCCAAAAAAGAUUAAAAAAAAAAAAAAAGACAUUCAGUGACAUGAAGAUUUAAUCAUCACCCGAGGGUUUGAUUAAAGCUAGACAAAACUAGCAUCAUUACAAUUCUAGUUGAUCGAUGCUUUAUCUUGAAGCCGGUACCUGCACCAAGAGCAUAAAUCAGAGAGCAAUUCAGCCGGAGAAUAGGCUUAGGGGUCGAAGCCUAUCCCAAGCUAAACAAUAGGCGAAGCGGGGUUGACUAGGUCCAGGUCCGGCCAUCGUCUAGUGGGAAACCACUCCAGACGCCGAAAGCAGCUCCAGAGAUCAACGUGACGAGUUUCAGAACACCUUAAACCAACGAGGAGAACCAAGCAAAUGGACGCCGGAGAUAACCUGGCGGAAGCAAUUGAUUUACACAUAUUUACAUCUCAUCUAUAUUAUUAAAAGGAAAAUUGCAUUCAGCAGCUACCAAACAAAUCAUAAUUAAAAAUAUAACCAAAAAAUAAAAGGCCUCUAACAUUCCUACAAUAUAUACUAUAUUAUCCUUCUUAAUUAUCUAUUUCUCUUUUGUUUUAUUUUUCUUCCGGUAAACUACAACUUUCUUACCUCUGGAAAUCCUAACAAAUCCAACGUUAUUUCCCCAGUUCUCAAGGAUCAUUCAUACUAUUCAAAGCUAUCUCUCGGAGAUUGAGAUGUGGAGUUUAGAUCAUUGUCGGCCAAGUAGAAAUGAAGCUGCUGACGCACUCGCAGUAUGUGUGACUCGAGACCAUCGACAUCAAUCUUAUAUUGCUUACAAUGCUCCUGUGUGGCUUCACCAUCUCCUGGUACUAGAAGCGCAAGCCAAGUAAUGCUUUUUUUGGGUGGAAUCACCUAGGACAUGCCUUAUAUCAUUUGGUGCCUACUGGUAUUUGUUUUUUUCUCCUCUCUUGUUUUUCUUGUUUCUUAAGCUUUCCGGUUUAAUGGGCUCGUUCGAACCUAUGUCUCUAUUGUAUGGAGAACAAUGAUAUUUCAGUGUUAUAAAAAAAAAAAAACUACAAUCUUCUUCUUCCCUAAUUAUUAUCACCUACUCUAUUACUAUCAUUCUUCGCCAUCAUAAUCUUCAUCAUGGCAACACCACCUCCGUUAUGGAAAACCAUUUCCUCUUCUAUAUCCACGAACACCGAUUCUUUUAUAGCCAGAACAACUGUUUUCUCAUCACCGCCACGAAAUCCGUAAUACUAUUUUAUUUAGUUAUUCCAC
rnacentral:lncRNA from 1 species